rnacentral:lncRNA from 1 species
AGGAGCACCAUACUGUGGAUGAAUAGUAAUUACUGCAAAUGGAGCAUGUGUAUAAGAUGGAGAGAGUUCGAAGGAGAAUUUUCUUAGUAUCAUUGCUAUUGCCAUUUUUGCUUCCAUCAUUGCAAAGUUUUGUCCAAUGCAAAUUCGAGGUCCCCCUCCAAAUGGAAUAAAAGAGACAUGUCCUUUUGUUGCCUUUGACACUCCUUCACUGAAUCUUUCUGGAUUGAAUUCUUUCGCGUCUUCACCCCAUAUUUCCUUGUCAUAAUGAAUUAAUAUUGUGGGUAUAACGAGUAGCACUUCAGCUGGUAGAUGCAGCUCCUCUAAGUUGACUUCUUCUUUGUUUGUUCUACUAAAUACUGGUAAUGGAGGAAACAGGCGUAACGUCUCUAACAAGAUCAUUGUCACCUAAGGAAAAAAUUGUAUUUCAUAAGUUGGCAGUAGAAUUAGUUCACUUACAAAAUUCAGGGGUCAUGCCUUUUCGAGUUCUAUAUAUAUGGCUAGGCCACUCUCCACUAACUUUGGUAGCCCCUUUGAGACUGACGUAGGACGAUAGAAGAUGUGAUCUAUCUGAUUUCAGGUGGAAUAAUUUCACAUUAUGGGAAAGACGAUUUAACAGCUAUGUGUCUUAUCCUGAUUUUAUAAUGCUCUUGAUCUUUGAUCGAUGCAAUGAUCUUGGGCUAUUAGAAAUUUGUGAGAAGUACUUACAAUUUUGAGACGACUUAGUCCUUCCAAAUCUGGUUUAUCAUUUCCGAAGAUCUGCAAAACCUCUUCUCUGGCUCGUACUUGCCACUCUGGAUGUAGGCACAGCAAAAUCAUUGUCCAAACAAGCAAAACUGAAGUGGUCUCUUGCCCAGCAAAAUAGAAUAACUUGCACUCUUCAAUCACUUCUAAUAUUGUCAUUCCGAAACCUUUGCUUCCGUGUUGUUGGAUUUCUUUCAAAUUGGAUUCAAGUAAUAUGCCUAAUAAGUCAUCUUUACUAGUCUCCCCUCCUUCCAUUGCCUUCAAUCUUUUGUCGAUGAUGCGCCUAAUUGUUGUUUGGAUUUGCUUUUCGAUUUCUAGCAUUUUUUUGUUCCUUUUAGUAGGCAAGAACCUAAUGAAACAAAUUUAAAAGCAAACAAGAAGCGUGUUUUUAGUAGAAAGUAAUGAACAUGUGAUUUUCCAUAUUAUAUCUAAAUUUCCCAAACAAAUUGUUAUACCUUGAUCCUGGUAUAUAAAUUGAACGACUUAUGUCCAUUACAUACUCAGCUUGUUCUUGCUGAAGUUCAAAUACUAUUCUUCCUUCUUCAUAGUUACUCCCAAAUGCAGUUCGAGAAAUGACUUCACUAGUCAUUAUUUGGAGGUCUGGCCAUACAUCGAGAUCGAAUGAUGUUUCCCUUGGAACAACCUCCUCCCAUUUGCUUAUCAUUUCACUACAACUCUGAUAAAAUGCUGGUAGCAUAUGCUGUACAAAACAAAUGGAAAAACCAGAAAAUUGAAUUUCCUUAUUAGAAUUUUGUAACUUCUUAAUAUAAGACGUUACAUGAAUAUCAACCUUAUGUCUAAAGGCAUGAAAAUUUACCUUUAACUUCUCGACAUGGAAAGCAGGAUUAAUGAUUUUUCUGUGUUUGGCCCAUUUGUCUUCCUCAAGACUUACAAGGCCUUGUGCCAAUAACUUGGAAAAUGGAUUGGGAUGCGUUUGCUUUUGGUACACAUAAUUCUUUGUGAAAAUUUCUUUUACAUGUUCAGGAUCUGUGAUCAACACUACUGGAUAUGGGCCUAGCCAAACAAAAGAACUUUUACCUGCAAGUAAUCGAUUUUGGAUUAGAAAAAAAAAAAAGGGGGCCUAGUUUUGACUGCCCAUGAUUUGGCACAAAAGUGAGUUCGCAUAUGGAUAUUCAUACUUUACCCAUGUUUUUUCAUAUAUUUACGAGUUAAAAUAAACAGAAGCUCACAUUUACCUAACGGAAAUAUAAGUGAUCCAACUCAUUAAAAUAUGAAUUAAAUGAACUGAUGUUAUAAAUAUGGGCUGAAAUUGCGAGCUCUAUAUUCCGGAAAUGGAUGAUAAGAUACAAGAGAAAACACAGGCAAGUAAGAAGUCAAUAAAGACGAAACUGCAGUUGCUAAUAAAAGGAGACAUUAACAGGUGAAAAUGACAUAGCAAUCUACUAGGGACACUACUUUAUUUAUGGCACAAAAUGAAGUUUCAUCAAAGUGGCAAAAUCAUACAAUCGUUUAUUCAAUAUGAAUUGAAUUCAUAGGGCUCUAAUUUCUUAAGUAAUUGCACCAGUCAACCAUAGUCAUGAGAGCUAGAGCGGAGCUAAAGUGGAACGUAUUGGUUAACACGAACGCAGUACCUUUUGUCCAAAUCUUGUAUAUGUCUUAAGAGUAAGUAUCUAUAAAUAUUUGAUUGCGUGCCAGUUCCUAUAGGACCUCACAAAUUUUAAAUCGUGGAUCAGCCACUACUAUAAAUCCCUUUGCUAAAUUACUGAUCCCCCAUUGCUCUCGCUGUCCCCUCUCGUUACUCUCUUUCUUUCACCAUGGAUAGGUUACUACUCCCAAAUAGAAUAGAGUGAAGGUGAUAAGCAUGCCAAAAUAGUUUGGUUUUUUAAUUUUCAUAUCUAACUAUCAGGUGUACAAGCUUACUAUCCAGCCAAUCAUCAACUAUAUAUCAAAACAUACCCCAACUAUCAAAUGUUAACUUUUUGUACCUAAAAGUUCAGCUAUAAAACUAAAACCAUCCGUUUAGUUUAAAUAACCUUAUUUUCUUAUUUUAUGUUGGUUUAACAAACGAUUCUUUUAUAAAUUCAAAAAUAAUUUAACUUAAACUUCUAAUACUAUCCUUAACGACAUUUCUAUAAUCACAUAAAUGUUAUGUCAUAUUUGAAAUGAUCUUAGCUAAAAAGUUUCCACUUCUUUCUAAAACUCCAUGCAUAGUCAAAUAGAAUCACGACGAAACCUCAACGACUAUACAUAUAAGAACAAACAAGCUAAAAUCAAAAGUAGCUUCUUAAAAUACAUACCAUUUUUGUUCAUGGCGUUGAGGAAAAAAGGGACGAGCCUUGGAGCAAUAUCAUCAGAGAAGUUAAUAGGCUUAGAUUUUGCUUCUACUAUACUUUUUGUAAGUUCAUCCAAAUCUCCAUACAAGAACUUAUAUGGAUUUCCUUUAAGACCUCUUUGCCUUAAGCAAUUUUCCAAUCUUUUUGGCCUAAACCAUGCCCAAUUCAACACUCUCCAUGUAUAAUAUACCAACAAUAUUGCCACACAUAUUGUUGCUAUAAUUAUGUUGUAAAAAAUCUCCAUGAUAUUAAGGCUUAUUUUUUGUUACAUAGAAAAAAAGAGGGGAAUUUACCUUUUAAAUUUGUUGUUGUUUGGACAAGUUAAGGCCACCUAGCUAUUCUCUCUAUAUUAUCGAUGACAAAAAAAUCAGUCCAAUACUAGUAGAGACUUUUGUCCAAUCUGUUUGGACCCACUCAUCAAUCUUGAAAAAUAAAUGAGUAUAUGAAUUUAUUCUUUAAUAUUUAUCCAGAAUAAGUACUUGUUGGAAAUAAUAUUUUACUCGGCACAUUAUGUGAUACAUUUAUUUUUAGUAAAUCUAAAAAAGAAUGUCACUUAUUUAAUAUGAUAUUGAGAAAUAAUUUGACUUUAAAAUUUCUAUUUUACUAAAUUAAAUUCUUUAUAGCCACAAAAUUUUAGAUCACAAUUUAUAAGUUUCCAUUUUUUUUUUUAAAAUAAAAUAGUACUUGAUCAAAUAGUGCCACAGAUAGAAAAAAUGAUAUUUUGAAACAAUUAUUUUUUUCAAGGGAAGAUAUUCUCUAGCAUUUGGAAUAUAUAUGACUUUUUUUACAAUAAUCUAUUUUUCUUUGAAAUGGACAAUAAAUAACUAUCAAGGAGAAAGUGACCCAAGAAAUUAGGUUCUUCUUUGAUUUAUCCCCACUUGUUUGUUAGUUAUUGUCUAUUUCUAUUAUAUUUUUAUCUUAAUAAUCUUGGUAAAAUCAGUCAUUUGUAAAAGUAGUUAUCCACACAUUGUGUUAAUAAAUUAAUUGGACAUGAAUAACAUAAGAUUAAAAUUUAAAGGACAUAUUAAUUCAUGUUAUACAUUAAUCAAAAUGCGAAUUAGCUGCCUUUAUUUAAAAUAAUUAUGUUUUGUGGGUAGAAAAUAUGUAUUAACAAAAUCUCUAUAAUCUCAUAGCAAUUUCGCAGAAGAGAGGGGAUAAAUAUUAUUUUUAGAAAAGUAUUUUGUACGUGUUUCAAUCCUUGAAUCAUGUGUUUGAUGUUCACAUUUUUAACUUUUUAUCUUGUGUUCUUUUUUGUAUGCAUUUUGUAUUCAUGGAAUACGUUUUCCAACAAUCUAGAAAGGAUAUUUGUGCGAACGAGAGAUUCAUUGUUUGAAGAAUUUAGGGAAAAGAGACAAAUAUACCUUCGAACUAUGAUAAAUGGUACAUAUAUACCCUUUAUCAUACUUUGCGUACACAUAUAUCCCCACCAUUAAUGAAAUGGUACGUAUAUACCCCUUACACAACGGUAGGGGCAUGUGUGUAACCAAAGUACAACGAAAGGUAUAUACGUAUCAUUUAUUAUAGUUCGGGAUAUAUUUAUUUAUUUUUUAUUUUAAUUAUUUUAUUUCAAAGUAUUAAUCCAAACCCUCUAUCCCAUCCAAUAAACUCACUACUCGACCCAACCCCAAUUAAAAUCCAAGAGGCGCCGAUCUAACAGUCACCCGUUUCUCUUUCUUAUAACGAUGUACACACACAAUACAAAAGCACUUACUACUAUCAAUUUUUUUUUAAAAAAAAAUCAUUAAUUCAUAAUACCCAAAAAUAAUAAAAUCAUCAAUUUGAAGAAAUGAAAAUAUGGAGGCCUCUAUGCUAAAUCGAAUAAGAAAGCGACAUAGGCAAAAUAGCCUUUUUCUGCUUUCUAAAGCAAAGGGGGAGUAUUGAUCAGAAGUAAAGACCACACUCCAUAAUUGUAGCUCUCAAAAAGAGUAUUACAAGUGAUUGUGUUUCAAGAACAGAGAUCUAUAAAUAAGGGAGAGAAAACAUUCAUAUUUUUUUUUCUCUUUCAAGAGAUUCUAUCUCGGAAUCAUGCCUUGAGGGGGAUGCUGUCAAUCCUACCGAGGACUUUAUGGAUUUUUUUCGGAAAGCGAGAGGUAUUGGACAUAACCACCGAAUGGGUUCAGCGAAAUUUCAUCGAAAAAGCACUACCCACCAUUGAUCAACACCACAUAGUUACCGUUUUCGUCAAACCGGAAGCACCCCAUUGGCGAACUAUUAUCGCACCCUAGCUCCGGCCACCUCUGGUGUAAUCUCCACUCUCUCCAUUUAGUAAACACCAAGUAGUAGCCACGAUCAAUCAUUGCAAUUUGACGUGUUGUUGGAUUUCUUUCAAAUUGGAUUAAGUGAUAUGCCUAAUAAGUCAUCUUUACUGGUCUCCCCUCCUUCCAUUGCCUUCAAUCUUUUGUCGAUGAUACGUCUUAUUGUUGUUUCAAUUUGCUUUUAGAUUUCCAGCAUUCUUUUGUUCCGUUUAGUAGGCAAGAACCUAACAAAACAAAUUUAAAACCAACCAAAAAGGGUAUUUUCAGUAGAAAUUAACGAACAUAUUAUGUAGAAAUUUCACGAAUUUAUCAUUAUACCUUGAUCCUGGUAUAUAAAUUGAACGACUUAUGUCCAUUACAUGCGCAGCUUGUUCUUGCUGAAGUUCAAAUACUAUUCUUCCUUCUUCAUAGCUACCCCCAAAUGCGGUUCGAGAGAUGACUUCACUGGUCAUUUUUUGAAGGUCUGGCGAUACAUCGAGCUCGAAUGAUGUUUCCACUGGAACAAACUCCUCCCAUUUGCUUAUCAUUUCAUUACAACUCCGAUAAAAUGUUGGCAGCAUAUGCUGUACAAAACAAACAGAAAAACCAGAUCUGAAUAUUCUCCUUGUUAGAAUUUGGCAACUUCUUAAUAUAAUGAGUAAAGCAUCUAGUACCCCUUGAACUAUGGUCAAAUUUGCUACGACACAUUCCAACUUCACAAGGAUCCUAGUACCCCUCUGAACUCGUAUUUUUGUCACCCUUUUUAGCUGAUGUGACACUUUUUAGCUGACAUGACACCUUUGACGUAGGUCCUAUUUUUAUGUAAUAAAGAUAUUACGUCAGCACAAAACAAACAACAACAACAACAAACCCAGUGUAUUCCCACUUUGUGGGGUCUGGGGGGGGUAAGAUGUACGCAGUCCAUACCUCUACCUCUGAUGAAGUAGAAAGGCUGUUUCCGAAAGACCCCCGGCUCAAGUUACGAGAUAUCAAACAAACACAUAGUACAGCACAGAAGCAGAUGACAUAACAUAGAUACUGCAGCCAUAAGGAAUAUAAAACAGAGUAAAGAAGGAAUGCAGGAAUAUAAAGCAGAGGAAAGCACACAUAUUCGUAAUAAGAACACGGAACACGGAACAGAACAUUGAAUACGGAAUCAUACCAGGAAUACACCCCCACCAAUUACCUCCCUACAUUAGCGACCCGAACAGGCCCUAAUCCUCUGCCGUAAUUCGCGUCUUCCAGACCUUCCUAUCUAGGGUCAUGUCCUCGGUAAGCUGUAACUGUUCCAUGUCCCGCCUAAUCACCUCACCCCAGUACUUCUUCGGUCUACCCCUACCCCGUCUAAAACCAUCCAACGCUAGCCUCUCACACCUACGGACCGGGGCAUCCAUGCCCCUCCUCUUCACGUGUCCGAACCAUCUCAAUCGUGCUUCCCGCAUCUUACACUCCACUGAAGUCACACCAACCUUCUCCCGGAUAGUCUCAUUCCGAACUCUAUCCCCUCGAGUCAGUCCACACAUCCAGCGCAACAUCCGCAUUUCUGCCACCUUCAUUCUUUGGGUGUGGGAGUUCUUAACUGGCCAACACUCCGCUCCAUACAGCAAGGCCGGACGGACUACCACCCUAUAGAAUUUACCUUUAAGCUUGGGCGGCACCUUCUUAUCACACAGCACCCCCGAUGCAAGUUUCCACUUCAUCCAUCCCGCCCCGAUACGGUGCGAGACAUCCUCGUCAAUCUCACCGUUACUCUGGAUCACGGACCCGAGGUACUUGAACUUAUCCCUUUUCUUUACCUCCUGCGCUUCUAGCCUCACCACUACCUCAUUCUCUCGCCUUACGUCAUUAAACUUACAUUCCACAUACUCUGUCUUGGUUCUGCUCACCCUGAACCCUUUAGACUCCAGAGUUUGCCUCCACAGCUCUAAUUUGUCGUUCACACCCCCUCGCGUCUCAUCUAUCAGGACUACAUCGUCUGCAAAAAGCAUACACCACGGCACCUCCCCUUGGAUACGCCGCGUUAACACAUCCAUUACUAGCGCAAACAAAAAGGGACUAAGAGUAGAUCCCUGAUGCAAUCCUGUCAGGACAGUGAAAUGCUCUGAGUCUCCUCCCGCCGUCCUCACCUGGGUUUUCGCUCCCUCAUACAUAUCCUUAAUUACUCUGCUAUAUGCCUGCGGUACUCCACUCACCUCCAAGCAUCUCCAAAGCACCUCCCUGGGGACUUUGUCGUACGCCUUUUCUAGGUCGAUGAACACCAUGUGCAAAUCCUUCUUCCUUUCCCUAUAUUGCUCCACCAACCGCCGUACCAGGUGAAUUGCCUCCGUCGUCGAGCGGCCGGGCAUAAAUCCGAACUGAUUUUCCGAGAUAGACACUAUCCGUCUCAGCCUCACCUCGACCACUCUCUCCCAGAUCUUCAUAGAGUGACUCAGUAACUUAAUCCCCCUAUAGUUAUUGCAACACUGAAUGUCCCCCUUAUUCUUAUAGAGGGGGAUCAUGGUACUCCACCUCCACGCCUCGGGCAUCUUUGCUGUCCUGAAAAUUUCAUUGAACAAUGCAGUCAACCACCUUACACCAGCCUCUCCAACGAACUUCCAAAACUCCACCGGUAUCUCAUCCGGCCCCGUCGCCCUACCCCUUCGCAUCCUGCGGACUGCCUGUCUAACCUCGUCUACCUUAAAACGUCUACAAUAGCUAAAAUCCCGACACUCCCCUGAGUGCUCCAGUUCCCCUAACACAAUAGCUCUGUCCCCCUCGUCAUUCAAGAGCCUAUGAAAGUACGACUGCCAUCUCUUCUUUAUGUGGCCGUCCUCCACCAACACUCUACCGUCCUCCCCCUUAAUGCACCGCACCUGAUCGAGGUCACGACCCUUCCUCUCCCUAGCCUUAGCGAGUCGGAACAACUUUUUCUCCCCUCCUUUCCCCUGUAACCCUGCAUACAAGCUCUCAAAAGCAGCCGUCUUAGCUGCCGUGACCGCUGACUUCGCCUCCUUCCUUGCUAGCUUGUACUCUUUCCUGUUUACCCGCUUCUCCUCUUCGUCCUUACUUUCCACCAACUUAGCAUACGACUCUUUCUUGGUCUCCACUUUCUUCCCCACCUCUUCAUUCCACCACCAAUCCCCCCGAUGAUGUCCGGCCCGGCCCCUAGAAACACCCAACACCUCCCUUGCAUUUUCCCUGAUGCACGCUGCCGCCCUGUCCCACAUAUUAUCCACGUCCCCCCUACACUCCCACACCCCCAUUCCCGCCAACCUCUCCCCUAUCUCCCACGCAUUCACUGGCGUCAAACCGCCCCACUUAAUUCUCGGUCUACACUCCUUACUCCUCCUCUUUUUAUUCUUCUUCAUACCCAAAUCCAUAACCAAGAGCCUAUGUUGGGUCGAAAGGUUCUCACUCGGGAUGACUUUACAAUCUUUACACAGCGCCCUAUCCCCUUUCCUAAGCAACAAGAAGUCAAUCUGGGUCCUGGCUACCGCGCUCCGAAAAGUGAUCAGGUGGUCGUCCUUCUUCGGGAAGCCCGAGUUCACCACCACCAGCCCAAACGCCCUCGCAAACUCCAAUAGGGUCGCCCCCUCUUCAUUUCUCUCCCCAAAACCAAAACCUCCAUGCACAUCCCCAAAGCCUCCCGGUAGCGCCCCGAUGUGCCCGUUGAAAUCCCCUGCUACCACAAUCUUCUCCGAACUGGGCACGCCUCUCACCACGUCCUCCAAGGCCUCCCAGAACCGCAUCUUCUCCUCCCCCUCCGAUCCCACAUGCGGCGCAUAGGCACUACACACGUUCAGGGUAAACCCCCGAAUGACCAACUUGAUAGUCAUCAACCUAUCGUUGAUCCUCUUCACCUCCACUACCUGACCUCUAAGCUCUUCAUCUACCAAGAUGCCAACUCCAUUCCUACGCCUGUCGCUCCCAGAGUACCACAGCUUGUAACCGUCCACAUCCCUAGCCUUAGACCCUACCCACUUGGUCUCUUGGACACACGCAAGGUUGAUCCUUCUCUUCCUAAGAAUCUUCACCAGCUCUAUGGACUUCCCCUGAAGGGUCCCUAUAUUCCAAGACCCAACCCUCAGCCUACCGUCGCUAUCCACGCGCCCCCCACUNNNNNNNNNNNNNNNNNNNNNNNNNNNNNNNNNNNNNNNNNNNNNNNNNNNNNNNNNNNNNNNNNNNNNNNNNNNNNNNNNNNNNNNNNNNNNNNNNNNNNNNNNNNNNNNNNNNNNNNNNNNNNNNNNNNNNNNNNNNNNNNNNNNNNNNNNNNNNNNNNNNNNNNNNNNNNNNNNNNNNNNNNNNNNNNNNNNNNNNNNNNNNNNNNNNNNNNNNNNNNNNNNNNNNNNNNNNNNNNNNNNNNNNNNNNNNNNNNNNNNNNNNNNNNNNNNNNNNNNNNNNNNNNNNNNNNNNNNNNNNNNNNNNNNNNNNNNNNNNNNNNNNNNNNNNNNNNNNNNNNNNNNNNNNNNNNNNNNNNNNNNNNNNNNNNNNNNNNNNNNNNNNNNNNNNNNNNNNNNNNNNNNNNNNNNNNNNNNNNNNNNNNNNNNNNNNNNNNNNNNNNNNNNNNNNNNNNNNNNNNNNNNNNNNNNNNNNNNNNNNNNNNNNNNNNNNNNNNNNNNNNNNNNNNNNNNNNNNNNNNNNNNNNNNNNNNNNNNNNNNNNNNNNNNNNNNNNNNNNNNNNNNNNNNNNNNNNNNNNNNNNNNNNNNNNNNNNNNNNNNNNNNNNNNNNNNNNNNNNNNNNNNNNNNNNNNNNNNNNNNNNNNNNNNNNNNNNNNNNNNNNNNNNNNNNNNNNNNNNNNNNNNNNNNNNNNNNNNNNNNNNNNNNNNNNNNNNNNNNNNNNNNNNNNNNNNNNNNNNNNNNNNNNNNNNNNNNNNNNNNNNNNNNNNNNNNNNNNNNNNNNNNNNNNNNNNNNNNNNNNNNNNNNNNNNNNNNNNNNNNNNNNNNNNNNNNNNNNNNNNNNNNNNNNNNNNNNNNNNNNNNNNNNNNNNNNNNNNNNNNNNNNNNNNNNNNNNNNNNNNNNNNNNNNNNNNNNNNNNNNNNNNNNNNNNNNNNNNNNNNNNNNNNNNNNNNNNNNNNNNNNNNNNNNNNNNNNNNNNNNNNNNNNNNNNNNNNNNNNNNNGCCGGCUAUCUGAUCAGCGCCGGCGCCCGUCGGUCGGAGCCGGCGGCCGGAUCGGGUCGGCGACGGCGCCGGGAACCGGGGCCGGUAAGCUGGGGGUGGGGAGAGGGUCGGGCGAGAGAGAGAGGGGGAGAGAGGGGGAGAGAGCCGUUGGGUAAUGGGUAAUAGGAUCCAUGAAGUAAUCCAUUUUGGAUUAGCAAAAGAAAAAAAGUUUCUACGCCUAAUUUAGCCCAAAAGUGAGUUCACCCGUAUUUCUUCAUAUCUUUAUGAGUUAAAAUAGACGGAAACUCAUGUUUAUCCAUCUGAAAUAUAAGUGAUCCAACUCAUUAAAAUAUGAAUAAAAUAGAAGAGAUAAGCAUCUAGUAUCCCAAACUAUGACUAAUAUUGUUACGACACACUCCAACUUCGUAUAGAUCCUAUUACCCCCGCCAUGUCCAGAGGCGGAUAGAUGGGAACCCAUAACUAAAUCAAGGGAUGACUCAGCGAUAGGAAAGGAACCCUAAGCAGUUUGUCUCUUGGGUAGUUGAACAUGUGUUCUAUUUCUUGUAGAGGCAUUUAUUUCUUUCCAUUUAAUUCUUUUCGAGGCUUGGUUUUUAUUGGGAACCCGCAAGUUUGAAAUUUUGGAUCCGCCUUUAACCACGUCAGCUAAAAAGAUUGACACAAGAUACCACGUCAGCUAAAAAUGUUGACAAAAAUAUGAUAAAAUUUAGUCGGGGAGUAGGGCCCCCAUGAAGUUGGAGUGUGUCGUAGCAAAUUUGGUCAUAGUUUAGGGAUACUAAAUACUUUGCUCUAAGUAGAUUGAACCUUUUUGAAUACUUUUUAUAAAAUACUUAUGGUCUUUUAAUAUAUUUUUUUAUUUAUUAUCUAUAUAUAUCAUAUUUUAAAAAUAUUUACCAUCUAUAACAAUUACACUAUAUAUUAAAAGUGAAUUAUAUAUGUAGUAUAGAUAUAUUAUAAGUGUAUUGAAUUGUAUUAUACUUGUUUUGGUAAGAAAAAAAUACCCUGAGUGUGUUUGGUACGAAGGAAAAUGUUUUCCCAUGAAAAUAUGUUCAUUUCUUACUUAUUUUCUUAUGUUUGAUAGGUGAGUGAAAAAUAUUUUUUGAAAAAUAUGAAAAAAAAUUUUAAUGUUUGGUUGGUGAAAGAAAAAAUAUUUUUCAGGAAAUACAUUUUAGUGUUUAGCUUAAAAGUAGAAAAUAAUUUUAGUAUAAUAAUUUUUUACCUAAAAAAAAUACCCUUUUUAGGGUGUGUUGAUAUGGAGGAUAAAAAUAUUUUCAAAGAAAAUAAAUUGUUUCUUACUUAUAUUCUUAUGUUCGUUAUGCAAGUAAAAAAUAUUUUAUAAAAGUAUUUGUAUAUAUUUAACAAAAAAUACUGAAAACGAAUAGGGUAAGAAAAAUUAUUUUAAAAAAUUAAAUCUUUUUUUUAANNNNNNNNNNNNNNNNNNNNNNNNNNNNNNNNNNNNNNNNNNNNNNNNNNNNNNNNNNNNNNNNNNNNNNNNNNNNNNNNNNNNNNNNNNNNNNNNNNNNNNNNNNNNNNNNNNNNNNNNNNNNNNNNNNNNNNNNNNNNNNNNNNNNNNNNNNNNNNNNNNNNNNNNNNNNNNNNNNNNNNNNNNNNNNNNNNNNNNNNNNNNNNNNNNNNNNNNNNNNNNNNNNNNNNNNNNNNNNNNNNNNNNNNNNNNNNNNNNNNNNNNNNNNNNNNNNNNNNNNNNNNNNNNNNNNNNNNNNNNNNNNNNNNNNNNNNNNNNNNNNNNNNNNNNNNNNNNNNNNNNNNNNNNNNNNNNNNNNNNNNNNNNNNNNNNNNNNNNNNNNNNNNNNNNNNNNNNNNNNNNNNNNNNNNNNNNNNNNNNNNNNNNNNNNNNNNNNNNNNNNNNNNNNNNNNNNNNNNNNNNNNNNNNNNNNNNNNNNNNNNNNNNNNNNNNNNNNNNNNNNNNNNNNNNNNNNNNNNNNNNNNNNNNNNNNNNNNNNNNNNNNNNNNNNNNNNNNNNNNNNNNNNNNNNNNNNNNNNNNNNNNNNNNNNNNNNNNNNNNNNNNNNNNNNNNNNNNNNNNNNNNNNNNNNNNNNNNNNNNNNNNNNNNNNNNNNNNNNNNNNNNNNNNNNNNNNNNNNNNNNNNNNNNNNNNNNNNNNNNNNNNNNNNNNNNNNNNNNNNNNNNNNNNNNNNNNNNNNNNNNNNNNNNNNNNNNNNNNNNNNNNNNNNNNNNNNNNNNNNNNNNNNNNNNNNNNNNNNNNNNNNNNNNNNNNNNNNNNNNNNNNNNNNNNNNNNNNNNNNNNNNNNNNNNNNNNNNNNNNNNNNNNNNNNNNNNNNNNNNNNNNNNNNNNNNNNNNNNNNNNNNNNNNNNNNNNNNNNNNNNNNNNNNNNNNNNNNNNNNNNNNNNNNNNNNNNNNNNNNNNNNNNNNNNNNNNNNNNNNNNNNNNNNNNNNNNNNNNNNNNNNNNNNNNNNNNNNNNNNNNNNNNNNNNNNNNNNNNNNNNNNNNNNNNNNNNNNNNNNNNNNNNNNNNNNNNNNNNNNNNNNNNNNNNNNNNNNNNNNNNNNNNNNNNNNNNNNNNNNNNNNNNNNNNNNNNNNNNNNNNNNNNNGGGGGUGGGUGGGGUUGGGAUAGAAAAGUGAGGGUGGGUAAGAAAAAAAUUGAAAUUUUCUUAAUAAGGAAAUUUAAAAAGAAAAAAUGGGAAGGAGGGGGGCGGGUAGGGGGGAUAAGAAAAAAGUUGAUUUUUUUUUUUAAAAUUAAAUACAUUUUUUUUUGGGUGGGGGGUUUGGUAGGGGUAGAGGAUGGGUGUAACAAAUAUAUUUGAAAUAUUUCUUUAAAAAAUUAAAUAUUUAAAAUAUAUAUAUAUAGAAGUGUGCAAGAAAAAUAAAAAAGAGGGCCUAAAACACACACCAAAAUCGAACCUACACUACACUCCAUGGGCGGUAUUUUGAGGCUUUUCAACAAAGGGCCUUUUGAUCAUUUUGUAUUCUAGUUGUAACCUAGUAUAAAUAGAACAUUGUAGGUCAUUUUGUCUUAGACUUUGAUGAUAUUUGUAAGUUGUAUAACACUUUGAAAGACAAGUCCUCUCUUCUCUUUAGGAGGCAACCCGAAACUAGGGUGAUACUAGUGUGAAAUCACUAGUGUUGCAUUCAUGGCUUGAGACAUUGGUGUUUAGAGGAGGGAAAGUUCCUUUUGUAUCAACGUAGGAGUUAGGUUAACCGUUAUGUGUAGUGUUAAGGGUCCAAGAGUAUCACAUGUUCUUGGGUUCUUAAGAUUAUACCAACCAAGGUCUAACUAUCUAUCCUUUGUUCAUUCUAUUCUUGUAAUCGUUUGUACUAGUUUGUUCUUAUUUCUAGGGAAGUUGCGAGUUGUUGUUACAAUAUUGUUGUGUUCUUCUUCUUGUUUUGUAACUUAGUUUUGUUGUUGACUGCCUUGGUGUGUUAAACACCUUGUAAUCUCUUCAUUCUUGCUCUUAUUUGUUGAAUCCAAAAGUGGUCAUCGAAGGGGUCCUCAGUUCCUAGAACUUGUGGACUGUUUUGGUGUAUGUUUUGUGUCUUUCCUUGUUAUUCUUGUAUCAUUUGGUAUCAAAGCUUAAGGCUUGGUUUUGUUCUUACAAAACCAAUCUUGGGAAGAUCUUACCAAAGUUAGAGACAUUGUAUUGUGUUGGACCUUGGCGAAAAUUUGAAGUAUUAUUGUGUUGACUUGGCCAAGAGUUUUGUGACUAGAUCUAGUAGUCUUUUACUUGUUUAGUGUGUUUCUAGUGUUUAAUCCUUUCUCACCAACACUAAAAGUGUCUAGAUCUAAAAUUGAGUUUAUAAUAUUGACCAUUGUUAUGGUGACUUGAAGAUGGUCGUAUGUUGUACCUUGUUGUUGACAAUUGGUAGUUUUGUGUUCUUGAAGAAGUUAUUGUGUUCUUGAAGGUUGUUGUAGUGUUCAUCUUGUUCUUCAUCUAUUCUUACAACUUAAGACAACAAAAAGUGUAAAAUUGAUCCAAAAAGUUAUAAGACAAAAGUUGUAGUGAGAACACUUGCACACAUCACUUUCUAGACUUGACAACCACUUUUUCUUAAAUCAAGGGACCUUGUCUUGUGAGACUAGUAAAGUCAAAUCUCACCUUUUUGAGUUUGAAAAGUUGAAAAAGACUACAAGACUUUUACUUUCCCUCUAAAACCAAUUGUCAUCCAUUACAAGUUGUGUGAAGAUUGAAAUUACAAAUUUGUGACUAAAGUUGUGUGGGAAUGAGACCAAUUGCAUACUGCCACGUCACUUAAUUACUGUUCACCUUCAAUAUUAAGAUCAAAUUUGAAUUUUCUAGUCUCUAAUUGUUGAUUCUUGAUUUCGUUAGUUGAUCCUAGAACUAAUUAACAAACUAGUAAACUCCUACUAGAUUGUUAAUUAGUCCUUUGAAUCCAUUGUUCGUGUCUACGUUUCUUUUGUGCUUUUAUCAUUUUUAAAAUCGUAGUAAUUCUUGGUUCAAGUUCGGACAUUACUUUCCUUGAGUCUUCAAACAAAGAAUUCAUUCCGACCAAAGAGUAGACUCACCACUCGACUCAUCACGAACUACGAGCCGACUUGCAACACUUGUGAAUUCAAGUGUGAGACAAUCAAGUGUGUGAGAGUGUGGUGAGUUUGUUUCAAACUAACUUUUGUUUUGCUUUGUAGGCUUCUUUUUUUUAAGGUACAAUUACAAAGGAUCCCGUGGCUUCAACCUCUCAACCUAUGGACAGCAAUGCCACCAAUGUCAAUUUGGCUACCUUGACACUAUAUUCCGAGACCUAGCUAUGACAAAUGAAAGGUUGGAUCAUAUGGUAGGUCAAAGGGAGCAAGUGGGCUUCCUGGACACACAUCAAGAGGAAGGUCGUAGCUCAUGUGAGCUACGAGGUAAAAACGAUAUCCCCUACACUCUUAUGAACUUAGAAUGUUGUGUUGUGGCUAGUAGGAGCCAAGUAGGUGCAUAAAAACGAAUUAUGCACGCAAUAUAGAUCUAUUAAAUUAUGUACUAAAAAUGAAUUAUCCAUGUAAUAUAGAUGUAUUAUAAGUAUCUUAAAUACAUUAUGCUUGUUUAAAUAAAAAGUUUACAUUAUGUAUUAAAAUGAACUAUGCAUAUACUAAAUAUAGAUUGAAAUUAUUCUAAAUAUGGUAUAAUUAAAUAAAAUUUCCUUUUAUAAAUAUAAAUUGAAAUUGCCAGCUCUAAAUUAGGGAAAUGGAUGAAAAUGAUACAAAAGAAAACAUAGGCAACUACGCAAGUAAGAAGAGUCAAGGAAGACUGACUUUAUUAGUUGAUAAUAAAAAGAAGACAAUAAUGGAGACAUUGACAUAGUAAUCGAUAUAUAGUACAUCUAAUUACAGUACUGUUAUUAAUGAGUUUUGGAAUAUCUACUAGGACCACUACUUUAUUUAUGGCACAAAAUGAAGUUUCAUCAAAUAAUUGAUUGUGUGUGGUUCCUUUGAGAUCUUAUAAAUUUAAAUCGUGGAUCAUCUACCUCUACUAUUAUCUAUUUCUUCGUUUUUCAUAUGAGUCACUCCCUUCUCGGUACGCUCUUUCUUUCACCAUGGAAACAUACGUUACUGUUCCGAAAUUAUGUUGCUCGAAUUUUUUAAAAGUGUCAACAAAUGUAUGUCGGAUUCUUCAAAAAUGAUGUAUUUUUAAAGCAUUUGACACGAAUGUGACAUCGAAAAUGAAGAGUCUGCGCAACUUAGCUCCCAAAUAGAAUAGAGUGAAGGGGAUAGACAUACCUACAUAUUUUGACUUUUUAAUUUUCAUACCAGAAUUAUCAGGAUGUAUGAGUUUUCUAUCUAAACAAUCAUCAACUGUGUAUCAAAACAUACCUAACCUACCAAAUGUUCACUUUUCCAACGAAAAAAUUCAAGUAUAAAACUAAAACCAUCCAUUUAGUUUAAAGGAAAAAGGUUCAAUAUGUCAUCAAAUUAUUAGAAAUGUUUCAUCUAUGUCAUCUGUUAUAAGUUUGACUUAUUUAUAUCACUAUCUUUAAAAAUUUUGUUACAAAAAAGUUCAUUCUACUAUUAUAUUGUAAUGGUGAUUUUGCAAAAUAAUUUUUGUCAUGUGGCCUCUUAUCAGAGGUACACGCCACCAAAUCCAAAUUAAUCAAUAUUACUCAAAAUCAAAAUUAAAAAUCAGACCCAUUACAAAAAUUUGAUCCACACUGUUAAAAUAAAAUAAAACUCAUUAAAAUAUAAAUCAGACCCAUUAAUUGUGUCGAGUUUUAUUUUAAUGGGUCCAAUUUUUAAUUUCGGUUUUAAGUAAUAAUAAUUGAUUUAGAUAUGAUGAAUUGGACUUCUGAUAAAAGGUCAUGUGGUCAAAAUAAUGUUGCAAAUUAAUGGUAUGAAUAAAUCUUUCUGUAACGGCAAUGACAUAGAUCAACCAAAUUUUAUAAUCAAUGACAUAAAUGAGUCAAAAUUAUAACGGAUGACAUAGAUGAACCAUUUCUAAUAGAUCGAUGAUAUAUUUAAGUUUUUUUUUUUCAAAUUUAAAUAACCUUAUUUUCUUAUUUUUAGUUGAUUUAGCAAACGAUUCUUUUAUAAAUUCAAAAAUAAUUUAACCUUCUAACAUUAUCCUUAACGACAUUUCCAUAACCACACAAAUGUUAUAUCACAUCUAAAAUGAUAAGUUCAAAAGUUUUCAUUUCUUUCUUAAACUCCAUACAGAUAGUCAUAUAGAAUUACGACAACACAUCAACGACUAUACUUACAAAAACAAACAAGCUAAAAUCAAAACUAGCUUCUUAAUAUACAUACCAUUUUUAUUCGUAGCGUUGAGAAAAUAAGGGAUGAGCCUUUGAGCAAUAUCAUCAGAGAGAUUAAUAGGCUUAGAUGUUGCUUCUACUAAACUUUUUGUAAGUUCAUUCAAAUCUCCAUACAAAACUUAUAUGGAUUCCCUUUAAGACCUCUUUGCCUUAAGCAAUUUUCCAAUCUUUUUGGCCUAAACCAUGCCCAAUUCAACACUCUCCAUGUGUAAUAUAACAACAAUAUUGGAAUACAUAGUGUUGCUAUAAUUAUGUUGUAAACAAUCUCCAUGAUAUUAAGACUUCUCUGUGUUGCACAGAAAAAAUUAAAGAGGGGAACUUACCUUUUAAAUUUGUUGAUGUUUGAACAAGAUAAGUUCAACACGUUAAUAUCUCCGUACUAUCCAUGAUUAAAAAAAUCAUUGCCCAAUAGUAGUAAAGUCGCGUCCAAUCUGUUUGCACCACUCACCAAUCUUGAAAAAUGAAUGAGUAUAUGAAUUUUUUUCUUUAAUAUUUAUCCAUAAUAAGUACACUACAACAUUUUUCGCCUAUGACCACCCUUAUAAAGCGUGGCCUAAAAUAACAGAAAGUGUGGCCUUUGAUCAAAGGCUACACUUUUGGAUUUUAGGCAACACUUUUUGGGGAGUGGCCUAAAGAGGCAUAACCUUUGAUCAAAGGCCACGCUUUUCAAGUGUUGCCAUAUCAGCUACACUUAAAAAGCGUGGUCAUUAAGGUAUAAAGGCCACACUUUGUAACUUGUCAUUGCCAAUACUUUUAUUUGAUAAAGCUACUCUUACAGGUGUUGCCUUUGUUUUGGUAUUGGGCACACUUCACAAGCGUAGCCUUUUGUAGCACCUCUACAGCAACACUUAAAAAAUGUUGCCUUUGUUUUACUAUUGGGAACGCUUCAAAAGCGUAGCCUUUUCUAGCAUCCCUAUAACAAUACUUAAAAAGCAUGGUCUUUACUUUCUUAAGGCCACACUUUUGAAGUGUAGCCAUUAAUACCUUCUCUAAAGCAACAUUUAUAAAGUGUUGCCUUUGCUAAUUUGAACAUACACAUCUAUAUAAGUCGUACAAUUUAUAUCCCUGCUCCCAAUGACCAUACGUUUAAAACAUAGGAUUCUUGUCUAUUUUAUACGAUUAAUAUUUACUACAAAUUUGAUUGAAAAAUACAAUUAUAUUCUCAUACAUCCAUUAGUCAUAUUAUACAUCGUUAUUCUAUUUAGAUUGUCUCAAAACACUAUGUUAGAUAAAAAUAACUCAAAAAUUAUAGUACACGCAAAUUUUCAUCAUGUUCCCUUCGAGAAAUAGACUGACUCCAUGCUUAAUCUAGGCUUUGCGACAUCCUCGAUCACAAUAUACAUUAUUAUUUAUGUCCUUGAUGAUUUGUGAGUUGAACUAUGAUCUUCUCUAGUUGAAUAACAUACUAUGUUGUUGUAUAACACAAACAGAUCCACUUAAUGUUUCCUUUAAAAACCACCUUACCUGCAUUUCAUAAGAAAAUAACUAUAAUUAAGUAAAGAAUGGGGAAAUGAACCAGAAAAGAAAAAUUACUAUAUUUGAAUAGAAAAUGUGACCUGAAAAAAAUACCAAGUGUACUCCCAUAAACUAGGGUCUGGGGAGGUCAGAGUGAAUGCAGACCUUACCCCAACCCUCAAAGGAAGCGAGGUUAUUUUCGAUAGACCUAAGAUAAAUUGAUCCAUAUUCCCAAGCUAUUGUUUUAUUUUUGUUAUAAACGUAACUUUAACAUACUGCCACAAAUAGAAUUACUGCAUUUAGAAGUCUCAUCUCACCAAUGUCUAACAUGUGGGAACUCUAAUAUAAAAAUAUGCUAACCUUUAAUGCCUAGUAUAGAAAUUGAGUAACUCAAGUCCACUGACCUUUAUAUUGAUGUUUCUUAUCCGCACCAGCAUUCUUCUUUGCCUGGAGUCUUGACUGCAAGAAAGAAAAACACUAUUAUGUAGAAAAAAUCUGUUGAAUUGUGGUCCAAACGCCGCAUGAUCAGAACUUAAUUGGACCCAAUUGCAGGCCACAUAUGUUUAAUUUGAAGAGUUUAUUUAAGAGUUUAAGUUGAGAGCAGGUGUUUAAUUUCAAAAAUAAGAGCAGGUAUUUUCGAGAGUUUAUUUAAGUCCAUCUCAGUUCCUAGCACAACAAGUUGUCUACGUUUUCUAGUAUCAUAUACCAAUGAUAUGUGUCUAGAAUACUUAGAAUUUUGCACUAGAAAGCUAUACAUGCAACAAUAAACUUAAAAAGUUCUUCUGUGAGCAGAAUUUACCUGCUUCCUGAGAGCCUGUUGAACAUAAAAGAAGCAGUUAACGACACUUCCACAACUAGCAUAAGCCUCAAUAUCAAAAAGAGUGCAGUUUACCUCAACUAGAACAGGUUUAUGUUCAUUAACAACUAUUUUUCGUGCCUCCUGGACAGCGGUGAAAAUAGCAAGAGCAUCAUUACCAUCCACACGAAUACUACGAAUUCCAUAGCCCUGUCCUUUGGUAACAGCACCAUCACCUAAGUAAUAACAUAAAUAGAUGCCAUUGUCAGUAACCAACUAUAUAAUUGUAGUAGCAACUAAUUGAACAGCUAAGAGAGCUACCUACUUCGAAGGUUAAACGGUGGCUGUUAAGGUUAUAAGGUUGUUUCCUAAUAUAAGGUUUUAAGGUUAACUGGUGGCCAUUAAGGUUAUAAGGUUGUUUAUUAAACGAUGUCCAUUAAGUUUUAUGUAUAGAUUAGGCCUUAAACGGUUGCCGUUAAGGCUAAGGUUAUAAGAUUAUAAGGUUGUUUCCUAAUAUAAGGUUUUAAGGUUAACUGGUGGCCAUUAAGGUUAUAAGGUUGUUUAUUAAACGAUGUCCAUUAAGUUUUAUGUAUAGAUUAGACUUUAAACGGUGGCCGUUGUUUCCUAAUUUAAGGUUAUGAGGUUAAAUGGUGGCCGUUAAAGUUAUAAGGUUGUUUAUUAAAUGGUGGCCAUUAAGUUUUAUGUAUAGAUUAGGCCUUAAACGGUUGCCGUUAAGGCUAAGGUUAUAAGAUUAUAAGGUUGUUUCCUAAUAUAAGGUUAUAAGGCUAAACGGUGGCCGUUAAGGUUAUAAGGUUGUUUACGUAACGGUGGCUGUUAAGGCUAAGGUUAUAAGGUUGUUUACUUAACGGUGUCCGUUAGGGUUAUAAGGUUGUUUCCUAAUAUAAGGUUAUAAGGUUAAACGGUGGACGUUAAGGUUAUAAGGUUGUUUAUUAAACGGUGUCCGUUAAGUUUUAUGUAUAGAUUAGACUUAAACGGUGACCGUUAAGGCUAAGGUUAUAAGGUUAUAAGGUUGUUUACUUAACAGUGGCCAUUAAGUUUUACUCUUAUUAAGAAAGUGGUUGUGCGGGAUCAAUUAUGGUUACACAGCGUGAAUGGAUUUCAGGAUACUUAAGGGAAAGCCAAACAGCAAAGAUGGAGCAUCUAGAUGUUUUUGCUAACUUACUACAACUAUCAAAUUAAGUUCAACAAAUUAAUAACAUAUUGAUACAAGACUAAGUGUGUAUCAGGCGAUUCAAGCCAACACAAGAGCAACAAGAUGAACAACAAGGUGCUAGUGAAUCGAAAUAGGCCGCUCACGGCUUCACUAGACUUUAGAUUUAGUUUUGAGCAAGAAAAGAGAUGAACACAACAACAACAAUGCUAGUGAAUCGAAAUAUCCCCACACGGCUUCACUAAAUUUUAGAUUUAGUUUUGAACAAGAUGGUAAAGGAUUAUAAAAACAUACCUUUGCAUAGGCGCGAACAAUGUCAUUCCCUGAGCUUUUGCAGUAAAGCCACAGGGCGAGUUUUACCACUGCUGCAGUUAACAUGAUUGAAUAUAACCAUGCAAGCUGAUUCAAAGUCAUCUUUUCAGGAGGUUUAUUUUCAACUAGUUAUUCCACAGCCUGGAUCAAUACUUGAAAAUCUAAAAAUUAAAUUUUCAACUUUUUGAUUGAGAAUGAUGUACAUGAGUGAAUAGUAAAAUAGAACGAUCAAUCCAGAAUAUUUUGGUAUACUGCAUUAAAAAAUAGCAGGAUAGAAACUAGAAAUAAAUGGAUUCUUUUACAGGGAAAUGGAGAUAAUUAACACCAGGGCAGCCAAAUGUAUUUAUGUUCAUUCUCCCAUCUAUAUCCAGAAGUAUGGAUGCAUUGUGGAGAAAAUGGAUCCCUGCACAAGGAAUACAACACGAUUAACUACGCAAUGAUUACAUAGCACUAUUUUUCAUCAGUGCAGUCAGCAACAUAAGUUGUUUUGCCUCCAGGAGCAACACUGCACCAUGAAAAAAUUUAACACUUUAGGCGAAUAAAAAGUUAUCAAAAUAUUUCAAUCCUCUGCUUAUUGAACUAAGAAGUAAAAAGUUGGCAGAAAUUGUUUUAGCUUCCCUCUCAAAAGAAAAGAUACUAGGUGCAUCACUUGAACCUAAUAUGGACAAAGCUAUAUCCAAGGCAAAGCAGCUAGUUUAAAGAAAGGAGAAAUUAAAAGUGAAAGUGAAAAAGCAGAUGCUUUAUUUUUUGAUUAGCUUUUUCCUAGACUAAGUAUGCACCAGAAAAUUCUUUUAGCAAUCAAUUUGUUUUAACAUUAUUUUAGACAAAAACUUAGUUACUUACGCCAUAUUAAUGACACAUUCAUUCUCUUGAGGUGCAAGGGCCAUUACAGGUUGUCAGCACAAUAAUUUUUAAUAACUGUUGUACGUCAACUAUUGUACAAUAGCUUGGCUAUGUUAUAAUUUAAAAUAGAGCUAUUGAAACUGAAUUUUACAAAUUGAUUCAAUCUCAUAAAGAAUUCAAGCACACCAAAUUCAUGGUGUCUUUUUGGUCUACGAGGAUAAAGCAUGAAACUGCAGAGGACUACCAUUAGAAGAGCAUAGAAACUCCCCUAAAGUUAAUACUAAAAUAAAGUUUAUGGCAGUGAAAAAUUUACUUGUAUUGUAAUUUAAUUAUCAGGAUGAUUGAGCAGUUAACUCUACAGCAAGGAAGUGCAUACGAAUAGCUUGAACUGGCUAUGGCUGUCUAUACGAGAUAGGAUGGGCAAACUACGCAAAACUAAUAUUUAAGUUCAUGCAACUGGUAGAAUAGUAUGGAAAGCAUUUUUCUUCAUACUUUUGGAUUUCACAUGAUUUUGAAAGUCAAAUUUGCACGAGUGAAGAAAGCGGGAAAAUACAUCGACUGUUAGAAGUAAGUUAUGCACUUUCUUUAAUUCUAUAUAUACUUAAUUAGUUAGUUAUAACCAAAAUUAUUGUGCUUUAUACUCAUGUUGUACUGGAUACACCUAUAUACUUUAGGAACAAGGUAAACGUUAAGAUAAAAAAAUUCCAACUCUAACAAAAAAACUUUAAGGAAAACUUGACAAUUAGAUAUCUAAAAAUAAAAGAAAGAAGGGUGCAACCCCAAACUCCUCACAUUCUCUUCAAUCGUAUAAAGUGGAAUCACAACACACCCCAAAUUGGCAUUUCCAAAAUCCAAGAAACUCAAAAGAACCAACAAAUUCUCAAAAUCAAGCUCAGAAAUUGACAAAACAACGAAAAGGGUGUUCAAAUUCACUGAUUGAGAAAAAAAAGAUCAAAAGGAGAGAUUGACUAUCACCUUUAGGUUCUCGCCCCUCGCCAGUGGUCGUCCCUCACCGGUGGUUGGCCUUCUGAUCCGAUAGGCAUUCGAUGAUGUCGGUGUUAUUCAACGGUGGAGAGACCUGGACCGUACAGGGUGUUCAAUACCUAUGUGAAAUAAUACGUAGGGUUUUAAAUUUUUAAUAUACUCAACUGUUUUUGGUUAAUUAUAAGUUGAAGGGAAAUUGAAAUAUUUAGGAGGGAGAGAGAAAAUUUUAAUGAAAAUUUUAGACCAUAUUUUAAAAAUGUUGUUUUUUAAAUUAUAAUAAUAUUACCUUUAAAAAUGUAGUCAUAUAUGUUAAUAAGUGUUGUCAAUUAUAUCAUGAUUUGGCAACAUUUGUAAAGUGUGGUCUACAUCAUUAAAAAUCACGCUUUCAAAGUGUUGUCAAAAGUAAUGUGGCCAGAAGUUAAAAACUAAGGUUAUGCUUUAAAGCAUGGUCUUUAAUGGUAUAGGUCACACUUGUAAAAUAUGGCUCAGAUUUAGUGUGGCCUUAGGCAAAAAAUGUUGUAGUGGUACUUGUUGGAAAUUGUAUUUUACUAGUCACAAUUUAUAUGAUACACUUUUCAUUUUAGUAAAUCUAAAAGAGAAUGUCACUUAUUUAAUAUGAUAUUUAGAAAUAAUCUGACUUUUAAAAUUUUUAUUAAAUUAUUUAUAGCCACAAAAUUUUAGAUCACAAUUUUUGAGUUUCUUUGUUUAAAAAAUAGAUAAAUAAAUCAGUACUUGAAUCAAAUAGUGCCAUAUAUAUUAAGAUAGAAAAAGGGAUAUUAUGAAACAAUUAUUUUUUAUAGUAAUUUAUUUUUUGUUCAUAUGGCGUAACUCGUUAUUUGCAAGGAAUCAAAGAAAAAAAGAAAUGAAAAAUAAAAACAGUUAAGGAAAAUGAUAAAAUUAAAGGAAAAAUAAAACUCAAAGAAAAAAAAGAUAGAAGUUGAGAGAAUAGAAAGAAAAAAAGAUAAAAGUUUAGAAAAUUAAUUUAAAAAGAUAAAAUAAUUCAUAUUUUUACUUUUUUCUUUCAAUUAUUAUAUGAUUAUUUUUAUAAUACUAAAUAUUGAUUAUAAUAAAUAUUUGAAAAAAUAAACGAAAAGACCUCUAAUUUGGUUUUGUUGGAUUUGUGAUUCCUAAUGUCAGCUAUAAUGAAUUAAAAUUUUACUUAAAUUUCCUUCUAAAGGGGGACAACCUAACUAGGUGUAAGCACCCAAAGAAAAAAAACUAAUUAGAUGCAACUUACCUUUCAAAGCCUUUUGUUUCCUAUUUAAAAAAUGUUUGUUCAUUUACAAACGAAAGCUAAACGUACUAAAUUAUACUUUAAGUUAGGGGUGUUCACGGUUUGGUUAAAAAUCAAAUCGAACCGCGAACCAAAUCAAAUCGAUUAAAAAAAUCGAUAUUUGGUUAAGUUUGGUUUGGUUUGGUUUUAAAUUUUUAAAACCGAUACUUAUGUGGUUUGAUUUUGAUUUUACUCUAAAAUAACCGACAAAAUAACCAAACCAAAUCGAAUCGAUAAAAAUUAUAUAUAUAUAUAUAUAUAUAUAUACAUAUAUUCAUGUAUAUAUAUGUAUACACACAUACAUAUGCAUAUAUAAAUUAUUUAUAUAUUAUUUAUAAAUAAAAUAUAAAUAUUUUUUAUAUUUUAAAUUUUAAUCAUGAAUUUAAGUUUAGUCAUAGCACUUUUAGUCAUCUGUCUCCAUCUAGUUAUUGUAUGUUAUGAGAUUCUAUAUGAUUUUCGCACUUUGAAUGACAAAUGAUACUAAUUGUGAAAAUUGUCUUGUUAUCUAUGAGAUUUUAUAGGUGAGUUUUAUUAGACUAUCGAUAAUCACUAGUUUUAAACUUUCUUUUUGGUACCUAUUGAGCAAACAAUUUAUGUGUUUACCUUUUGGGGGUUUAUCAUAUCAUUCUCUUAUAUGUAGUUUCUAAAUACUUUUAUAGAAACGUUCAUAUGGUGUUGUUCAUGGCUUUGCCUAAGUAUAACACUAAAUUGACAUCUUAGUUUCAAGAUUGAGGAAUAACACUCGGUUGACAUCUCAUAUGUUGGAUUGAAUUUUUUUAAGAAAGAUUUCAACUUUUAUCAUUAACUAAAGUUAUAAACCAAAAAACCGAACCGACCCGAACUAAAACGAGAAGAACCAAACUGACGGUUAAUUUUUGUAUUGGUUUGGUUUGGUUUUAGAAAUUUAAAAACCGACUAAGUUGGUUUGGUUAUGAUUUUAACCAAUAACCGACCCAAACUGACCCAUGAACACCCCUACUUUAAGUAAAUUCUAUUCUAAAAUAAUUAUUAUUUAAUUGGUUUUGAAAUUAACUAACGUAUUUUAAACUUUACGUAAUAUUUUGGAUCAAACUUUAUAAAAAUAUACCUAUUUUUCCUCUAUUUCUACUUAUUUUUAUUUUGAAUCGAGUCGUUUCUGUAAUUUUUCAUUAUAAUCAUGCUUCAUUUCUUUCUUUUAGUUAACUAGUUUAACUACAUGUGACUCGCACGUAUAAUAAUGUUUGAUUAUUUAAAAUUAAAUGAUUUUAUCUAUUGCGAAAUUUUUAUAAUUUUAAUGACGUAUAAAAAUUUAAAUCACUCUUUAAUAUAAUAAUGUAAUCAUAAACAUAUUUUUGUGUAAGCACACAUAUACAUUUUACCACUAGAAGUUUUACGUGGUUGAUGGAUCAUCAUCACUUUUGCGUGUGUCAUAUAGUACCUCUGCUGGCCGCGACAGACGUCCCGAAUCAUCAAGGACCGAUAGAUCCCUGUAACGGUCCAACCCAUUGCGUGUGUCGUAUAGUACCUCUGUUGGCCACGACGAACGUCCGAACCAUCAAGGCCCGAUAGACCUCUGUAACGGUCCAAUCCACUAGUGAUAUUGUCCGCUUUGGGCCCAGACCCACACGACUUUAAAACACGUCACUAGAGAGUAAGACUUGCUUACUUAUAUACCCAGCAUCCCUCCGGUGUUUUGCCGAUGUGGGACUCUUUAUCCUAAGUUGGGGUGUUACAAAUUUGAACCAUAUUUGUGCUUCAAUUAUUUUCUUUAUUUCUAUGUUUAAAAAUCUUUCCUUGUUUUUAAAGUCAAAUCUUUACAAUAUCAUUGAUUACGUUCUUAUUACGUAAUUAAAAUUUUUAAAAAUUUGAUACUUGUUAAUCUUUUAAAAUUCUAACAUAUUUAUAUUUAUUUUUAGAUUUUCAAUUCUUUUUAAAAUCAAAUUUAGUUCAUUUAUAAUUUUCAAACUAAUGAAAAAAAUAUUAGUUGUUAUUAAUUCUGAUAACUUCUAAUAAGAAAAGGCUUUAUGAUAAAAUAUAUUUAAUUAAUUUUCAACUUUUAAUUAUUAAAAAAAAAUAGUGAAGAGACUAUUCUGUCCAAUACAAAGACUUUUAAUAAAGGGCAAACAAUUCAAAUAAUAUCUUUAAGGGCUUUCACACUUUUAAUAUAUUAUAUUAUAUAAUAUAUAAUAUAUAGAAGAUUAUAGAUAGUUUUAAAAAUUAUAUAUGAUUGACAAUGAAUUAUUUCCUUUUGAUAAUUUAUCGUGUUUCUUUCUUAGUUGAAAAUUUUUUAUUGAAAAAUUAAAUGUAUGAAAUAUAUUGUCGUCGAAUGGAGUAGUCGAAAAAAUUAAAGAUUUAUCUCUUUACUUUUUAUUUCUUUGUUUAAAUAAAAAAACAUAUUGUAUAAUAUAUUUUGUUACUAAGUGAUUAGGUGGUUAUACGUACCUAAAAAUCAUGGCACAUAAUCCUGAAAUUUAGAAAAGUUUGAAAUAAUGAAUUAAUGGUAUUCAUUUUGGUUUUUUCUCAGCACCAUAAAAAAGAAGAUAGCUUUAGCAUUUUGUUUGUUAGUUUAGUUGGUAAUACUAAUUUUGCAAAAAUAUAUUGAUACAAUUAAUUUAAAGUAUAAAGAAAAUUUCAUACACGUUUUCAUAGAUUAAUAUAUAAAAAAGAAAGAAAACUAAUUCUAUAGAAUAUUUUUAUGAGAUAAAAAGGCAAAGUUAUUCAUUAUAGGGACAUUUUUGUAGUUUAUCCUAAAAAAAUGAACAAAUUUCAUUCAAUAGGUGAAAGACCAACAUUUCUAAUGCAUUAUGGACAUAUGUCAAAUCAUGUGGGGUUGUUAUCACUUUAGGUGGAUGUUGUUAUCAUUUCUUUUAGUUUCCCACUAGUUAGUGUCUGAUACACGUUAGAGAUUCAACCAACUCAGAUUCGUAUUAAAAAAAAUUUCACUUUGGGAGUAAAAUGAUUCCUAUCAAAGAUUGACUAGUAUUUUUAUGAAACGUAAUUUCAUUUUUAAGAUUGGAACCCAAAACUCUAGGUAGUAUUAUUCUCGUCCAAUCAUGCAUGAAAUUAAAUGGAUAAUUUGGUGUACAAAAACUUUCGCUACGCAUAAUCUUGGAAAAAGACCCCACCACAAUAUAUAAAUGAUGCAUGGAAUUAGAACUCAUAAAUAAUAACAUUGUUCCUCCGUUAGAAAUAGUUGAGUGGCUUAAAAGAAUCUUAAUGGAUAUUAAUUCUUUGGGUACAAGAAUUUUUUAUUUUUUUCAAAAAAAAAUUCAUUCUAUUUUAAAAAUGGUGUUUGGUAACAAGUAAAGUUUGUUUUCAUUUUUUUCACUUCUACUUCUCUCAAAAAUUUAAAAACAACUUCAAUUUAUAUUCAUGGCCCAACUCGAACUCUAACUUCAAAAAAUUGUGAUUUUCAUGAUCAAGCACCUUUAAGGUUUCUAUCUACGUUGAACAGUGGACAUUAAAAUUUCAUGACAUGAAAAACAUCAAGACUGAAGAAAAUCACAACAAUCAUAAUAUGACAAAAGAUAUAACAAUGUUUAACACGUGGAGAAGCAGGUUAAGUUUACUCCCUUGCAAGAUUAAUUAAUGUAUAAUAUGCAAAAUUUAAUCGAUUUACUGUUUUGCUUCAUAAUGCAGUUGAAAGUUUGAGUUGCAUCUAUAGAAAUCCUAAGCAAACUGUUCACAAUACUGAAGAACUAAUACACACUGAAGAAAAAGGUGAACAAUUUUGAUGACUACUUAACCAAGCGGCAGUGUUUUAUUUUUAAUAGAAGUCCGCUAGACAAUCUGUCUACUCGAAUAAUGCAAUGUUUUAAAGUUUACGCAUAAGCAGAGGAGCACCAUACUGUGGAUGAAUAUCAAUUAUUGCAAAUGGAGCAUGCGUAUAAGAUGGAGAGAGUUCGAAGGAGAACUUUUGUAGUAUCAUUGCUAUUGCCAUUUUUGCUUCCAUCAUCGCAAAGUUCUGUCCAAUGCAAACACGGGGUCCCCAGCUAAAUGGGAUAAAUGAAACUUGUCCGUUUGUUGCCUUGGACACUCCUUCACUGAAUCUUUCUGGUUUGAAUUCCUUCGCGUCUUCACCCCAAACUUCCUUAUCGUAAUGUACUAAGAUUGAGGGAAUAACGAGUAGCACUUCAGCUGGUAGACUCAGCUCCCCUAAUUUGACUUCUUCUUUGUUCGUUCUACCAUAUGUUGGUACCGAGGGGAAUAGCCUUAAAGUCUCGUACAAGAUCAUAGUCACCUGUGAAAAAAGAUCUUAUUGCAUGAGUUGGCAGUAGAAUUAGUCAGUAUUCUGAGAGAACUUGUGAAAAGUACUUACAAUUUUGAGGCGACUGAGUCCUUCAAAAUCUGGUUUAUCAUUUCCAAAGACCUGCAAAACCUCCUCUCUGGCACGUACUUGCCACUUGGGAUGCAGGCUUAGCAAUAUCGCUGUCCAUACGAGCAACACUGAAGUGGUAUCUUUUCCAGCAAAAUAGAAUAACUUGCACUCUUCAAUUAUUUCUGUUGUUGUCAUUCCAAAACCUUUGCAUCCAUGCUGUUCAAUUUCGUUCAUAUUGGAUUCGAGUAAUAUGCCUAAUAAGUCUUCACUAUUCGUACUAGUUUCCCCUGCUUUCAUCGCCAUCAAUCUUUUGUCAAUGACACGCCUAAUUGUCUUUUGGAUUUCCUUUUCGAUUUCCAGCAUUCUUUUGUUCCUUUUACUAGGCAAGAACCUAAAAAUAAAAUUUAAGUAAAUUUUCUAUGCUAUUAAAAUAGAAACUUGAUAAAAUAGAUUAAUAUUGUACCUCGACCCUGGUAUAUAAAUCGAAAAAACUUCUUCCAUUACAUACUCAGCUUGUUCUUUCUGAAGUUCAAAUACUAUUCUUCCUUCUUCAUAACUACUCCCAAAUGCAGUUCGAGAAAUGACUUCGCCCGCCAUUAGUUGAAAGUGUGGCCAUACAUCGAGCUCGGCUGAUGUUUCAUUUGGAACAAUCUCCUCCCAUUUGCGUAGCAUUUCACUACAACUCAAAUAAAAUGCUGGCAGCAUAUGCUGUUUUAACACAGACGGAUUAAUUUCACUCGAGGUCAAUAAAUUUUAUAUACUAGCUAUAUGCAAGAAGAAAAAAGUAGUAUGUAUAACCUUUAGUUUCUCAAAAUGGAAAGCAGGUUUGAUGAUUUUUCUGUGUUUGGCCCAUUUGUCUUCCUCAAGACUUACAAGGCUUUGAACCAAUAACUUCGCGAAUGGAUUGGAAUGUUUAUGCUUGUGAUACAUAUAAUUCUUUUCAAAAAUCUCCUUUAUGUGUGCAGGUUCUGUGAUGAAUACUAUUGGCUUGGGGCCUAGCCAGGCAAAAGAAGUUUUACCUGCAGAAUAUUUAUCAGUUUUUUAGGUUAGUAUUUAGGAAAUUCACUUGAUACGUAUAAAUAAUUUAUCAAGAAACCUCAUUUUCUAAAUCCAGAAUACAUGAACUGAAAAUCUUAGCUCCGCCAGACACCCGGCAAACAACCUUCUCCAAGAAGAAUUAUACUUUGGCCUGAUACGUCAACUAGAGGAAAGACCAGUUGGUUCACCAAACUCCAACCCGAGCGUCAUGAAUUCUCCAGAUCGAGUGCCAAACUACCGACCCCUCUUGAAAUUACAUUGUUGGAGCCGAACCAGGAAUGGCAGUAAGUGGACCACCACCACUUUUCACCGGUUAGAGCUAAGUCGAGCUUGUUUUUCUUACUAUUGCAUGAAGUGGAAGACAUAAUUAUAAAAGCGUGUUUUCUUAAAUAGUUUAGGCAUUUAGAUAAGAUAACAACACAUUUAAACAUGAUACCAUAUCAGACAAAAUAUAAGUCGGGUUCAAGUCUUACAAUCUCACGUGAUUUGUCCGUGAAAAAGAAUUAAGCAUCCAUGUGAGGAGACAUGUCGAUCGAACACUUGUGAAUAUAAUGGACGAAAAAGGAGAAAAACAACAAACUAAGCUAGAGUCUUAUUCUUACCAUUUUUGUUGACAGAGUCACAGAAAAAAGGAAUGAUCCUUUGGGCAAUAUCAUCAGAGAAAUUGAUGGGCUUACACUUUGCUUCAUUAUUUCUAAUACUAGGCUCCUUUAGAUCUCCAUAGAGUAACUUGUAUGGGUUUCCCUUAAGACCAUUCUCUCUUAAGUAUUUCUCCAAUUUCUUUGGCCUAAACCAUGCCCAAUUCAACAAUCUCCAUGUAUGAAAUACUACUAACAAAAUUGCAACACACACUGCUACUGCAAUCAUAUCUACUCCCACAAGUGACAUAAAAUUAUUAGGCUUAACUUAAGUACAUUUUUCUCUUAUAAAUAUGAAAGUUAACCAAAGAGUACCUUCUUUUUCUAUUACUACACAUGCAUCCACGACAAAAUGAGGCAGUUGAUGAAUUUUCGUCAACUAAUAAAGAUGCUUUUCUUUGUCCCAAUUGGUCAAAUUUGUGGACUUUUCAGUGUGAUGAAUAGACAAAAUAUGGACUAGAGUGUAUGCAUGAGGGGAAAGACUGUUCCAUGAUUUUUCACUGGUAUCACUAGUGUAAGGAGUUCAUGGGUGAGGCUUCGUACAGUACACCUUUGCGGUUCGGCCUUUCCCGGACCCCUAUGCAUAGUGAGAGCUUUAGUGCACCGAGUUGUCCUUUCUUUGGUCACUAGUGUAAGGAAUUUUUACACUAUUUGGUCACAUUUAUGUGCUACUUGUAGUAGAUAAUCUGUCUUAGUUUUAAGAUUACAAAUCCCACAUUAUAAGAAGGCUUACCACUACUAGAAACAGGGGUUUUUCUACCGCGACGCACUGGGAAAAUUUUUUUUAUAAAAUAUGAUUUUCCAUCUCAUUUCCCACGGAACCACCUCAUGAGUGGGAAAACGUAUGGUGGAUAAAAAAUCUCAUUGAAGCACUCAAAAGUUUUCUACUUUUUUCGUGUGAAAAUGCUAACCUUUUUCUCAUUGAUUCACUUAAAAUAUCUAUCAAAAUAGUCACUUCACAUUUUUAGUGGAAAAUUCUAAUGGGAAAAUAGUGUACAGUUCUUCUAUUGCGUUGAUGUUAAAGUACGAGCCCUACUACGUUUAACAUUAAACUCUAUUGAUUGCCUAUCUGUGGAACAAGUAAGUAAACGUGGUUCACAGAAAUAAAAACUGAAUACAGUAUUUUAACGUGGAAAACACCCGGCUCAAGAAAGUGUCAAGAAAUGGACCUUGGGCCUAGCUCAACCCCAAAAGCUAGCAUAUGAGGAGAGGAUUGCCCAAAAUCAUAUAAGGAGACCAAGUUUCUAGUGUUGGGCCCCCCUUCUUAUAUUUUUCACGCUUCAGAUGUUCACCCCUGGGCGUGCGGAGGGUGUUGAAGUGCCACAUCGAUGGGUUAAAGGGUCCUUGGUCUCCUUAUAUGAUCCUGGGAAAUUCUCCCCUCAUGAGCUAGCUUUUGAGGUUGAGUUAGACCCAAGGUCUAUUUCUUUAUCUCUGGUAUCAGAGUAGGACCCAUUGUCACCCAAUGUCGGGGCCCUACUCUAAUACACAUCUCAAUUCGGGGCCCCAACAUUGGGUGAGAAUGGGCCCUGCUCUGAUAUCAUGAUAAAGAAAUGGACCUUAGGCCUAACUCAACCUCAAAAGCUAGCUCAUGAGGGGAGGAUUGCCCAAGACUAUAUAAGGAGAUCAAGGGCCCUUUAACCCACCGAUGUGGAACUCCAGCACCCCCCGCACGCCCAGAGUUGGACAUCUGGAGCAUGGACAAUCUAAGACGGGGGGACCAAUAUCGAAAAUAAUGAAUUGGGUGGGCCUGACUCUGAUACCAUGAUAAAAAAAUGGACCUUGGGCCUAACUCAACCUCAAAAGCUAGCUCAAGAGGUGAGGAGGAUUUCCCAAGCCUUAUAAAGAGACCACCCAUCUCAUUAACCACCAAUGUGGGACUUGUUUUUCAAUAUUUUAACAGAAAGGUGUAAAAAACCAUGACCUGUACCUCUACAGAAUUUAAUUCCAACUUCACUAUAACUCUUGAGCCUCAACAAUCAACAAAAUUACAAGACUUCUUGUAAACUAGGAAUUAAAACUUCUAACUCCUAUAACUACAAAAACACAAAUCUUCCCAAGAUAAGUGUUCCCCAAGUCUUCGGGUCCCCUAACUUGUAGACACAACUCCUAACUUAGUUUAUAGAUCACUGAGACUAGAAUAAUGACUCAAUACAACUCAAAGAACCUUCCUACUACAAAUAGUCUAAGACUUGCUAAGUAAGGAACUCGAUUCUGCUUCAAGUAAGUGAACUGCUUUGUUGAUUGUUGAUUAUCUUAUCAGUGCAUGAGUGAAUUCUUUGAAAGUCGUUUCUUCUAUUUAAGCCAACACCUGAUAAAUUCCUUUAGUUGAUGUAUAUUUCAAUCCUCACUAGGACUCCCAGGUAGUUUCACUCAUUCUUUACUGCCUCUUUUCCCUCUUGAUGUUUGAAUAGGACUCUUCUUGAUUAUCUCAUAAUUUCUGCAAGACUUCUUAUUCGACUGAACUUCUUCAAGGUUUCCUGUUUAACUCAACUUUAGCAAGACUUCUUUUUCAAACCAAACAUCUUUAAGAUUUCUUGUUCAACUCAACUUCUGCAAGACUUCUUGUUGGGAUAAGUGUUAUCAACUUCUAUUUUGUAUCCAGAGUCAUUUUUUCAAUAACUUGCCUGCAUCUUUGUUCACUUGGAUGGAACAUCUUUCAUAACAUAUUUCAUUUACAUGUCCAUAAUCAAAACUUCACAUGCCCUGAAAAAUUCCCCCUUUUUGAUGGUGACAAACUUAGCAGCACAACAUCACAAAAAAUCUUACAACUCAAUAAGGAAUUUAAAAAGAAUUACAGAAUGAAACAGGUUAGUCCAAUUGAGUUAUAAGCAUUGCAUAGUCUAUCUAUUAUUCUUCUCCCUUUUGCCAUCAUCGAAAAGCAUAUCUAACAAGUGAAAACUUUUAAUAAUUCAUGGCCACUUGGGCUAUCACUAAGACAAUCAAAAUGUAGAGUAAAAGACAAUUAAUGCAUCAUGAAAGAACAGAAACAGAGCACUUGAAGCAAAGAAGACCAUUUCAUUCAUUGUGUAGAUACACCAAAAUUACCAACAACGGCAUAAGAGAAAACAAGUAACCAUGGAAGGAAGCAACAAAAAAAGUUGUCCUGGGGCACUAGGAUUAGGUUAAGUAGAUAAAGAGGAGGGGAUAAGGGAAGUCAACUUCCUAACAAUGUCAGCAUUGUCUGAUCUUUCAUGCUCUAGAGAGGCAGUGAAGGAGGCAAUAUAAGCUUGAAGAGCCCUUUUCUCAUCAUCAUAGGCAGCUUGAGCAGUUAUUAGUGCAAUUUGAGCAGCCUCCAGCUCAAUAGUUUUUGCUGCAAGAACAUUCCUUGACCUCUGCACUGGGUUAUCAACACUCCUCAUAGAAAUAGGUAGGUUCACAUGGUUCACACUACCAAUAAUAUCCUUUGUAGUUCGUAAAGACCACACUUUAACAGCCACACCAAAAUCUUCAAAUGUGGGAGUGAGCUAGAACUCAUAAGAAAGAAAAUAGCCAUUAACUUCUUAGAGGAGAACCUUUUGCAUAUGUUUUAGAACCAGCUUAGGCAAUUCAAUUCGGAUUUCUGUUUCCAGCAACUUCAUCAGAGUAAGAUCAACAAAUCUAGCUAUAGUCCUACAUUCCUUCCUAGGGAGUACCAUCUUGUGCACAACAUCAAAAUAGAGUUUAAUGCAGUGGGGAUAUCUCCCUUUUAAGAACCCUUCUAUGAUUAACCAGGUAAGGGUUUCCAGAAAACUUGUAGACACGUAAUUUCGUCCCUCCCCGAUAUCGUUUUACCCAUUUUUACCUUAUCCUAUCCAUGUAAUUACAUCCCACGAAAAUACAAAAAAUAACUCUCAACAAAAUCCCUAACAAACUUUUAUUCUUUUUAAUAUCCUAACAACCCUUUCAAUUAAAAUAAGACACAUUACCCAUACCCCUACCCCCAACACCCCAUACCCACAUGACCCUCUCCCCCUCAUAUUUCUUGUCCACAAAGGUAAAAAGGGAUAAACAUUAAAAAAGGACCCCACUAGGAAACUUCCAUGAAAGGGACAAAAAAGGACUAUUUUCUUCAUUUUUUGAAAAAGAACCAUAUAUAAAGAUUCAUGCCUCACACAAUUAGGGGGAGCAUAAUAUUCAUCAGGUGGGGCCCACAGGGAAGAGGAGACAGCUCCUUCUCCAUUUUUUCCAUUGGAUCACUCAAAGCAAACAGAGGACUGAAGCAUAGACUCCAUUUUUCAAUUUUCACUUUCUAAGAAUUCACUUUCUUCUCCAUAAAAAGACUCCAUAGAACACACUCACCUUGACACAAAACCAUUACCAUCAUCUUCCAUUUUUAUCUUCACAGAAAGAAACAGAAUCACGCACACUCUCCAUCGACUGGGGACGCGCACACCAAUCGGACUUCACUUAUACACACGAAACACUCCCAGAUUCCUUCUCUACACUAAAUCUCACAUACUUAAUGGGAUAAAAAGAGAGAGGGUAACAGAAAGAGAGAGGACAGAAAGAGAGGGAGAGAAGAUCGAGAAGGAGAACGGAGAUUUUUCAGCGAACCCAUCGCCGGAGCUGCUCACCGGAGCUCAGUUCCUAUAGGUUCCCAGUUUAUUUGGAAUUUUUGAGGCUUCAGGUUCAUCCGACUUAGUGAUUCAUUAUUGAAAUUGUGUUUAGGUCGGUGAAAACAAUGAAGGCUUUGCCGAGUUGGGGUUCGGUUGGAUAUUAUUGAUUCGAGGUUCGUGUUUUGGUUUCGGUCAGAGCUCUAACCAACUGCUUUGACGGAUUGAAAUAAAAUUGAGGCCCAAUUCUAUCUUCUCUCGCUUUAAUUUUUACAUUAUCGUGAAUGAUUUGGGUAUUUGGUAUGUUUGAAUUUUGAUUGCGUAUUGGUUGAUGUUGGAUUUGAAUGUUGAAAAGUGAAUUGAUAAUUGAAGCAUGUGUUAAUCAUUGAUUGAUAAGAAUGAAGUUGGGGGCGGGAAUCGAAAAUUGAUAAAAGUGGAUAUUAUAGUAUUUUGAUUCAUUGUUGUGUUUGUAUGUAAAUGUCACCGAAUUGGAUAGGCAAAUGUAGGUUGGGUAGGCAAAGUUUGAAAUUUGUGGUUUUUGUUGAAGAUUUGAAAUUUUGUUGAAUGUUUGAAAAUUGGGUGAAUGAUUUGGUUUUCUCACAUUGGAAAAAAUGUAUUCAUUUGGCCGGGGAAUGCCCCAAGGUAUUUGUAUUGAUUUAUCCGGGGAAUGCCUCGAAGAAUUUUAUACCCGGAGGACGUUCGUGAUCAAGGCCCGAGGCAUCGGGUAGAGCACGGGAGUUUAGUUUAGGAUUAGUUUAGAAUAGAGUAGGUUUAUAUUUUCGCAUUUUUUCUAUUUCGGGAUUGUAAUAAUCGGACUGGACAUUAUAAUUUUGGAUUUGUUUUGUUUGUUUGUUUGAUUGAUUGUUUUGUGUGAUUUUGUGUGGUUUAUAUAUGCAUAAUGUCAAAUUAGCCUAUACGCUCCGCCAAGCGACCAUGGUCAAACCACGGGAUCGAGGGAUACCUAACACCUUCCCCUCAGUGAACAGAAUUCCUUAGCCGGAAUCUCUGUUCGCAAACCAGUUUUAAAGAGUCAAACCAUUUCGAAAAGAAUUUUCCAAUGGUAACUUGGCACACCGGAUUAUGCCAAGUGGUGACUCUGAAUUUAAUUAUAAAAAAAAAUCCUUUUCGGAACAAAAUUUUCAUAUUUUGUCACUUAAUAAUAAAACCCUUUCGAACUUAAAAAUUAAUCUUUUGAAGUACGAAAAAGGGGUGUGACCGCUCUGGCGACUCUGCUGGGGACAAUUUCAGAAUCCGAGCUUUUUUGGAGUCGUAUCGGCUUUGUUUGGCAUUACAAGUGUAUAAACAUUGUUUGUGAUUUUUGUUUGUGUUUUCACUUUUGUAUAUUUUCGUGCUCUUUCUUUAUAGUAUUUAUCCUAUGUGUUACCGCUUUUAUAUCUGACAUCAUGUGCAUAACCCGAGUCAUUCUUUCCGUAACAAGUCUCGGAGUGCACGUCGUGCGCACGAACUCUAGUUGAGUCACCUUUAUUUUAGGGGGGAGCCAUUGGAUGUAUGGAGUAGUUGGAAAGCUAAGCAGCCACUAUCGACCAUAUGCUCCCCCGAACGGCCUUGUUAGUGAACCCCAGCGUAGGUCAGCCUUUAGGUCAUGCUUAUGUGCAUCAUAUUGAGACCUAGCGGGUCCACUUGAUCCUUUGUAGGAGACUUACCUCUAAAGCAUUCCUAAGUGCUAAAUGUUGCAUCUUUGAGGAUAACGUGGUCAUUAGACAGACUGAUGUGGGGUAAAGCAUGUGUUAGACAGUAAAGACUGUGAAAAAAAAUAGUCCGAAAAAGAAGUUCGUAGUUUUUAGAGUUCUUUAUGGCUUUUGUUUUUCACAAUUCAAAAAUUUCAAAAAAAAAGAUUUCUUUUACAAUAGGAGGUUUUACAAAGGAAAAUGCAAAAGAAUUAUAAUAAAAAAAUUGGUAGAAGUUUUGUACAUUUCAUAUAAUGAAAAUAUCAAAAAAAAAAAAAUUUUUAUUCCUUUACCACACAUUCAUAAUUCAAAAAUUAAAAAAAAAAAGAUUUUUCUUUCAUAGUUGUUGGUGUCAAAUUAAAAAUGCAAUUUUUUUUUAUUCAUCAGUCUUUGGUUGUGUCUCUUAAGUUAGGGUCAAUCUGUUAGUUAAUCUUUAUUUGUCCAAUAUGGAUGAACUACGCACCCCUGAUUCUCCUCUCUCGGGAGUGAGAUACGUAGGCAGCCUAUUGUGGAUUCGGGGAUCUUAUUUCAAAAAAAAGAAAAAGAAAUUCUUCACUCUUCAUUUAGAGUAGGUGUCUCAUGUACAUCUUUAAAAUAAAAAACAAAAAAAAAAUAUUACCUUUUAAUAGGUUCAAGUUUCAUUUUCGUAUGAAAUUCAAAAUCGAAAAUCCAAAACAAAAAGAUUUUCUUCACUCUUCAUUUAGAGUAGGUUUCUCAUGUACAUCUUUAAAAGAAAACAACAACAAAAAAAAUAUUUUCCUUUAGUAAGUUCAAGUUUCAUUUUCGUAUGAAAUUCAAAAUCGAAAUUCAAUAUUUUUCUUCGAUAAUCAUAGAUUUCAUUUUAUACAGGAAUUUGAAAAAUUCAAAAAGAUUUUCUUCACUCUUCAUUUAGAGUAGGUGUCUCAUGUACAUAUUUAAAAGAAAACAACAAAAAAAAUUAUAUUUCCCUUUAAUGGGUUCAAGUUUCAUUUUCGUAUGAAAUUCAAAAUUGAAAAUCCAAAAAUAUUUUCUUCGGUAAUCAUAGAUUUCAUUUUGUACAGGAAUUUAAAAUAUUCAAAAAGAUUCUCUUCACUAUUCAUCUAGAGUAGGUGUCAUAUACGUCUCUAAAAGAAAAAUACAAAAAAGUUUUCUUUAAUAUUUUCAAGCUUUAGUUUCCUAUGAAAUUCAAAAUCGAAAACCCCAAAAGAUUUUUCUUUGGUAAUCAUAGGUUCCAUUUUGUAUAGGAAGUUUAAAACUGAAAAAUACAAAAAGAUUUUCGUCAAUUCUUUUGACAAAUUGUUAUUUUCUUUUUUUCUUAAAGUAUCAAGAAAAAGAAAAAAAGAAAGGAAAAAAAAUCAAUUGGCCAUUUUGGCAAGACUUCACAAACUACGCACACUUGAUUCUCCUCUCUAGAGAGUGAGAUACGUAGGUGCCCUUCUUGAGUUCGGUGAUCUUUUAAAAAAAAAAAAAAAGAAAUAAAAAAAGAAAGAAAAAGAGGUUUUGAAAAAGUGUUGAACUCCAAAACAUUUGUUUUUUUUUAUUGAGUCAGUUUAAAGUGGUUGAUUUGUGGCAUUCUGACUGGUCCUUCACAUCACACCAAAUCCAAAGGGUUAGUUGUGUCCAACCAAGAUAUAGAGAGUGACAUCAUGGAUCAAACAAAGAAUCAAAAAUGAGAGUGUGAAGCAAGAGAUUAGGAGGCUAAGACAACAAAUGACAGAAAUGUAUCGAUCUUGGGCCAGUGGGUUGCCUCCUCCUCCAUUUCCCUUUAUUGAUCCUACAAAUACCUCGAGUUUUCCACCAAAAUCUCGAAGUCAGUUUUCUACUGUUGUUGAUGCAUCGCAACAUGACUUAGAAUUCAUUCCAAGCCAAAAGCAUCUUAAUACUUCCACCACUUUUCCUCUAGCUCCUCAGCAUAAGCCUGCUACAUUCUCAACACCACAUGUCGUCUGCGAUCUUGUUGCUCAAUCCUCUACUGGGACUUAUACACUGGCUCGUCCAACGGUUGUGCGUCUCCAUGCUGCUUGUGAACUUAUAUUCAAUACUUUUGGUGAUCAUUGUUAUACUCCUAAGCCUGCUUUUAAGUUAACUGAACCACCAUAAUUUCUUAACAAGAAGUCCAGUGUGCUAGAAGAGUCGGAGAAAAUGGUUGAAAAAAUGAAGAGUGCAGAAAUGCUAUGAAAAAUUCUCUAGGACGUACGAGUAAAGAAGAUGUUUCAUACAAAGACUGGGGCAUGCCUUCAAGUGCUAACCUUCCUCUAAUCUUUGAGAUGUCGAAAUUUAAGGAGCAAGAUGGGCAUGAGAAAUUCGUGAAACAUUUGGGACAAUAUUGCAAUCAAUUGAGGGAACCAGAAGGAAGAAGAAUGAGAAAGAUGACAUUGCUAUUGUAGUUAGAGAAUGGGCACAUCCAAGAAGACGACAUCGUCAUUGCCGUCAGUCUCAAGCCCAAGUUCAUACCCAAGCUCUCCAUAAUCACUGUCAAAAUCUAAUAUACUCUGUUUCCCAACCUCCAUAUCUAGUAAAUUGCGCACAACUAUAUGUUCAACUCCUUCUUUACCCACAAUGGCGCGCACAAAAUUUUCAAAGUCAUUCUCUAAUUCUACAAACAAACCAAAGCCCUUCUAGGCCCGAUGUUCGAUCCAAGUUAAAUAAUGAAAUGAGGUAGAAAUUGAGGGAUAGUUUCACACUAAUUGGAGAGUCAUAUGUCAGUUUAUUUCAGAGAUUGGCACAGCGAGGCAUGAUCACUCCUCUCCUUGGGUAUACUCUUGACCCGAAUUCAAGAAGUUUUGAUCCUAAUGUAGGAUGUGCAUAUCAUUCUGAUGUUCAAGGUCACAGUAUUAAAGAUUGUCGUGCUUUGAAAAGAGAAAUUGAAAAGAUGAUUUAAGACAAAUUGAUUAUGGUGCCGAACAUUGACGGCGAGGAAAACUCUAGUCAUGCUGAUAUACAAACCAGUGGCUAAGAUGUCAGGCCGAGUAAUUGAGAAGUCACCCAUCUCCCUACUAGGAAGAGUUCUGGUAGUUUGUUUUAUUUUAUUUUCUGUUAUUUGAAUUAUUCCAGAGUUGUAGUUCAGGAUCUAUCUUGUUUUGUCCAUUUGUCGUUAUGUUCAAACCCUUCUAUCUUUUAUUUUAAUUCAAUAAAGUGUCCCUUUUUCCUUUGUGUUUUAAAUGUGUUGUUUGUUUGUUUUCUUUACAUAGUACAUUUUAGGUUAAUUCUAGUGAUAUGACAUGCUAGCGGAAUUUUCAGCCUGAUCUUAAAAUUUAUUUUAAGCAUGAACAUUGAAUCAGAGGGUUAAAGUUAGAAAAAGAGAGCAUCUGAGAAAAUAGGUAGCGUGCUGGGAAAUUUGGUGACAAGUUCAAGCCUUCUUUGAAAAUUAAGGAAAUUAUUUUGAGAGUCAUAAGAAUAACUUGGUCAUCAAUUGAAAAACAUGUCUUAAUUAGAUCAAAUAGCGGGUGUGUGAUAUCGGGGGACAGAAAAAUCAACUCCACGAAAGCAUGAGUCAUUCGAUAUGAGGAUUGUACAACAAAAGUGGAGUGAUAUAUUGAACAAAGUGCAAGAGUAGUGACGCACAGACUCAGUUAAAGUUAAUGCUUAAAAAAUAUCACAAUUGAUCUUCAUCUCUCACUUCCAUAAUGCAUGAUAUGUACUUGCAUUUUCAAGGAUUGAUAUGACGAAGACAUUUCAUUCUACUAUCCAAACAUCGUGUCAUCCUUUGUUUACCCCAUUUGAGCUUUAGUCCUAUUUUCUUUCAUACCCCUCUUUUGGAAUCAAGAUAGAGUCAGCAAAGCUCAAAAUAAAAGUGUCGAGCAAACCAAUAGAGUCAGAAAAAGUUCAAAAAAAUAGAAGAAAAAGAAAAUAUGUCUAAAAAGAAAAAGAAAAGAAAAGUGUCAAGACAAAUAGAGUUAGAAAAAAUCCAAAGAGAAAAGAGUGUCAAUAAAUGAAAAAGAAUCAAAAGUCUAAAUCAUGCAAAAUAAGCUGCCAGAACUACGCAUGACCUGAUUCUUCUCUCUCAGGGGUGAGAUACAUAGGCUGCCCUACUAAGGGCUCGGUCCAACCAAAUAAAUAAUUUAGAAUUGCCCAAUCAAAAGAAUCUGGGGCAUAAGUCAAUCCUCAUUGUUUGAGUCGAUUCCAAAAGUUGUAAGUCCCACCCCACUUCAAGUAUCAUUUAGGCCCCAUGUCAUCCUUUCUUUCUAACCCUAUCCAAAAUACAAGUUACAACUAAAGAAAGACCUUCAGAUCAAUCUUUGAGAAUGUUAGGGCUACGCAUAAAAUGGAUGUGAUGAUGUAUUUUGAGAACUACUUAUCUUCCUCAACAUAAGAAAUCAGGAGAGAAGUAAAAAUGAGAGAGUCUUAUUGGUGAAAACCCUCACGGGCACCGUGAGAUGAAUAGUGAGUUGAGAGAAAUAAAAAUGAGAGAGUCUUAUCGGUGAAAACCCUCACGUGCACUGUAAGGCAACGGUGAGUUGAGACAAAUGAAAAUAAGAGUCUCAUUAGUGAAAAACCCUUAUAGACAUCAUAAGGCAAUGAUGAGAUGAGGAAAAUAAAAUAAGAAAGACUUGUUGGCGAAAACCCUUCAAGGUGCCACUGGCCGAAUGAGGUCUCUGAAUGCAAUUGACCCAAGAAAGUAACUUAAUUUCAGGGUCAUUACCUCAACAACAAUUGGUAGAAGGUUUGGAUGAAAUGAUCAGGCAGCCUAAUCCAAAUGCAUGACAUAAUCAUUAGAGUUGAUUGUCAUUUUAGAUAAAUUUUUCAUUUCUUUGUUUCAAAUGUGGACUUUCAUUGUCUUUUCUUUCUUUUCUUUAUCUUUAUUUUUAUUUUCUUGAGUCAGUUAUCCAAAUAAAACAAAAGUUGUUGUCAUUUUUCUUUUGUUUUUGAGUCAAGUCCAUGUCAAAACAAGUGAGAAAAGAUUUCAAAACUGGAUACCAACUUCUUCAAUUGCACAAAACAAGACAAAAAGGCCAGCGCAUGAAAGAGAUAUGAUUGUGAGCCAAAAAAAGGGCAUGCAGAAAGUUUUGUCAAUAGACAAGUCUGGCAACUCAUGAAAAUACCAAGGUUUAAAGGGUUUAUUCAUGAAGCAUGGCAAAGCAGAGAUGCUGUAUUUAUUUCGGAGUCACUCUUAAUAAUUUGAGUUUGGGUCAAUGACACGACAAAGCAGGGGCAAAUGCCAGCAAUCUGAAACAAAAUGAAGGGAAUGAACACUAGAGCAAAUGCUUGGAAAGCCAAGUGCUGCAAGCUACCACUAAGUUUUUAACUAACAAAUUUUCUUUUUGAAAUAGGGGCAAAUUCGCUUCACUGAAUUCAGCUACCAUUGAAAUGCACAUCCGUGGGACUUUAAUUUCUGUUUAGGACCCUUCUAAAAAAUAGGAAUUUACUUUAUGUUCAGGACCCUCCUGAAAAAUGGGACUUUAAUUUAUGUUCAGGACCCUCCUGCAAAAUGGGAUUUUACUUCUAGUUCAGGACCCUCCUAAAAAUGAGAAUUUACUUUACGUUCAGGACCCUCCUGAAAAAUAGGACUUUACUUUAUGUUCAGGACCUUCCUGAAAAAUGGGAUUUUACUUUCUGUUCAGGACCCUCCAGAAAAAUAGAAAUUUAUUUUCUGUUCAGGACCCUCCUGAAAAAUGGGACUUUAAUUUCUGUUCAGGACCCUUCUGAAAAAUGGGACUUUACUUUAUGCUCAGGAUCCUCUUGAAAAAUAGGAAUUUACUUUCUGUUCAGGAACCUCCUGAAAAAUGAGAAUUUACUCUCAGUUCAGGACCCUCCUGAAAAAUGGGACUUUACUUUAUGUUCAGGACCCUCCUGAAAAAUAAGAUUUUACUUUCUGUUAAGGACCCUCCUGAAAAAUGAGAUUUUACUUUCUGUUCAGGACCCUCCAGAAAAAUGGAAAUUUAUUUUCUGUUCAGGACCCUCCUGAAAAAUGGGAUUUUAAUUUUUGUUCAAUACCCUCCUGAAAAAUGAGACUUUACUUUUUGUUCAGGACCCUCCUAAAAAUGGGAUUUUACUUUCUGAUCAGAACCCUCCUAAAAAAUGGGAUUUUACUUUAUGUUCAGGACCCUUCUGAAAAAUAAAACUUUAUAUUUUGUUCAGGACACUCCUAAAAAAUGGGAUUUUACUUUCUGAUCAAAAUCCUCCUAAAAAAUGGGAUUUUACUUUAUGUUCAGGACCCUCCUGAAAAAUAGAACUUUACUUUUUGUUCAGGACCCUACUGAAAAAUGGGAUUUUACUUUUUGUUCAGGACCAUACUAAAAAAUGAGAAUUAAUUUUCUAUUCAGGACCCUCCUGAAAAAUGGAAUGAUAAUUUUUGUUCAGGACUCUCCUGAAAAAUGAGAAUUUACUUUUUAUUCAGGACCCUCCUGAAAAAUGGGAUUUUACUUUACGUUUAGGACCCUCCUGAAAUAUGAGAGUUUACUUUUGGUUUAGGACCCUUCUGAAAAAUUGAAUUUUACUUUAUGUUCAGGAACCUCCUGAAAAAUGGAAAUUUACUUUCAGUUCAGGACCCUCCUGAAAAAUGGAACUUUAAUUUAUGUUCGGGACCCUCCUGAAAAAUGGGAUUUUACUUUCUGUUCAGGAUCCUCAUGAAAAAUGGAAAUUUAUUUUCUGUUCAGGACCCUCCUGAAAAAUGGAAUUUUAAUUUUUGUUCAGGACCCUCUUGAAAAAUGAGAUUUUAAUUUCUGUUCAGGACCCUCCUGAAAAAUGGGACAUUACUUUAUGUUCAGGAUCCUCCUGAAAAAAUGAGAAUUUACUUUCUGCUUAGGACCCUCUUGAAAAUGGGGAAUUUACUUUCAGUUAAGGACCCUCCUGAAAAAUGGGACUUUACUUUAUGUUCAGGACCCUCAUGAAAAAAUAGGAUUUUACUUUCUGUUCAGGACUCUCCUGAAAAAUGAGAAUUUAUUUUUGGUUCAGCACCCUCCUGAAAAAUGGGAUUUUAAUUUUUGUUCAGGACCCUCCUGAAAAAUGAGAGUUUACUUUUUGUUCAGGACCCUUCUGAAAAAUAGGAUUUUAAUUUAUGUUCAGGACCCUCCUAAAAAAUGAAACUUUACUCUAUGUUCAGGACCCUCCUGAAAAAUGGGAUUUUACUUUCUGUUCAGGACCUUUCUGAAAAAUGGAAAUUUAUUUUCUGUUCAGGACCUUCCUUAAAAAUGGGAUUUUAAUUUUUGUUCAGGACCCUCCUGAAAAAUAAGAUUUUACUUUAUGUUCAGGACCCUCCUGAAAAAUGAGAAUUUACUUUCAGUUCAGCACCCUCCUGAAAAAUGGGACUUUAAUUUAUGUUCAGGACCCUCCAAAAAAAUGAGAUUUUACUUUCUGUUCAGGACCCUCCUGAAAAAUGAAAAUUUAUUUUCUAUUCAGGACCCUCUUGAAAAAUAGGACUUUAAUUUUUGUUCAGGACCCUCCUGAAAAAUAGGACUUUAUUUUAUGAUCAGGACCCUCCUGAAAAAUGAAAAUUUACUUUCUGUUUAGGACCCUCCUGAAAAAUGAAAAUUUACUUUCAAUUCAGGACCCUCCUGAAAAAUGAGACUUUACAUUAUGUUCAAGACCCUCCUGAAAAAUGAGAUUUUACUUUCUGUUCAGAACUCUCCUGAAAAAAGGAAAUUUAUUUUCUGUUCUGGACCCUCCUAAAAAAUAGGAUUUAAAUUUUUGUUCAGGACCCUCCGGAAAAAUGAGACUUUACUAUUUGUUCAGGACCCUCCUGAAAAAUGGGAUUUUACUUUCUGUUUAGGACCCUCCUGAAAAGAGGGAUUUUACUUUAUGUUCAGGACCCUCCUGAAAAAUGGAACUUUACUUUAUGUUCAGGACCCUCCAGAAAAAAUGAGAUUUUACUUUCUGUUCAGGACUCUCCUGAAAAAUGAGAAUUUAUUUUCAGUUCAGCAUCUUCCUGAAAAAUGGGAUUUUAAUUUUUGUUCAGGACCUUUUUGAAAAAUGAGACUUUACUUUUUGUUCAGGACCCUUCUGAAAAAUAGGAUUUUACUUUAUGUUCAGGACCCUCCUGAAAAAUAGGAUUUUACUUUCUGUUCAGGACCUUUCUGAAAAGUGGAAAUUUAUUUUCUGUUCAGGACCUUCUUUAAAAAUGAGAUUUUAAUUUUUGUUCAGGACCCUCCUAAAAAAUAAGAUUUUACUUUAUGUUCAGGACCCUCCUGAAAAAUGAGAAUUUACUUUCAGUUCAGCACCCUCCGGAAAAAUGGGACUUUACUUUUUGUUUAGGACCCUCCAAAAAAAUGAGAUUUUACUUUCUAUUCAGGACCCUCCUGAAAAAUGAAAAUUUAUUUUCUAUUCAGGACCCUCCUGAAAAAUAGGACUUUAAUUUUUGUUCAGGACCCUCCUGAAAAAUAGGACUUUACUUUAUGUUCAAGACCUUCCUGAAAAAUGGAAAUUUAAUAUCUGUUUAGGACCUUCCUGAAAAAUGGAAAUUUACUUUCAAUUCAGGACCCUCCUAAAAAAUGAGACUUUACAUUAUGUUUACGACUCUCCUGAAAAAUGAGAUUUUACUUUCUGUUUAGAACUCUCCUGAAAAAUGGAAAUAUAUUUUCUGUUCUGGACCCUCCUGAAAAAUAGGAUUUAAAUUUUUGUUCAGGACCCUCCUGAAAAAUGAGACUUUACUAUUUGUUCAGGACCCUCCUGAAAUAUAGGAUUUUACUUUCUGUUUUGGACCCUCCUGAAAAUAGGGAUUUUACUUUAUGUUCAGGACCCUCCUAAAAAAUGGAACUUUACUUUAUGUUCAGGACCCUCCUGAAAAAUGUGAUUUUACGUUCUGUUCUGGACCCUCCUGAAAAAUGGAAAUUUAUUUUCUGUUCAGGACCCUCCUGAAAAAUGGGAUUUUCAUUUUUGUUCAGGACCCUCCUAAAAGCUGAGACUUUACUUUUUGUUCAGGACCCUCCUGAAAAAUGAGAUUUUACUUUCUGUUCAGGACCUUCCUGAAAAAUGGGAUUUUACAUUAUGUUCAGGACCCUCCUGAGAAACAAGAUUCUACUUUAUGCUCAGGACCGUCCUGAAAAAUGGGACUUUACCUUCUGUUCAGGAUCCUCCUGAAAAAUUAGAUUUUACUUUAUGUUUAGGACCCUCCUUAAAACUGGGAUUCUAUUUUAUGCUCAGGACCCUCUUGGAAAAUGGGACUUUACUUUAUGUUUAGGAGUCUCCUGAAAAAUGAGAUUUUACUUUCUUUUAAGGACCCUCCUGAAGAAUGAGAAUUUACUUUCAGUUCAGGUCCCUCCUUAAAAAUGGUACUUUACCUUCUGUUCAGGACUCUCCUGAAAAAUUGGAUUUUACUUUAUGUUCAGGACCCUCAUGAAAAUUGGGAUUCUACUUUAUGCUCAGGACCUUCCUGAAAAAUGGGAUUUUACUUUCUGUUCAGGACCCUCCUGAAGAAUGUGAAUUUAUUUUUAGUUCAGGACUCUCUUGAAAACAUGGGAUUUUACUUUCUAUUCAGGACCCUCCUGGAAAAUGGGACAACGCUUUCAAAAAUGAAAUACUACUUUACUGUAAUUUUUGUUUGGGAUAAUUUUCGUUCUAGUUUUAAUUUUGGGUUUGAGGAGCCCGCCUGAAGAACAGGGUGAUGAAAUAGCAAGUCAGGAGCCAGCCUGGAGAACAGAGUGAAGAAAUGAAAAGUCAAGCAACAAAAUGAUGAAAUAGCAAGUCAGGAACCCUCCUGGAGAAUAGGGUAAUGAAAUAAAAAGUCAAGCAACAAAGCGAAGCAAUUGAAAACCAAGCAACAAGUUGAAAGAAAUUGCAAGUCAGGAGCCUGCCUGAAGAAUAGGGUGAUAAAAGUCGAGUCAAGAGCCAACAGAAGCUGUAUAGAUAGGAUUUUGUAAUUUCAUUUAUGUUUUAACUUGUAAUUUUAAUUUUUGAUGUAAUGACAAAGCCGCGAACCGAAACCUCGAUGGAACUUCACUCGACUCUCCAACUCGGUAUAGUCCACUUCUCUUUCAACCCUUUGAGAUACUUGUGACUUCCUCAUGACUUGGGUAGAUAGGGUGUCCGACAGGAUUCGAUUGUCCUUCCUUCUUUUACUCCUUUCUUUGAAUAAUGAUCGGGACAAAAUUCGGCCUCGUUGUUUACUUCUUUGUCUGAAAACAUUAUGUGUUUAAAUUCAAAGGGGGCAUGAUGUAGACACGUAAUUUUGUCCCUCGCCGAUAUCGUUUUACCGAUUUUUACCUUAUCCUACCCAUGUAAUUACAUCCCAUAAAAAUACAAAAAAUAACUCUCAACAAAAUCCCUAACAAACUUUUAUUCUUUUUAACAUCCUAACAACCCUUUCAAUUAAAAUAAGACACAUAAACCAUACCCCUACCCCCAACACCCCAUACCCACAUGAACUUCUCCUCCUCAUAUUUCUUGUCUACAAAGGCAAAAAGGGAUAAACAUUAAAAAAGGGCCCCGCUAGGAAACUUCCAUGAAAGGGACAAAAAAGGACCAUUUUCUCCAUUUUUUGAAAAAAGGACCAUAUAUAAAGAUUCACGCCUCACACAAUUAGGGGGAGCAUAAUAUUCAUCAGGUGGGGCCCACAGGGAAGAAGAACAACUCCUUCUCCAUUUUUUCCAUUGGAAGACUUAGAGCAAACAGAGGACUGAAGCAUAGACUCCAUUUUUCAAUUUUCACUUUCUGAGAAUUCACUUUCUUCUCCAUAAAAAGACUCCAUAGAACACACUCACUUUGACACAAAACCAUUACCAUCAUCUUCCAUUUUCAUCUUCACAGAAAAAAAUAGAAUCACGCACAGUCACCAUCGACUGGGGACGCGCACACCAAUCAGACUUUACUCAUACACACGAAACACUCCCAGAUUCCUUCUCUACACUAAAUAGCACACACUUAAUAGGAUAAAAAGAGAGAGGGUAACAGAAAGAGAGAGGAAACAAAGAGAGCGAAAGGAGAUCGAGAGGGACAACAGAGAUUUUCCGGCAAACUCGUCGCCGGAGCUACUCACCGGAGCUCAGUUCCUAUAGGUUUCCAGUUUAUUUGGAAUUUUUGAAGCUUCAGGUUCAUCUGACUCAGUGAUUCAUUAUUGAAAUUGCAUUUGGGUCGGUGAAAACAGUGAAGGCUUUGCCGAGUUGGGGUUCGAUUGGAGAUUGUUGAUUCGAGGUUCGUGUUUUGGUUCUAGUCGGAGCUCUAAACAAAUGCUUUGAUGGAUUGAAAUGAAAUUGAGGUCCGAUUCUAUCUUCUCUCGCUUUAAUUUUUACAUUAUCGUGAAUGAUUUGGGUGUUUGGUAUGUUUGAAUUUUGAUUGCGUAUUGGUUGAUGUUGGAUUUGAAUGUUGAAAAGUGAAUUGAUAAUUGAAGCAUGUGUUAAUCAUUGAUUGAUAAGAAUGAAGUUGGGGGUGGGAAUCGAAAAUUGAUGAAAGUGAAUAUUAUAGUAUUUUGAUUCAUUGUUGUGUUUGAAUGUAAAUGUCACCAAAUUGGAUAGGCAAACGCAGGUUGGGUAGGCAAAGUUUGAAAUUUGUGGUUUUUGUUGAAGAUUUGAAAUUUUGUUGAAUGUUUGAAAAUUGGGUGAAUGAUUUGGUUUUCUCACAUUGAAAAAAUGUAUUCAUUUGGCCGGAGAAUGCCCCGAGGUAUUUGUAUUGAUUUAUCCAGGGAAUGCUCCGAAGAAUUUUGUACCCGGAGGACAUUCGUGAUCAAGGCCCGAGGCAUCGGGUAGAGCACGGGAGUUUAGUUUAGGAUUAGUUUAGAAUAGAGUAGGUUUAUAUUUUUGCAUUUUUUUUCUAUUUUGGGAUUGUAAUAGUCGGACUGGACAUUAUAAUUUUGGAUUUGUUUUGUUUGUUUGUUUGAUUGUUCGUUUUUUGUGAUUUUGUGUGGUUUAUAUAUUCAUAAUAUCAAAUUAGUCUAUACGCUCCGCCAAGCAACCAUGGUCAAACCACGGGAUCGAGGGGUUCCUAACACCUUUCCCUCGAUCAACAGAAUUCCUUAGCCAGAAUCUCUAUUCGCAAACCAGUUUUAAAGAGUCAAACUAUUUCGAAAAGAAUUUUCCAAAGGUGACUUGGCACACCGGAUUAUGCCAAGUGGCGACUCUGAAUUUAAUUAUUAAAAAAUCCUUUUCGGAACAAAAUUUUCAUUUUUUCUCACUUAAUAAUAAAACUCUUUCGAACUUAAAAAUUAAUUUUUUGGAGUACGAAAAAAAGGUGUGUCAAAACUUACUACAAAUAUCAAGAGCAGAAGCCAAAACUUUAAGCGGUGGCCAGGUACCCUUGACAUAGUGCCCCCACCCCCUGAAGAAAUAUGUACGAUUCGAGCAAUGUUGGUAGUAUACAGAUUUAUGUUCUUCCCCCUGAUAGUUGUAGAAAAUAACUCACCAAUGGCCACCUCAUUAGUAUAAAAUUCAUAUACUUCAUGUUUAGCAAACUUCCUUUGAAGAUCACCCUGAAGAAAUAGGUGUGACCAUCCUUGAAACUCCAGUUUCUCCAACACGAUUUGCAUGGAAUCACCACCAAAACCAUUAACAACAUGACCCCUAGCUAAUUUAUGCUUUUGAAAAUGGAGAUAGUGCUCAGCAGGAGUUCCCUGAUGUGAAGAAGUAUUAGGGAUUUCAAAAUCAGGAUCCAAUUCAGUAGUAGGAUCAAUAGGGGAGUCAGACUCAUAUGAUUCAGAAGGAACAGGUUUGGUGACCUGUUUCUUCAUAUAAGAGGAUGAUUUUGCAGGAGAUGCUUUGGAUGAGGAUGAAACUUUGGAGGGAAAGGAGGGUUAAAGAGACGAAGAAGCUUUUGGGGUAUGGGAGGAUUUUAUCUGAGAGGAGGGUUUGGGAACUUUUGCUUUGAUGUUUUUACCCUUACGCUUAGAGCAAAGAAGAAUGUUAGGUGAGGAGGGAGAAGGAGGAGGAGGAGCAGACUUAGCAACAUGCCUCCGCUUGCUUGCUUAAAGAUUUUUUGCAAGGGAAGCAUCUUCCUGAUUCUUUCGCUGACGAGUAUGUGGAGUUCGUUAAGUGGGUCGAACAGGAAUAGGUUCGCCAAAUUUGUGAUCGUCAACAACAAUGGGUGGUAAGGAGAAAUUUUUUUUAGAUCUUGACUUUUGUAGAAUCAAUUCUGUAAUAGGGAUAUCAUCACAAUCAAUGAUUUGAAGUGGAAUUAGAGGUGGGAAUGUGGGUUCAGAGGAUGAUGAAGGUUUUGAAGAAAAUUUGGCAAAGGGAUUUUUCAGAUUUUGGAACAUGGCAAAAUCGGAUAGUUUGUUUGAGAUUUAGGGAGGAAUAAGUGGAGGUAAAGUGAUAUCAGGAUGAAGAAUAAGUGCUAUUGAGGGGGUGGUGGUAGAGUCUGUGGAUGGAGUAGAAGAAGAAAAAGCCAUGGUAAAGGAGACAGAAGCAAUAAUUUUUUGGUUUCGUGAUUUAGUGUUUGAAGUAAUGAAAGAUGAGAAGAGAGAAAGUGUAUUUAAAGUGAAGAAGGAGAAGAUGAAUCGUGUGUGAAGUAUACUUUGUGAAGGAAACGUAAUAAUUAAGAGGGUCAGUUCUGAUGUGAAAGGAUGAUAGCCUUUCUGAAGAAAUAGGACUCUUGGAUUUUGGCAGUUUAAAUAAAAUACAAAGAACCAUGUAGUCAACAUGUUUCCCUUUAUGCCACUACAGGUAACUGUAAGCGUACCUUAAUGUUGAGGAUAAAAUGGAUAAAUUUGCUCCUGUGUACCUGUCUUUCUGCAAAAUCAGCACAUAAAUGGGUCAAUUCACUCUGAAUCCUAGAAUAAGGAUACACAACUUAAGGUGUGAGACAGAAUUAAUCAACAAUCACUUUAAGAUUAAGUUAUUCUAAUCAAGCAUAGAGGGAGACUUAUGCAAUUUUAAUCACCCCCAAGGCUAACCUAUUUUUCUCAAACUGUUCUCUACUUAAAGCCUUAGUGAAAAUGUCAGCAAUUUGUUCUUCAGUAGAACAAAACAUAAUUGAUAUAUGACUUUUUUCAAUAUUAUCUCUAAGAAAGUGAUGUCUAAUAUCAAUAUGCUUAGUUCUUUUAUGUUGAACAGGAUUUUUGGCUAUGUUAAUGGCACUUGUAUAAUCACAAAAAAUGGGAACACAACCAACAUUUAUACCAAAGUCCAAUAGUUGUUGGUUAAUCCAUAGCAAUUGAGCACAACAAGAACCUGCAACAACAUAUUUAGCUUCAGCAGUAGACAAGGCUACUGAAUUUUGCUUCUUAGUGGACUAGGUAAUCAAACAAGAUCUAAGAAAGUGUACCAUGCCUGUAGUGCUCUUCCUGUCAACCAACUAGCAUGUAUAAUCAACAUCAGAGUAUCCUACCAAAUCAAAGUUACUACCUUUGGGAUACCAUAAGCCAAGAUCACUAGUUUCCUUUAAGUAUCUGGAGAUUCUUUUCACUGAUUUUAGAUAUGAUUCUUUAGGCUUUGCUUGAAACCUAGCACAUAGCCCCACACUGAACACAGUGUCAGGCCUACUUGCUGUAUGGUAUAAUAAUGACCCUAUCAUACCUCUAUACAUUUUUUGCUCCACAUCAGGACUUGUUUCAUCUAGAUCAAGCUUUGUAGUUGUGGCAAUAGGAGUACUGAUCUCUUUUGCUUCUUCCAUGGAGAAUCUUUUGAGAAUUUCUUUUGCAUACUUUUGUUGAUGGAUCACUGUCCCUGAUGCUGAUUGUUUUAUUUACAAUCCCCAAAAGUAAUUCAGUUCCCAUGCUCAUCUCAAAUUCACAACUCAUGAGUCAUAUUCAUGUUGGUUGAAUAAAAAAUAAUGUCAUCCAUAUAUACCUGCACAACUAACAAAUUCUUUUCAUUAGUUUUCAAGAAAAAGGUAUUGUCAAUUUUACCUCUGGUAUGACCAUUCUCUAGUAAAAAAUUUGACAAUCUUUCAUACCAAUCCCUUAGGGCUUGUUUUAACCCAUACAGAGCCUUGUCCAGUUUGUACACAUGAUCAGAAAACUCCUUGAUUUCAAAUCCUGGAGGUUGCUUAACAUAAACCUCCUCUUUGAGAAUGCCAUUAAAGAAUGCACUCUUUACAUCCAUCUAAUACAGAAAAACUCCAUAUAUGCAUCAAAGGCAACAAGUAAUCUUAUAGCUUCAAGUAUAGCUACAGGAGCAAAAAUCUCAUCAAAGUCAAUUCCUUCUUCUUGAUUAUAUCCUUGGACCAUCAAUCUUGCCUUGUUUCUUGUAACUGUUCCAUGCUUAUCAACUUUAUUUUUGUACACCUACUUAGUCCUUAUUACUGAUUUAUCUUUGAGGAGAGGGACUAAGUGUCAUACUUUGCUUUUCUCAAACUGAUUCAACUCUUCUUGCAUGGCUAAAAUCCAAUCAGCAUAAAGAAAUACUUUAGUUACCUUCUUAGGCUCAAUAUCUGACAAAAAUACCUUGAAGGCACACAUACUUCUCAAACCAGACCUUGUAGUGAUCUCAAAGGUGAGGUAUUAUCAAUAGGAUGUGAUUCUUGAUAUUUGUAUCCUUUUGGGAUCAAGCUUAGUGAGCUACUAGGAUCACUGCUGAUAUUCUGAGCUGGAGUAGUUGGUGGCUCAGUUCCCCCUGUCACUGUACCUUUAGAUUCAGUUUCCCUAUCAAGAUGCUUCCUUGUUUAGUAACUUCGGUCGAUGAACCGGGUUGUGUAACCUGUUCCUUAGUGUCACUUUCUUUCUGCAGAUUAGUCUUAUCACAGGAUUCAUUAAAAACCAGGCUUUCUUCAACAUAAUUAGUUCUGUUCUUUAAAACCCUAUAAGCCUUACUAUAAAGUGAGUAACCUAAGAAGAUUCACUCAUCACUUUUAGCAUCAAAUUUUCCUAGAUUGUCCUUUCCAUUAUUAUGUAUAAAAUAUUUACACCCAAAGAUUCUAAAAUGAGAAAUAUUUGGCUUUCUUCCUUUUAGUAAUUCAUAGGGAAUCUUCUCUAACAUAGGUCUGAUCAUGCAUCUAUUUAUGAUAUAUGUUGCAGUACUUAUUGCCUCAACCCAUAAGUUUUUUACAACAUUUGCUGCAAGUAUCAUUGUUCUAGCCAUAUCUUCCAAAGUUCUAUUUUUUCUCUCCACAACUCCAUUUUGCUAUGGUGUUCUAUGAGUUGAGAAGUUAUGAUCUAUACCAUUUGCUGAAUAGAAUUCAAAGAACUUUACAUUCUCAAAUUCUGUACCAUUGUCAGACCUCAUGGAAACUAAUGAAGUGCCUAGUUUUUUUUCAAUUUUCUUAAUGAAAAUUUCAAAGACAUCAAAGGCAUCUUCUUUAGAGGUUAGAAACAAAGUCCAGGUGAACCAGGAAUAAUCAUCAGCAAUCACAUAAACAUACCUUUUUCCACCUCUGCCUUGAAGUAUCAUGGGUCCACACAAGUCCAUAUGAACCAGGUCAAGGAACUUGGUAGUGCUAACAUGGUUCUUUGACUUAAAAGAAAAUCUUACCUACUUCCCCCUUACAUAUGCACUACAUAACUUUUCUUCUUUCAACUAGGUUUUGGGUAAUCCCAAUACCAUAUCUUUAGAGGAAAGUAUGUUUAGUUGUUUUAGACUUGCAUGACCAAGUUACCUGUGCCAAAGGAGGGGAUUAUUUUCUAUGGCACUUAGACAAGUCAACUCAGGUCUUGGUAGUGCCAUGAUGUCAACUUUGUAUACAUUUAUGUAUCUUCUUGCAGUGAGCAUAAUCUCUUUGGUGUCCAUUCUUUUGACUUUGACUCCUGCAGCUGUAAAAAUAACUUUAUUACCUUUGUCAUAUAGUUGUGAGAUGCUCAGCAGGUUUUGCUUUAAUCCUUCUACAAGAUAGACAUCCUUCAAUGCUUUCGACUUAGAUGAGCCAAUUUUUCCAACUCCAGUAUGAUUCUCUUUUUUCCAUCACCAAAAGAAACUCCUCUUUUAUCUAUUUUGUAGAGUGAAAGGAACUAAUUCUUAUCACCAGUCAUAUGCCUUGAGCAAGCACUAUCUAAGUACCAGUGCUUUUUGUGUCCUUUCACCUUCUCCUUCAAAAGAAAUCAAUGGUUAGACUUAGGAACCCAGACAAACUUGAGUCCUAUUUUAUGAGUGAAAGGAUGAAUCAAGUUUCUUCUAGUCCAUUUAGGCAACAUAUAGUGCAACCUUUUUCUCUGACCAGAACUAGUCUUUUUUAUUUUUGGUCUGAGAAAAUCUGUUAGCCAUGUUUUGACUAUUUGAUCUGCUUCUAGCAGCCACAGGACAUUCAGUAGUGGGAUGUCCCAGGCUGCCACAAAUGUAGCAUAAAUCUUUUGGAUCAUCAACACCUUUGUGGAAUCCCAAACCUAUCUUUUCAUUCUAAUUUCUUUCACUCAAUUUGUGAACAAUUCUUGAGGAGUUUUCCACCUAUUUUCCCUUUCAAGAUCAAGUUUUAGGUUAGAAACUUCUUAACUCAGCUUAUUCAUUUUUUUUAGUUAAAUUAUGGCAUUCUUGUUUAUAUUUAACUAGAUCAAGUUCAGCAUUUUCUUGUUCUUUACUUAUGGCCUUUUUCCAUUUUUAGUGAGAGUUAAUUUGAGAAUUUCAAACUUAAAAUCAUUGUUUGAAAUCUCAAGUUCUGCAACCUGCUUCUUGAUAGUGCAAUUUUCCUUGUCAACUGUACCUGUACAAGCCUUUAAAUCAAUGAGAUCAAAAUUGAGGCUUGCAAGACUAUUGAACAUUUCAUCGCUAUCAGAGUUUAACUCUUGGAAAUUAUUAAUCAAUGCACUCAUCAGGGAAAUAAGUUUUGGUUUUGAAAACAACUGUAGUUCUUCUUUGAGUUCAAGUAUACUUACCUAAGAACCACCAUCUUCUUAAUCUAAGUCUGAAUCUCUAAGAGCCAUGAAUGUAGUUUCAUCAACUUCAUCUUUAUCUAAAUUAGAUUCCCAGACUACUAUCAUUGCAUAUUUCUCCUUCCUUUUUGCCCUUAAUUUAUUUUCAGCUCUUUCCUUCUUCUAUUCUAUUUCCCAGACUGGACAGUCUCUGAUCUGAUGAUCCAUUUUGCCACACUUGUAGUAGCUAUUUGGAUUGUCAUUAAAACUUUUCUUAGUACCUGUUCCCUUCUUCUUCUUAAAGAAUUUGCUGAAAUUUUUAGUUAUGAAGGCAACUUGCUCCUUAUCAAGUUCAAAUUACUCAUCACUAUCAGAGGCUUUUAAUGCCAAGACUUUCUUAGGAGCUGCUUGUUUUUUGAUUCCAUCUACUUCCAUUUCAUAAGUCCUUAAGUUCCCUACUAGUUCAUCUAGGGUUAUACCUGCAAGAUCCUUAUUUACCUCCUUGACUGCAGUUACCUUGACAUUCCAUUUUGAUUUAGGUAAUACCCUCAGUACCUUUUUAACUUGUUCCUCCUCAGAUAUGACUUUUCCUAAGGAAGUCACCUCAUUUGUUAAGGUAGUAAGCCUUGUCAUCAUCUUAUGUAGGGUUUCAUUUUCCUUUAUUUUGAAUGCCUCAUACUCAGUGAAAUGGAGAGAGAUCCUAAAUUUUCUUACUUGAGAGGUACCUUCAUGACCAUUCACCAGUGCAUCCCAAAUUUGCUUAGUAGUAGUGCAGGUUGAUACCCUGUAGUAUUCAGCUGGUCCUAAUCCACAAAACAAGAUAUUCUUAGCCUUUGCAUUUUUCUUCAAAGCCAACAAGUCAUCAGGAGUAAAUUCACUCCUUACUUUCUUGACUUGUUCGCCAUCAACCAAAUUCAUUGGAAUAGUGAGACCAUCAGUAAUCCUGUCCCAUAAUUCAUAGUCUUUACCUUGGAUGAACAACUCCAUCCUUGUUUUCCACCAGAUAAAGUGAGAAGGAGGUGCGAAAUUCAUUAUGUUGAUCUUUUCUUAGGUGCUAGCCUUAUUUAAGACAAAUCGCUCUGAUACCACUUGUAAGAGUACGAGCCUUACUACUUUUAAUAUUAAACUCUACUGAUUGCCUAUCUGUGAAACAAGUAAGUAAACGUGGUUCACAGAAGUAAAAACUGAACACAAUGUUUUUACGUGGAAAACGCCUAGCUAAAGAAAGGUGUAAAAAACCAUGACCUGUACCUCUACAGAAUUUAAUCCCAACUUCACUAUAACUCUUGAGCCUCAACAAUCAACAAAAUUACAAUACUUCUUGUAAACUAGGAAUUAAAACUUCUAACUCCUAUAACUACAAAAACAUAAAUCUUCCCAAGAUAAGUGUUCCCCAAGUCUUCGGGUUCCCUAAAUUAAAGACACAACUCCUAACUCGGUUUAUAGAUUACUGAGACUAGAAUAAUGACUCAAUACAACUCAAAGAACCUUACUACUAUAAACAUUCUAAGACUUGCUAAGUAAGGAACCCUAUUCUGCUUCAAGUAAGCGAACUACUUUGCUGAUUGUUGAUUAUCUUAUUAGUGCAUGAGUGAAUGCUUUGAAAGUCAUUUCUUCUAUUUAAGCCAACACCUGAUAGAUUCCUUUAGUUGAUGUAUAUUUCUACCCUCACUAGGACUCCCAGGUGUUUCACUCAUUCUUUACUGCCUUCUCCCCCUCUUGUUGUUUGAAUAGGACUCUUCUUGAUUAUCUCAUAAUUUCUGUAAAACUUCUUGUUCGACUGAACUUCUUUAAGAUUUCUUGUUUAACUCAACUUAUUCAAGACUUCUUGUUCAAACAAAACUUCUUCAAGAUUUCUUGUUCAAAUCAACUUCUGCAAGACUUCUUGUUGGGAUAAGUGUUAUCCACUUUUAUUUUAUACGCAGAGUCAUUUUUUUCAAUAACUUGCCUGCAGCUUUGUUCACUUGGAUGGAACAACUUGCACAACAUAUUUCAUUCACAUGUCCAUCAUCAAAACUUCACAUGCCCUAACAUUUGAAUAAUUAAUUAAUUAUUUGUUCAAUUUUGUUUGUCAUUUUGCAUCCAGUACAAUAAUAAUUCAUAUGUGUAUAUUUUUCAUGAAAAUGACUUAUUAGGUUACCUUGGUGACUAGUUUAUAAAUGUAACACCCCUGACUUUUUGACAGGUAUAUAAAGCUUAGGAGGAGCCCUCAAGACCCCUAGAUCAAGAAUAAACCACUUUACGAUAAGUUGGGAUGUCUUGGAGGCACUUUCAGAUGAAAAUGGAGGGCAUGCGAUGUGAGAGGGACCUGUGUGAUGGCCCCGUGCCGCGAGGGGAUACUUCCUCAACCCUAAGGAGAUCCCCACACAUAUUAUUGUGAUUGAUGAAAUGAAUGGAGUCUUACGUGUUGUUUUCACUUGAUUUACCGACUCUUAUGCAUAUGAUUUUGAAGGACAAGACUUAUGCUAUAAAUUGCACUACUACUUAUGGUGUCAAUUUGGGUACAACUUAAUGAGUGAGUUCUCUUAAGUUUUUACAAGAAUUAUGAUUAUGAAAUGUCUUUUGCCUAAGCCACAAUAUUGAUUUAAAAGGUCUUAGAAAUUGACUUAUGGUAUACUUCAUGGUGGCCAACAAUUCAUGACAUGAAAGAGAUGAAACAAAACAUGUAAUAUGGCUGAUGGGACUUGCAAGCCUGGGUAUGGCGAUACCAAAUCAGACAAAUGUCAUUUCAGACUACAGACCACGUUUUAAGAAAAAUGUAUGUUUUAAGUGGCUAAAAUUUGGCCUUAAAGAGACUUAGGUGGCUAACCGAGAAGGCACAAGUUCAAAUAACUCAUAGCCUGAAAUCCUGCUUUGCUGACGUGGGAUUAAUCUUGUCCUGGAAUACAGACGAUUAUUGUAUACUUGCUAUAUGCUUUGGUAUACUAGACCAGACACUUCAAUCCUUGCGACAAACUCGGAUUGGGGGAUUGACCGACGUGUCAAUGUCGGACCCUGCAUAACACAUAGAGUUUUGCAGACCAUGUCGAGUAUGCCACCUAGCUCAAAACUAAAGAACAUCAUGAAGUGGUUUCAAAAAGCAGUUUUGAAUUGAAAAUCUAUGUUUUCAGGCUGAUUUGAUAUUAUGUGACCCCAUAUUAUGAUUCUUAUAUUGUUUUCACUGUUAUGCUAUUUUUAAAAGUUAUUUCAUUUGGUCGUUCUACAUAAUAAAACAUUCCAAGUAUUGAUCAUCCUCAGGCGGUUGCAUUAUCUCAUAAUGUAGGUUCUGAGACUAGUCCCACGGUCCAGUAGCAGUACACUUUCUUCAAAGUUCAUAGUCAGUGAGUCUCCCUUGUUAGGAAGACUUUUACUAUUAUGUUAGUUUCUUUCAGUUUCAUGGUCCGGCCGGGAGCCUUGUCACGGCUUAGACAGAUAAAUCAUCAUUAAAGGCUUCAUAAACUGGAUUGGAUUUAUGUUUCAGUAUGACUUGAUGUAAUAAGUUUGAUUAUGCGAUUUUUCAUGUUACAUUAAUAAGUUUGAUUAUGAGAUUUUUCAUGUUACAUUAUAUCUUCCGCUUUACAUGUGAAUUAUGUUUAUGAUAGUAUGCUAAGGAGUCUCUAGGACCUUGGUAGUUCGGGAUACCUGUCGCGGCGAGGAUCUCGGCUCGGGUCGUGACAAUAAAGGUUCUUGUAAAGGAGGUUAAUUAAGUAGAAUGUGGUCUAGAAUUUCUUAGCAAAAAAAAAAAAAAAGAACUUCGAGUUUGCAUUGAUUAUCACAAACAAAAAAUUGAACCGCUUGCUCUUUAAAUAGGUUGGUCUUUAAUUUUUGCCCCUCACAACUAAACUUGCGUUAAGUGGGACAUAAAUCCUCUUAGAAAUUGAAGCUAUAUGGGGUAUAACUUGUGGGAUACUACAAUAUGAAAAUACAAAUUUAUGCCCUACGAAAAAGUGUCCGUUACGAGGGGCAAAAUUAAAGACAAUUAACAUUAACCAAACAAGGAAAGACAAGGAAAGAAGUUAAGAAGCAAACAACUUUGAUAACAUUAACCAAACUGCAGUUAGUGUUAAAAAUCGAAGCAUGACUUCAAUGAAUAUCGGAAAAAUUUUACUACUGAUCAUUUGAAUGAUGCAUCUAGAUCAAGGUACAACGCUAAUGACAUAAAAUAUCAUCUUAAAGUUUGCGCAUAAGCAGAGGAGCACCAUACUGUGGAUGAAUAAUAAUUGUUGCAAAUGGAGCAUGUGUAUAAGAUGGAGAGAGCUCGAAGGAGAACUUGUGUAGUAUCAUUGCUAUUGCCAUUUUUGCUUCCAUCAUCGCAAAUUUCUGUCCGAUGCAAACACGGGUUCCCCAGAUAAAUGGGAUAAAUGAGACUUGUCCUUUUGUUGCCUUUGACACUCCACUGAAUCUUUCUGGUUUGAAUUUCUUCGCGUCUUCACCCCAUACUUCCUUAUCAUAAUGUACUAGGAUGGCGGGUAUAAUAAGUAUCACUCCAGCUGGUACAUUUAGAUCUCCCAGUUUGACUUCCUCACUAGUCCUUCUACCAAACACUGGCAAUGGGGGGAAUAGCCUUAACGUCUCAUACAAGAUCAUUGUUACCUAAAGAAAAAAAGUAUUGCAUAAGUUGGCAGUAGAUGAGCACGUUCGGUAAAUACCAAAAGUGAUUUUAACCCAACACUAGCAGAAAUGCUUAUGGAAAUGUUUAUACCAGACAAGUUAGUUGUUUGUGCUUUUAUCUGAACAUGGAACUGUCUAGUUGUUCAAUCGAUUUCGACACAUAAAAAUGGUUUUCAACACUUAAUGUUUAUCAACUACUCUCAAUUAGUUAAGCCAAUCUGGUUCUUAGUUCACUAAGGAUUACUUUAUCGAGGACACAAAGCAUACUCAUUAAAAGAUUGGAAUAAAAACAACUUGUGAAAAGUACUUACAAUUUUCAAGCUAUUUAAUCCUUCCAAAUCUGGUUUAUCAUUUCCAAAGAUAUGUAACACCUCCUCUUUGGCACGUACUUGCCACUCUGGAUGUAAGCACAGCAAAAUCAUUGUCCAUACGAGUAACACUGAAGUUCUCUCUUGUCCAGCAAAAUAGAAUAGUUUGCGCUCGUCUACCACUUCUGAUAUAGUCAUUCCAAAAUCUUUUCUACAAUGAAGCUCAAUUUCUUUCAAAUUGGAUUCAAGUAAUAUGCCCAAUAAGUCAUCUUUACUAGUCUCCCCUCCUUCCAUUGCCCUCAAUCUUUUGUCGAUGAUACGCCUAAUUGUUGUUUGGACUUGCUCUUCGAUUUCAAGCAUUUUUUUGUUCCUUUUAGUAGGCAAGAACCUAUAUAAACAAAUUUAAGGCAAACAAGAAAAGUCUUUUGAGAAGAAAGGAAGAGCACAGUUUCUUUUGUAUUGGAGUAAUUUGUUAAGGGUUGGAUUUUUCAUAUUUAACGGCAGAACGUUUCGAACAUAGAAAUGUAAUGUACACAAGUUUUUGCACCUUGAUCCAGGUAUAUAAAUUGAUUGUCCCUUUUCAAUUACAUCUUCAUCUUGUUCUUGCUGAAGUUCAAAUACCAUUCUUCCUUCUUCAUAGCUACUUCCAAAUGCAAUGUGAGAUAUAACUUCACUGGUCCUUAUUUGAAGGUCUGGCCACACAUCGAGUUCAAAUGAUUUUUCAUUUGGAACAAUCUCCUCCCAUUUACUUAACAUUUCACUACAACUCGCAUAAAAUGCGGGUAGCAUAUGCUGUAAACAAAUGAAAAACCAGCAAAAGUUUGUUAUGGAUAUCUCCUUAAUGAUAAGGCAUCUCAAUAUGCAAUCUUAAGUCAAAGGCGUGCAUAUGUUCAAUUUAUUGUCUUACUUCCCUUUUAAGUUUGUUUAAAGAAAAAUAUCAUUUUCUAUAUUUAGAAAUUCUUGAAUUCCAAUAUGGUGCAUGGCAUGUUAAAUACAAAAACAUCAAUUCAAAGAGUACUUUGGUACAUUAUACACAUUCUUUGUAAUAAUCCAGACUUUUAAUGAGGGGUAAGUGGGUAAUUUAGCCAUUAUUAUUAUUAUUAUUAAUUAAUUAAUAUAAUUAAAGUGAGUAAUUCAAAAGUCAAAAUCCAUUCCCUUACUUUGCUUUUCACAACUUAAAAAAAAAAACUGAAGGAGUAGAAUAUAGGGUUUUAUUUUUGGUCCCAUUAUUUUGAGAGAGAACAAGAAGAAGACGUAAAAAAAAAUUGGGGAGUGCAGACAACUUUAGAAGGGAGCAAAACAAGUUUUCAUAAGAAGCAGGUAUGAAAUUCUCCCUUGAUUCUUUGGCACAAAGAUAGUUAAUGCAUCUUGUUGUGUUUUGAAAAAAGCAAAAGAUUCAAUGAAUACUAGUAGGAUCCUUUUUCUAAUUGUAUGUUAGUGUGGAAAAAAUAUUAGAGUCAUGAUUUCUAAUCAAAGGUAAAAGCAUGUCGUGAUUACACCAUGAUUGGUGAAUGAUUGCUUAGCAAUCUUAGAACAUUGACAAGGCUUCAAGCCAUUACUUUUAUUCGUCAAAGUUAAUAUUGGAAUAGUGUUUCUAUGGGAUUUUUUUUUAUAUUGUUUUAUUUAUAUGAGAUUCUACUUCGAAAUAUGAGUAUUAUUAUAUUAAGCGAAAUUUUUACCAAUUAAGUUUGAAUAGUGAGAUAAAGAUCUUUCUAAAUUUUGGGUUUAAUAUGUGAGAUAGUAAGGUUUAGUUCUAAGAUUAAAAGUUAGGAAUAUUGAGACUUGACCGGAUUUGCUUAAUAUCAUUAAUUAAUAUUUUGGUAUAGAUUGGGGGCUAUUGGAGGUUGUUUGGUUGGUGUUCUACGCGUUGCAAGGUUGAAAAUUUUGUCAUUAGCGAGGUAAGUGAGACUUUAAGCUUUGGUGCUUGCUUUUCAAUUUUUUUUUAAAAAUAUAUUUUUAUCUGUCCAGUCCAUGUGUUGGGACGAACGUGUGCUUGGAAGAAUCAACGGUCUUUAAGGCCGGACGCAUAUACUUUAUGUUAAGAAUACUAAUUCUCCUUUUUUAUAAAUUAUUUCGUGAUGUGCUAUGAUUGUGUACUGUGAGAUUGGGAUAUUGUGUAUGCUUCUUAAUUCCUUUAGGGCAUUGUAUAUGCUUCUUAAUUGCUUUGGGCAUUCUGUAUGCUUCUUAAUUCCUUUGGGCAUUGUGUAUGCUUCUUAAUUCCUUUGGGGCAUUGUGUAUACUUUCCUUGAGCAUUGUAUAUGUUUGUUGAUUUUAUAUGGGGCAUUGUGUAUGCUUUCCUUGAGUAUUGUGUAUGCUUGUUGAUUUGAUAUGGGACAUUGUGUAUACUCCCCUUGAGUAUUAUGUAUACUUCUUAUAUAUUUAAUGCAUUUUAUAUGUUGCCCGAAACCUCUGGUGUUGGCUAAUUACUUUAAUUACAAAUUAUGAUAAGUGCUCUGUAUGAAAUUGUAUUGAGACAUAUGUUUCUUGAUGAAGGAUUGUUGAGCCUCGUUGGUUACCUUAUUAUGAUAUAGUUCCGUGUGUAAUAAUUUUAUGUUCUUGGUGUUGUUUUAUUUUCUAAUACUUGUCCCAGAAGUACUUAAAUCAGCGAGCCGAUUAUCUUACUAAGUUAUAUUUACAUAUAGCUUACUCCUUACUUACAUAUCUACAGAUACCAUUGCGGAGAGAGAGACCAGUGGCUGACGGUUCUUACACACGAAUUACAGUGCUGAGGUGAACCUUCCCAUUGGUUGUGAAGGCUGUCAUUCAGCAUUAGAUCUUUUAGAUUACAUUUCUUUUUGUUGGUUUUGCAUGCCCGAAAGUUGAACUCAUGUAACUCUGUUUAGAUGCUCCAUGAACUUAGAGUGGGACUUGGGUUAGAGGUUUGAUAUCUACACUACUGUUAUUUUCAUAAAUCUCUAAGCGAUAUCUUGUUGGAUACUUACUCUGCGUUAAUGAUUAUUUCAUACAUGUGGGGUUGUAUAUGUGUGUUUGUAGACCAUAUGAAUGUAUGAAAAAUUGAUUCUCCCGAUAAGUGGUGUUAGCGGGAGCCAGUCAUGUCUAAGGAUUAUUUUAGGAUGUGACAAAGUUGGUAUCAGAGCCUAGGCUUUAUGUCCCAGGUCAUGGAGCAGUGUUUAGUAGAUUCUUGUUCUUUGGUAUGUAGGCACCCAUACUUAUGAACUUGAGGCUACAGAACAUCUAGGAAGUUUUUCCCUUUUUAUUCAUUAUUCGUGCGUUGAGUUGAAUUAAGUCUAAUCUUUAAAUAUUGUUUCGCAGAUUGUUAAGAGAUGUGGUUCCUCCUCUGCUAGAUGAUUUAACGCGCCUACUAGAUGUGGUGCUGCACAUGGUUCUACCCGUGGUGGUGGUCAAGUUGGGUCUCAUCCAACCAGGCCUCGAAUUAGGGCACAUACUAAUCCUCAGCAUGAAGUUAGGAGUAGGGGCCAGCCCCAAGUUGUAGUUCCUGAGAGAGUACAGGACCAGGUUGAUUAUGAUACUCUAGCUGCAACACCUGUUGUUGUACCUACUGUUACAUUGCCUGCCGACGUUGUAGUAAGAAUGUUGAAUGUAUUGGAGGCAUUGGUGCCUAAUCAGGGUCGAGCACCGGCUCCUCAGGAAACUUCGCAAAUGCAGGCACAAGUUUAGUUGAAUGUUGGGACUUCUCAGGCACCUCAACCAGUUGAUCUUUCGGUUGCAGUUGUGGGGCAACCCAAGGAUCUUAAGCCACUGGAGUUUGAUGCUACACCAUUUUCUGUUGAGCCUCAAAAGUUUUUAGAUCGCUGUGAGAAGAUACUGACUACCUUGGGAUUGAAGGAGACUCAUGGUGUAGAAUUUACCACUUUUCUAUUCUCAGGGUCUUCUGAGGCUUGGUGGACUUCCGUUUUGAGAGGCAGACAAGUAGGAUUACCACCAAUCACUUGGUCAGAGUAUCAGCUAUGUUCUUGGAUAGAUUUAUUCCCUUGAGAAAACAAGCUGACAUGAGGCGCCAAUUUAAUGAGUUACGACAGGGAUCCGUGACAGUCACUGAGUACGAAGCUAAGUUUACUGAGUUGUCCAGGUAUGUUCUAUUUUUAGUUGCAUAUCAGAUGGAGAAAGUAAGAUGAUUUGUGGAUGGACUUAAAGAAGAUGAUUUGUGGAUGGACUUAAGGCUCGUUAUCGUGGUCCAGUGAUACGCAAUGUGCGUAAUGGGUCCUAUUCUGAGGUGUUUGACACUGCUCUUCGUUUUGAGUCCUAUUAUGAGAUGGAAAGGAUUAAUUGAGAAAAUAAAAAGACACCUAAUUCAGGUGUAUUUAGUGGUGCUCAGUCAGGGGGCAAUAGUAGUUUUUAUUAUGGGCAGUUGAGGAAUAAUUAUUCAGCUAGACAUGGCAAACAACAGAUGCAGAGGAAGGGUAAAAAUUCUUAUCAGUCAAGUCAGUAUCCGUGGUGUUCCAAUUAUGGUAGAAAUCACAGUGGUCAUUGUUACGGAACAAAUAGGGCUUGCUAUACUUGUGGUGAGCAGGGACAUAUUGCUAAGUUUUGUCCAAAGGCAGAUUCUGGGUCUAUUCAAGCUACUACUCAGGUGCAAAGGAAUGUUGCAGGAGCACAAGUUCAAGCUCAGCCAGCUAGAGCUGCUCCACAGGGUGCUUAUGGACAAAAUUGACAGGGUGCGCAGGUUGCUCAAACAGGGGGUGGACCACCAAGAUUCUUCGCUAGGGCUAGGCAGGAUAACGAGGCACCUGAUGCGGUAGUCACAGGUAUUAUAUUGUUAGUUCUCAUGAGGGACAUUCUCUGAUUGAUCUUUGUGCUACGUGUUUGUUUGUAUCUCCAUCUUUUGCUUUAUUCAUAGAAAGAAGAGUUGAGACUCUUAUUGUGCUAUAUAUGGUUAUGACUUAGUGGGGACACCUUAGUAGUAGAUAAAGUUUAUUGAUAUUGUGUGAUAUUUGUUUAGUGCACGGACACCAUAGUUGAUUUGCUUGCCUAGGUUUGACUUUGAUGUGAUUAUGGAUAUGAAUUGAUUGAUAUUUUUCUAUGCUUUGAUUGAUUAUGCUAAGCUUAUACCCACCUUUAGUGUGGAAAGGUAUGACUCUGUGACAGAAGAAAAGAUAAUAGUUUAUAUAAGGGCACGUCGAGUGGUUGAUCAUAGGUGUUUGGAUUUUAUUGCUAUUGUUUAUGAUGUGUGAGCUGAAAAUAUCAUUGAUAGUGUUCUUAUUGUUAGAGAAUUUGUUGGUGUGUUUUAAGAUUAUUUGCUCGAGCUACCUAUGUUGUUCAUAGAUUAUCUUAUUUUUUUUCACUUGUCUGUGUGAGCUAGAUAUUCCCACUCAUUUGACAUUUCUUGUAUGACUCUUAUCACAUUCGAGGACGAACAUUAUUUUAAGUGGGGGACAAUGUAAUAAUCCUGACUUUUAAUGAGGGGUAAGUGGGUAAUUUAGCCAUUAUUAUUAUUAUUAAUUAAUAUAAUUAAAGUGAGUAAUUCAAAAGUCAAAAUUCAUUCCCUUACAUUUCUUUUCACAACUUAAAAAAAAAAUGAAGGAGUAGAAUAUAGGGUUUUCCCAUUAUUUUGAGAGAGAGCAAGCAGAAGGCGUUAAAAAAAAUAUGGAGAGUGCAGACAACUUUAGAAGGGAGCUGAUACAAGAAGCACAAGGGAAACAUGAAACAAACACCAAAUCACUCCAUAAGUUUGAAGAACCGAGGACCCCUUUGGUGACUACUCUCGUAUUCACCACAACAACAAUGAAAACACAAUAACAACAAGAUAUUGAAGAUGUAAAAUACACCAAAACAACAACAAUAUGGCGAGAUGGAAAACAAUAACAAGAUAGGAACAACACAUAGUUUUACUAACAAGAGAUAGAAACGGUUACAAGAACACAAACUUCUACAAGAUUACAAUAAAAUUAAAAAGAUAGUUGGAUAGACUUAAUGAAGGUAUAACCUUAAGAACACAAGAGAAUAUUCCACUCUUGGACAGUUAAUACUACACACAACGUUCACCUAUCUCUUACAAAGACACAAGGUCAGAAUCCACCUCCCAAGCAUCACGUUUCCAAGACGUGAAUCAACGAGAGUGAUUCCACUCUCUCUAUGCCUAAUUUCGAUUUUGGUGCCUCAAGGAGAGAGGACUUAUGUUUCUUUGUGUUUCAAGACUUAAACAUCAUGAAUAAUCUAAGUCUAAAAGCCCUACAAUGUUCUAUUUAUACUAGGUUACAAAUAAAAUACAAAAUAUUCAAAAUGCCCUUUUAAGAGCUAGGCUCCCUUCAAGUGUAUUUAGGGGCUGCCUUGUUGUGUUCCAAGGCUCCUCUUUACACUCCAAGUGUGAGAUUAGGGUUGGUUUGGUGUGUUUUAAGUCCUUCACUCACACACUCUAAUCCCCGGGUUCAUUAUAUUCUCACAUGCGUCUAUUUUCGUGGUCGUACUUCUAUCAUCCUUCCCUCCUUAAAAAGUAUUCGAUCUCGAAUCCAUGCCUUGCAAAAUCAAAGAGAGACAAACAAGCACACUUCCUCAUGGAAUGAGGGUUUGGAUUAGCAAAAAUAAACAUUAAUGGUAUGCACUCAAAACACUCAAAACAGCCCACACCAAAAAAAAACCGAGGACCCUUUGAGUUCAAGUCUCGGCCAACAACAAGUCUCGACCUGCCAAGGUGGUUUAUAGUUGACAUAUAACCAAAAUUCUUUAGUGUAAAACAUUAUGAAGCCAUCGACAAAGUCACCAAGGACUUGGCUAUUAUAAGCACUCAAAAUAAAUGCAACUAAGCCGAGAGUACAUCUUCCCCACCUUAAGAUAUCACCGGGAUCAAAUGGGAAGAGUGGACAUAGACACUGGUCUAAACAACACACCCGUUUCCCGUAGUCUUUACUACAACCACACGACGUACUCUCUACAUUGGCAUACAUAUCAUCACAAGUAAAGACAGAGUAGAGAAAGGUGGCAUUUAAUUCUACUUCUACUAUGGUGUCCUCGGAAAAGCCACACAAAGUAGAAAAAGAAGUAAUUUCCAAGACCAUACAUUCCUUACCCUUAAGAGUACACUUAUCUUCCAAGAAGAGAUUUUCAUCUUUAGGAGGAAUGUUGUCACACCAUGAUACAUGUGAAAUGGCCGCCUUAGUGCUCGAUGGCAUCAUGCAAAGUCACUACGUGAAGAAUCAAGUUUUGGUACCAUGGAGGGCACAAGAUCAUACUUGUAGGGGUUAUUUUGAGCAUGCCAUCAAACAAACCCGUGUGUGGAAGAUUUCUUGGAGCCUUGAAGACUAGAGGACUCUCGGGUGUUGACCAUAUUUGAUGGUUCACGAUUUUGACCUCUUUUAUUAAGGUCAUUUUCGUCACUUAGCCUCAAGGUUAUUUUGGUCUUUUAGCCUUGUCUAAAUGACACUCCAUUGCCACCCACCUCAUGAAGGGCAUUGGAGUCAUUUUAUCUUUCAUUUGUAGUAUACUAUAUAUAGUCUAUGUUAGGUCAUUUCUCUUUAGUUAAUGAAUGAUGAACAUUUUAAAGACUUAUUCUCUCUUUGGAGAGUGCAACACCUUAGUAUAGUUCUUAGUUAGGGCUUGGAAAAGCCAAUAUUGUUCUUUGAUUGGAAACGGUGGAUCUUGAGGUGAGUGAUUCCCUUGCCGGUCACCGUAAGAGUGUGGUGUUGUUGUUACAUUACUUUGGGGUUUAGUGUUUGAAUCACCCUUUGUUCUUAAGUCUUGUAACAAAUCUAUAUCUCACUAUCUAUCCUUUUAUUCUUGUAAUUUUGUUAUUGUUUGUAGUAGACUAUUUUGUGUCUUGUUGAAUCCCAAAAUUUGUGUUCUUAUUGUCAUCUUGUUCUUCAUGAUUUGUGGCUUUUUUGGGUGUCAAAUACACCUUUGUUUCUUGUAUUCUUGUUGUAUUUGUUGAAUCCAAGUGAGGUCUUUAUUUGGUCCAUGAUUUGUUGCGAUUUGUAGACUGUUUUGGAGGGUGUAUUGGACUAUUUUGUGGCUAUUUCGUGUUUCUCUUGUUUGUAUUGUAUCAUUUGGUAUCAAAACAUGGCUUGAUAUUAUUUCUACAAGAUCAAAUCUUGGGCUAGCUCACUUGAAAAAUCAACAAGUAAAUAAAUUAAAAUCUGAAAAUUCCAGAAAAAGAACAAUCUGUCCAUUUUGUGUUCUUGGCCAAAAAUUGUGUUUUUGUUGUGUCUUGGAAGAGAUUUUUACUUGUAUUUAUUGUCUAUAAGUUUUAGUUUUGUUCCUCACUAACCCAUUGAGUCUAUAUCUUGAUUUGAGCUUGUAUUUUGAUGUUGUUGUUGUAAACAUAAGCUUGGCCCAUUGUUGUUGAACAUUGUUGUUGAGAAACUUGACUAGCCGUGUGUUUGGUUGUUGUUAUUAUUCUUGGUGAAUUUUGUUGUUUUUCUUGAUUUUCUUCGCAACCUUCAUCUCUUGUUAAAACUGAAGACACAACACUAAAGAGACUUGACCGUUUGUUGUUAUGGAUUGGAGUUGGCCGUUGGAAUUGUUGUUGUUCUUGAAGAUUGUUGUUAUUACCUUUUUUUGGUAAAUAAAACAUUUUUAUUUCACCAAAAUAUGGGUUUACAAACCAAAACAGUGCUUGAAUCCCUAUUUUAUCAUUUUGACUAAAAGCCUGUACUAGCUUUGCCCUCCUAACAUGCAAGGACGCUACUCAGUAGUAUUGAGAAUCAUAAAGCCUUAUAUUACAUUUUCAAAUCAAAAUUAUUAAGAAAUCAUCAAUCUAGCUUCAUGGUAUUGCAGCAGCUUGUUGGAGUAUCAUUCCUCAUCUUUGGUGCCUUUGACUUUGUAUAUGAAUGUGGAUGCUAUCUCCCUGCAGACCUUUUCCUCUUCAUAUUUGCCCUUAUGGUAUCUGAUGCUAUUUCUACUUCUCCAUAUGAUGUUGACCAUCAUUUCAAAAAUACUACAUAAGAUAGCACCUUGUGUAGACUUCCAUUUAGCUUGUUUGGAUACCCACUCUGUCUCUUGAUUCCAACUACCUAUAUUUUUGGUAUACCUAGCCAAUUCAGCAACCUUCUCCAUAAGUGUUUGGUGAUACUGCAAUCAAGAAAUAGGUGGUCAUGUGUUUCAUCAGCAUUUCCAUACAACACACAUAUUUUUGGCACUUGAAUUCCAAACUUUUCUAGUCUCUCAACUGUAGAAAGUCUGUUCAGUAGAGCUAACCAAAGAAUAAAGCUAUGUCUGUGGUGUACUGAAUGCUGUAAUAUAAUACUUUUCUAGGGAACUUUGGGGAGCUGGGGAGUUAAAGCAUUGUACAUCUUCUUUAUUGUGAAUGAAUCUCAUGUGACAUAUGCUCUCAAUCUAACCUCCAAGUCCCCUUGUAGUCUUGGGGCCUCCAUAACAUACUUCUGUGCACUAAUAAUUUUUUUAAUUGCCCAUGAGGCAUUUUUUGGACCGUUAUAGGAUUCAACAUUAUCAACCUUCAAAUGAUAGGUAUGCACCCAUUUUAUCCAUAAACCAUCCUUCUUUUCAGAUAAUGCCCAAAUUUGUUUUAUGAUAGCAACUAUAUUCUAGAGAUAUAUAUUCAGAACAUUUAAACCACUUGCUAAUUUUGGAAGACAAUUUUUUUCCCAAGUAACAAGUGCCUUCUUUGACGUCAGAAUAACUCCUGUCUACAAAAACACUCUACAGAGGCCUGUGAUUACCUUUAUGAUUCUUUCAGACAGUAAGAAGAACUGAGCCCAAUAAGUUUGUAUGCCAAAUAUAACCGAUUUAAUUAGUUGUAAUCUACCAGCAUAUGAUAGUGAUUUAGCACUCCAACAUUUCAUUUUUUCCACUAUUCUAUCCACAAAUGGUUGGCACUGGUCGAUUGUAAGAUUUUUUUGAGGACAAUGGCACCCCUAGAUAUUUAAAGGGCAAUUCACCUUCAGUAUAGCCCAAAAAUUCCAAGAUGUUCUGCUUGACCUGAGGUUUGGCUCCAGAAAAAUAGAUUGAGCUCUUGUCAAUAUUGGCUUGUAACCCUGUGGCUGUUGAGAAUUUUAGGAAAUCUUGAUGGAGCAUUGUUAUAGAGUUAAUAUCAGCUUUACAGAACAGAAGAAGGUCAUCUGCAAAACAUAUGUGCUUUAUAUCAAGUUGCUUGCACCUGGGGUGGUAUUGAAACCCAUUCUUUUGGUCUAGGAAUUUCAAUUCCUUAUUCAGAUAUUCCAUAGCUAUAACAAACAAAUAAAGUAACAUUGGAUCACCUUGUCUUAUCCCUCUUUUUCCUUAGAAAGGUUUUGUAAGCCCCUUAUUCAAGAUCAGUGAAUAAGAAAUAGAACAAACACAUUCCAUAAUCCAGUUGAUAAACUUCAAUGGGAACCCUAACUCAGCUAAAAUACUCUUAAGGAAACACCAUUCUAUGGAGUCAUAUGCUUUACUGAGAUCAACUUUCAGUACACAUCUUGGGGAUAAUCCUUUCCUUUAGUACCAUUUGAAUAACUCAUGGCUAAAUAAGAUAUUAUCUAUGAUACUUCUACUCUUUAUGCAUGCUGAUUGUGAUGGCCCUAUGAGUGUAUCAAUAACCUUUUUUAUCUUAUUAGUCAGGAUUUUUGUGAGCAACUUAUAGAAAGUGGUACAGUAGGCUAUUGGUCUGAAAUCUUUUACCAUGGAAGGGUUGGAACAUUUGGGGAUCAAAGUAACUGCAGUGUAACUAAAUGCUCUCAGAAGCUUAACAGAUUUGAAAAACUCUUUUACAGCAAGUAAUACAUCAUCUUUGAUAAUAGUCCAUUGACUUCUGCAGAAUUCCACAGGGAAGCCAUCAACCCCAAGAGAUUUCUCUGAUGGUAUACUUUUGAUUGCACUUAAGAUUUCCUGGUCUGUUACUUUUUGUAUGAGUUCAAGCUGCUGAGAGUGUAAGAGGCAGGGCCCUUUCUUGAUAACCUCAGAAUUUGGGCAAGGCAGCUCAGGGGUAGAAUCACCCAUUAUCCCAAUAAAGAACUCAAUAAAUUCCUUCUUAAUAAGAUCAGGGUUAGUAACUUUAUUGCUUGAGUUAUCAUAGAUGGAGGUGAUGGAGCUUCUAUUACUUCUGAUCUUAUAUUAUGCAUGGAAGUACUUGGAAUUGGCAUCUCCACAUUUGAUCCAUGUUGCUGUGGAUUUCUAUCUUAGCACCUUCUCCUCUACCAAGUUCCAAUGUUGAAAUUCCUUUAGUAGAUUGGCCUCUUCUUGUAUCAGUUCGUGAUUCAUAGGAUUUGAGGCUAGAUUGCUCUGUGUGAUGUCUAACAGUAUUCUGUUUUGUUAAAUUUUUUGUGUGUAAGCUUCCAAAUAAGUAUUCAGUUCCUGCAAUCAUAUUUGAGAGUUUUUAGUUUUUGGUUUAGCUUAUACAUAUAAGUUCCAUAAUAGUUCUUCCUCCACGUAUUUGCCAUAAUCUCAAGGAGUUUUUGAUGCUCCAACACAAUACUAUACAAUCUGAAUGGUUUAGGUCUGGAAGCUUGCUGACUAAUAUAUUGGACCAAGAUUGGAGAGUGGUCAAAAAUCCCAAGUGAUAGGAAUUCAACCUCUACAUUACCAUAUUUUUGUAGCAAUUGAUAGUUUCCCAGGACCCAGUCAAUCUUUGAAUACACUCUUUGAUCUCGCUGUUGUUUAUUGCAAAAAGUAUUGUAGGAACCUUUUGCUCUUAGUGAAGUAAGCUAGAGUUGGUCUAUAAAAUCCUUGAAAUCCUAAACUUCUUGUUGAGUGACUGGUGACCCAAGUCGAUCCUCACAAGUUAGCACAACAUUAAAGUCUCCACUCAGGAUCCAUGCCUCUUGAAUUGUAACACCCAAUGCUUUGAGCUCGUUCCAUAGUUCUAUCCUUUCCUGCAUGCUAUUUUUGGUAUACACCACAGUGAUAUAUGCUGAGAAAUUUCCUGAAGCAUCAGUGGUAUAGCAAUAUAUGAACUGCUCUUUUGUCAAGAUUAUAGACACAUUUAUUGUAGGCUGCCAUAUUAUCCAAAUUCUUCCAUUUGGGGCCAUCGGGUAUUUACAACAAGUGUUCCAUCCCCCCAUCAUCUUCUUGAGGAUAUUACCAGCUUUAGCUUCUUUUACUCUAGUUUCCAAACACCCAAACAUAUCUAUUUUGGACCUUUUCAAAAAGAGACUAAUCUCCUUCUAUUUCAGGGGUUAAUUUAAACCCCUGAUGUUCCAUGUUGAGGAAAUCAUAUGUUUGGGGCCUCUCCAGGUCUCUCCGGAGGUCCUUCAUCAUCAGUGCAGUGCAUGAGAGGGCCAAAAGAGUUUGUAUCACUAUUGCUAGUACUUUCAUGGUUAUUAUUAACAUAUUCACUUUGUUGUAUGUGUCCUGAAUUUUGCACAAUCAUCUUAUCCUUGUAAGAGCCUUUUGGAUCAGACACAGAGGGGUCUAUAGGUUUAUCCUUCUUUUGGGCUUCAUUUUUCUGCAUCCAUUAUGUCUUCUGGGGCCUCUUCCUUCUUCUGUUCCUCCUCUUUUUUCUUUGAACUUCUUUGAAUUCAUCCUUAUCUUCUACCUCUGACUCAUUUUGAAAUCUAUAAUUUGCUAUGACAUGCCCAAACUUCAACCAAUUCUCACAAUAUUUUGGUCGCCAUUCAUAUUCUACUGGUUGUUGGAAUAUACCAGUAGGUGUGACCAUUUCUAUUGUGUCAAUUAGGGGUUGUGCUAUGUCUAUUUCCACCAGGACUCGUGCAUAAGAUAUUCUUUCCAUGUUGGCAGUAAACUGGUAUGUGUACUUUGGCUUGCCAAUGGCACUUGCUAUUUUACUAAGAGCUUCUCUAGACCAGUAUCCUACUGGUAGCCCAGGUAAAGUAGCCCAUAGGGGUAUAGUAGUGAUACUAUCCGGGUUGAAUUUGAAAUCAAUGUCCCAAGCUUGCACAAUGAAAGGUUUGUUAUGAAAAUUAUACGGUCUGCCCAUUAACACCCUAUCACAAUCAUCUGUUGAUUCAAAUUAAAAGAUAAAAUAGCUAUCAUCAUGAUUCAGCACUUGAGAUUGUGUAUCACAAUUCCAGGCAUGCAAUGCGUAAGUCUCAAUGUAUGGUAGGGGGUAUCCCCAAUAACAAACCCUAUAAGAGCAUGUUUCCAGUACUCGAUUUGACUUUGAAUAUCCUCCUCGACUAUACUGACACAGAUAUUACCUUGCUUCGAAUCUGGGGAAACAUAGGAUAGAUCCUUUCCCGCUGUUUGAUUCGCACCAAACUCCUUCUGCACUGUAUUAGGUGGAGUCGCAGCUGUAGAGAAUUAAAGUUUCUGAUUCGUCGGAGGAUCCAUCGAAGCACCAUAGGUUCUCAGAUGUACUGUUCUAGGAGAGACAGAACUUGAUGAUGUGUUUUCAUCUUCUUCAGGUAUUGAUUUGAAUUUUAGGGGUAAGAAGUUUUCAAAAGUAAUCAAGGGAAGAUUAUAUCUAAUACCAUCCUGAGGUGUUACAAUCUUUGCCGGCAUAGUGAUUUCUGAUCGGGUCAUGUUGGUUCUACCGCUAGUGUGGUUGUUGUUGUUUUUUAAGUUCUUCACCUUCCUUCAUAUAUUUUUAGAACAUAAAGUGAAUAAUAGAUCCUAAAAGGUAAAGGAAAGAGGUGUAAGUAAUUGUUAGCCUUGAAAGACCCCCAACCACCAAAAGACUUUACAUCACUUCUUAACCACUUUUCCGUGAAACAAGGGUCCAUGUUUUAACUAAAAGUACAACAAAAGUCAAGUCUUGAAAUUUGAAACUUGAAAAAAAGGCUCCAAGACUUAUUCUUCCCUCCUUAGAACAAAUUCCACCAAUCCAAAUUAAAAUUGGUUAAGACUUGGGCUUUGGAAAAUAAAAAUUGAAGAAACCUCAACCAAUACGUGGCUGCCACAUCAUCAAGUCACUGUUCACGCAUCAAAUUUUGGCUCAAAUUUCAGAUUAUUAGUUUCACUUUAUUGUUUCCUUAGUUUCCUGUCUUGAUGCUAGAAUUAAUUAACAACUAGUAAUCACCUACUUAGUUGUAGAUUAAUUGUUGAAUCCGUUCCUUUCCUGUCUUCGUUAUUUGUGUGAUUUUUCUUAUUUUUAACUUGUAGUAACUUCUUUGUUUCAAGUUCGUAAGUAAAUUUUAUUUUUGUGUCUUGAGUCGAUCAAACAAGAAUCUAUUCUAGCCGCCAAGUAGAAUUGACAUCCUAUUGACUACCGGAGUAUAAACAACUUUCAAUAUUCGCCGCUCUAAUUGUGAGAAUCACAAAGGUGAGUGUAUAUGUGUGUUAGUGAGAAGCUUUACUACUAAUCUUGUUUGUUCAUUCUGUAGGUACAAAAGUGAUAUAAGGGGAACAUAUCUUCGAUAGCCGAGGAUUAUUGUGACUACAACAUAGGAGACUAUGAUUGUAGCGAGGUGUUUUAUGGCUACGAAGUUGAGAGAGAUUGUGGGGGCUAUGAAAAUAGCCAUGAUCAAAACUUGGGCAGAUUUGAGGGUCUCGAGUUUAGGGGAGAAAAUAAGGGGAAUGAUGUGCCUAGUGCUUAUGGUGAAUUUGGAGAUGAUGUAGGAUCUCGUGAUGGUUCUUAUAAUAAAGUUAGGGCAUAUGAGGAGUCUUAUACUUCCCACUCUUAACCUACAUUUGGUGUUAGGUAUAACCCUUUUAUUCGUAAAGCUUAUGAGAGCUAUGCUGAGAGUACGCUUGUGGUGUGUGAAAGAUCACAUUCUUCACCUUAUAGUACUUCUUAUCAAGGUCCAUAUGGUGUGAUUGGUUAUACUAGCUAUAGUAGAGGUUGCCCCAUGAGAAGGAGAGGGCAAGUGUUCCUUAUAAUGUUGAUCCAAGGAGGAGUGUACACUCCAGAAAGGUGACUAUUUGUGGGAUACCAGGCUGCCUUAUGGUGUUGAAUGAUAGGUACUAUGGAAACUACAUUCUUCCUUCCAUGUUUGACUACUUAGGGUUAUUUUGAGAGCCUUUACUUAUUCCAUACUACUUGGACGAGUUCAAGGUUACCGAGAGGGUAAAAGUUGUCUUCUCCUAAUUUAAUUACCAUAAGGAAGUGUAAUGCGAUGUUUUUUCCUUAACCUACGAUUAUAUGAGCUUGGGUGAUGAUUAGUUUUCAUGACAUCAAGUUCCUAAUGUGCAAAAUUGGCCUAAUAUUGUAAGAGACCAAUGGGGAAAUCACCUCAUAACGUACUUGCUACCCAAACCGCAAAGAAAAAUACUUACCUACUCAAAUCCAAUUUAUGAUGAGAGACAAGAGAUUGAGAGGAGUAAGAGAGUGCAAGGUGGUAAUCCUAGAGUGGAAAAAAAAGAGGAUAUGUGGAGUAAAGUAAGGGGAUUGCCACCAAACCGUGCUAACAUUGGUUGUCCUUCCAUUUCUAAGGACAUUUGUGUAGGUACCAACAUGGAAAACGAAGGCGAACAAUGCCAAAAGGAAGUGUUGUCCAAGCUUGUGGAGGACCUUUACCCCACAGCAAAAAAGAGUCUACUCAAGAUCUUAAAGGUAAAAUAGCUAACUCUUACACUUUAGUGAAUGUGAAUGACAAUUGUAUGGCUAGUAAGGCAUUGAGUGUAAGUAGUAGCUUACUUAUUUAUGAGUCUAAUGAUUCCUUGCCUCUUGUUAAUGAUGUACAUAUUGUGAGUUUGGAUACACUAGUUGAUCCUAUUGAUGACGAAAUUGACUCUUCUUGUAAGAUCAAUUUAUGUCCACCUAGUGUUAAAGCCUAUAUGUUGAACGAAAGUACAUCAUCUUGUGUAAUUGGUGUUGAUUAACUUGUUUGUUAAAAUUAUCCUCCACUUGAGUAUGUGUGUGAUAUUCUUAAUAGAACUCAAGUGAGUGAAGUAUUUGAAAAUGUUGGUCAACAAAGUGGGAGUGAACCCAAGAUCUCUUCUUAGGGUAAUCUUAUGUUUGGAACAUCCUUGAAACUUGAUAUUGAUCAUUUAGAGCGUGAGGAACUUUCUUGUUCCAAAUCUGUCCGUGAGGUAGAUCACACUCUCUUUAGGUGUAAUGUCUUGUUUGAAGAUUAUUUAAACACUUCUAAUAAAGCUAGUGGUGAAAAUGAUGGUAUAGCUUGCCUUGGAAGCUAUAGUAUAUAUGCUAACCCACUUUGGUGUGACAACAUUCCUCCUAAAGAUGGAAACCUCUUCUUGGAAGAUGAGAGUACUCUUAGGGGUAAGGAAUGUGUAGUUGCGGAAGCUACUUCUUCUUUUACUUUGUGUGACUUUAUUGUUGAGAGUACUCAUGGUUAUCAUUAGGAAACUAGUAGGGAGUACACACAUGAGGGCACCUUGGUAGAAGUCGAUUUGAGUGAUACCUUUCUCUACUCUCUAUUUGCUUUGGAUGAUAUGCAUGCUAUUAUAGAGAGUAUGUCGUUUAGUUUGGGUGUAGACCACGGGAAAGAGGAGUGUUUUCUAGACCCGUGUCUAUGGCCACUUUUCCCAUUUGACCCCGGUGCCAAAUGUAGAAUAGUGAUGUUGGUGCACCCAACUUGUUUCUUGGUCUACAUGACAAGAAAAGUAUCACUCUUGGUGUAUCCCAUAGCCAAAUCCUUUGUACAUCUUUCAUUGAGUUCUUAAUACUCACUUCAAAGGAUUCUUGGUUAUACUUCAAGUAUAUACCCCUUGGCGUGAUGAUGUUUAUUGUUGUGCUAACCCUAACCCUCAUGCCAUGAGGAUAUUGUGCUUGUUUGUCCUUUCUCUUGUUUUGCAAGGUGCGGAUUCGAUGUCGAAUCCUUUUCAAGAAGGGGAGGAUGAUACAAGUGAAAUGGCCGCAUUAGCUUUCGGUGGCAUCAUUCAAAGUCACUACCUGAAUAAUCAAUCUUUGGUCCCAUGGAUAGAACGGGAUCAUACUUGUAGGGGUUAUUUUGAGCAUGCCAUCAAACAAACCCGUGUGUGGAAGAUUGCUUGGAGCCUUGAAGACUAGAGGACUCAUGAUUUUGGACCACAUUUGAUGGUUCAUGAUUUUGGCCUCUUUUAUUAUGGUCAUAUUGGUUACUUAGCCUCAAGGUCAUUUUGGUCUUUUAGCCUUAUCUAAAUGACACUCCAUUGCCACCCACCUCAUUAAGGGCAUUGGAGUCAUUUUAUAUUUCUUUUGUAAUAUACUAUAUAUAGUCUAUGUAAGGUCAUUUCUCUUUAGUUAAUGAAUGAUGAACAUUUGAAAGACUUAUUCUCUCUUUGGAGAGUGCAACACCUUAGUAUAGUUCUUAGUUAGGGCUUGAAAAAGUCAUCCUUAGUAUAGGGCUUAGAAAAAUCAAUAUUGUUCUUUGCUUGGAAACGGUGAAUCUUGAGGUGAGUGAUUCCCUUGGUGGUCACUGUAAGAGUUGUUGUUACAUUAAUUAGGGGUUUAGUGUUUGAAUCACCCUUUGUUCCUAAGUCUUGUAACAAAUCUAUAUCUCACUAUCUAUCAUUUUAUUCUUGUAAUCUUGUUAUUGUUUGUAGUGGACUGUUUUUGUGUCUUGUUGAAUCCAAAAAUUUGUAUUAUUUUUGUCAUCUUGUUCUUCACGAUUUGUGGCUGUUUUGGGUGUCAAAUGCACCUUUGUUUCUUGUAUUCUUGUUGUAUUUGUCGAAUCCGAGUGAGGUCUUCAUUUGGUCCACAAUUUAUUGUGAUUUGUGGACUAUUUUGGAGGGUGUAUUGGACUGUUUUGUGGCUUUUUCGUGUUCCUCUUGUUUGUCUUGUAUCACACCAUAGUGGGUUAGCAUAUAGGCUAUAGCUUCCAAGGAAAGCUAUAUCAUUAUUUUCACCACUAGGCCUAUUAGGAGUGUUUAAACUACCUUCAAACAAGACAUUGUACCUAAAGAGUGAAUGAUCUAAUCCGGGAAUAGAUUUGGAACUUUCACUCUCUAAGGAAUCAUUAUCAAGUUUCAAAGAUAUGUCAAGCACACGAUUAACCCUAUGAGCCAAGCAAACAUUAGAAUCUUUACAACAACUUAGGCUCAUGGGUUCACUCCUUUUUUCUUGACCAACAUUUUCAAAUUCUUCACUCACUUGAGACUCAUUAAUCAUAUCACACAUAUUCUCAAGUGGUGGGCAAGUUUUACACAUAAGUUGGUCAACACAAAUUUCACUCGAUGAUGUACUUUCAUUCAACACAAUAGCUUCAACACUAGGUGGACACAAAUUGAUCUUACUAGAAAAGUCGACUCGGUCAUCUAUAGGAUCAACUAGUCUAUCCACUCGCACAACAUUACAUCAUCCACAAGUGGUAAGGAAUCAAUACACUCAUACGUAGGUAAGCUACUACUCCCACUCAAUGGCUUAUUAGUCACACUUUCAUCAUCCACAUGUACCAAAGUGUAAGAGAUAGCUAUUUUACCUUGACGUUCAUGAGUGCGUUCGUCUUUACCUUAGUGUGAAAGUCCUUCUCAAGUUUGGGCAUCAACUUCCUUUGGUAAACUCUCAUCACAAGGUGUUUGGACCUUAGAUUUUGAAUUUGUUGGGAUAAGUGUGGAUACCAAUUGGCGUAGCCUUUCAACGUGCCAUUUUAUGUCUUCAAUAUUAUCGGUGAUGUAGUCAAACUUGGCAUCGAGAUUGGUGGCAGCCAUGGUACCUAAGAAAAGACAACAACGAACAACAAAACAAACAAACUUGCUAUAUCAAAAAUGCCUCACCACACUCUCACUCUCAAUUUUUACCUCACACUUGGUUUCACAAGUGUUGAAAGCCAGCUUGUACUUCGUGAGUGAUUAGGGAGGAGUCCACCUUGGUCUAGAAUAGAUUUUCAUUUGAUUUGACUCAAAGAAAAUUUACUUACGGACUUGAACCAACAAGAUACAACAAAUUCACAAAAGAGAAAAAGCACAAAAGCAACGUAGACACGAACAACGGAUUCAAGAACUAAGUGACAACCUUGUAGAAGUUUACUAGCUAGUUAAUUAGUACUAGGAUUAAUUAAACGAAACUAAGAGACAACAAAAUGAAACUAAGAAAUCUAAAAUUUGAGCUCGAAAAUAUUGCGUGAGCAGUAGCAAUGAUGAUGUGGUGGCCACGUAUUGGUUCGGUUUUAUCAAGUGGUUAUUCUCAAAUGUUCAAGUUUUGGUCAAAAAUUAAUUUGGAUUGGAGGAAUUUAUUUUAGGAGGAAAAAUAAGUCUUGGAGACUUUUUCAAUUUUCAAGACUUGACUUUUUCUUGCACUUCUCCUUAAAACAUGGGUCCUUAAAUCAUUGAAAAGUAAUUGAGAAGUGAUAUAAAGUCUUUUGGUAGUUGGGGGUCUUUCAAGACUAACAAGUACAUUCAUCUUUUUCCUUCACCUUUUAGGAUCUAGCACUCACUUUAUGUUCUAACAAUAUAUGAAGGAAGGUGAAGAACUUUAAGAACAACAACAACCACACCACGAACAAUAACAACAAUCUUCAAGAACAACAACAAUUCCAAUGGCCAACUCCAAUCCACAACAACAAACGGCAAAGUCUCUUUAGUGUUGUGUCUUUGAUUUUAACAAGAUAUGAAGGUUGUGAAGAACUUCAAGAAUACAACAACAUUCACCAAGAACUACAACAACAACACUCCUUUCAACAAUAAUAACCACACACAUGGCCAAGUCAAGUUUUUCAACAAUAAUGUCUACCACACGGUCUUACUUGGUCAUGACAACGAAAACAAAGCUCAAACUUAGAUAUUGACUCAAGUGUUAGUAAAUAACAAAGCUAACACUAGAAAAACUCAAGACAAACAAAAAUCUCGGCCAAGACACAAGAAGAACGUAAUUCUUGGUCAAGAACACAACACGGGCAGAUUGCAUUCUCACAUGCGUCUAUCUUCGUGGUCGUACUUGUAUCAGGGGUAAAAUAAGUUUUCAUAAGAACAGGUAUGAAAUUCUCCCUUGAUUCUUUGGCACAAAGAUAGUUUAUGCAUCUUGUUGUGUUUUGAAAAAUCAAAAGAUUCAAUAAAUACUAGUAGGAUCCUAUUUCUAAUUGUACGUUAGUGUGGAAAAAAUAUUAGAGUCAUGAUUUCUAAUCAAUGGUAAAAGCAUGUCGUGAUUACACCAUGAUUGGUGAAUGAUUGCUUAGCAAUCUUAGAACAUUGACAAGGCUUCAAGCCAUUACUUUUAUUCGUUAAAGUUAAUGUUGGAAUAGUGUUUCUAUGGGAUUUUGGAUUUUUAUAUUAUUUUAUUUGUAUGAGAUUCUACUUCUAAAUAUGAGUAUUAUUAUAUUAAGCAAAAUUUUUACCAAUUAAGUUUGAAUAGCGAGAUAAAGAUCUUUUUAAAUUUUGGGUUUAAUAUGUGAGAUAGUAAGGUUUAGUUCUAAUAUUAAAAGUUAGGGAUAUUGAGACUUGACCGGAUUCGCUUACUUAAUAUCGUUAAUUAAUAUUUUGGUAUAGAUUGAGGGCUAUUGGAGGUUGUUUGGUUGGUGUUCUACGCGUUGCAAGGUUGAAAAUUUUGUCAUUAGCGAGGUAAGUGAAACUUUAAGCUUUGGUGCUUGCUUUUCAAAUUUAUUUUAAAAAUAUAUUUUUAUCUGUCCAGUCUAUGUGUUGGGACUAGCAUGUGCUUGGCAGAAUCAACGGUCUUUAAGGCCGGCCACAUAUACUUUAUGUUAAGAAUGCUAAUUCUCCUUUUUAUAAAUUAUUUCGUGAUGUGAUAUGAUUGUGUAUUGUGAGAUUGGGAUAUUGUGUAUGCUUCUUAAUUCCUUUAGGGCAUUGUGUAUGCUUCUUAAUUCCUUUGGGCAUUGUGUAUGUUUCUUAAUUCCUUUGGGCAUUGUGUAUGCUUCUUAAUUCCUUUGGGGCAUUGUGUAUGCUUGCCUUGAGGAUUGUGUAUGUUUGUUGAUUUUAUAUGGGGCAUUGUGUAUGUUUCCCUUGAGCAUUGUGUAUGCUUGUUGAUUUGAUAUGGGACAUUGUGUAUGCUCCCCCUAAGUAUUAUGUAUACUCCUGAUAUAUUUAAUGCAUUGUAUAUGUUGCUCGAAACCUCUAGUGUUGGCUAAUUACUUUAAUUGCAAAUUAUGAUAAGUGCUUUGUAUGAAAUUAUGUUGAGAUAUAUGUUUCUUGAUGAAGGUUUGUUGAACCUCGUUGGUUACCUUAUUAUGAUAUAGUUCCGUGUGUAAUAAUUUUAUAUUCUUGGUGUUGUUGUAUUUUCUAAUAUUUGUCCCAGGAGUACUUAAAGCAGCGAGCCGAUGAUCUUACUAAGUUAUAUUUACAUAUAGCUCACUCCUUACUUACAUAUCUAUAGAUACCGUUGCGGAGGGAGAGACCAGUGGCUGAUGGUUCUUACGCGUGAAUUACAGUACUGAGGUGAACCUUCCCAUUGAUCGUGAAGGCUGUCAUUCAGCGUUAGAUCUUUUAGAUUACAUUUCUUUUCGUUGGGUUUGCAUGCCCGAAAGUUGAACUCAUGUAACCCUAUUUAGAUGCUCCAUGAACUUAUAGUGGGACUUGGGUAAGAGAUAUGAUAUCUAAACUACUGUUGUUUUCAUAAAUCUCUAAGCAGUAUCUUGUUGGAUACUUACUCUGCAUUAAUGAUUAUUUCAUGCAUGUGGAGUUGUAUGUGUGUUUUUAGACCAUAUGAAUAUAUGAAAAAUUGAUUCUCCCGAUAAGUGGUGUUAGCGGGAGCCAGUCACGUCUAAGGAUUAUUUUGGGAUGUGAUUAAGACCAGUAGAUGCAAUAACUCCUUUUAUUUUCUUUAACUUCAUUCCCAAUCAAAUGACAACAAUAUAUCAAGUGUAAUCCAACAAGUGAGAUCAGGGGAUGGUAGUGUGGUGUGUACAUAAACCUUAUCCCACGUUCUGAAGGAACAGAGGUGGUUUAAGAAAGACCAUCAGCUCAAGUAAAGCAAUUCAAAGCAGGUUCGAAAUAAUAACAAGAAAAUAUAAUAAAAGGAAUAAUAAAGUAGAACCUUUAACUUCUCGAUGUGGAAGGCAGGAUUGAUUAUUUUUCUGUGUUUGGCCCAUGCGUUUCCCUCAAUGUUUGCAAGACCUUGAGCCAAUAACUUGGUCAGUGGAUUGGGAUGAGUCUGCUUUAGAUACACAUAAUUCCUUGUGAGAAUCUCCUUUACAUGUUCAGGAUUUGUGAUCAACAAAACUGGAUAUGGGCCUAGCCACACAAAAGAACUUUUACCUGCAAGUAAUCAUUUUUGUGUUAGAAAAAAUCUAAAAUCUGAGUCUUUGCUAUGCUUUAUUGUAAGUGAAAGUAGUGAUUGACUCUAUUAGGCAUUUUCCAGUAAGAAAGCAAUUUGGGUUACAUAUCAGCCCAAUUUUUAAUGGGCUGAAAUAGGUUGGGCUGAAAUGAGUUGAGCUAAUAAAUGAGUGUAUCAAUUACCCGUCCUUAUUCAUUGAUUAUUAAACAAUCUCAUCUAUGUAUAUACUAAUUAAUUCAUAUUCUGUACAAAGUCUUAAUCAACACUUUUUUUUAAAAACGUGUUCGUGAUAUUUACCACUACUCUUUCAAUAUCCAACAAUGUUUAUCAUCAUGCCUUGAUCAGCUACCACCAUUAUUAUCAAUCAUCUUCCUCUCUAUAUACUAGCUUCUUAAAUUACCCCAUAAAUUUCAACGUGUUUCUACUUUUGCAGUGCACGGAGUUUAAGAAAUUAAAUAAAGACGUUUAAAUCGGCACUGGAGGGUGGGGUCGAUGAAGUGGUUGAGAGUCAUGAGGUGUUAGGUUUAAAUUUUUAAUAGAAACAAAUACUAGAUGAUUUAUUCCCAUCUGUCAUAGCCUUGGUGGACAAAGUUAGCUAAUACUUGUUGUUGGUGAGAGGCGACAUUGUCCCGUGGAAUUAGUUGAGGUGCGCAAAAUUUAUUGCGUACACCACAGUCAUCAAAAAAGUUCCUUAAGUUUGAACUUUGAAUUUAAAUGAUUCUUAUUAGUCAACAAUACGAAAUAUCACUAACCUUUCAACUAUAAAACUUAGUGAGUACAAUCUUUGAACUUUGUUGAAAUUGUUAAAAAUAAGCUUAUAUGUAUUGUAUUUAUUUGGAAACGUAGGAGUUCAAUAAUAAAAUAAUAUUUUAUAUUUAUUCAUUUUAGGAUUAAUAUUUAUUCUUGAUAAAAUAGUUCAAGUUAGUUGUUAGUUUCUUCUACUCCAAAUUAUUAUAGAAAAAAUUAUAAUUCAUAAAGAAGACGAUGAAUUCCUGCAAAUAAAAAAAUUAGGGUCUCUAACUAGUAGAAGAACCAUAUAUAAAUAUUUUAAAGGAUUGUUAUUUUUAAAAAAUAAUGCAUAUUAACGGAUACCAUGAUAAUAACAUCAAUCAUUCACUAUCAAAUAAAAUUAUGUGAUUUUAUAUAACCAUUUCGUAACUUAAUAAUGUUUUAAGGUUUCAUUAUUAUUUUUAUCAAUCUUGUGAUAUUAUUUCAAAGAAAAUUAUAUCGCCUAGUGAAAUAUUUUGUUAAAUUGAGUGACAAUAUAAGGGAUUGAUUUUGCUUUCUCUUAAUUAAAUAGUGCAUAUAUAAUAAUGACCACAAGCCAGAGGAAUCUUUCUUGCUUAUUUAAAAGAGGCUGGGGCUUAAGAGAGGGGUGGGGGGUUGUGGAGGUCUUCUUAAUUUGCAAAAAUGGGGUCAUUUACACCUUUGUCCCUAUUUUGUGUUGGACUUUCACAUUUUGCUCCUCAAAAUAAAUAAUAUUUUUGCGGAGCAUAUAUUUAUAUUUUUGUAUUAUAAUAUUUUACAUGUUAUGUGUAGCAUACUUAAAGAACUUAUAUUUUUUACAUGUUAUGUGUAGCAUACUUAAAGAACUUAUAUUUGUUAGUGUAAAAACUAAACAUCAGUCUACUAUGUUAGGGUUUUUGUCCUAAUUUUCUUACCAAAAUUAAGUUUUACUUUUUUUUUGGAAGAAAAAUAAAAGUUACCAUAAUUAUUUUUAAUUUUCCUUAAAGAAAAAUAUAAAAAUUUUUCAUAUUUGGCUAACCUCUUUCUUAGAGAAAAAGUUUUAGACCUUUAUAAAUAGAAGACCAUCUUCCCAUACCAAUAACACAAUAGCAUCCACAAUGUAGUCUUUUAAAGAGUAGUUUAGGGGGAGAUUUUAUCUCUCAUUAGUUUUAUGUUUUUUUUUUUUAAAUUUAGGUUUUAAAUAUGUAGGCAAUUGACCGAAUCAUAUCAAUAAGUUUAUGUUUUAGUAUGUUUUUCUUGUCAUCUUAUUUAUCGUCUCAAAUAGUUUGUAAACUACAAGCUUCCGCAUGACGCCUCUCGAUUUCGAAUAUUGUGUUGGACUUUCACAUUUUGCUCCACAAAAUAAAUAAUUUUUUCGCGGAGCACAUAUUUUUAUUUUUGCAUUAUAAUAUUUUACACGUUAUGUGUAGCAUACUUAAAGAACUUAUAUUUGUUAGACGUAAAUUCAUUGUUAAGGGCAAAAACUAAACAUCAGUCUUUUAGAGGGCAAAUAAUGCAGUUAAGUGGAAAAGAUCUUGAUAAAAAGUACUUUCUGUUUUAAUGGGCCAUAUACAAAAUAAAUUCAAUUUAAGUAAAACUUCAAUACAAAUAUCAAACCUGAAAUAAAAAAGGUUUCAUCCAUUCUGCUAUAUCUGUCUAGUGAACUAUUUCUUUUCAUGAUUUUGUCCUGCCGGCCCUGAUUCCUCUGGCCCCACUACAGGAACUGAAAUCUCUUGUCCUCUUAUAAUUUGAAUAAAAGAAAAUGAUACUGAGAUAUAAAGGUUCCAUUGAGGGAGGCUAACUAAAUAGAGUGAGACUUGGAAUAUUUAGAAAAUUAAAAGAAGUUCAAAAAUUUUGCAAAUAAAUGAUCAAAGUACGUUUCAAGGUAUGUAGAGGUUAAGACUUAAAUGAAGAGAGAAGUAUAUACAGGCCAAAGAAAACAAGUACGUACAUAACAAUUGAGAAACAUAGCAGUACUUGUUUGUUUUACUUUAUUCCUACAUAUGGACAAAUCAAAAUUAACAUAGAGAACGUCAACAAACUGCAGUUCAACGUUUAAAUUCAGCCAUCAAGAAACAGUUUCUGUUUCGGAUGAUGUAUGGAGAUCAAUGCACAACGCCAGUCAUGUAAAAUAUCAUCUUAAAGUUGUGCAUAAGCAAGGGAGCACCAUACUGAGGAUGAAUAGUCAUUAUUGCAAAUGGAGCAUGUGCAUAAGAUGGAGAGUUCGAAGGAGAACUUUUGUAGUAUCAUUGCUGUUGCCAUUUCUGCUUCCAUCAUUGCAAUGUUUUGUCCAAUGCAAAUUCGAGGUCCCCCGCCAAAUGGGAUAUAUGAGAAUUGUUCUUUGGUUGCUUUUGACACUCCUUCACUGAAUAUUUCCAGUUUGAAUUCCUUUGGGUCUUCCCCCCAUAUUUCCUUAUCAUAAUGUACUAAGAUUACGGGUAUAAUGAGUAUCAAUCCAUCAGGUAUAUCUAGCUCUCCCACUUUCAUUUCUCCUUUAGUCAUUCUACCAAAUGUUGCUACUGGGGCAAUAGCCUUAACAUCUCUAUCACGACCCGAGCUAAGGCCCUGGCCGCAACUGUUAGGGUUUUGCCCUAAUUUUCUCACUAUAUUUAAGUUUUACUUUUUUUUAGAAGGAAAAUAAAAGUUGCCAUAAUUACUUUUAUUUUUUCUGAAAGAAAAAUUAUAAUUCUUUUCCAUAUUUAGCUAACCUCUUUCUUGGUGGAAAGAUUUUGAACAUCUAUAAAUAGAAGACCCCUUCUCAUACCAUAACAUAGUAACAUCCACAAUGUAGUCGAUUAAAAAGUUUUUGUUUAGGGGGAGAUAUUCUCUCUCAUUAGUUUUUAUGUUUUUUUAUAUUAGGUUUUAUAUGUAGGCCAAUUGGCCAAAUAAUAUAAUAAUAUUAAACUUUUUAGUAUUGUUUUAUGUGUAGCUUUUGAAUUGUCACCACAAUGGUUUGCAACUAAUAGCUUCCGCAUGACGCCCUCUCGAUUUCGAACCCAAAGCUCCAUUUUUAAACAUGACAAGCAAUAGUGAUGAAGAUUAUGUGAAGAACAAAGAUCAAAGAUAUGAAGAAGGCGGAUCAAUUUAAGAAAAUCAAUCCAAAAAGGGGAGAUUUGUUAGGGUUUUUGCCCUAAUUUUCUUACUAUAUUUAAGUUUUACUUUUUCUUAAAAGAAAAAUAAAAGUUACCAUAAUUACUUUUAUUUUUCCUGAAAGAAAAAUUAUAAUUCUUUUCCAUAUUUGGCUAACCUCUUUCUUGGAGAAAGAUUUUGGACAUCUAUAAAUAGAAGACCCGUCUUCUCAUACCAUAACAUAGUAACAUCCACAAUGUAGUCGUUUAAAGAGUCUCGUUUAGGGGGAGAUUUUCUCCCAAUAGUUUUUAAUAUUUUUUUAUAUUAGUUUUCAAUAUGUAGGUCACUUGACCAAAUUACAUCAAUAAUAUGUUUUUAGUAUGUUUUUCUUUGUCGUCUGAAUUGUCACUACGAUAGUUUGCAACUAAUAGCUUCCCCAUGACGCCCUUUCGAUUUCAAACCCAACAGCGACGCGCAUCCCAAAUCAUGAAGGCCCGAGAAGCCCCUUAGCAUACUAUCAUAAGAAUAAUCCAUGCAUAAAUCAAAGUACAGAAGAUAUAAUGAAUUUCAAAGGAAUUUAUAAUAUAAAUUGUAUCAACAAAAUAUGAAAAUACAAGUUGAUCUAGGCCUCUAUUGAAUUACAAGUCAAACUAGGCCGAGACAAGGCCCCCGUCUGGACCAUAAGACAACUAAACUAACAUAAGAAUAGAAUGCCUUCCAAAGCAUGGGAGGCUCACCAACUCCGGAGUUCAAGAAGUAAUCUAUUGUUGAGCUGGACCAUGCAAAUUUGCCUCAGAACCUAUAUUAUGAGACAACAUAGCCGCGGCAAAGAACAGUCAAUACCUGGAAUGUAUUGGUACUCAAAACUAACCAUAAAAAACAUGUAUUUCAUAAAAAAUAGUCGAGAGAAUUUAGAAAACAAUUUAGCAUAGUUUAUACAUAAAACACAUGGGCAUAAUUUGAUGAGCUUCAAAACAUUUUCUUGUAAUCAUGACUCAACUCUUUGUUUUACUUCUGAGCUAGAUGGUACACCCCACAAACUUACUUAUCCACGGGCUAUAUGGACUCCGCCCUUGACUCAGCGGACAAGCCCUCAAUCCGAAUUUGCCACAAGGAUUAGGAUCUGUCAUCCGUACUACGCUAUAAGGCCAUCGUAAAUGUACAAUCCAUAUCAUAGGACAUCAUAAACCCAUAUCGGCAAAACACGAUUUUGGGCUAAGAGUUAUCUGAACUCAAGCCUUCUUCGGGUAACCAACUAGCUUUAUUUAAGCCAAAUUUAGUCCUUUAAAAACAUGCUUCAUGCUUUUAAAAGAUUUGUUUCUUUCCUGCUAAGAAAUACCCCUUUAAAAACGUGCAAAACAACAAUGCAUAGUGUUUAAACAGACAUUUAAAACUCAAAAAUUAUCCUCAUUCAUAAACCAGCCCAACAUUAAUAAUACAUAAAUCUCAUGAUCAAAACGGGGCUUAUAAUUCAUGCUCUCAAACGCAAUUCACAAUUCAUACCAUGCAAAGACCAUAAAUUUCAUCAUGAAAAAGGUAAUUUCGCAAGUCAUAUUCAUAAAUCACUUUUUGAACUCAAAUAAUGUAUGCAGAAGAUUAUAAAUUGAACUUAUGGAAAAACCCCUUGACAAAUACAUACUUUCAUUAAAUUGAGUUCAUGAUGCAUGCUCUUAAAACAAUUUCUCAAACCUUAUUACAUAUACAUACAUAUAUAACUUUAAAACUUGUUAAAAUCAUAAAACCUAUACCCAAGAGAUGUAGGAUAGUCCCACGUACCUUUUUGAUGAACAAAACUUGUGAUAUCUUGAAUCUAAGCCUUGGAAGCAUGAGUUUUUGAAAGAAACUUUAACUUUUCUAUCUUGAGAAUGGAGAGGAGAAUAAAUGAUGAAAAACUGACAUGAUGAUGGAAAAGUAGCGUUCAAAUCAUAUUUUAAGUCAUGGGGUAGGGUUUUAGGGUGAGAAAAAGACCAAAAUACCCCUAAAGAAAUUGAAUAAAAAUUUCAAGAAUUUUUAGCUGAUGACUUAGUUGACAACUUGUCAACUAGUUGAUGACUUAUCAGCCUAGUCGUCACCUUCUCUUCAUGAUCUAGUUAAAGUUAAAGACUUGGUUGAUAGCCUGUCAACAAGUUGAUGGCUUGUCAACCUAGUCGUCACCUUUUCUUUAGUGAUGCAGGGUGUUUCUGGUUAAGGCUGACAACGAGGUUGAUAUAUCAUCACGUAGUUGACGGCUUAUCACCUCAAGUCGUCACCUUGUUGACAAAUGGACAUGCUGAGGUAAAAUGAGCAUAACUUUCCACUUUGAUAUUGGAUUAAGGUGAAACCAGUUGCAUUGGAAAUAAGACUCGAAGAUAUUUUAUUUGGUAUAUAGUAGGCACAUAACUAAAUAUAUACUAGGAGUAAUGAUUGUUAAAGUUGAUCCAGGUUGAAACAUUCACUAAAACUUAAUUCAUAGAAAUGUUCUUAACUUGUCUUUGAGUUAGAAGAUUUUCGUGACCUCAAUUCAUAUUCAAAAGUAUCCCCACACUAUGGAAUUGAUCAUCACACAUAUAUUAACGACGAAUCAUUCGGUUCGGGUCUAUACGCAUAGGAAUGAUGGUUUGAAUUCUAUUCCAAAAAUAUAGGGUGUUACAUUAUCUCCCCCUUGGAAUCAUUCAUCCUCGAAUGAUGGGUAGAAAUUUGUUGAAGCUAUAGAAGUAUGGAAUAAAUUACGUAACAUCACAUUAGGAAUUCUAUUUUCCACAAUGAAACAUACAUAGGCAUUCAAGAAUAUCUUUAUGACAUCACCAAGUAAAUUAUGUAAGCAUAAAUCAUGAGAUAACGAGACUUGACAUAGACAUGAUCUUGGCAUGUGUUCGAUGACACAUGAUCAUAACAUUGAAAGACAUAGAUUUUCCUAAGAAUCAUCGGCCUAAUUAAGAUUGGUACAACACAUGAAUAUGUAACUGAGAUUCUCGCGGGAUAUAAGAAUAUAAUAGAAACAUGCUCUACCUCAAAUGAUAUGUCUAAUAGCCUUUAAAUUUUUGCGAUGCUUCUUCACUAUGCCUUCAACUAUGAUUACCACAUUUCAAUAGCUCAAUCCUAUAAUCCCCACACUAAAGACAUAACUACAAGAGCUUGGGUCUAAAUUCAUCAUACUUCUAUGUUGAAGCCUAACUCAGAGUAAAAAGAUGCUAGCUUAAGUUGUGGGAUCCUAUGCUUUACAUCCCUUUUAAAAAUUAUUUUCCAUAUAAUCAAACAACCUCAGGCCUUAAAUCGAGGAGUACUAACCACAUAGCACAUUAGUUUGAGUAUCUAUCAAUCACAACAUUCAAGCCUAUCUCUAUGACACCCACUUUAUGGAUCUCCCCACUAAAACCCGCAAGUUCAAUCAUUCUCACAAGGAUUUUCGUCACAUAUCUCCUUCCUAACUAUUUCACAUAAUGAAAGUUCAUAUCCUUGUUUUCCCUUUCACCUAUCACCUUAGCUCGAGAAACCACAUCAAAAUUUUUAUAUUUAAGAACAUCUACUCCUUUACCUACAACAUUACUACGCUUCUACAAUCACCACCAUACUAACAUAUGGAGGGUCAUUGAGGAACCCGAGCAUACGCAUCAUGAAUGGGAGUAAAACUAUUUGAUUAUAACUUAUACUUAUUGCACUACUCAUGAUGGGACACGAUAUGUAGAUACGAUACAAUAGACAUGAAGUGCUUUAUGUAUCAAAUGUCUGGAUCAUAGAUAGAAAGUUGUUUGGGCAUAAACAUACACAACAAGAGUUCUUAGGACUAGGCACAGUGAGAACAUAUGACCAUAUAUCAUGAGCUAUUUCGCAUAAAGGCAGAAUUCAUGUAGUCAAUGAUUGAGAUAAAGAUUGAUACUUGAAGAUAUUGCUUCUCAUUUUUAGAACUGAGAUAGUCAUGAGUUUGGAUAAACUUUAUCACUUUGGUAUAAAGCCGACAUAAAAUGAACAGGUAACAUAAUAGAAAACAUAGUUCCUUAAAACUUAAAAUGAUUUGAGACAUGGAUCUGUGGGUCAUGAGGAUCACAAUAUAGAGCUUGAAUACUUGAAAGCUUAGAUUACUGAGAAACACUAUUUCUUCUAGUUUGGAGGUCAGAACAUGGACAUAAGUACAUAGAGAACUCGAAUCAUAGGAAUAAGCAUGACUUGAAUGCAUAACAUAAGACAUUAGUAGGAUGACUCCUUAAAUUAAAGUAGGAGGAGUUUGGUUGCAUAGGAAUAGAUUUAUCAUGACUCUUCCCUGAAACUUGCCACCAUGAGAAAAUUUGGGAACUACCUAAGCCUAUCAUCUCCCCGUUAGAUCAAAGUCACAAUCCUAAACUUGCGGACAUAUCCCUUCAUCAAACCUAUAACCAAAACUCUCAAUACAAUGGGGUAUCAGUAUACACAAGAACACAAACUCUCCUCAAUAACUUUAACAUAAGGACACUAAAUUCUCUCUAGGACAUCCCCCUUCAAGGAUACUAAUCAUAAUUUCCUCCAACAUCUAAAAUCAUCAACUUAUGACUUACAUUAUCAUGGGCAUGGGCAUCCAUGCUUCUAAACACUUAACACUCUAUCUUCAACUCCUUAGAAUACUAGCAUUACAGAUCUAAUCUCAUAACCUCGCAACUUAACAAAACCUUUAAAACUAUACCAAGGGUUCACAUAUUUUGUCUAUUUCUCCCUCAAUCCAGCUCUACAUAACACCAUAUAACAUCUCCCUAGACUCCUUCAUACUAAGAAACUUGCGAACACAAGCUAGGUGUUCAUGACACUCAUACACAUAAAACCUUAUCUAACAACAUGCUACCUGGAGGUUCAACUUAUUCUUAUAUACUUAUAACUUUAUCCACUUUAUGACUCAACCACAAUUAUCUACUUCUUUUUCCACGAGUUGCCAACCUAGGUGAUUUCACACAUUACAUCAAGCCCACUAAUUCAUUCCAACGAAACAUGCAUUAUCAAUCUUAAGCUACUAUGCUUACUACCAUACUUCACAUCUAAAGUUCAAGCCUAUAGUUUAGCAUCAAUAAUAUACCACUAAUAAAGCAUGCCACAUACUACUAAUCUAUCAAAUUGAGAAAAUAACCUAAAUAACUCAUUUCACUUUACUACGACCUACAAUCAUAUCCCCUUAUGACAUUACUACUACACCUCAGAAUCUACUGAACACCUUCUCACAAUCAGUACUAGUUUACAACUGCUAGAGAAAAGACAACCAAGGAGAGUAAAGUCACAUAAUAAGGAUAAUCAAUCUUAAUCUCAUAAUAUAACCAAUUACCAUCUAUUAACAUAUUCUACUUUCUCAUAUCAUAUUUACUUACCCACACCUAUAUUCCCACUAUCUUUAAAUUCCAUAAUCACCACUAAGUUUUCCCCAAGCUAGUCUAUACUUAUAACUUAUUGGAUAUUCUACCCCUCCUCAUUUACCAUCUAUAAAUGAUUUCUACAACCACCACAACUAUCCACUAUAGGUUCCUUCUCUAUUUUGAAUAAAUAACAAUCAUAGUCAAUCACCUUCUUCACAGACUACCAUGCAAUCUAAAAACCUUGCUACAACAUUAGUCUAUCGCUAUAAAAUGAUAACCCAUUCCUCCAUCAAGGGUUAUACAACUAAAAUUAGCUUCUUUAUCCAAAAGUCACCCUCACUAUAACUUUUAAACUUGUGAAUUCAUAUCACUAACUUCUGGACCAUCUUACUUCCAAUAGGUCAUGACACAUUAACAUACACUACUAUGAGGUUGAAAAUACAGUUCCAAUAUUCUGAUACAAAUCUCUACCCUUAAUCAUGACAUCUGCAUUAAGAAUUCUGAAAGGAAUUGAAUACACUUUGUACCUUAGGCUGAAAAGAACGAUUGCAUUAAGAUAACGGUAUACACUUGAAUCAAUACACUUUAAAGAACUAUUAGAUUCCUCACAAUUUUUUGUGCUAUCUUAUAGCAUCAGGGAUAACUCAAUCAGAAUUAACCACAUCAUUGGGAUCUAAACUCUUGGACUUGUAUCACCUCGACAAUGAGGCAUGGCCCAUAAAAUUAGAGCAGGGAUAAAAUUUGGAUAAAUUUCAUAUGGACGAUGCUAUAGCAUGAACUAGAGUAUGAAGGAAUAAGAAAUAACUCCUAAAUGCCCUGUAGCUUCCUGAUUAUAAGUGUGGUGCACAACACACCUAUAAACAAGACUAUAAUAGACACGGCUUCGUAGAUGCCCUGGGACCAUAAACCUAGCUCUGAUACCAAGGUUUUCACGACCUGAGCCAAGGCCUUAGUCGCGACGGGCAUCUUGACCCACGAAGGCUUGAGAAGCCCCUUAGCAUACUAUCAUAAGAAUAAUCCAUACAUAAAUCAAAGUGCGAAAGCUAUAAUGAAAUUCAAAGGAAUAUAUAAUACAUACUAUAUCAACAAAAUAUGAAAAUAUAAUAAUCAACUUUCGUCUACGAAGCCUCUACUAAAUUACUAGUCAAUCUAGGCCGAGACAUGGCCCCCGGCUGGACCAUAAGACAACUGAACAAACAUAAGAAGAAAAUACCUUUCGAAGAAAAAAAGGCUCAACAAUUCUGGAGUUCAACAAGAAAUCUAUUACUGAGCUAGACCAUUGAAAUUUGCCUCAGAACCUAUAUUAUGAGAUAAUAUAGCCGCGACGAAGGAAGGUCAAUACCUAGAAUGUAUUGGUACGCAGAACAAACCACAAACAACAUGUAUUCCAUAUAAAAUACUCAAGAGAAUUUAGAAAACAAUUUAGCAUAGUAUAUACAUAAAACACAUGGGCAUAUUUGAUAAGCUUCAAAACAUUUUCUUGUAAUCAUGACUCAACUCUUUGCUUUACUUCUGAGCUAGAUGGUACACCCUACAAAUGUACUUAUCCAUGGGCUAUAUGGCCUCCGACCUUGAAUCGGUGGCCAAGCCCCCAAUCCAAGUUUGUCGUAAGUAUUAGGGUCUGUCAUUCGUACUACGCCCUAAGGCCAUUGCCAACAUACAAUCCAUAUCAUAGGACAUCAUAAACCCAUAUCGGCAAAAUAUAAUUUCAGACUAAGUGUUAUCUAAACUCAAACCUUCUUCGGAUAACCAACUAGCUCUCUUUAAGUCUAAUUUUAGUCCUUUAAAACCAUGCAUCAUGCUCUUAAAAGAUUUGUUUCUUUCAUGCUAAGGGCAUUUCGUAAUAGGUAUUGUCGUACCUAGAUUUGCAAGUCAUAUCAUAUAACAUCAUAUCAUAUCAUACCUAGACUUGAAAGUCAUAUUAUAUAAAAUCAUAUCAUAUCCAUAGCCUUUUCAUUCAAAAAUUAUGUUAAUAACCACCAAAAGAUUUAAACAUUACAUGAGAGUUCUUAUUUUAAAAGCAUAUAAAACUUGUGAAACAUAUCUCAUUUCAAGUCUUUAACACAUGGUGGUCAAUUCUUUUAUUCAACAUAUGCAUUUCUUUCAGUUAAGACACAAGAGCCUUUAGCAUAAGAAAUACCCCUUUGAAAAUGAGCAAAACAACAAUGCAUAGUGUUUAAAUGGCUUUUAAAACUCAAAAAUUAUCACCAUUCAUAAACCAGCCCUAACAUUAGUUAUACAAAAAUCUCAUGAUCAAAACGGGGCUUAUAAUUCAUACUCUCAAACCUAAUUCACAAUUUAUACCAUGUAAAGACCACAAAUUUCAUCAUGGUAAAGGGAAUUUCAAAAGUCAUAUUCAUAAAUCACUUUUUGAACUCAAAUAAUGUAUGCAGAAGAUUAUAAAUUGAACUUAUGAAAAAACCCCAUGACAAAUACAUACUUUCAUUAAAUUGAGUUCAUGAUGCAUGCUCUUAAAACAAUUUCUCAAACCUUAUUACAUAUCCAUACAUAUAUAACUUUAAAGCUUGUUAAAAUCAUAAAACCUAUGCCCAAGAGAUUUAGGAUAGUCCCACGUACCUUUUUGAUAAACAAAACUUGUGAUAUCUUGAAUCUAAGCCUUGGAAGCAUGAGUUUUUGAAAGAAACCCUAACUUUUAUAUCUUGAGAGUAGAGAGGAGAAUAAAUGAUGAAAAACUAACAUGAUGAUGGGAAAUUAGUGUUUAAAUUAUGUUUUAAUUCGUGGGGUAGGGUUUUAGGGGUGAGAAAAAAAAACCAAAACACCCCUAAAGAAACUGAAUAUAUAUUUUAGGAAUUUUUAGCUGAUUACUUAGUUCACAUCUUGUCAACUAGUUGAUGACUUAUCAGCCUAGUCGUCACCUUCUCUUCAUGAUCUAGUUAAGGUUGACGACUUAGUUGAUAGCUUGUCAACGAGUGGACGGCUUGUCAACCUAGUCGUCACUUUUUCUUUAGUGAUGCACGGUGUUUCUAGUUAAGGCUGACUGUAAGGUUGAUAUCUCGUCACUUAGUUGACGGCUUAUCACCUCAAGUCGUCACCUUGUUGAUAGAUGGACACGCUGAGGUAAAAUGAGCAUAACUUUUCACUCCGAUAUUGGAUUAAGGUGAAACCAAUUGCGUUGGAAAGAAGAUCGAAGAUAUUUCAUUUAGUAUAUAGUAGGCAUGUAACUAAAUAUAUACUAGGAGUAAUGCUCAUUAAAGUUGACCCAGGUUGAAACAUUCACUAAAACUUAAUCAAUAGAAACGUUCUCAACUUGUCUUUGUGUUAGAAGAUUUUUGUGACCUCAAUUCAUAUUAAAAAGUAUCCCACAUUAUAUAAUUGAUCAUCACACAUAUAUUAAUAAGGAAUCAUGGGGUUCAAGACUAUACACGUAUGAACAGCGGUUUGAAUUCUAGCUUAAAAAAUUGAGGUGUUACAGUCUCGUUCAAGAUCAUUGUCACCUAAGGAACAAAAAUUUAUUGCAAAAGUUAGAAGUACAUAGAAUUAAUUCACUUCUAACAAAAGUCAUGCCUUUCCAAGCUUAUAUAUAUGGAUUAGUCCUCUCUCCAUGUAGUAUGAUAGAAAAUGUGCUCUGUCUUAUUUAAUUUGAAGCAAUUUCACAUUAAUGAUAACAACUACGUGUCUUAUCCUUGUUUUAUAAUGCUCUUGAUAUUUUAUUGACGCAAUGAUCUUGGGCUAUUAUAAAUUAGCUUAUAUAAUAAAUUUGUGAGAAAUACUUAAAUUUUGAGGCGACUUAGUCCUUCUAAAUCUGGUUUAUCAUUUUUGAAGACCUGAAAAACCUCUUCUCUGGCCCAUACUUGCCACUCUAGAUAUAGGCACAACAAAAUCAUUGUCUAUACAAGCAAAACUGAACUGGUCUCUUGUCUAGCAAAAUUGAAUAACUUGCACUCUUCAAUCAUUUCUGUUAUUGUCAUUCCGAUUUCUUUGUUUCCAUGCUGUUCAAUUUCUUUCAUAUUGGGUUUGAGUAAUAUACCUAAUAAGUUGUCACCACCCGUGAUGAGAUCCUAGCCGCGAUGGGCAUCCCAAACUACGAAGGUUGUAACACCCGAGAGUAUACCCUUGGCGCUACACAGUGUUCGGUCACAAGUGACCACAAGCUAACCCAUGUACUGGUACCUGCUGUGAGCAUCGAUAAAACUGGUAGCAAGAGAGUAUUUGUGGAAUUUAACUAAAAAAUGCCAUAAGGUUUUAAAUUAUAGUUAUGAUAAUAUCUGCAAAACAACACUAUAAUACUGAUAAAACGGCUGAUAAUGACAACUAAAAACUGACUAACUGUUUGGACAAGUCUGAAAGCCUCUAAACUGCCUGACUGUGGAGUUGAUAGGACAAGUCUUCAACUAACUUUUUGUGACUAAUAAAUAGAAUAUACUGAAAUAAACAUAACAGUCCACAGAAUAUGAGGACUCACCACUGCUACUGUUAUGGGUACACUGGGAUAUCUAGGUGCGGUCGAGAAUCCGAGAGAAUGAACCUAUGAUAUGAAACAUCAUAGUGCAAAAAAAUGAGUAUGUGUUCAGUACUUUGGAAGUACUAGUAUGCUAAUUGAUACUAGGCUAAUAUGCAUGGUUUCAUAUACAUGAGUAAUAAUUGACCGAAUGAAUAACAUCAAGUACCGAGUAGAAUGCAUGAAAUCUGUAAAGACUGAGAAUGCAUGACCAAGCAUAACACAUAUUUUGAAUAUAAUCUGUAAACUAAAAUACUGAAUACGGAUUAAUGGAAAAUUGAUAUCUAUAUGCUAUGGUCAACAAAAUUGAAACUGAUUACUACGCUGAAUACUGGACUGAGACUAUGGGAGCUAUCAUCUAACCGACAUACCCCAAUGAGCUAAUUGGGGUCCAACCUGUGACCCAGUUGGAAGGGUGUCACUAUCAUGCCAUGAGUACUAACACUUGGCUGCGUGGAUCCACUAAGAUACUAAAUAACCAGGAUGUCAAUCCAAAACUGACGGGUGACACCUGGGCAGAGUCAAGCCUAAACUGACGGGUGACUCCUCAUAUCCUACAUUGGUUACGUAGUUCUGGAAUGCAAGGACUACUACUAAUGACUCUGCCUAACUGACAGGAAAGCCUCCAUCCCUGCAUUCGUUCGAUUCUAAAUCCUACUCCCAACUGAAAGACCUGGAAUAUUGGACUGACUAUGCUUAACUAUUUAAAAUGUUGACUGAAAUGAUAGGGCUCGUAACUAUUCUGUAACCAUUCUAUAAAUAUUGAAAACUAAAUAAGAAGCUAAAUUUUGGGUAUUCAAACCCCCAGGACUUGAUUACAAUAAUAGCAAGAUUGUACUAAAACUUUGAGGACAUGAUAUGUAAGCAUUUAUUCAAAACUCCUUCUUGUGGGUAUUUCAUCAAACACUUGUAAUUCAUGGUUUAAUCUAAGCAUGGAAAUAGUUUAAAACUCAUAGUAAUAGCAUUAUUUCCCUACUAAAAUCACCAAUUAAGGUUUAAUUCAGCAAACAACACCAUUCAAAUGUGUGGGGAUUAAUAACAACAACAAUUACAUGUAAUCAUGGUAUAGAUUCAAAAUUCAUAAAGAUUCAUGGUUAAAAUCACAAUAACUUAUAAAAAUCACAACUUUGAAUUUGAAAUUGGAUUCUUGAACUCCAUGGGUGGAAAGGACACAUGGAUGAACAUUUAACAUACCUUAAAGCUUUGAUCUUGAAAGAGAAUUAACUUUUCUUGAACAUUCUUGGAUUAGGAACCUUAAAUUCUUGAUUAUCUUGUAGAGAGUGUAAUGGAGUCUUGAAGUUCUUGGUAGAUUUCCUUAAGAAGAAACCCUAAUUUUGUUCUUAGAAAUAAAGAGGGUUAAGGGCUUUCGAAAAUGAUUCAUAAUAGCUAAGUACGUGUUUUUGAUAAUUUAUGUUGCGUGGAGGGGAGGGGUUAUGGUUUGAGGUGAGGUAAAGACCAAAAUACACCUUUGAAACUAAAUCAUAAUUGCUGAAAUUUUUAGUUUACGACUUGGGUUGAUAAGUUGUCACUUAGGUGACGGUUUAUCACCUCAAGUCGUCACUUUUGUGGCUAAAAUUAUCACAUACUGUUUAUGGGUGGCGACUUGGUCUGAUAAGUCGUCGCUUAGGUGGCAGAUUAUCACCUCAAGUCGUCACUUGGAAGCUGAAAUUGAUAAGUUUCUGGUUGGGAUGAUGACUUGGGCUAAUAGGUCUUCACUUAGGUGACGACUUAUCAACUCAGGUCGUCACUUGGAAGUUGAAAUUGAUGAGUUUCUGGUUGGGCUGACAACUUGGGCUGAUAGGUCGUCACUUAGGUGAUGACUUAUCAACUCAGGUCAUCACUUGGAAGUUGAAAUUGAUGGCAUUCUAUUUAAGUCUGACGUCUUGGGCUGAUAAGUCAUUACUUAGUUGAUGGCUUAUCAACUCAGAUCGUCAAAUUGUUGACAGACGGACAUGCUGAAGUAAAAUAAGUAUAACUUUCCACUCCAAUAUCGGAUUAAGGUGAAACCAAAUGCAUUGCAAAAAAGAUUCAAAGAUCUUUCAUUUUAUAUAUAUUAAUCCACCUAACUCAUUAUGUACAAGGAGUAAUGGUCAUUUAAAUUUGACCCAAGCUGAAAUAUUUGCUAAAACUUAAUCAAUAGAAGAAUUCUCUACUCGUCUUUGAGUUAGGAGAUUUUUAUCUCCUCGACUGAUAUAAAAGGACAUUUUUAUACUAUAUAAUUGAUCAUCACACAUAUAUAGACAUAGAAUCAUUAGGUUCAGGUCUGUAUACUUUGCAACAACGGUUUGAAUUCUAGCCCAAAAAUGUGGGGUGUUAUAUUAUCUCCCCCUUGGGAACAUUCAUACUCGAAUUAGGCUGGUUAAGCUGAAAACACUGAGGAAUUGAGGUUACAUGUUGAAAACAUGAUUACAUAACUGAGUCUGAAAUAUGACACAUGCCUGAAGUAGUUCGUGAAUACUUGAAAUGACAUGAGGAUGAUAUAGCUGGAACUGAGAAUGGAAAAGAGAUAAUCAAAGAAUACUAUUACCUUAAGCUGAGUCUGAUCUUGCGAAGAAAAGAUAAGGGUUCUUGGUUUUCUUAUCUACUUUUGCAUCCUAAGUGGCUCCUUCAAUGGAAUGGUUCUGCCAAAGAACUUUGACUAAGGGGACUUAUUUGUUCCUUAGUCUACGAAUCUGACGAUCAAGGAUUUUGACUGGAACUUCUUCAUAAGAGAGGCUAUUCUGAACAUUUAUGCUUUCUAUAGGGACUACAACCGUUGGGUCACCGAUACACUUCUUUAACAAAGAGACGUGGAACAUUGGGUGCACUGAUGUUAAAUCUGUUGGUAACUCAAGCUCGUAAGUCACCUUUAUAAAACUGCUUAGAAUUCUGUAAGGGCCAACAUACCGGGGACUAAGUUUUCCCUUCUUGCCAAACCUCUUUACUCCCUUCAUUGGAGAGAUUUUCAAGUAUACAAAAUCACCAAUCUCAAAUUUGAGAUCUCUCAUCCUCACAUCUGCAUAGGAUUUCUGUUGGCUUUGGGUUGUCUUAAGUCUAUCCUUGAUUAACUAAACUUUCUAUAAAGCAUCAAACACCACAUCAGGCCCUAUCAAGGUGGUCUCACCUACCUCAAACCAACAAAUUGGAUAUCUAUAUCUCCUCCCACAUAGAGCCUCAAACUGAUCCAUCCGAAUGCUGGAAUGAUAGCUGUUGUGGUAUGUGAACUCAAUCAAAGUAAGUGAUCAUCCCAACUACCCUUAAAAUCGAUAACACACACUCUCAACAUGUCCUCUAGGGUAUGAAUGGUCCUCUCUUCCUGACCAUCUAUUUGAGGGUGAAAGGAUAUACUGAGAUAAACCUAGGUGCCAAGACCUUUCUAAAAAGCCUUCCAAAAGUGAGAGGCAAAAUUGAGUACCUCUAUCAGAAAUGAUAGAUAGAGGAACACCGUGAAACCUAACCAAAUCCUUGAGAGGCCAUCCUAUCCAUAAUGACCCAAAUUGAAUCAUAUUGAUGAUGAGUACGAGGAAAACCUGUCACAAAGUCCAUGUUCACCUCUUCCCACUUCUAAUUGGGAAAGUUGAACUCUUGUAUGGAACCACUAGGCUUUUGGUGCUUAAUUUUAACCUGCUGACAAUUAGAGCACUUAGCUACAAACUUUGCAAUAUCCUUCUUCAUACUAUUCCACCAAUAGAUUUUCAGCAAAUCGCGGUACAUCUUAGUGGCCCCUGGAUGAAUAGAGUAAUGCGGACCAUGAGAUUCAGCAAGAAUUUAUUGUCUCAAAUCGUCUACACAUGGUACAGACAGUAUACCCUGGCAACAUAACAUACUAUCUCCCCCUUGGGAGAAAACCUCUAAUUUUUGAUCUUUAACUGACUCUUUCAACUUUACUAGAUUAAGAUCCCUAUCCUACUUUUCUUUCACUUCAGCAACCAAAGAAGAUUACGAACUAUUCUGCACCCAUACACUACCCUCAGCGGAAUUAACCAAAUGAACACCUAAUCUAGCAAGCUGAUGAACUUCCCUAACUAACUUCUUCCUAUCAUACUCAACGGGAGCAACACUACCCAUAGACAACCUACUGAGGGCAUCUGCCACUUCAUUAGCCUUUCCCAGAUGAUACGGAAUACUCAUGUUACAAUCUUUUAAUAAUUCUAACCAUCUCCUCUGAUGCAGAUUCAAAUUCUUCUAAUGCAAGAUUUUUUGGUCCGUGAACACAUCAACAUGCACCCCGUACAAAUAGUGCCUCCAAAUAGUUAGGGUAAACACAACGGCUCCUAGUUCAAGAUCAUGCAUAGGGUAAUUCUUUUCAUGGGGAUUAAGCUAUCUAGAGGCAUAGGAUAUGACCUUAUUUUUUUGCAUCAACACACUCCCCAAACCAACUCUAGAAGCAUAAAAGUACACAACAAACCCAUCUAAAUCGUCCGACAAAGUCAAAACAAGGGCUUUGGUGAGUUGAGUCUUCAACUCCUAAAAACUCCUUGCAAAAAUUUGACCACUAAAACUUGACUUUCUCCUGAGUCAAUCUAGACAUGGGGGAUGCAAUAGAAGAAAACCCUUUAAUAAACCAUCGAUAAUAGCCAGCAAAACCCAAAAAACUCCUCAUAUCUGAUAGAGAGAUAGGUCUGGGGAAAUUUUUUACUACCUCGGUCUUUUGAGGAUCAACUCUAAUAUCAUCACCAAAAAUUAUAUGACUAAGGAAAGCUACUGACCUUAGCCAAAAUUUGCAUUUAUUGAAUUUGGCGAACAACUGAUGGGCUCUAAGGGUCUGCAACACAAUUCUGAGAUGGUCUGCAUGAUCAUUUUCACUAUAAGAGUAGACAAGAUUGUCAUCAAUGAAGACUAUGAUAAACAUGUCCAAGUACUUCUUAAUCACUCGAUUCAUCAAGUCCAUAAAGGCUACUGGGGCAUUUUUUAGACCAAAGGACAUAACUAGAAACUCAAAGUGACCAUACCGAGUUUGAAAAGCUAUUUUUGGAAUGUCACAUUCUCUGACUCUGAGCUGAUAAUAGCCAGAUCUGAGGUCUAUCUUGGAGAAAUAGUUGGAACCCUGAAGUUGGUCAAAAAGUCAUUGAUUUUAGGAAAUGGGUAUUCAUUCUUGAUUGUGACUUUGUUCAAAUAACGUUAGUAUAUGCACAUUCUAAGAGAAUCAUCUUUUUUAUGCACCUAUUGGACUGGUGCACCCCACGGGGAAAUGUUGGGCUUAAUGAAUCCCUUAUCUAGGAGAUUUUUUAACUGUUCUUUCAACUCCUUGAGUUCGGCUGGAGUCAUCCUGUAUGGCGGAAUAGAGAUAGGUUGGGUAUUUGGAAGAAGGUCUAUUCAAAAUUUAAUUUCCCUUUCGGUAGGAACUUCGAUAAAAUCUUAAGAGAACACAUCUAGCAAUUCUCUUACUACUGAAACUGACUCAAGACUGGGGGUCUCAGAAUUGGAGUCUUUAACUCAAAAAAGAUGGUAAAUACACCCUUUGGCUAUCGUUUUCCUCGCUCUAUGAUACGAAACAAGUUGACCCCUAAGCAUUGUAGUACUACCCCUCUAUUCAAGGACUGGUUUAUGUAGAAACUAAAUAUGAACCCCUUUAUUUCUGCAAUCCACUGUAGCAUAGCAUGAAUAGAGACAAUCCAUAUCGAGAAUGACAUCAAAAUCCAUUAUCUCUAAUUCUACAAGGUCUGCUGAAGUAACUUUUUGAGACACUGUAACCGGGAAGUUCCUAUAUACCCGCCAAACUACGAUAGACUUACCCACUGGGGUAGAUACUGAAAAGGGAUCUGUUAUUUUUUCUGGACUGAUUCCAAAGUCGACCGCUAUAUAUGGGGUGACAAAAGAAAGGGAAGCUCUGAGAUAUAGCAAAGCAUAAACUUGUAAAUGAAAGACUUGCAACAUACCAGUAACCAUGUCAGGAGAACUUUCCUUACCCUGUCAGGACUGAAGUGCAUAAAGCCUAUUCAGAUGCUGACUGAUAAUAGCACUGGAAGCGUGCCCUACUGAGUUGGGCGAUCGGCUGGAGUUGAUGACUAAUGAGACUGGCUUGAUUGGCGCACAUCCCUGCUCUUCUGAGCAACCACUAGACACUCUUGAAUCCCAUGGCCUGUCUUACCACAUCCAAAACAUACAUCACUACCAUCCCUAUAUUCUCUUAAUAGUUCCUACCAUAUUUUUGACAAAAUAGAUUCAUGUGACCACUGUUUACACUACCUUGGGACUUAGAGCCUGGAGCCCUAUCCCGAUUGUCAUUUCUGAACUUUGGCAUAUGAGCACUAGCUAAAGAUAGAGCCGAAGCUAAUGUUCUUUGAUAUAAAUGGAGAAGGUUACCACCCUCUGACCUUGUCUAAGCAAAGUUGAAACUACCUAUCCUAGCCCUCUUAUUCUCUCUUUUUUUCUCCUAAACCUUUUUCUCCUCAAUCUAUUGAGCAUGGACCAUCAAUAUAGACAGGUCCAUAUCCUUUAUCAAUAUUGCAGUCUUACACUCCUUGACCACACUAUCAGAUACUCCAUACAUGAACUUGCUCAUUCUAGACCUAUUAUCAGCCACCAUAUGGGGAGCAUACCUGGCUAGCUGAGUAAACUUAAGAGAAUACUCAUUCACACUCAUAUUUCCUUGCUUAAAAUUAAUUAACUCCAGUACCUUAGCUUUCCUAAAAUCUAAAGGAAAAAAUCUAUCUACAAAGGCUGUAACAAACUCUUCCCACUCUAUAAGCCUUGCAUCUGCGCCUCUAUCCCUCUUCUAUUGCUUAUACCAAGUAUGGGCUAAAUCCUACAGCUGGAAAGUAGCCAAUUUAGCACUCUCACUGGAAUUCACCCCAUAAUAUCUGUUACCUUCUGCACCAUGUCAAGGAAUUUCCAUGCAUCCUCUUCAGACUUGGAUCCCAAAAAUGAAGGAGGGUUCAUUCGGGUGAAGUCCCGAAUCCUAACUGCGGCAGUUAUCCCCACUGGGUUGGCCUAAAUAGCAGCUGGACGAAUAUUUUAAACUACUACAGAGUGAGCUAGAGUAGUGAAUGUAGCCCUAAUCUCAGCAUGCAAAAUGAGCUCAUUCAGGAGUUCUUCCUGAAUGAGCGGAGGUACUGGCUGGUUCCAUUUCUCCCUCAGUUAGUAUUUCUAGGAGGCAUGUUUUGUAAAAGAAAUAAAGAUUAAAUUAGAUGAAGAGUUUAAAUAGAGCUCAUGCUCUUUCGCACGACAUGAUAACUAAAAGAAGGAAAACUUUUCCUAAAUCAUUUUUGUAACCUCUUGUCCAUAAGUGUAGCGCGCUUCACAACCAUGCACAAGACUCUACUUAACGCAGAUUUCUAACUCCCUAGGACACUUUAAAACCUUAGGAUCUAAUACCAAGUUUGUAAUACCCUGAGAGUACACCCUAGGUGCUACAUGAUGCUUUCAGUCACAAGUGACCACAAGCUAACCGAUGAUACUGGUACCUGGUAUGAGCACUGAGUAAAACUGAUAACAAAAGAGUAGUUGUAGAAUUUAACUGAAAAAUACCAUAAUGUUUUAAAUCAUAGUUCUGAUAAUAUCUGCAAAACAACACUAAUAAUACUGAUAAAACUGCUAAUAAUGAUAAUUAAAAACUAACUGUCUGGACAAGUCUGAAAGCCUCUAAACUCCUGACUAUGGAGUUGAUGGGACAAGUUUCCAACUAAUUUUAGUGACUAAUAAACAGAAUAUACUGAAAUAAACAUAACAGUCCUUGAAACAUAAGGACUCACCACUGCUACUGUUACGGGUACGCUGGGAUAUCUAGGUGCGGUCGGGAAUCUGAGAGAACGAACCUAUGAUAUGAAACAUCAUAGUGCAAGAAAAUGAGUAUGCGGUUAGUACUUUGGAUGUACUAGUAUGCUAAAUGAGGUUAGGCUAAUAUGCAUGGUUUCAUAUGCAUGAGUAAUAACUGACCGAAUGAAUAGUAUCAAGUACCAAGUAGAAUGCAUGAAAUCUAUAAAGACUGAGAAUGCAUGAACAAGCAUAACACAUGUUUUGAAUAUAAUCUGUAAACUAAAAUAUAGAAUACUGAUUAAUGGAAAACUGAUAUAUAUGUAUGCAAAACUAAAACUGAUUACUAAGUUGAAUACUGGACUGAGACUGUGGGAGCUAUCAUCUAACUGACAUACCCCAAUGAGCUAAUUGGGGUUCAACCUAUUACCCCAGUUGGAAGGGUGUCACUAUUAUGCCACAGGUACUAACACAUGACUGCAUGGAUCCACUAAGCUACUAAAUAAUCAGGAUGUCAAUCCUAAACUGAAGGGUGAUACCUAGGCGGAGUCAAGCCUAAACUGACGGGUGACUCCUCAUAUCCUACGCUGGUUACGUAGUUCUGGAAUUCAAGGACUGCUACUAAUGACUCUACCUAACUGAUGGGGAAGCCUUCAUCCCUGCAUUCGCUCGAUGCUAAAUCCUACUCCCAACUGAAAGACCUGGAAUAUUGGGCUGACUAUGCUUAACUAUUUAAAAUACUAACUAAAAUGAUAGGGCUAGUAACUAUUCUGUAACCAUUCUAUAAAUACUGAAAACUAGAUAAGCAGCUAAAUUUUGGGUAUUCAAAUCCCUAAGACUCGAUAACAAUAAUAGCAAGAUUGUACUAAAACUUUGAGGACAUGAUAUGUAAGCAUUUAUCCAGAACUCCUUGUUGUGGAUAUUUCAUGAAACACUUGUAAUUCAUGGUUUAAACUAAGCAUGAGAAUAGUUUAAAACUCAAAGUAAUAGCAUGAUUUCCCUACUAAAAUCGCCAAUUAAGGUUUAAUUUAGUGAACAACACCAUUCAAAUGUGUAGGGAUUAAUAAAAACAAUAACUACAUGUAACCAUGGUAUAGAUUCAAAAUUCAUGGGGAUUCAUGGUUAAAAUCACAAGAACUUAUAAAAAUCACAACUUUGAAUUUGAAAUUGGGUUCUUGGACUCCAUGGGUGGAAAGGACCCAUGGAUAGACAUUUAACAUACCUUAAAAUUUUGAUCUUGAAAGAGAGUUAACUUUUCUUGAAUGUUCUUGGAUUGUGAACCUUAAAUUCUUGAUUAUCUUGUUGAGAGUGUAAUGGAGUCUUGAAGUUCUUGGGAGAUUACCUUAAAAAUAAACCCUAAUCUUGUUCUUGGGAAUAAAGAGUGUUAAGGGCUUUUGAAACUAAUUCAUAAUAGCUAAGUGAUUAUUUUUUAUAAUUUAUGUCGUGGGGGGGGGGGGGGAGGGGGUUUGAGGUGAAGAAAGUACCAAAAUACUCCAACGAAACUAAAUCAUAAUUGCUGAAUUGCUGAAAUUUUAGUUAAAAACUUGGGUUGAUAAGUCGUCACUUAGGUGAUGGCUAAUCACCUCAAGUCGUCACUUUUAUGGAUGAAAUUAUCACAUACUGUUUAUAGGUGAUGACUUGGUCUGAUAUGUCAUAACUUAGGUGAUGGCUUAUCACCUUAAGUCAUCACUUGGAAGCUGAAAUUGAUGAGUUUCUGGAUAGGUUGACGACUUGGGCUUAUAGGGAAUCACUGAGGUGACGACUUAUCAUCUCAGGUCAUCAGUUAGAAGCUGAAAUGAUGAGUUUCUAGUUGGGCUGAUGACUUGGGCCAAUAGGUCGUCACUUAGGUGAUGACUUAUCAACUCAGGUCGUUACUUGGAAGCUGAAAUUGAUGGCAUUCUAUUUAAGGCGGAUGACUUGGGUUGAUAAGUCAUCACUUAGUUGACGACUUAUCAACUCAGGUCAUCACUUUGUUGACAGACGGAUAUGCUGAAGUAAAAUGAGUAUAACUUUCCAUUCCGAUAUCGGAUUAAGGUGAAACCGAUGUGUUGGAAAGAAGAUUCAAAGAUGUUUCAUUUGAUAUACCGUAGGCUACAUAACUCAUUAUGUACAAGGAGUAAUGGUUGUGGAAAUUUGAUCCAAGCUGAAAUGUUCGCUAAAACUUAAUCAACAGAAGCGUUCUCAACUCGUCUUUGAGUAAGGAGAUUUUUAUGACCUUGAAUGAUAUAAAAGGAAAUUUUUACACCAUAUAAUUGAUCAUCACACAUAUAUAAACAUAUAAUCAUUGGGUUCAGGCUUGUAUACUUAGGAACAAUGGUUUGAGUUCUAGCCCAAAAACGUGGGGUAUUACAAAGGCCCGAAAGACCCCUUAGCAUACUAUCAUAAGCAUAAUCCAUACAUAAAUCAAAGUGCGGAAGAUAUAAUAAUAUUCAAUGGAAACUUAUAAACCAAAGUAUGUCAAUAAAGUUGUGACAAUACAAUACUCAAAAUUAUCAUUUACGAAGCCUCUACUGAAUGCUGACUGUCUAGGAUGGGACAAGGCCCCUGGCUGGACCAUAGACUAUAGAAAUCAACAUAUGAAGAUGUGCCUUCCAAAAUAUGGAUGGCUCACCAACUCUGUCAUAUCCCAAAUGUUGUGCCGAUGUGAUGGAAAAUGGAACUAUUCCUCGAAACCUGUAAUAUGGGGGUCAAUACUUGAAAAGUAUUGGUAUAUAGAACAACCCUAAAAUAACAUAUAUUUCAUGUAACAUAAUUGAGAGCAUUGUGAAAAUAAUUUAGCAUAAUAUAUAUAUAUAUAUAAACAUAUGGGCAUAUUUUAACGAGCUUCAAUUCAUGCUUGUAAAACACUGACUUAACUCUUUGUUUUAGUUUUGAGCUAGAUGGUACAUCCUACAUUCCUAAAAUACCACGGACUAUAUGUAAUUCGCUUUUGACUUGGUGGCCAAGCCCCCAAUUCAAGUUUACUGCAAGAAUUAGAGUAGUAUCAGUAAGGGGGACACGAAAGAUCACAAAGAAAGGUGCCAUAAUCCCCAAUGAAGUCAACAUUUCAUGGUAGUGUACAAGAUUACAAAGCAGGGCUCCUAACCAUAGUCCCAAAUUGGGAUGACAUAAAUCAAAAGUACACAAGAUCACAAAGCAGGGUACGAUAAUCCCGUGCUGGCAAAACACGAUUUCUAGCGAUGAGUCUUGCAACUCGUGCUUUCUUUGGAUAACCAUAUAACUGUCUUUAAGCCCAAUUUUAAUCUCUUAAAAACAUGUUUCAUGCUCAAAAUAUUCUCUUUUUGUUUCAUAUUAAGGGCACUCCAUAAUACGUAUCGCCAUGCCUAGACUUGCAAGCCAUAUCAUUUCAUAUCAUGUCCAUAUCCUUUUUCAUUCAAAAACAUGUCAAUGACCACCAAAAGAUUUAUCAUAUCACAUGAGAGUUCUUAUUUCAAAAGUACAUGAAAACUUAUGCCAAAACACUCUCUUUUCAAUACUUUAACAUACGGUGGUUAUCUCUUUCAUCAAUCACAUGAAAUUCUUCAUUUUAACACAAAAGGGCAUUUAUCAAUAAUCAACACCCCUUUGCACACUAAAGGGGGUUUAUAGUUCAUGCUCUCAAAUCCACUUCAAAAUCUAUUACAUGUUAUGACAAUAAAUUUCAUCAUGUUGGGGGCAAGGGGGGUCUUAAAUCACUUUUCAAAACUCAUAAUAUAUGAGCACAUGACCACAAUUCAAAUUCAUGGAAAAUCCCCCCUUAUUAAUUUCAUAAUUUGAUCAAGCAUAGGUUCAUAAUGCAUGCUCUUCAAAUGAUUUCCAAACACCCUUUCACAUAUACAUAAUUAUAUAACUUUAAAACUUGGUUAACCGAUAAACUUAUGCCCAUGAGAUUUAGGAUAACCUUAAUUUAGGAAUUUUUCCUCAACAAAACAUACAUAGGCAUUCAAGAAGAGCUUAAUGAAAUCACCAAGUGAAUCGUGUAAGCAUGAAGUGUGAAAUAAUGAGAAUUGACAUAGCUAUGACCUUGCAAAGGAGUUCAAGAUAUCAUAAUCAUCACAACAUAAGGCAUGAGUUUAUUUGGUGGUCGUGGGUCUUGAUUUAAAUUGGCACUAAACAUGGGAUAAGAUUCCGUGGAACAUAGGAAUAGAGGUAUCCGCCAUCUUACAUGAUAUGACUGAUAGACCUUAAACUUAAAGACACUAGUCGACUAUGCACCAAAUAAUAAAUAACACACUUCAUCAUUUCCAACGUACAAUUCCCCUACAAUACACCUAACUACAAGAGUUUGAGUCCAACUACAUAGUAAUUCCAUGUUGAAGCCUAACACGGAGUAAAAAAAUGCUAGCUUAAGCUAUGGGACCAUAUACUCUACAUCCCUUUAAGGAUAUCACUUCACCUUAUCACUAUAAUAAAACAACCUCCUUCUUACCUCUCCACCUACAACCAUGGCUCAAGUAUUCAUACCAAAAAUUUAACACAAUAAGAAACAUCUACUCCCUUAUCUAAGACAUUACAAAGCUUUCUUAACCACCAUCAUACUAAUAUAUGAAGGGUCAUUGAGGGACCGAGCCUAAGCAUCAUGAAUGGGAUUAACACUAUUUGAUUAUAACUUAUACUUAGUGCACUACUCAAGGUGGUACAUAAGAUGAAGAUACUAUACAAUAGACACGAAGUGCUUCAUAUAUCAAGUGUCUAGAUCAUAAGUAGAGAGUCAUUCGGGUAUAUGCAUAACAGAACAUGAGUUAUUAGGACUAGGAAUGGUGAGAAACGAGAGAGAAUAUAUCAUGAGUUGUAUAGCAUAAAGUCAAAAUUCACGUAGUCGACAAUUGAGAUAAGAAUGGCCACUUGAAUCUAUUGCUCCUCAUUUAAAGAGCUGAAAAUGGUCAUGAGUUUGCAUAAUCCUUAUCGCUUUGGCUAGACCCAACAUAAAAUAAAUCGGUAAUAUAUAGAAAGCACAGUUUCGUAGAACGAAGCAUGAUAUGAACAUUGGUUUAUGGAUCAUGAACAUCAUAACAUAGAGCUUGAAUACUUAAAAUAUUGGAUUACUGAGGGACAUUAUUGCUUUUAGUUUGGAGGUCAGAACAUAGACAUAAAUUACAUACAUAAUUUGGACCUUAGGCAUAGGCAUGACUUAAAUACAUAAAACAUUAGUAGAAUGACCUCUUAAAUUGAAGUAGGAGGAGCUUGCUUUAAUAGGCAUAUAUUUAUCAUGACUCUUCCCUAAAAUUUGACACCACGAGAAAAUUCAAGAACUACCUUAAUUCAUCAUCUCCCCCUUAGAUCAAAGUCACAAUUCUAGACUUGAGAACAUAUCCUCUCAUUAAAUCUACAAGCACAACACUUAACAUAAUGGGGGUAUCACCAUACACAUAAAUGCUAAACUACCCCUAAUAAACCAUACCCUGAAGGCACUGCUUUUCGGGAAUGCUACUCUUAACUUUUGCUAGCCUCUAUAGCCAUCACCCUACAACUCACACUCUUACUAUCACAUAACAAUCCAUUCUCCAUUACUUAACAUACUAUCAUUAAACCUCUAAUCGUUACCCUUACAACUUAACAAAGUUUUUAAAACUAGACCAAGAGCUCACAUUAUCUAUCUAUAUUUCCCCAAAUUCAGCUCUAAAGAACACCAUAUAGUAGCUCUCUAGGCUUAUCUAUACUAAGAAAUUCAAGAACCUAAACUAGGUAAACAUGGCACUUAUACUCAUAAAACCUUAUCUAACCACAUGCUACCUAGGGUUCAACUUACUCUUAUAAAACUAAUGCUCUUAUCCACCUAAUGAAUUAUCCGCAAUUCAUUAUUUUAACACUAGUGCUCAUGUAUGUAUAUGUCAUGCCCCGAACCAAGGCCCUAGACGUGACAUGCACCCGGUACUAUUGUUAGUAUGAGCAAACAUUCUGGCAUAUCAUAUGAGCAUGCACCUAACAUAAUGAAUAGAGAGAAAGCAAUAUAAAAUAAGAUUUCUUAAAGGAUAAAGUAUUUCAUCAAUGUUCUUUAAUGUCACAUAACGUCUAACGACAUAAUAGUCAUGAUAAAUAAGACUACAAAUUACAAGAUAUUUCUGACAACUAAACCAGCCUAUGAAGCCUCUAUUGACUAAUUAUAAAUAUCGGGAAAAGGCCCCGACAUACCUUGACACAGAAAGGAACAUAGAGAAAUUAUCAUAUCUAAAUAUGCCCCGAGUAGAAAGAACGCUCACCAAUUGUAGAAGAUGAUAAUCCUAAUGAGGCGUCUGACCACGGACUUAAGAUCCAAAACCUACAUCAUGAAUGAUGUAUCCUGAAAGACGAUCAAUACAUGGAAUGUAUUGAAAUUUACAACCACUUUAGAAGGGAAGUAAAACAAGAGAUUAGAAAUGACAAUAAAAUUCAAAAAUAAGUGAAGACAACUUGAAAGGAACAAGAAUAUAAACUAAAUUUAUAAUUGACCAAGUAAGGUAAAUUUAAUUCCUUUGAUUAUUUGUGGUAGAAAAUAGUGAACCAUCAUAAACCACCAUUUGAGCGCAUAGAGUAUGAUCUCGGCCCGAUUAGCUAAGCCUAACUACACCUUGCCAGGCAUAGGACGCGACAUGACAUAAUUUGUUAGAAAGCAUCCAUGGUUAUCCCCUUUUCGGGACACAUGAAAAAAAAAGGUCAUCCAACUUGAGGAAUAAUCUCUAUCCUAUGUCGGCAAACAUAGUUUUAGGCAUUUGUCGUUUCAACCUAUGCCUUCACGGUCAGCUAACUAACUCCCUUAUGCUCAUGACAUUAUCUUAUUUAUUUGAUUAGUUCUUGAAAUGUUAUUCUUAUUACGUUCACAUUCAUAGUUUAGCCUUUUUAGGCUCAUGCUCAUGGUUUAGCCUUUUUAGGCUCAUAAUUAUAUAUAGACACUUUAGGCUCAUAUUGAGAGUUAAUCGUAAUAGGUUCAUAUUCAUGAGUUAACACUAUCAAUAUUGGAGAGUCAUGAUAGGUAAUUUCAUGGUUUGAUAUGAUAUAAUUCAUGUACAUGAUUGGAAGCAUUCUUGUAAAAAUAUUCAUGUUCAUAUUAUUAUCUAUUAGGUCAAUGGGGGGUUCCUGGGAAGUUGGUAAUAUUAUACUGAGACUUGCAAAUUCAUAAUGUAUAAAUCACAAUGCAAAGAGUUUUACGAAUGUUGUGGGAAGGUUACAUUCUUAUGGAUUAUGGAACAAGAAUUAUACUUUUAAGAGUUUCAUAAAUUAUAUCUUAUAACUUUAAAAGAAACAUUCACAUGAUGGCAUGGCUGAGAUUUUGACAUGGAAGAUUGGACUAAGAUAUUGCAUUACAAUCAUCUACUGCCUGAGAUUCUAGAAGAUAGAUUGACAUGAGAUCCUAGUAGGAGAUAAAGCAGUUAUUAACAAUAAAAAGUGAACUCAAACUCCCAAUCUCAGAAUCUGACAAUAUCAAUAUGGGAAGUUCAAUUUUCAAAGGGCUAUUUAACAGUCCAAUAGGCCAAUAUUUUGUGAAAACAGGAAGAAAAUCGUACAAAGCAACCAAUGAAGUUGUCUUACAACUAGUGGAACAGUUAUACAACUAGUGCAACAGUCAUACAACCAAUUACACAAAUGCUUAUUGAUUCAGACAAUAUCAACAGUUAAAAGGAUGAAAGAUGAUGAUCAAAGAAAGAUGUUACUUUUCUUUUCUUACCCAAAGUAUCUGGGAAACACGUAUUUAUGCAUUUAAUUGAGGAAUAGGAGUAUGAGAGUUUCUUGGAUCCGAGAUUAUCUUGAGCAAAUUGAAUUGGUAAACAUGAAAUUUGAAGAAUACAUAAAGAUGGUAGUCUUACAUACCUCAAAAAUGCUAGAAGAAUUGUGAUUAGAUAGAGGGAUUUUACUUGAUUCUUGAAUUGAAUUCUCAUGGAUUCUUAAUAGUUGUGUUAGCGAGGAGAAUAAGGGGUGUUAUGUGCUGAAAAAUGUCGUAAAACUGAUAAAGAAAGAGGCUUUAAAAAGUUUGGGGGUUAUGGGAAAAAGAAGGAAUGAAAUCACCCCCAAGAAUGUGAAGAGUUAAGAAAAAAUAGAAAAUUUUCGUCUGGUAGGCUGUUCUGACUAUUCUUAUCAAAACAAAUGUAACUUUUUACUCGAGACUCUGAUUUAUGAGAUGUUGGUGGCAUUGGAAAGAAGAUUCAAAAAUAUUUAAUUUGAUAGGUAAUAGGUCACAUAACUCUAAGUAUUCUAGGAUAAAUGCUUCUAUAAGUUUGACCCUUGUAUGAACAUAUACGAAACUUAAUUGUUAAAGGACCUUUCAACUCAAAUUUAUUUAGAGAUUUCUUAUACCCUUAAUUCAUACCCAACACCACUACUCUUAAGACAUGACCUUUCCAUCUAGAUAUAAUAAAUUUUUUAGAUUCAGGUAUAAGUACGAGUAGUCCAAUUUGUUUUAUCUUUAGCUCUAACGUUAAGGGUGUUACAGUAUAUCACAAUUAUCCACUCAAUUUAUUUUCAUAAGUUAUCAACCUAGGAUAUUUCACAUAUCACUUCAAGACUACUAAUUCAUUCCCACAAAAUGUGCAUCAUUAAUCUUAAGCUACUAUUCUUGCCACCAUAACCCACAUCUAAAGUUCAAGCUUAUUGUCUAGCAUAAUCGUGCACCACAGAUGAUGCAUACCUCAAACUAUACUAGCCCAUCAAAUUAGAAGAUCGAUCUAAAUUCCUUAUUUCACUUAACUGUGAUCUACAAGAACAUAUUCUUCAUGAUGUUAUUACUGCACCUUAAAAUCUACUACACACUUUCUCAUAUGUUGUACUAGUUUACCACUAGAAGGUAAAGUCACAUAAUAAUGAUACUCAAUAUUAAUCUUAUAAUAUAACCCAUUACGAUCUUAUUAGCAUACUCUUACUUUCUCACAUCAUAUCAACUUAUCCAUGCAUACAUCCCAACUACCAUCAAAACCAGUGAGUCUCUACUUAUAACGUAUUGGCUAGUCUACCCAUUUUCAUUCACAACCUAUAAAUGAUUUCUACAACUACCAUAACUAUUAAUUCUGAGCUCCUUCCCUAUUUAAAUAAAUAAUUAUCACAGCUAAUCACUUCCUCUACAGACUACCAUACAACCAAUAAAUCUUGAUACAAUAUUAUCCAAUCACCAUAAAGGGCACACUACUCUCUACUUAAAGUUCACACAACUAUAACUACCUUCUUCACUCAAGAGUUACACUCUGACUUCUAAGCUUUUGGAUUCAUAUCACUAACUUCUGGACCAUUUUACUACCAAUAGGUCAUGACUCCUUAACAUAUACUACCACUCGGGUGGAACUAUUGUUCCAACAUUCUGCCACAAAUCUCUGCCCUUAAGCAUGAUAUCUGCAACAAAGAUUCUGAAAGGGACUGAAUAUACUCCUUACCUUAGGCUCAAACGCAUGAUUGAUAUAGAUAGGGGUAUCCAUUGGAUUCAACACACUUUGAAGCACUAACAGACUCGGUAUCCAUUGGAUUCAACACACUUUGAAGCACUAACAGACUCCUCACAAGUCCUUAUGCUAUAUCAUAACCUUUUAUGACUCAAUUAAAAAGGACCACAUCAUUUAGACUCUCAGAUUUUGCAUUGGUAUCGCCUCGACAAUGAGACAUAGCUAAUAAAAUUAGAGUAAGAAAGAAAUUUGUAUAACUUCCAUAUGGAUAACAAAAUAGCACGAUCUACACUAUGAAAGAAUGGAAAACUACUCCUAAAUUUCCGGUAGCCUCUAAAUUAUAAGUGUGUGUACAACACACCCAUAAGCAAGAAUCUACUAGACACGACUUUGUAGAUACCCUGGAACCAUAAAUCGUGCUCUAAUACCAAGCUUGUCAUGACCCGAGCUGAGAUCCUAGUUGCAACAGGCAUCCCAAACCACGAAGGCCUAAGAGACCCCUUAUCAUACUAUCAUAAACAUAAUUCAUACCUAAAUCAAAGUGCGGAAGAUAUAAUAAUAUUCAAUAGAAACUUAUAAACCAAAGUGUGUCAAUAAAGUCAUCAUAAUACAGUACUCAAAUGUCAUCUACGAAACCUCUACUGAAUGCUAACUGUCUAUGCCAGGUAGUGGAAUGUAUUGGUAUAUAGAACAACCCCAAAAUAACAUAUAUUUCAUGUAACAUAAUUGAGAGCAUUGUGAAAAUAAUUUAGCAUAAUGUAUAUAUAAAAAAACAGGGGCAUAUUUUGAAGAGCUUCAAUUCAUGCUUGUAAAACAUUGACUCAACUCUUUGCUUUAGUUCUGAGCUAGAUGGUACACCCUACAUUUAUAAAAUCCCAUGGGAUAUAUGGAAUCCACCUUGAAUCAACGGUCAAGCCCUCAAUCCAAGUUUGCCGUAAAAAUUGGAGUAUCAGUAAGGAGGAUACAUAAGAUCACUAAGCAGGGUGCCAUAAUCCCCAAUCAAGUCAACAUGUCAUGGUAGUGCACAAAAUAUCAUAAAGAAGGGAUCCUAACCAUAGUUCCAAAUUGGGACGACAUGAAUCAACAGUACACAAGAUCACAAAGUAGGGUACCAUAAUCCCGCACCGGCAAAACACGGUUUCCAGCGAUGAGUCUUUCGACUCAUGCUUUCUUUGGGUAACCAUCUAAUUCUCUUUAAGCCCAAUUUUAGUCUCUUAAAAUCAUGGUUCAUGCUCAAAAUAUUAAUUUUUUUAUAUUAAGGACACUCUAUAAUAGUUAUCGUCAUACCUAGACAUUCAAGUUAUAUCAUAGCAUGUCCACAGCCCUUUUCAUUCAAAAUUACGUUAAUGACAACCAAAAGAUUUAUCAUAUCACAUGAGAGUUCUUAUUUCAAAAGUACAUGAAAACUUAUGCCAAAACACUCUCCUAUCAAUACUUUUAACAUAAGUGGUAAUCCUUUUCGUCUAUCACAUGAAAUUCUUCAUUUAACACAAAAGAGCAUUUAACAAUAAUCAACACCUCUUUGAAAAUAUUUUAAAAAGAGAUAAUACAUCGAAACACUCCUAAACUUAUAUCCAAAACUAACUUUAGACCCUAAACUAAUCGGGCAAUUAUUUACCUCCCCUUAACAAUUUUCAAGUGAAUUUUUUUUCACCCUAAAAAAAUUAUACCACUCUCAAUACAGAGAGUGAAGUGCACGCGCCCCACGUAAUUGCCAAAUUAGUGCCACAUCAGCGACAUGUCAUUGCCACAUAAGAAAUUAUAAUUUUUUUUAAAAAAUAAUCCAAUAAACAUAUUAUUUUUAUAUAUUUUUUUUAAAAAAGUUCCUCCUCCUUCAAUUCUUUAACAGCCCCCCAGCCCCAUUUUCUCCUCCUCCUUUAAUUUGUUUUUUACCAUUAACACCAUUUUCACCAUUAACACCAAUAACUUGAUUUGAAUUUAACAAGAACUUGAUAAAUAACUUGUUCAUGUAGAUUAAGCCAUGACUCCUCUAUCAACAUUUAGAAAUCAACAAUUGCAAGUAGAACAAAACCUAAACUCAUCCACAAUAAUUCCAGAUCUACCAAACGAUUUAGCAGCAAUAAUACUAAUAUUCAUUCCUUUGUUUCGAUCUGCCAUGAAAAUACUUCCUUCUUUAAUUUUUUUCACCCUUAACACCAUUAUUUCAAACCUUCUCAAAUGCUCCAAUAAGCACACAACGAAGAAGUGAUAAAUUGUCAUAAGUUAUUUAUCAUCACAAAUUGGAUGUAGUCAUCUGAAAAAAUUAAAUAAAAGUAAAAAAAAAUUAAUAAAGGGAGGGGUUAAUGGAGCUUAGUAAUGGCGAACUUGAAAAAAAAAUUAGUCUAAAUGAAGAAGAUGAAGAAACGAGGAGGGGUGGGGGUGGAAUAAAGAAAACUUGUAAAAUUAAAAGGUGGGACCCACCAUUUUCCAUGUUUUUUAAGCAAAUUACACGCUGAUUUUUUAAAAAAUUGCCUCGUCAGCAAUUAGGGUGGAAAAAAUUCACUUGGAAGUUGUUAAGGGGGGUAAAUAAUUGCCCGAUUAGUUUAGGGUCUAAAGUAAUUUUUGGCUACAAGUUUAGGGGUGUUUCGAUGUAUUAUCUCUUUUAAAAAUAACUAUGAAUAUUUGAUAAAGAGGUAUUUAAAACUUAUGUUUAUCGUUAUUCAUUAAACAACACCAAUAAUAAUCAAUAAACAAAUCUCAUAAUUGAAAAAAGUUGGUUAUAGUUCAUGCUCUCAAAUCCACUUCAAAAUUCACAACACGUUAUGACAAUAAACUUCAUAAUGCAAAGGUGGGGAAGGGGGGGGAGGGGGGUCGUAAUUCAUGUUCUUAAAUAACUUUUCAAAACUCAUAACAUUUAAACACAUGACCACAAUUCAAAUUCAUGAAAACUCCCUUAUUAAUUUCAUAAUUUCAUCAAACAUGCGUUCAUGAUGCAUGUUCUUCAAACGAUUUUCAAAAACCCUUUUACAUAUACAUAAUUAUAUAUCCUUAAACUUGUUAAAAUGAUAAACUUAUGCCCAUGAGAUUUAGGAUAGUCCCACAUAUUUUGAUAAUGACGAAAACGUAGAGAAAUUUGACCCUUAGAGCUUAAAAUCCUUACCCUAAAUAGUUUAUCUUCUCUUGCUUAGGGAAAGAAAGACCUUAAUUUCAUCCAUAAAGGAUUGGGAACAGUUUGGGAGGGUGAAAAGAUCCCUUUGCCCUUAAAAUAACUCAAAAAAACCCUUUUCGACACUUGGGAAAGGCUUGGCAGCGCAAGGCCAAACCAAACCACAGGGUUUGCAGUGCAAGGACAAAGAAAACCUCAGGGUUUACGGUACAAGGCCAAAUCGUACCUGAGACAGGGUCUCACUAAAUCACUCAUAACUUUUGAUUCAGAACGAAUUGACGAACGAUCAAUUGAGUUGGAAAGAGGACUCAAAGAGCUUUAAUUUGGUAUAUAAUGGGUCACAUAAAUCCAUAUAUUACUGAAGUAAUGUUCGUUGGAAGCUGACCCAUGACAAAUCGCCAACGAAAACUCAACUAGUAAGAAAGUGCUCAACUUAAAUUUGAGCGAAGAGAUUUUUAUGACUUAAACUCAUCUCCAAAGAUGUUACCACGACAUUGGAAGGGUGAAAAGACCCCUUUAAUCUUAAAAUAACUCAAAAAGGAACACUUUUUGACGCUUGGGAAAGGCUUGGAGGCACAAGUCCAAAUCAAACCUCAGGGUUUGCGGCACAAGGCCAAAGCAAACCUCAGGGUUUGCGGCGCAAGGCCAAAUCGGACCUGAGACAGUGUCUCACUAAAUCACUCAUAACUUUUGAUUCAAAACUUGAAUUGAUGAACGGUCAGUUGCGUUGGAAAGAGGACUCAAAGAGCUUUAAUUUGGUAUUUAAUGGGUCACAUAAAUCUACAUAUUCCAGGAGUAAUGUUCGUUGGAAGCUGACCCAUGACAAAUCGCCAACUAAAACUCAACCGGUAAGAAAGUGCUCAACUUAACUUUGAGCUAAGAGAUUUUUAUGACUUAUACUCAUCUCAAAAGAUGUUACCAUGACAAAUAAUUGUUAUUCACACUAUUAUAUAAAUAAAAAUCAUCGGGUUCGGGUCUAUAUACACAGGAAGGACGAUUCAAGUUAUAGCCCAAAAAUGUGGGGUGUUACAUAAGUCUUCAUUAUUAUUACUAGGUUCCCCUGCUUUCAUCGCUAUCAAUCUUUUGCCAAUGAUACACCUAAUUGUCGUUUGAAUUUCCUUUUUAGUUUCCAUCAUUCUUUUGUUCCUUUUACUAGGCAAAGACCUAAAAAAAAAAUUUAAGUAAAUUUUCUAUGCUAUUAAAAUAGAAACUUGAUAAAAUAGAUUAAUACUUUACCUCGACCCUGGUAUAUAAAUCGUAAAACUUCUUCCAUUACAUCCGCAGCUUGUUCUUUCUAAAGUUCAAGUAUUAUUCUUCCUUUUUCAUAACUAUCCCAAAUGCAGUUUGAGAAAUGACGUCGCCCACCAUUAGUUGAAAGUGUGGCCAUAUAUCAAGCUCGAAUGAUAUUUUAUUUGGAACAAUCUCCUCACAUUUGCUUAGCAUUUCACUACAACUCAAACAAUAUGCUGGCAGCAUAUGCUAUUUCAACACAGACGGAUUAAUUUCACUCGUGGUCUCUAAAUCUUAUAUACUAGCUAUAUACAAGCAGAAAAAAGUAGUAUGUAUAACCUUUAGUUUCUCAAAAUGGAAAGCAGGUUUGAUGAUUUUUCUGUGUUUGGCCCAUUUUUCUUCCUCAAGACUUACAAGGCCUUGAACCAAUAACUUUGCGAAUGGAUUGGAAUGUUUGUUCUUAUGAUACGUAUAAUUUUUUUCAAAAAUCUCCUUUAUGUGUGUAGGUUCUGUGAUGAAUACUAUUGGCUUGGAGCCUAGCCAGGGAAAAGAAGUUUUACCUGCAGAAUAUUUAUCAGCUUUUGGGUUAGUAUUUACCAGCAGAGUAUUUAGGAAAUUCACUUAAUACAUAUAAAUAAUUUAUCAAGAACCCAAGAAGCCUCAUUUUCUAGAAUUCAGAAUCUAUAAACUGAAAAUCUUAGCACCGCCAGACACCCGGGCAAACAACCCUCCUCCAAGAAGAACUGUAGAGACUAGUUGGUUCACCAAACUACAAUUGAGCAUCACACAUUCUCCAGAUCCAGUGACAAACUACCGACUCCUCUUGAAAUUACGUUGUUGGAGCCAAGCUAGGAAUGACAGUAAGUGCACCAGCACUACUUUUCACCAGUUAAAGCUUCAUCUUGCUUGUUUUUCUUACUAUUGCAUGAAGUGGAGGACAUAAUUAUAAAGUAUGUUUUCUUAAACAGUUUAGGUAUUUAGAUGAGAUAGUUGCACGUUUAGAAUGAACACUUGUGAAUUGGGCAUGGGAAUAGUUUGUAGUAUUUUAUACAUGGAGAUUGUUGAAUUGGGCAUGGAGAUAGUUCCAUGUGAGGGAACAUGUCGAAUGAACACUUGUGAAAAUAAUAGAGGAAAAAGAAGAAAAUCAACAAACUAAGCUAGAGUCUUAUUCUUACCCUUUUUUUGUAGUCACAGAUAAAAGGAAUGAUCCUUUGUGCAACAUCAUCAGAGAAAUUGAUGGGCUUAGACUUUGCUUCAUUAUUUCUUAUACUCAGCUCCUUUAGAUCUCCAUAGAAUAACUUGUAUGGAUUUCCCUUCAGACCAUUCUCUCCCAAUUCAACACUUUCCAUGUAUCAUAAACUACUACUAACAAAAUUGUAACACACACUGCUGCUAUCAUCUCUAUUCCCACAAGUGAGAUAAAAUUAUUAGGCAAAUUUUCUACAAUAAAUAUGAAAAAUUUACUAAAAGUACCUGCGUUUUCUAUCACUAUAAAUGUAUCCACGACAAAAUGAGGUAGUUGAUGAAUUUUCCACGAAUAAUAAAGAUGUUUGUCUUUGUCCUAAUUGGUCAAAUUUGUGAACUUUUACAGUGUGAUGAGUAGACAAAAUAUGGACUAGAGUGCAUGAAUGAGGGGCAAGACUUCUCCAUGAUUUUUUCACUGGCAUCAUUUUAAGGAGGAUGUAAGAGUUCCUGAAGAGUUACAGUGGGUUGCUCCUCAAUUCUGGAACCUGUUCCCAGAUGAAAUCACACAAUACAACUAGGAGAGAUAUAAGCGAUGAAGUGCAGGAAUAAAGUAAAUAGCUCAAGGAUUUUACAUGAAAACCCCUUUCUUAAGGAAGAAAAACCAUGAUCUGCCUCCAGGAUUUCUAAGCCCCACUAUAUCUAAGCAACUCCUUGAAUACAAACUCCAGACUUCAGGAUUACUCUCCUAGUAAUAAUUCUAUUACAAGGAAACAGUACAGCAAUGCUACAGCACUCACCCUCCUGCUAACUCUAACUGGACAUACCAAGCUAACUCUAUCUUGAAAAUCACGUAAGUCUAGAUGAAUACAAUGAGAAGAAGUUUACACCACAACACCUACUAACAAUCAUAAGAAAAUGUAGGCAAACCUUUAAGAGCACAUUUACAAAGAGUCAAAUACAAUAAGUAAAUAAAAUAUAGCUUGAUGAGCUAUCAGUUCCCGUUGCAAAGUGAAGUCUUUGAUUUCAGCUUCAGAGAGAUAUUUAGUUAUAAGAAUAUGGAAGCAUUGGGUUUUUUGUUGAGGAAGAUGAGCAAUAUACAGUAUGAUACAAGAAAACCUAAGAUAGAUCCCAUUGGCUGAUACAAAAGGUGGAACUAGCUUUUCACCAUCUUUUGUACUUUGCGGCAGCUGUGACAUGUGAUAGUGAAAGGUGAGCCCAACCUAUUUUCUAAAUGGUAGAAACUUUGUCAUUACAUAAUCUCUAGGAAACAUAUCCCAACACACAAUUUUUCAAUCAUUUAAACUAAGGACUAGAAAAUUUUCCCCGAUACUAUCAUAUAAAAAAAAGAGGUGAGCAAUCAGCAUCUUCAAACAUCCAUGAAGCAUACAGUCUACCAGCAGGACUCAGCAACACAAGCCACAAGAAUUCCCCUAUCACUGAUGUCACAUACUUUUUUUGACCAAAAAAAAGAUUCGUUUUAAGUUUGAAAGGGUUUUUAUUAUUAAAGUGACAAAAGAUUGAAAAUUUUCUUUGAAAAAGGAUUAUUUACAUUUUUUAUUCAGAGUCGCCACUUGUUCCUAGUUACCUUUGGAAAUCCUUUUCAAAAUAGUUUGACUCUCGAAACUGAUCCACGAACAGAGAUUCUGACUAAGGAAUUCUGUUGACCGAGGGGAAGGUGUUAGGCACCCCUCGGUCCCGUGGUUCGACCAUGAUCACUUGGUAGAGCGUAUUGGCUAAUUUAACACUACGAAUGUAUAAACCAUACAAAACACAUAAACAAACAUCAAACAACAAUCCAAAACCGAAAUAAUAAUGUUCAGUCCAAUUAUACAGUCCAAAAUAGAAAAAUGUGAGAAAAGAAAUCCUAUUCUAUCCUACGCUAACCUAACGAUGCUUCUACUCUUUACCCGAUGCCUCAGACCUUCAUCACGAAUGUCUUCCACCAACAUAAUAUGUCGGGGCAUUCCCUAAAAAAUAGACAUAAAUCCUCGGGGCAUUCCCCGGCCAAAUAGUACAUUUUAAUCAAACACGAUAAAUUAUAAAACGUUCAACACACAUUCCACAUUCUAACAUUCAACAAGACACUUAAUCCUAAAUUUGCCUACCCAAACCUACAUUGGCCUAUCUAUUUCAACAUAUCAUAUCAACAAUCAAACAAAAUUAAUCCUAAUCUACUCUUUUCUUUAAAUUUUCAAUUCCCUCCCCCAACUUUUUUUAAUCAAUCACGCCAUUAAAACUAAUCAAAUUCAUUCCUCAAACAACCAAAGUCACAUGAUCAAGCGCAUGGUCAUAACAUCAACAACAUCGAUCAUUCAUAAUCACCUAACACAUAGUCACGAUCGUUUUAACAAAUUAAAAUAGAGAAGAGGCAAUGGGUUAAACAAAUGGACCUGUCGAUAUUAUAUUGAUAACAGUGUUUAAGAAAACCAGAUUCGAAAACCCGAACAACACCUCAACAAUGAACAAGCUCUAAACUCGAUAUCGCAAAAUAGAAACCCGCUACUGACCCCAAUAAAUUAACGGAGACGGACAACACUACGAAUCCCAAAAUAGUACGAAGACCAAAGAAUUGAGUGGAAAGCAGAAGAAUAAACUCGACCCAUACACAAAGCUAGAAGCAGAAACUGAUUCAAAACUGGACCAAUUUGAGUGAGGAAUUCACUGCUGGUCCACAUUUUCUGGAAAAAAACUUAACGAUUUUUGCCAAGUUUCCUUACAAAUCCCAGAAAAUAAUGAAGAAAUUUGGACUCUUCGAGAACUUGUUAACCGGAUGAUGAACCGAAAUUGAUUUCGAUGAAAGUUUUACACCGGAAAAGGGUUGGUGAAGGAUCGAACCUCGCACCAAUACCCUCUUCCCGAUCACUCUCUAUCUUUUUGGUCUCCCUCUAUAGCUCUCUCUUCGUGACUCUCUCUUUCUCGUCUCCCUGUGUGUAUGCGUUUCUUGCUAAGAAAAGAAAAAAUUGUUAAUGUUUCCUUGGUGUGUCUGUAUGUUUGGGUGGGUUAGUGUAGAAGAUAUGGAUGAUGAUGAUAUGGGUUCACUGUGUGUAUGUUUUCUCUCUAUUCAUGGCCUCCCCUUGUAUGUGUGUGAAUAUAUCUAUGGAGAAAAUGAUGAAUGGAGGGUGAAUUCUUGUAUGAAUUAUUCCCUAUGGGCCUCUCUCCCUUUUUUUAUUAUUGUUGUGUGUUGUAUAUAAACCAAAAUGGAAAAAUUCCUAGUGUAUAUUGAUUCAAGUUCUUGAAAAUGGAUGGGGUCACGUGGUAGGAUAGGGUAGGUGAUGGUAGAGGUAUGGGGUGGUGUGAGGAUAAAGUUUGUUAGGAUAGAUUAAAACAACAUAAAAUUUGUUACGAAUUUUGUUAAAGGUUGUUGUUUUUUUGAAUUUUUGUGGGAUAUAAUUAUACGGGUGAGGGUGCGUGGUAAGGUGAACUAAAAAUGGAUAAAUUGGGUUUUGAGAGGGACAAAAUUAGCUGUCUACAGCAUGCCCCCUUUGAAUGUAAACACAAUGUUUUCAGACAAAAAAGUAGACAACAAGACAGAAUUUUGUCCCGACCAUUAUUCAGAAAGAAUGAAACAGAAGGAAGGAAGGAAACUGAGUCUACACUUUGGACAUCCUACCUACCCAAGUGAUGAGGGAAUCGAGUCACAGGUAUCUCAAAGGAUUAAAAAAGUAGGGGCUACACUGAGUUGGAGAGUCGAGCGAGGUUUUGUCGAGGUUCUGGUCUGCAACUCUGUUAUUACAUCAAAAAUGAAAAUUACAAGUUAAAAAUAAAUAAAACUACAAAAAUCCUAUCUAUGCAGCUUCUUUUAGACUCUUGACUUGAGUUUCAUCACCCUAUUCUUCAGGCGGACUCCUGACUUGCAAUUUCUUUAACUUGUUGCAUGGCUUUAAACUUCUUCACCCUAUUCUCCAGGUGGGCUCCUGACUUGCUAUUUUUUAAUUUGUUAACUUUCAAUUUCUUCACCUUGUUGCUUGGUUUUCAACUUCUUCACCUUAUUGCUUGACUUUCAAUCUCUUAACCUUGUUACUUGACUUUCAAUUUCAUCACUCUAUUCUUCAGGCGGACUCCUGACUUGCCAUUUCAUCACCCUGUUCUUCAGGCUGGCUCCUGACUUUCAAUUUCAUCACCCUGUUCUUCAGCCGGGCUCCUGACUUGCUAUUUCCAUAUGUUGUCUUUCAAUUUCUUCACUUUGUUUCUUGACUUUCAUUUCAUUUGCCCUGUUUUUCAGGCGGGCUCCUGAAAUCACAUCAAAACUAAAAGAAAAUUAUCCAGACCCAUAUUAUUAUAAAGAGAAUUCAUAUGCCAGGAAAGUGAAGUUCCAAACACAAGAAUUAAAUUUUGCCCCAAUUUAUCAUCAAAGGACUUUUGUGAAAGUCACAUCAUUAUAGGAAUCAAAGGGAAUGACUCGACUAAAAGGUACGUCUUAUAGGAAUCAAGGGAAUGACUUGACUAAAAGGUACAACUUCUAGGGGUCAAAGGGAAUGACUCGACUAAAAGGUACGUCUUUUAGGGGUCAAGGGGAAUGACUCGACUAAAAGGUAUGUCUUCUAGGGGUCAAGGGAAAUGACUCGACUAAAAGGUACGUAUUAUAGGAAUCAAAGAAAAUGACUCAACUAAAAGGUAUGUCUUCUUGGGGUCAAAGGGAAUUUCUCGACUAAAAGGUACGUCAUCUAGGGGUCAAAUGGGAUGACUCGACUAAAUGGUACGUCUUCUAGGGGUCAAGGGGACUGACUCAACUAAAAGGUACGUCUUAUAGGAAUCAAAGGGGAUGACUCUACUAAAAGGAACGUCUUAUAGGAAUCAAGGGGGAAUGACUCAACUAAAAGGUAUGUCUUAUAGAAAUCAAAAGGGAUAACUCUACUAAAAUAUACGUCUGAUAGGAAUCAAAGGGGAAUGACUCAACUAAGAGGUACAUCUUAUAGGAAUCAAAGGGAAUGAUUCGACUAAAAGGUACGUCUUCUAGGGGUCAAGGGGAAUGACUUGACUAAAAGGUACAUCUUAUAGGAAUCAAAGGGAAUGACUCGACUAAAUGAUACGUCUUCUAGGGGUUAAGGGGAAUGACUCGGCUAAAAGAUACGUCUUAUAGGAAUCAAAGAGAAUGACUCGACUAAAAGGUACGUCUUCUAGGAUUAAAGGUUCAAUUUAAGAAGUGUAUCAUCGAACAAAUAAAAACUGAAAUCCCUAGACAAGAAAGUGUGUCUCCGAGGAAUAUAGAAUGGUGAAUUUUACCAUGAUAUGACUAUUAAACCUGUGCAGCAACAUUGCUUCCUGCAUUUGUAAAAGUGACGCAUUGCAACCCUUGAUAUUUACACUUUGAAGUCCUUACUUUGAAUGUAAUAUGUUAUCUGUUUCAUCAAAGAAAACUUGUGAGUUUAAAACAUGGUGGCUGGUUUGUGGCUUUAGCUUUUGUGGUGAUCACUCUUGCCCUUGUCACAUUUAACCUUUCUCCCAACCCUUAGAAUAUGCCAUUGACUUGCUGAUUUAUUGACUCAAACUCAGAUGAUUAAGAGUGACUCUGAAACAAACACAGUAUCUCUGCUUUGCCAUGCUCCUCAGAUAACCCCUUUGAACCUUGGUAUUUCCAUGAGUUCCCAGACUUAUCUGCUGACAAAACUUUUUGCAUGCCUUACUUCGGCUCACAAUCAUGUCUCUUUCAUGUGUUGGCCUUUUGUCUUGCUUUGUGCAAUUGAAGGAGAUGGUAGCCAAUUUUGAAAUCUUUUCUCACUUGUUUUGACAUGGACUUGACUCAAAAACGAGAAAAAUGACAAUAAUUUUUAUUUGGAUAACUGACUUAAGAAAAAUAAAAUAAAAAUAAAGAGAAGAAAGAAAAGACAAUGAAUGUCCCCUUUUGAAACAAAGAAGCAAAAAUUUAUAUAAAAGUAACAGCCAAUUCUAAUGAUUAUGUCAUGUCUUUUAGAUUAAUUCGCCUGAUCUUUUCAUCCACACUUUCUACUAGUUGCUAUUGAGUUAAUAACCUUGAAAAAACUCAUUCGGCUAGUGGCACCUUGAAGGAUUUUUGCCAAUAACAUCUUUCUUUCUCUUAGCUCACCAUUACCUCAUGGUUUUCGUAAGGGUUUUCACCUAUGAGAUUCUCUUAUCUUCAUCUAUCCCAACUCACGGUCGUCUUACGGUGCCCGUAUGAAUUUUCACUGAUAAGACUCUCAUUUUUUAUUUCUCUCAACUUACCAUCGCCUUAUGGUGCCCGUGGGGUUUUCACCAAUAAGACUCUCUUCUUUUUAUUUUUUUCUUGAUUUCUUAUGCUGAGGAAUACAAGUAGUUCCCAAAUGUAUCAUCACAUCCAUUGCAUGCUUAGCCUUAACAUUCUCAAAGAUUGAUCUGAAGGUCUUUACUUGUCUUUUGGAUAGGGUUAGAAAGAAAGGAUUACAUGGGGCCUAAACGACACUUAAAGUAGGGUAGGACUUCCAACUUUUGGAAUCGACUCAAACAAUGAGGAUUAACUCAUGCCCCAAUUUCUUUUGACUUUGGGAUCGACUCAAACAAUGAGGAUUAACUCAUGCCUCAGUUUUUGACUGGGCAAUUCUAAUUUUUUAUUUGGUUGGAUCGAGCCCUGAGUAGGGCAGCCUACGUAGCUCACCCUCGAGAGAGGAGAAUCAGGUCAUGCAUAGUUCUGGCAGUUUGUUCUUUCUUUUGAUCUGAUUUUUCUUUCUCUUUUUUUUAUUGGCUCUUUUUCUCUUUGGGACUUUUCUAAAUUUAUCUUUCUUGACACUCUCCUUUUUUUUUCUUUUUGACAUACUUUUUCUCUCAUUUCUUUUUUUGAAACUUUCUGACUUUGUUCUUUUGCUCGACACUUUUUCUUUUGAGUUUUGCGGACUCCAUCUUGAUUCGAAAAGUUGGGUAUGAAAUAAAAUAAUGAUAAGGCUCAAAUGGGGUAAACAAAGUAUGACACAAUGUUUGGAUAGCAGAAUGAAAUGCCUUCAUCAUAUCAAUCCUUGAAAAUGCCUGUACACAUCAUGUAAUAUGAAAAUGAAAGAUGAAUAUCAUUUGUGAUAUCUCUUAAGCAUUAAAUUUGACUGAGUCUAUGUGUCACUACUUCUUCUGCAUUUUUCUAGCAUACAACUCCACUUUUGUUGCUAUUUCUCACAUUGAAUGACUCAAGAUUUUGGUGGAGCUGAUUUUUGUUCUGUUCACGCAGCCACUAUUUGACCUAAUUGAGGAAUGUAUUUUAAUUGAUGACCAAGUUAUUCUUGUGAUUCUCAAAAUAAGUGUCUUAAUUCCCAAAGAAGGCUUCAACUUGUCACCAAAUGUCUCAGCAUUUUACCUAUUUUAUCAGAUGCUUUCUUUUGCUGACUUUAACCCUCUGAUUCCAUGUUCAUGCUUAAACUGGAUUUUAAGAUCUGGCUGAAAAUUCCGCUAGCAUGUCAUAUCACUAGAAUCAACAUAAAAUGUACUAUGUAAAGAAAACAAACAAACAACACAUAUUUAAAACACAAAAAAAGGACACUCAAUUUUAUUAAAAUAAAAGAUAGAAGGGUUUGAACAUAACGACAAAGGGACAAAAUAAGAUAGAUUCCAAAAUACAAUCCUAAAAUAAUUCAGAUACAGAAAAGAAAACAGAACAAACUACCAGACCUCUUCCUAGUAAGGAAAGGGAUGACUUCUCAAUUGCUCAGUUUGACAACUUAGCCACUAGUUUGCAUAUCAGCAUGACUAGAGCUUUCCUCACUAUCAAUAUUCUACAUCAUAAUCGAUCCAUCUUGAAUCAUCUUUUCAAUUUCUCUUUUCAAAUCUCGACAAUCUUUAAUACUAUGACCCUAAGCAUCAGAAUGAUACGCACAUCGUGCAUUAUGAUCAAAAUUUCUUUAAUGCCGAUUAAAAGUGUGCCUAAGGAGAGGAGCGACAUGCCCUCCUAUGCCAAUCUCUAAAAUAAACUGGCAUAUGACUCUCCAAUUGGUGUGAAGCUAUCUCUUGACUUCUGUCUCAUUUCAUCAUUUGUCUUGGAUAAAAAAUCUGGCUUAGAAGGGUUUUGGUAUGUUUGUUGAGUUAGAGGAUGACUCUGUUGCGUUAGGGUAUGCUAUUGUGGGUAAGAUAAGGUUUGAACAUGUGGUUGUGCAUUAUACACUAGAUAUGGAUGUGGAGGAACAGAGCAUAAUGAAUUUUGGGAGUGAUUAUGUGGAGCUUGAGCAUAAACUUGAGCUUGAGCCUGAGAUCGACAAUGGCGUGGUCUUCUUGACCUUUCCUGCUGUCCAACUAUAAUAGCAAAUGCAUUUUCCUCAUUCUUUUUCUCCCCAACACUUCCUGAACCCUUUUGAAUUGCUUGAGUAGUCGCUUUCAAUGUUGAAAAACUCAUAAUACGACCAGUCUUAAUUCCCUUUUCUAUCAUCUCCCCCAUUUUAAGGACAUCAAUGAACGGCUUGCCUAAUGCCGGUAACAAGUGUUGAUAAUAUGUUUUGUCCUAUGCUUGAAUAAAUACCUCCACUAUCUUACCUUUUUUCAUUGGAGGUUUUACCCUAGCAGCUUGUUCACGCCAUCUAAUCGCAUAUUCUCUGAAACUUUCGGUGUUCUUCUUCUUCAUAUUAGUUAGGGAUUUCUCGUCAAGAAUCAACUCAACAUUGUAUUGAAAUUGUUGCACGAAUUCAUUAGCUAGGUCAUCCCAACUAAUCCACUUGUCGAUGUCUUGAUCAACAAACCAUUCUGAAGCUAGGCUUGAAAGACUCUCCCCGAAAUAUGUCAUAAGUAGUUCUUCCUUCCCUUCAGAGCCCCUUAACUGGUUAACAAUAAUGUCUCAAAUGUGCCACUGGGUCCCCAUGUCUACCAUAUAUCUCAAACUUUGGCAUUUUAAAGCCAGGAGGAAGGUUGACAUCUAUAAACAUGCAUAAGUCCUUAUAUGAGACCCUUUUGCAACCCCCAAGUCCUUGAAAGUUCUUCAUAGCCAUUUUCAGACUUCUCAAUUUUCUAGUCAUUUCCUUUUGUUCUUCUGUCAUAACAGGCUUCUCAGUGUUAGAAGGAAAUUCAGGCGGGUGAGUGUCACCGAAAAGACCAGUCAACUUGAAUGUAGGCUCGGUAGCAUAACGUUGAUCACCAGUAAUAUUCAAUGCAGAAUCUCUUGUAGAGUAGGGAGGCACAACUUGGGGAUGAACAUCAAAGUAGAAGCUUCGGGUAGGGGUGGCGCCGUAAAAGCAUGAACAACAGGUGGAGCCAAGUAUGUGGUAGUCUUGGAUUGGGGAGUGAGGAAAUUAACAUUGGAAAUGGUUGGAUAUUGUUGCCCCGGAGUCGAUCCUGAUGCAUGUUGUGGCAUGUCAACAAAAAUGGGAAAUUGUGCAUGUGACAUAGGAGGCAAGCUAGAAAGUUACUCCAGAUUAUCAAUGGGAACUGGAAGAGGUGGUAACCCACUAGCCCAAGCUCGAUGCAUUUCUAUCAUUUCCUGCCUUAAUUUUUGAAUCUCUUCAUUAGCUCCUAAAUUCUUAUUUCCCGACCUAUCUGAUUAGUGACAACAAACUCGGUAUCCUUGUUGGCCAUAACUUUCUUGAUGACUUGGUGCAAUAUGGAGGGCCAGCCAAAAUGCCACAAACCAACCACCUUAAACUAACUGAAUAAGAGAUAACCAAUGUGUUAGAAUUCAGCAUUUUUUCAAAAACUUCUUUUUUUCUUUUUGAAAAGGUCACCAAACCCAAGAAGGGCGCCGACAUAUGUCACCCUCGAGAGAGGAGAAUCAGGUGUUCAUAGUUCGUGAAGUCUUUCCAAAAUGGCCAAAUUAAACUCUUUUUUUUUUCUUGAAACUUUAAGAAGAAAAGAAAAUAACAAUUUGUCCAAAGAAUUGACGAAUUUUUUUUUAUAUUUUGUAGGUUUAAACACCCUUCUACAAAGUGAAAUUCUAUUAUUACCAAAGAAAUCUUUUUGGGUUUUCAGUUUUGAAUUUCAUACGAAAAUGAAACUUGAACCUAUUAAAGGAAUUUUUUUUUUUUUGGUUUUCUUUUAAAGAUGUAUAUGACAUCUACUCUAAAUAAAGAGUGAAGAAUAUCUUUUAGUUUUUUUUUUUUCAGAUUUCUAUACAAAAUGGAACAUAUGAUUACCAAAGAAAAUCUUUUUGGGUUUUCAAUUUUACAUUUCAUACGAAAAUGAAACUUAAAACUAUUAAAGGAAAAUCUUUUUGUAGUUUUCUUUUAAAGAGGUAUAUGAAACACCUACCCUAAAUGAAGAGUGAAGAAAUUCUUUUUUGAAUUUUUUAAAAUAAGAUCCCCGAACCAACAAUAGACUGCCUAUGUAUCUCACUCCAGAGAGAGGAGAAUCAGGGGUGCGUAGUUCAUCCAGAUUGGACACUUAAGGAUUAACUAGCAAACUGAACCCUGAUUUAUGAGACACUACCAAAGAAAAAUGAUAAAAGCCGUUAAUAAAAUAUUUUUUGGGGGUUUUUCAAUUAGACACUUCACAUAAAACUGACACCAACAACUAUGAAAAAAAAUAUUUUUGAAAUUUUGAAUUAUGAAUGCAUGGUAAAGAAAUAAAAGGAAAAUCUUUUGGAUGUUUUUUUUUUUUUGAGAAAAUGAGUGCGAAAGGUAAAAAAAAUUUUAAAUUUUUGGAUUGUGAAAAAAAAUCAAAAGCCAUAAAGAAUUCUAAAAACUUACAAAACCCUCCUUUUUUUUUUGACUCACCUUCUCUUUUUCUCCCUUUUUUCAACGUUUUCUUGUCUACACACUUUACUUCUAACACAUGUUUUCCCCAAAUCGUUCUGUCAAAUGACCACACUACCCUCAGAGAUGCAACACUUAGCACGUACGGAUGCUUUAAAGGUGAGUCUCCUACAAAGGACCAAGUGGGUCCCGCUACAUCUCAAUAUGAUGCAGAUAAGCAUGACCUAAAGACUGACCUACACUGGGGUUUACUAAUAAGGCUGUUUGGGGGUGCGUAUGGUCUAUAAUGGCUACGAGAGCUUUCCACCGACUCCAUAACACCAAUGGCUCCCCCUCCUAAAAUAAGGGUGGCUCAACUAAAGGUCGUGUACAACACAUGUACCACAGACUUGUUGUAGAAAAAAUGACUCGGGUUAUACACAUGAAGCCAAAUAUAAAGUGGUAACACAUAAAGUAAAAUUGUAAACAAAGAGCACGUAGGCACUCAACACUGAUAAAAUGAAUACGAACAGUAACACAAACAAUGUUUAUAUACCCAUAAUGUCGAACAAAGCCGAUACAACUCCAAACUUAGCUCGAAUUCUGAAAAGUCCCCAGCAGAGUCGCCAGAGCUGUCACAUCCCUUUUUCAACCAAAAAAAAAAGAUUCAUUUUAAAUUUGAAAGGGUUUUUAUUAUUAAAGUGACAACAGAUUGAAAAUUUUCUUUGAAAAAGGAUUAUUUACAUUUUAUUCAGAGUCACCACUUGGCAUAAAUCGUGUGUGCCUAGUCACCUUUGAAAAUCCUUUUAAAAAUAGUUUGACUCUAGAAACUGAUCCGCAAACAGAGAUUCUGACUAAGGAAUUCUGUUGACAAUGGGAAAGGUGUUAGGCACACCUUGAUCUCGUGGUUCGACCACGGUCGCUUGGUAGAGCAUAUCGGCUAAUUUAACACUACGAAUGUAUAAACCACAUAAAACACAUAAACAAAUAUCAAACAAUAAUCCAAAACCAAAAUAAUAAUGUUCAGUCCAAUUAUACAGUCCAAAAUAGAAAAAUGCGAGAAAAGAAAUCCUAUUCUAUCCUACGCUAACCUAAUUACGCUCCUGCGCUUUAACCGAUGCCUCGGGCCUUCAUCACAAAUGUCUUCCAUCAACAUAAUACAUCGGGGCAUUCCCCGAACAAUAGACAUAAAUCCUCGGGGCAUUCCCCGACCAAAUAGUACAUUUUAAUCAAACACGAUAAAUUAUAAAACGUUCAACACACAUUCCACAUUCUAACAUUCAACAAGACACUUAAUCCUAAAUUUGCCUACUCGAACCUACAUUGGCCUAUCUAUUUCAACAUAUCAUAAUUCCAUCACGUUUCAUAUCAACAAUCAAACAAAAUUAAUCCUAAUCUACUCUUUUUGUUAAAUUUUUAAUUCUCUCCCCCAACUUUCUUUUUAUCAAUCACACCAUUAAAACUAAUCAAAUUAAUUCCUCAAACAAUCAAAGUCACAUCAUCAAGUGCAUGGUCAUAACAUCAACAACAUCGAGCAUUCAUAAUCACCCAACACAUAGUCAUGGUCGUUUCAACAAAUUAAAAUAGAGAAGAGGCAAUGGGUUAAAGAAAUUGACCUUUUGAUAUUAUGUUGAUAACAGUGUUUAAGAAAACCAGAUCCAAAAGCCUGAAUAGCACCUCAACGACGAACAAGCUCUAAACUCAAUAUCGCAAAAUAGAAACUCGCUACUGACCCCAAUAAAUCGACGGAGACGGAUAGCACUAUGAAUCCCAAAAUAGUACGAAGACCAAAGAAUUGAGUAGAAAGAAGCAGAAUAAACCCGACCCGUACACAAAGCUAGACGCAGAAACUGAUUCGAAACUGGACCAAUUUGAGUGAGGAAUUCACUGCUGGUCCACAUUUUCUGAACAAAACUUAACGUUUUUUGCCAAGUUCCCUUACAAAUCCCAGAAAAUAAUGAAGAAAUUUAGACUCUUCGAGAGCUGGUUAACCAGAUGAUGAACCGGUAUCGAUUUUGAUGAAAGUUUUACACCGAAAAAAGGUUGGCGAAGGAUCGAACCUCGCACCAAUCCCCUCUUGCCAAUCACUCUCUGUCUUCUGGGUCUCCCUUUAUAGCUCUCUCUACUCUCUUUUUCUCAACUCCCUAUGUGUGUGCAUUUCUUACGAAGCAAUGUUUCCUUGGUGUGUCUGUAUUUUUGGGUGGGUUAGUAUAGAAGAUAUAGAUGAUGAUGAUGUGGGUUCUCUGUGUGUAUGUGUUCUCUCUGUUCAUGGCCUCCCCCUAUAUGUGUGUGAAUAUAUCUAUGGAGAAGAUGAUGAAUGGAGGGUGUAUUCUUGUAUGGAUUAUUCCCUGUGGGCCCCUCUCCCUUUUUAUUAUUGUUGUGUGUUGUAUAUAAACCUAAAUGGAAAAAUUCCUAGUGUGUAUUGAUGCAAGUUCUCGAAAAUGGAUAGGGUCACAUGGUAGGAUAGGGUAGGUGAAGGGUAAAGGUAUGGGAUGGUGUGAGGAUAAAGUUUGUUAGGAUAGAUUAAAACAAGAUAAAAUUUAUUAGGAAUUUUGUUAAGGAUUGUUAUUUUUUGUAUUUUUGUAGGGUAUAAUUAUACGGAUGAGGGUGCGUGGUAAGGUGAGCUAAAAAUAGAUAAAUUAAGUUUUGAGAGGGAUAAAAUUACGUGUCUAUAACUGAUAUCUCUAAUGAGUUCUUCACCUUAUUCCCCCUGAGUAUAAGCAUCAUGUUUUCUUUAAGUGUGAGAACCCCUGCCUUCACUCACUAUCACCAAUCACCACCUACUUCUUAACUUCCCCUUUUUGGCAUCAUCAAAGAGGUUAAGCAGUAAACCAGGCAUAGAAAAGCAUACAUAUGUUAACUUAUGGCCAUUGAGACAAAACUGACAUAAGCAGGGAAGAUUAGAGAAGGGAGAGAGAAAAAUAGCACCAAAAAAAUUCAUGCAAAAAUCAGGAGAAAGUAUCAAGCACUAUUCAGAAAGAGGCCCAUAAAGACAAGAAGCAGUAGUGCUAGGGUCAUAAAAGAAACAACUUUUGGGAAACCAGACCCACUAGGGAUAGGGAAAGGAGGUUCCAGGGGAGAAUGAACCAACCUUCUUUUCCUAGAGCUAUAUACAUGGAUGUACAUAUGGAAAAUACAUAUAUAUACAUAUAUAUAUAUAUAUUAUUUUGUUGUUGUUGUUUUUUGCACAUACUUUUUCAUUGUGGAAUCCUUUAACAAUUAAAACUAGAUCAAAAAUGUUACAUUUGAGUGUUAAAGCUUACUGGGCACUUCUGCUGGUAAAGAAAUUGUGGCUACUAUUUCAGAAUAAAGUGAUAAUGGCCCAAAUAGGUACUUGGUCCUUACAUGAUAAUCUGAGUACACUUAGGUACAUAGAACUUGGGCUAUUUCACCCUUCUCCCUAUCUUUUUAUCCCUAUCAUGGGUGUGUAUCGACAAAAGAUAUAAGACUAGGUUAGACAUAGGUGAAAUUAUCCAACUUGGGUACCUGCUUACCAAGUCAUAGCCAUAGUAAGAGGACGAAGGAGAUUAAUUUGCAUUUAACUUGGUCUCACCAGCCCUAUUCUUGACCUAUUUCUUUAAAAAGGUUCUCUACUAGGUGUAUAGUAGAGAUGUCAGCAAUCUGAUCUUCAGUGUUACAAAAUACCAUUUUGAUCAAGCUAUUUUCCACAUAAUCCCUCAAAAAGUGAUGCCUAACAUCAAUAUGUUUUGUUCUUUGGGUGAACUGGAUUCUUUUCCAUAUUGAUGGCACUUGUGUUGUCACUGUACAAGGGCAUAGUCUAAGAGGAUGCCAAAGUCAUCAAGCUGCUACUUGAUCUACAACAGUUGAGCAAAAGAUGAUGCAGCUACAAUAUAUUCAGUUUUAGUAGUGGAGAGUGCCACUGAGUUCUGAUUCUUAGUAACCCAAGAGAUUAAGGAUGAUCCAAGGAAAAUGAGCUAUUCCCAACGUGUUUUUUGUAUCAACCAGUUAUCCAGCAUAAUUAGCAUCAGCAUAUCCAACCAGGUCAAAAUUUUCACUAGCAGGUAGGCCAGGAGUCCUUUUAAGAUAUCUUAAAAUCCUCUUGGAUGCCUUCAAGUGAGAUUCCUUUGGACUUUCCUGAAAACUAGCACACAUCCUAACACUAAAAACAAUGUUCGGUUUGCUAGUUAUAGGUAGAGUAGUGAACCAAUGAUCCCUCUAUACCUAGUCUUAUUUAAAGAGGAACCAGGUUCACCCAGAUCUAGUUUAGAGGAGGUUCCUAUAGGAGUAUGAAUAGGCUUUACAUCCUCCAUAUGAAACUUGUAAGUUCUUGAAUGUACUUCUACUGGCAUACAAUAUUUCCUGUUGUACUCUGCUUAAUUUUCAAAUCAAGGAAGAAGUUGAGUUCUCCCAUCAUACUUGUAACACCUCAUAUUUUUGGGCUAGAAUUUAAACUGUUGUUCUUAAGUAACCCAAUAAUUCUAUGUUUAUAUAUUCUUGAUCAUCAAUUCUAUAUUGUGGUAAUAUCUUUUUAUAUGAAUCAAGAUCACAAAAAUCUCCUAACUCAAAGUUAAGUUGAGGACUCUUCUAUCGAUAGAGUUUUAAUGGAUUCUCCAAUUAGGAUCCAAUUUAAAUGAGUGUAUCUCAUAGAAUAUAUCUAUUCAGUUGUCCUACUAUAUAUCAAAUAAAAGGUCUUUGAUUCUUCUUUCCAAUGUACUUGGUUUCACAUUAAUCCGAUAUUAGACUGGAAAGUUAUGCUCAUUUUACCUUAACAUGUCCGUCUGUCAUCAAGGUGACGACUUGAGGUGAUAAGCCAUCAACUAAGUGAUGACUUAUCAACAAGUCAUCAACCUUAAAUAUAAUGUGAUCAAUUCCAGUUACAAAUUGAUGACUUGAGAUAAUAAGUCAUCACCUAAGUGACUACUUAUCAACCAAGUCAUCACCCAUUACCAGAUUACGAUCAACCUCAGCUACAAAGUGAAAACUUAAGGUGAUAAGCCAUCAACUAAGUGAAGAUUUAUCAACCAAGUCAUUGCCCUUAAAUAGAAAGGGUCCAAGUUCAUCUAAGGGUUGACUACUUAAGUUGAUAAUCCAACAACUAGUUGAUAAGCUAUCAACUAAGUCAUCAACUAAAAAUUUCUGCAAUUCUUAAUUUUUGUAGGGGUAUUUUGGUAUUUUCCUCAUGUCAAACCCUACCCCUCCCACGACUUAAAGCAUCAUAAGGCAUUAUUUUCCCUCAUAUUCAAUUACUUAAUAUGUUAUUUCUUCUCCCACUCUAACGAACAAUAAGAUUAGGGUUUCUUCCCAAGAACAAGAAACUCAAACUUUCCUCCCCCAAGAAUCCAAGAAUUCAAUUCUCCUCAUCAAGAAAAAAACAAGAAUCUAAGUUCCUUAGUCCAAGAAGUUCACAAAAGUUUUCACGAUUAUAUCCAAGGCUUUCAAGUUCAAGCUUUCUCCAAUAAAUCAAGUCUAUUAAUGUAUGUGGGGUUAUGAACAAGGGUAUCCAUUCACCCUUGUGCCCAAAAUUGCAUAAAUUUAAUAUUUGAUUACUCUUUUUGAAUUAGGGUUCAUACCCAAACUUCUAUAUAUUCUUGAAGCAUGUUAUUAUCAUGAAAUUUAAAGAUUUUAGUGUAUAUAUCAAGAAGUGCCUAUGUUAUAUUUUUAACUUACAUGAUUUAGAUUGUGAAUGAGAUUGCACUUUCUUGAUUUGUUAUUGUGAAGUACUUCAAGAAUAACAUUUAGCAUGAAGUUUUGAUGUGAAUUGAUAUGAGUUUAAAGAAUGAGUUUUAAGCCCUAAGUUUAAGUCUUGAGAUUUUAAGAAGAUUAUAUUUUAAGAAAUCUUUGAUAAGCAUAUAUUCAGAUUUAAGCAAGAAUUGAUCUUUUGAUCCUCAGUUAAGAUAUGAAAUUCACACAUGUUAGUUUUGAUUACAGUUUAAAAAAAAUAGAUGCAUAACUGGUUUUCAUUAUAAAUCCUUAUGCUAUUUUAAGGUGGAUUUCCUACAGAAUGGGCAUAUAAGUAAGGGAGUAGUAUUUAGCACCGAGUUAGGUAUGUGUCCUAGUUCACAUGCCCCAAAACUACGAGCUAAUGUAGGUUCAGAUUAUUUCUAUUUAUAUGGAUACUGAUACAAAUUAUGAUCACUUAGCUCAGGUCCUACUCCAUGGCAAGAGUAUGACAGCUCUCCCCAACGUGAGCUUUUUCUCGCAGAGAAAUAAUAUGUUGGACUCCAUGAUAGCUCACAAAUUUUAGAACCAAGUGUUAUGGCUAACAAAUUUAUUCUUAUGCUUCAUUACUCAUGUUUAUGAUUUUACAUCUUAGUUUUAUUCAAGCCAAGGUGAGUCAUUUACACUUAGCAUACAUUCUUGAAAAUUUUAUAUGAAUAUUAAGUUAUUUUUUUACUUAUGCAUUCACCCCACUUGCUCAGUACAUUCCAAGAGUACUGAUUCACAUAUACGUCUAUGUGCCACAUUAUUUAAUAAUGUAGGCACAAGUUGUAGCACACACAUCGUAAUCAGACAGUUUGCAGCUUCCAGGUCAUGAGUCCUUUUGAAUCAAGGGAUUUUAUCAGUCAUAGUUCGAGUAGCAUUUUUUGUUCUACAGCAUAUGAGUUCGAUCCAUUAGGUUCUUUUGGCCAUGAACUAGAUCAGAAUCAUUCUCCUUGGGGUAAUGCGCCAGGUGCCGUAGAUUCGAGAUAGUUGGGGUUCAUGUCCGGCUACUUACAGUCAAUACUACUAGAGGCUUCAUAGACAGUCAGUAGAGUUGAUGUAUUUGAUUCCAGUUUUAUUUUGUAUAAGAAGGGUUGUAAUCAAUUAAAUGUAGUUCUGUAUUGAUCAUAUUCAAAAAAUAUUUAUCUUUCGCUUAUUUCAUUCAGAUUUAUGCAUUUUAUUCAGUUGCUCAUGAGUUAUGCUAGUACAAGGGUUAGCUUGGGAUCACUUGUCAUCCUAAGCACUGUGUGACAUAUAGUCAGUAGUCUCAGGGAGUUACAAUACUCAUCUCAAGCUCACUACUCAUCAAUCUGGGAAACUCAUCACAAAGUGAGCUGGUAGUGGCUCCAAAGAUGAUAUCAUCCACAUACACCUGAACAAUGAGAAGAUUCCUUCUUCUAGCUUUGAGAAAUGGUGUGUUGUCAAUCUUUCCUCUUUUGAAUCCAUUGUCAAGCAAGAAUUUGGACAACCUUUCAUACCAAGCUCUAGGAGCUUGUUUCAAUCCAUAGACUUUGUCCAAUUUGAACACAUGCUUAGGAAAUUCAACAUUUUCUAAACCUGAAGGCUAGUUGACAAACAUUUUUUUCUUGAGGAGACCAUUUAAAAAGGCACUAUUUAUAUCCAUCUGGAAUAAUUUGAACUCCAUGUACGAGGCAAAUACAAUGAGAAUUCGAAUUGCCUCCAUUCUAGCCACUAGAGUAAAUGUUUCAUCAUAAUCUAUGCCUUUUUCUUGGUUAUAACCUUGCAUAAUAAGCCUAGACUUUUUCUAAUAGUAUUCCCAUGUUCAUCUACCUUAAUGCUGUAAACCCACUUGAUCCCUAUGAUAGUUCUAUCUGAUGGCCUUGGGACUAGGAGCCAAACCUUGUUUUUCUCAAAUUGAUGAAGUUUUUUUGCAUAGCAUUAAUCCAAUCAUGAUCCUUCAAUAGUUCUUUACAUUCUUGGGUUCAAUUUAUGACAAGAAUACAGAGAAAGCACAAAGGUUCUUUGCUCUGUUCCUGUGUGUAUGUCUGAGUUCAGAGGAGAUAAUAGAUUGUCAAGAGGAUGGGAGGAUUGAUUCUUCCGACUAGAUUUGAGAGGAGUGGGUUGACUAAUGUUGGGACCAGUGUUCCCAUUGAGGUGUCACCCUCAGGAGACUUAUUAUUUCCUUCACAUGAUAGAGGGUCAGGAUUUGAAGAAAUGGCUUAUGAUGUGUCACUAUUCUUCUAAUCUUCUGUAUCUUCAUCUUCAGUUCCUGAUUUUAGACCCUGAGAUACAGCUUCAUCAUCAUCCUCAAGUAGCUUUUCUAGAACAUUUAUUGGGAUUCCUAACUCAUCAUUAUCAUUAUUAGGAGAGCUGCUCUUACUGAUGUUCCUAGCUUCAUAAAAUAUAAUAUGAACACUUUUCUUCACACAUUGUGUCCUUUUAUUUUAGAUCCUGUAAGAUUUGCUAGUGGAAGAGUAACCAACAAAUAUUUUCUCAUCACUUCUUAGAUCAAAUUUUGCAAGAUCUUCCUUGCCAUUGUUCAGUACAAAGCACUUAUAGCCAAAAGGUUUAAAGUAGAUCAGCUUAGGCUUCCUUUGGGUUAGAAGUUCAUAGGAGGUAUUCUUAAGGUUAGAUCUUACAACACACUUUUUGGUCAUAUAGCAGGUUGUAUUGAUUGCUUCUUCCCAGAAGUUGUGAGCAAUCCCAACAUUUAUAAGUAUGGUCUUUCCAAUAUCCACAAGAGUUCUAUUUUUUCUCUCUAUAACACCAUUUUCCUGGGGUGUUCUGGGAGCUGAAAAAUUAUAACUGAUUCCUAGUUCAGUGGAAAAUUGAUUGAACUUGGCAUUUUUAAAUUCUAUACCAUGAUCAGACCUAAUUGUUGCAAUUUUCUCAUCAUACUUCACUUGCACUUGCUUUCCAAAAGCCUGAAAUAGAUAAAAAUAUUUCAUCCUUUGAUUUUAGAAAGAAGGUCCGGGUGAAUUUGGAUUAAUCAUCAACAAUAACCAAGAUGUACUUCUUUCCACCUAUGCUGGCAAGCUUUAUAGGUCCACACAAAUCCGUGUGGAGAAGUUGUAGAGGUCUGGAUGUACUCACUUCUCUCUUGGUCUUAAAGGAGGACUUUGUCUGGUUUCCUUUUGCACAUACAUCACACACCUUGGAACUGACAAAUUUAACAUUUGACAAACCUUGAACCAUGUCCUUCUUGACUAAUUUAUUUAGCAUCUUGCAACUAACAUGACCAAGUCUUCUAUGCCAUGUAUCUACAACAUCUUCUUGUACACUAAGGCAUAUCAUGUUUUUGGACUCACAGGAACCUAAAUUAGCAAAAUAUAUAUUCUUGUUUCUCCAGGCUACCUACAUUUCUUUACAAUCACUGAGCCUAAAGAAAGUACAUUUUUUGACCUAAAUCUGACUUCAUUUCCUUUAUCACUGGUUUGGGAAACAUUGAGUCCAUUAACAAAAUGGACAUUAUCAAUUGCCUCAUUCAAUUUGUUCCUAAUUUUUCCUUUUCCAACAAUGUAUCCUUUGUUUCCAUCACCAAAGGAGACUACCUCCCUCAUAGGAUUUAAGCGAUAAGAAGUCACUAAUUCCUCCAUUCAUAUGCUUUGAACAAUCAUUAUCCAUGAUCCAGUGGUGGCUACUUCUUCUAGCUUUGCCCUUAUCAUCUUCAUCUUCAUCUGAGUUUUCCAUCAAGGCAAAGAGAGAGUCAUACACUUGAACAUAAUCUUCCAUCAUCAUCAUGGAGACAUCUUCAUGUUGUUCAGACUCAUCGGCAUUGUUGACACCUAAUUUUUGUCCUCCACGACUAAAUUUAAUCUUGGGUUUUUUUUAUUUUUAAUAAAAUUAAAAUAUUUAUUUCAUCCGAAUAAUUUUCUUAAAAAUAUAUUUGUAUGUAAUUUUUUCAUUUUAAGUAGCGAUUAUAUAUUAUCGUGUUCAAUUAUACGAGAUUAUACAAUUUGAUUAUUUAAAUAUUUAUUCUAUGAAAUAUCGAAUUUUAAUUAAAGAUUAUUUUAAAAAUAAAUAUAAUGAUUAAAAUCUUGAUUUUAAUCUAAUGUAUAAUCAAAUAAUUUAUUUGGAUAAAUAUGCGUUGAUUUUACUAAAUCAAGAAGCUCGGGAUUAAAAGAAGUAUUAAUUCGUAUCAAAUUUUAAUUUAAUUUAGCCAAUCUAUUAGAUUUGGCCAUAAUUGAAAUUAAAUUGAUCAUAAUUGCAAUGCAAUCCACCAAUUGAUUUUUAAUUUGAUCAAAAUUAAAUAAAUUUUACUAAAUUUUAAAUUUCAAUUGGGGUUAUAUUUAAAUAACCCCAAAAUUCCCAGAAACUCUCAUAACUUCUACCCAAUUCCCACCAAAAAACAAUUUCUAAUUGUACUACAUUGUACUAUUUCCCCCCAACUUUUUCCUUUCUCAAUUUUAAAAUUCAAAAAUUGUACUACAUGGUACAAUUUUCCCCGCAUUAUCUUCCACCUCAUCUUAUCUUCAAUUUUAAAAUUUCAAAAACACCCCAAAAUAUUUUUUCUCCCACAUUGGUGGAUGACAAUAAAUAAAUCAUCAUCCCUUCCUUUAAAUACUUUUCUCCCAUAUUGGUGGAGAAAAAGAGGAAAAAUCUCAUUCUCUCCUAUAAAUACUACCACUACUUUGGUAGAAAAAUGGAUUGAAAAGUUAAAAAAAAAAGAGGAUAGAAAGGUGAAAAAUCCUUUUGAGAAAAAUAGUUAUUUUUAUUUAGUAAAAAUUUUUUGUUUCAUAGAGUUGGUUGGCUAAUCAAAAUUUUUGAGUUGCCGGUGACGUUUUUCGGUGGUGGUUGAUUCCGACGAAACUCGUAGUCUCGUUUUGCUGCCCCCAAAAUGUUAAACACACUUUUUUUUUAGUUUUAUUAUCAUUUUCUUCUUCAUCUUUUUCUUUUUCGUAGUUCGUAUUUAUAAUUUUAUUUGCUAGAAUUGUUUGUUGUAGUAGGGCUUGAAAGCCAUAGGAUGUUGUGGUAUCGAUAUUUUAAUUAUUUUCAUGUUCAUGAUAUAAAAAUGAGCUAGCAAUAGUUGUAUGUGCCUUUUUUGAUUUUAUUCUUUGAUUAUUAUAGAUAAAUUUCAAUCUUUACUUAAAAGAUGUACUUAUGCUUUGUUUAAACUCAUUAUUGAUGGAUAUGUUUGUUUUUAAGCAUGUAAAGUUAUUUUCUUCAUGUUGAAAAGAAUAUUUAAUAUUGAUUGUUUUGCCUUUUGACCUUAUUCUUUGAUUAUUUUAUAUAAAGUUUAGAUCUUUGCUUGAAAAACAUACCCAUGUCUUGUUUAAACUCAUUGUUGGUAGAUAUGUUUGUUUUAGUAUGUAAAGUUGUUUCAUUUAUGUUGGAAAAAUAGUUAUUAUUGUUUGUUUUUCCUUAAUAAAAAUAGUAAUUAGUUAAGUCAAGAAUUUGUCAUUUGCUUGCUAAUUAUUUUAAUGGAUUGCAAAAUCCUCAUAUAAGAGAUGAAGUGCUAGCUUUAUUUUCCAUCCAAGAUGUUUAUUCCUCUUUUGUUCGCAUGUUGUCUUGUCAAAAUAAUGAGAAAGUUUGUACUUCUGUGGAUAAAUAGAAUUAUUUGGAUAUUUUUGACUCAUGCAUAGUAUGAUUGUUGAACGAUAUUUCACUUUUAGAGACGCUAAACUUUUAUGCAUAUUUUCUUACUCUGGAUUGUUAUAUGUGCUCUUUGUGUGUGUAAAGACUUUAUUCAUGCCUCUCUUUUAUUUAUAAUAUAAAAAGAUAAUCAACGAUGUCUUAGAAAUAUAAACCAUAGGUCAUUACACAUUUUUCAUAAAAUUUUGAUUGUAAUUUAGAUGUAUGAAUUUUCAUUAAUGUCGCCUUAAUUGAAAUUUAAAGAUUCGCUUUCUUGAAAAGUUAACCUUUAUUUUCUUUUGUUAUAUGGAUUAGUGUCUAUGUUUGUUCAAUUUUAGAAGACAUGAGUAUUUUUCUUGUUUCCUCAUCCCUUUACUUUCGCAAGCUUACGUUGUUUGUUUCUCGCAUUAAUUCAUUGAAUAUGACCUUCUUCCUUUUACCUUUAUUCAUUCUUAAUAUGAACAUAAAUCAUGAGGCAUGCAAGUGGAUGUCUUUGCUUUGCAUUUUAUCUAUUGUCUCUCACUUUUGUUAUACGUGUGCCAGUGUGAAUAUCAUUGUAAUUCAAAAAUUGAUUCUUGAUAUUUUCUUUUGAUUUGAAAUAUGUCACUUUUAUGCCUUGACCGUAUAUUAAUUUCUUUAUUUUUUCUUUUCAUGCAAAAAAUGACUCGAGUCGAAAUGAACUCUUCUCCUCUUGCAUUUCGUAAUGGGCCAAUGAGGCCCACAUCUUUGAGUCAAGUUCAAUGUUUAAACUCAGGGUCGACUAUAUGGCGUGCGGGUGCUAGAAGAUAGACGAAGAAGGAAAAUGGGUCAAAAUUCAUUGAUGAGGUCACUAAGAGACUUGAAAAGUCUUGAUUUUUAUUACUGUCUUCUUUUUAUUUAUUCAUUUAAUCAUUUACUUAUUCAUUUAUUCGGGGCCUCGAAGUCAAAGUUGUAAACUAAUAUACGUGAAGCGGAUUUUGGGCCAAAAAGGCUCAAAAGUAUAGAUUAGGACAGGUGAAAAUGGGUUGAAAGCCCAAUUAGAUUAGGACAGGGUGAUGGAUUUGGGCUUAAGAGCCCAAAUCAUUUAUUUCUUCUCCUCCCUUUCCCCUUUUAUGUGCUUAUUUUCUUAUACUUGGUUAAAUCCCCUACUAAGUUGUCAAAACGUAUAUUUUAUACAAAUAUUUUCUUAAAAUCGCUUUCUUUUCAAAAACUAACUUCUCCUUUACAAAGUUAGUCAAAGAUAGUUUUCAAAUAGUCUGGAUAACUGCAAGUUAGGGGGCGUUUUAGGUGCCUUAAAACCUUCCUAAAAUGUUAAUAGGAGCCGCUUACUCAGAAUCUUCAAAUUUAAAUAAUUUUUCUAUUUUGGAUUGUUUAAAGUAUCGUAUAAAGAUUUUCUUAAUUUCUUUUCAAAUAAAUUAAGUGGCGACUCUUAAAAGUCAAAAUUUCCACGAAAAACAAGCAUCAAGAAGAGAGUCACUCAAGGUAGCUAUGACUUGCAUUGCACCCUAUCAGCUUCAGCUUUUCUGCUAUAUCCUUCUUGAACCUGUUUUCUGCCUCCUUUCUUCUCAUUGUUCUGCUUGGCAUAUUCUUUAUAUUCUAUCCUAUACAUAGUACAGUCUCUGAUGUAGUGACCAGGCUUUUCACACUUGUGACAUGUAUCAUAUACCUUCCCAUCAGUGAUAUAUUUGCUAGAUCUUCCUUUCAUGGGGAAGGCUCCAGAUUUCUUCAAGUCCUUGAUAACUCACUUAGCAAUAUAAGUCGCCUCUUCAUCCUCGACACUUAGGGUUUCAUUAGUAGCCUUUAUCCUUGGGCUCAUCCUUUAGCUUCCCAAGUUUCUUCAAUAUCUCAUAUGUUUUGACAUUGCCAACAAACUCAUUCAUAGCUAUUUUUUUCAGAUCUUUAGCUUCCGUGAUUGCGUUAACCUUUCUCUCCUACAUUUUUGGAAGAAUGCUCAAGAGUUACCUAACCUCCUUGUGGGUUGGAAUAUCUUUGCCUAGAUAGUGCGGCUCAUUAGUUUCUGCAGUGAACCUUGUGUGCAUCUCUUGAAUAGACUCUCCCUCUUUCAUAAUGAAAGUCUCACAUUGAUUUAUCAGCAUGUCCACCUUAGACUAUUUCACUUGAGUGGUUCCCUCAUCUCUUGAAUAGAUCUCUUUAUUAUUAAGAUGAUUUAUGGAUGGACUUGAGGCUCGUUAUCAUGGUCCAGUGACAUGCGUUGUACAUAAUGGGUCCUAUUCUAAGGUGUUUAACACUGCUCUCCAUUCUGAGUCCUAUUAUGAGAUGGAAAGGAUUAAUCAAGAAAAUAAGAAGGUACGUAACUCAGGUGGGUUUAGUGGUGCUCUGUAUGGGAGAAAGAGUGGGUUUGAUCGUGGACAGUCUAGGCCUACGCAGUUAAAGUCAGCGGGUCAAUCUUUAAGGAAUAGUUUUCCAGCUAGACAGGGUCAGCAGCAGCAGAUACAGAGGAAGAGUAAUGGUCUUUUUCAGUCCGAGCAGCAUUCGAAAUGUUCUAAUUGUGGCAGGAAUUAUACUGGAUGUUUUAGAGUUAGCGUCCUUGUUAUACUUAUGGUGAGAGGGGGCACAUUACUAAGUUUUGUCCAAAGGAGAUUCUAGGUCUAGUCAAGCUACUCCUCAGGUGCAGAGAUAUGUUGAGGUACUUAUGUUCACACUCAGCCAGCUAGGAUCACUCCAUAAGGUACUUAUAGACAGGGUCGAUAGGUUUCUCAAGGUUCUCAGAUAGCAAGUGGACCACCGAGAUUCUUUUCUAUGGCUAGAAAGGACAUAGCGGCAUCUAAUGUAGUAGUCACAGGUAUUAUUACUAUAAAUUCUUAAGAGGCAUAUUCUCUUAUUAAUUCUGGUUCUACAUACUCGUAUGUGUCUCCAUCUUUUCCUUUAUUCAUAGAAAGAAGGAUUGAGACUCUUGUUGUGCCAUAUAUUGUUAUGACCCUGAUGGGGGAGACCUUAGCAGUGGAUAGAUUUUGUAGAGAUUGUGUGAUAUCUUUUCAAGGUAAGGACAUAAUAGUUGAUCUAUUUGUGUUGUCGAUGACCGACUUUGAUGUGAUUAUGGGUAUGGAUUGGUUGGAGUCAUGUUACGUUUUGGUUGAUUGUUAUGCUAAGCUUAUAUGUUUUGAUAUUCCUGGAGAAAUAUCUUUUAUGUGGAAAGGUAUGACUCAGGGAAAGAUAAUAUAUUAUAUUAAAGCACGUUGAAUAAUUAAUCAUGGGUGCUUGGGUUUCAUUGCUACUGUUCAUGAAACUCGGGUAGAAGAUAUUGUUGUUGACAGUAUUCCCAUUAUUUGAGAAUUUGUUGAUGUAUUUCCAGAUGAUUUUCCUGGGCUAGCUCCAAUGAGAGAAAUUGAGUUCAGCAUUGAUUUAGUGUCAGGGACUCAACCAAUCUUUAUUCCACCUUACCGUAUGGAUCCUGCUGAGUUGAGAGAAUUGAAAGUUCAACUCCAGGAGUUACUUGAUAAGGGAUUCAUCAGGCCUAGUGUGUUACCUUGGGGUGUAUCUGUGCUAUUUAUGAAAAAGAAAGAUGGCAUGAUGAGAAUGUGCGUUGAUUACAGGCAGUUGAAUAAGGCAACAGUCAAGAAUAAAUACCCUUUUCCUCAUAUUGAUGAUAUAUUCGAUCAGUUGCAGGAUGCUACUCACUUUUCUUAAAUUGACUUGAGAUCAGGUUACCAUCAGCUGAGAAUCAAGGCUGAAGAUAUCACUAAGACAACUUUUUGGACUAGGUAUGAGCAUUUUGAAUUUUUAGUGAUGUCUUUUGGACUAACUAAUGCACCUGCAGGAUUUAUGGAUCUCAUGAACAGGUCAGGCCAUACUUAGACCAUUUUGUUAUUGUGUUCAUUGAUGACAUUUUGGUAUACUCUCGAAGUGAGGCAGAGCAUAGACAACACUUGACAGUUGUGCCGCAAACACAAGCUUUAUGCUAAGUUCUCAAAGUGUGAGUUUUGGUUGGGCAUGGUUUCCUUUUAUGGGCAUGUGGUGUCAAGAGAUGGAAUUCAUGUUAAUCCAAAGAAGAUUGAAGCAGUUUGAGAUUGGCCUCAACCUAGUACUGUUAUAGAGAUACGUAGCUUCUUGGGGCUAGCUAAUUAUUAUAGGAGGUUUGUAGAGGGAUUCUCAAAGGUAGCUACUCCAUUGACGCACUUAACUCAAAAGGAUGUGGUUUUUCAAUGAUCAGAUGAAUGUGAAGAAAGUUUUCAGAAAUUAAAGACAGCAUUGAUUUCGGCUCCGAUUUUGACCUUACCUACUGCUGAGGAUGGUUUCACUAUUUAUUAUGAUGCAUCUCGAAUUGGAUUGGGUUGUGUUUUAAUGCAGAAUGGUGAAGUGGUGGCGUAUACUUCUCGACAGCAAAAGGUCCAUGAGAAGAAUUAUCUGACUCAUAAUUUGGAAUUGGCUGCGAUUGUAUUUGCACUCAAGAUCUGGCGUCAUUAUUUUUAUGAUGAGCCAUGUGAAAUCUAUACUGAUCACAAGAGUCUGCAGUACUUAUUCAAGCAAAGAGAUCUGAAUCUGAGACAACAGUGGUGGUUAGAUUUACUUAAAGAUUAUGAUCUCACUAUCUUGUAUCAUCCUGGUAAGGCUAAUGUAGUAGCAGAUGCUUUGAGUAGGAAGUCUAUGGGCAUCUUGGCCUGAUUUGCUGCCGAAAGAUGACCUAUGGUUAUGGAUAUUCAAUCUUUAGCAAAUCAUGGAGUUCGAAUUGAUCACACAGUUCCUGGAAAGAUACUUGCAGUUAUGGGUGUUCAGUCAUCCUUGAUAAUGCUCAAAUUACACUCUUGAAUGGGUGUAAGCGAUCUUUGUCAAUAUAAUAACUCAACUUUGGAGUCGGGUUUGAAUCCACGAGGAACAAUAUGAGUGAUGAUUAAACUACUUUGAAACUAUAGCUACAAGUUGAAUUUAAACAAAUGAUACGAAAAGAUAAAAUGGGGGGGGGGGGGGUUUAAGGUUUGAAAAAAAGUUCAAUUCAAUUUAACAAUGUUAUGGGAAACUAGAGUUAUGGUUACCAAGAUUCUUAAACAAAUAGGGUUGUGAAUCACUUUAGAGUUCCAAUUGACAGCUUUAAUUGCAAGAGUAGUUGAAUCCUAUUGUUUACCCAAUUCGUCUCUCGACCUCAGCAGGUAGUUCAUUCGUUAAUUCUCUCAAACUUAAAGAAUGUGUUUUCUAUUUAACUAUGUUCUCAUGUAGGCAAAUCCGGUUAAGGCAUUUGUCAUUAAACUAAAGAUUCAAGUCUUUUGAGUCCAUGUAAACUCUUUCUUUUCCCACAUACACUUUCCUCUCAAACAAGUGAUAUUCUUGGGCUCACCUUUCAAGUUGCAACUAUGAGAGAUCGUUACAUUGCUCAACAAGCACUUUUCUCUCAGACAAGUGAUUGUUUCAUUGAAGUAACCUAACAAGCACUUUCUGUCACACCCCUUUUUUGAACGUACUCCAAAAGAUUUAUAUUUUUAAGUUCGAAAGGGUUUUAUUUAUUAAAGUGACAAAAAUGAAAAUUUUCUUCGAAAAAGGAAUAUUUAUAUUGUUAUUCAGAGUCGCCACUUGGCAUAAUCCGGUGUGCCAAGUCACCUUUAGAAAAUCCUUUUCGAAACCAUUUGACUCUUAAAUUGAUUUGCGAACAGAGAUUCUGGCUAAGGAAUUCUGUUGACCGAGGGAAAGGUGUUAGGCAUCCCUCGAUCCCGUGGUUCAACCACGGUCGCUUGGCAGAGCGUAUCGGCAAAAUUGACAUUACAAAUGCAUAAACCACACAAAAGCACGCAAAGUAAUCAAACAAUAACAAAGACAAAACAAAAAUGUAAAGUCCAGUCCAAUUAUUACAACCCGAAAUAAAAAUACUGAAAUAACCUACGCUAGUCCUAAACUAUGCUUUACCCGAUGCCUCGAGCCUUGAUCACGAGCAUCCUUUAUGUACAAAAUUCUUCGGGACAUUCCCCAGUAAGUAAAUACAAAUUACCUCGGGGCAUUCCCCGGUUAAAUAAUACACUUUCAAAAAUAUGAUAAACAAGACAUUCAACAAAUAUUCCAAUCAUUCCAACACAACACCAAUCCUAAACUUGCCUACCUGAGCUUACUGUUUGCCUAACCGGUUGACGACAUAUCGCAUUCAACAUCAACAAUGUAUCAAAAAUAUCAUAAUAUUCACUUUUAUCAAUUUUCGAUUCCCGUCCCCAAAUUCAUUCCUAACUAAUGAUUAAACAUGCUUUGAUUUAUCAAUUCACUUUUCAAAGUCCGAAACCAACAUCAACCAACACAUAACACAUAUUCGAACAUACCAAACACGCAACAAAUAAAUCAUCCGCACCCACAACAUCACAAAAAGGUUAAAAUAAAUUAAAGAUUCGGUUAGAAGAAAUGGACCUCGAUGAAAUUGAUCCUUGCCGAUAAUAAAGAAAUCCGAAGACCAAAAUACUCGACCGAAGAACCUCAAUCAUGAAUUUCUAAAUCAGUGUCCCGACAUCGCCAUCCAAACAGAAUUCAAACCAAGAAGAAAAACCCGCAGCUCCAAAAUCUUGCGCUUUUUGACCAAGAUGCCCCUAUUUUUGGGCAGCAACAGAACAAAUGAGCUUAUCACAUUGGAAUUUCACCAAUGAAACCUGACUCUGCUCCACCAGAAUUCAAACAAAUUCAUCGAAUUUUCUGAUUGAAUUGGAUUCGAUUGAAAUCGGACGAGUUCGGGUCGGAGGGGUUUGUCGUGGUCGGGUCGAUUGAAGCUGGAAUUGGGUUUUUGUUAUUGCUAUGGGUGAUGGCGUGGCAGAUCUAGUCGCUGGUUGGCGAGGCAGAUCUGGAAGGCGAAGAAUGGAGCGGUGUUGGCGCUAGUUCGCCAGAGGGCAAGAGAAAAAUGGCGACUGAGGCUUGCGGUCAGUGUGGCGGUAGUCACGUCCGUCGAGGCUCAUCGGGGUAAGAGAAUGCUAGCCGAUGAUGAGCUGGCCAGCGUCAGCCAUGGAUGCCGACGGGCCGUUGGUCGGUCGCCGGCGAGUUUGCUGAGAGAGAGAGAGUGAGAGUCUAGAGAGAGAAAGAGUUGAUUCUUAUUUUUCUUUUUCUAUGCUAUCUCAUGCCAAAAAAUCUCCUCCUUAAAGAAGAAGAUGAAGUUUUGUGUGUUUGUUGUGAGUGUUAUUGUGUGCAAAUGGUGUGUGUUCUUGGUGUGAGGUCAGUGUAAAAAUGGAGGAUCUGUGUACAUACGGAGUUCUGUAAAAUGGAAAAUUGGAUAUGUGUAAUGUUGUUUGUAUAUGGCUGUGUAUGUAUUAUUCUGUUUUUUGGGGAAAAUGGUAAUUGGAGUGCCUUCCGUUCUCUUUUUUUGUGAGAGUAUGUGUGUAUAUAUUGUGAGGGUGGGUAGUGGGGGUCACAUGGGUAGGGUUAGGGGUAGGGUGUGGGGUGGUGAGGUGGUUUAUUUUGAUUGGGUAGGUUGUUAGGAUAAGAUAGAAUUUGUUAGGAUAGGUUUUGUUAGGGAUUUGGUUAUUUAUUUUAUUUUUUAUUUUGUGAGAUGUAAUCACAUGGGUGAGGGUACAUAAUAUGAUAAGGUAAAAAAUUAAUAAAAUCGAACUUUUGAGGGGACAAAAUUACGUGUCUACAUCAUGCCCCCUUUGAAUGUAAACACGCAGUGUUUUCAGACAAAGAAGUAGACAACGAGACAGAAUUUUGUCCCAACCAUUAUUCAGAGGAAGAAACAGAAGAAAGAAGGACUACCGGGUCUUGAAUUAGGAUAACCUACCUACCCAAGUUAUGAGGGAACCAAGUCACGAGUAUUUCAAAGGAUUGGAAGAGGUGGACUAUACCAAGUUGGAGAGUCGAGUGAGGUUUCAUCGAGGUUCCAAUCUGCGGCUCUGUUAUUUCAUCAAAAUGAAAAUUACAAGUUAAAACAUAAAUGAAAUUACAAAAACCCUAUCUAUACAGCUUUUGUUGGCUCUUGACUCGACUUUUAUCACCCUAUUCUUCAGGCGGGCUCCUGACUUGCAAUUUCUUCCAACUUGUUGUUUGGCUUUCAAUUGCUUCGUUUUGUUGCUUGACUUUUCGUUUCUUCACCCUAUUCUCCAGGCGGGCUCCUAACUUGCUAUACAUCACCUUGUUCUUCAGGCGGGCUCCUGACUUGCUAUUUCAUCACCCUGUUCUUCAACUGCGCUCCUGACUUGCUAUUUCAUCACCCUGUUCUUCAGGCGGGCUCCUGAAACCACAUCAAAACUAAAAAAAAAGAAAAAAAAAUUAUCCCCAAACAAAUAUUAUUAUAAAGAGAAAUUUCGUUUAUUUGCCAGAAAAGUAAAGUUCCAAAAACAGAAAUUAAAUUUUUUGCCCCAGUUUAUCCUUAGAAGACUUUUUGGAAAAGUCACAUCAUACCUACUUGCAUGUUGCAAUGAUGAAUCAAGACUCUGACUAAGAAAUGCAUCUCUUAAGAGUAAAAUUAAAUAACCAUGACUAGGAAGUGCAUCUCCUAAGAAUUAAAGUGAGGGAUUCUAACUAGAAAGUGCGUCUUCUAGAGAUACAAGUUUAAGUUAAAAGUGUGUCACCUAAAAAAUGAAAACUAGCAAGGAAGUGCAUCUCCUAAGGAUUAAGUGCAAUAACUCGACUAGAAAGUGCAUCUUCUAGGAAUCAAGACUUUAAGUUAGAAAGUGCAUCACCAAUGUUGCUUGAAUUAUCAAAAUAAAGAAGUGUAUUUCCUUACCAACGUCUCUUGAAUUACUCAAACAAGGAAGUGCGUUUCCUUACAAAUGUUUCUUGAAUUUCCCAGGCCAGGAAGUGCGUCUCCUUACAAAUGUUGCUUGAAUUACCCCAAACAAAGAAGUGUAUCUCCUUACCAAUGUUGCUGGAAUUACCCGAACAAGGAAGUGCAUCUCCUUACAAAUGUUGCUGGGAUUACCCGAACAAGGAAAUGAUCUCCUUACAAAUGUUGCUGGAAUUACCCGAACAAGGAAGUGCAUCUCCUUACAAAUACCGCUUGAAUUACCAAACAAGAAAGUGUGUUUGCUCACAAAUGUUGCUGGAUUUACCAAAUAAGGAAGUGCGUCUCCUUACAAAUGUUGCUCGAAUUUCCCACACCAGGAUUAUCAUAAGGCAGUAUUUCAUUUUGAAAGUGUGGUCCCAUUUUUUAGGAGGAACCCGAAUAGAAAGUAAAAUCUCAUUUUUCAGGAGGGUCCUGAACAUAAAGUAAAAUCCCAUUUUUCAGGAGGGUCCUGGACAUAAAGUAAAAUUCCAUUUUUCAGGAGGGUCCUGAACUGAAAGUAAAAUCUCAUUUUUCAGGAGGGUCCUGAACAUAAAGUAAAAUCCCAUUUUUCAGGAGGGUCCUGAACUGAAAGUAAAAUCCCAUUUUUCAAGAGGGUCCUGAACAGAAAGUAAACUCCCAUAGAUGUGCAUUUCCAAUGGUAGCUGAAUCAAGCGAAACGAAUUUGCCCCUGUUUCAACAAAGAAAAUUUGUCAGUUAAAAACUUAGUGGUGGCUUACAGAUCUUGGCUUUUCAGGUAUCUGCCCAGCACUCGUUCCUUUCAUAUUUGUUCCAAAUCGCUGACACCUGCCCUAUAUUUUCCGCAUCAUUGCCCCAGAUCCAUAUUGAUAGAAAUGAGUUCUGAAUCAAACAAUGGGUUUCCAUUUUACCAUGCCCCUGAGGUGCACUCUUUUCCCAAAUCUAAAUGCUUCCACGAAUCUAACAGCCUAUCAGUUGAUAGACUUCCUUUGUUUCGUGUUGAAUUACGGUCAUAUUUCUUUCUUAUGCUGUUCCUUUGCUUUUCCUCAUAUAAUUGGAAAGACUGGUAGUAAAUUUUUGAAAUCCUUUCUCGCUUGUUUCGACACAGACUUGACUUAAAAUAUAAAGAAAUGAUGGUGACUUUUAUUUUGAUAAAUGACAUAAGAAAAGACAAAAAAACAUGAAUAUGUAAAUAAAAGAAAAGGGCAAUGUCCUAUAUUCAAAAGAAAACUUAUCUGAAUACGACAACCAACUCCAAUGAGUAUGACAUGUAUUUUGGAUUGAGCUGCCUGAUCUUCCUAUCCAAACUCCCCAUUUGUUGUUGAGUUCGUGCCUUUGCCGCUGAGCCGCUUCUUCAAAUCUAUUGGACUCAUACAUCACAUUCGAUUGACGAUAUCUUGAAAGACUUUCGCCAACAAAUCUCUUUCUUUUCACUUUUCACUUUUCUCUUGAACUCUUCAUCGCCUUACGGUGAGGGUUUUCACCAAUAAGACUCUCUUAUUUUUAUUUCUCUCCACUCAUCAUCGCCUUAUGGUGCCUGCAAAGGUUUUCACUAAUAAGACCCUCUCUUUUUUUUUUCUCUCUACUCACCAUCGCCGUAUGGUGCCUGUAAAGGUUUUCACCAAUAAGACUCUCUCAUUUUCAUUGUCUCUCAACUCACCAUUGCCUUAUGGUGCUCGUGAAGGUUUUCACCAAUAAAACUCUCUCAUUUUUAUUUCUCUCUUGAUUCCUUGGACUGAGGAAGACAGGUAGUUUCCAAAUACAUCAGCAUAUCCCUUGCAUGCUUUGCCUUAACAUCCGCAAAGAUUGAUCUGAAGGUCUUUUCUUUGGUUGUGACUUGGCUUUUGGAUAGGGUUAGAAAGAAAGGAUGGCGUGAGGCCCAAAUGACACUUGAAGUGGGUUAGGACUUACAACUUUUGGAAUUGACUCAAACAAUGAGGAUUAACUCAUGCUCCAUUUUCUUUUGACUGGGUGAUUCUUAAAUCUUUAUUUGGUUGGACCGAGCUCGAAAUAGGGCAGCCUACGUAUCUCACUCCCGAGAGAGGAGAAUCAGGUCAGACAUAGUUCCAUCAACUUGUUCUUUGUUCUGAUUUGAUUUUGAUUUUUUUUUAUUCUCAUUUCCUCGACAUUUAUCUUUGACUCUAUUUUGAUUCCAAAAGAGGGAUAUGAAAGAAAAAAAUAAAAUGAAGCUCAAACGGGUAAACAAGGGAUGACACAAUGUUUAGAUAGAAGAAUAAAAUGCCUUUAUCAUAUCAAUCUUCAAAAAUGCAAGUACUAAACAUGCAAUAAAAUCAACAAAGGAUCAAAUAUCAUACGUAAUAUCUUUGACCGCAUCAGCAUUGAUAACCAUUUCUGCCAUUUUGCCUUCAGUAUCUGUCAAAUAUAAGGCUCCAUUGGGCAACACUUUCUUCACAACGAAGGGACCUUGCCAAUUAGGGGAGAACUUGCCUUUCGCUUCAACCUGGUGAAUAAGGAUACGUCUCAAUACCAACUGACCAACUUCAAAAUUCUUGGGAUGGACCUUUUUAUUAUACGCUCGAGCCAUCCUCCUCUGAUACAACUGGCCAUGACAUACAGACGUUAGCCCUUUUUCCUCAAUCAAACUCAAAUGUUCCAGUCGAGUUUUUACCCAUUCGUCAUUAUCAAUCUCUGCUUCUACAAUAACUCGAAGAGAAGGAAUUUCAACUUCUACAGGAAUGACUGUUUCUGUCCCAUACACUAAUAAAUAUGGAGUUGCCCCUGUUGAAGUGCGAACAGUGAUGCGAUAACCUAGCAAUGCAAACGGCAACUUUUUAUGCCACUGUCUAGACCCUUGUACCAUUUUUUGCAGUAUCUUUUUUAUAUUCUUAUUGGCGGCUUCUACAGCACCAUUGGCCUUUGGGCGAUAUGGAGUAGAAUUUCGAUGUGUGAUCUUAAACUGUUGACAUACUUCUUGCAUUAAAUGACUAUUGAGAUUGGCAGCAUUGUCUGUAAUGAUCAUCUUAGGAAUUCCAAAUCUACAAAUGAUAUUGGCAUGAACAAAAUCUACCAUAGCAUUCUUUGUCACUGACUUGAAAGUUACUACUUCUACCCACUUUGUGAAGUAGUCAAUGGCUACCAAAAUGAAUCUAUGCCCAUUUGAUGCCUUCGGCUCAAUCGGUCCAAUCACAUCCAUUCCCCAAGCCACGAACGGCCAUGGAGCGGCCAUUGCAUGCAACUCAACAGGAGGAGAAAGUAUAAGAUCACCGUGUACCUGACAUUGAUGACACUUUCAAACAAAUUGAACAGAAUCUCUUUCCAUAGUAAGCCAGUAAUAACCUGCUCGAAGAAUCUUCUUUGACAAGAUAUGACCAUUCAUAUGCGACCCGCAUAUUCCAGAGUGAAUUUCAACCAUGAUUGUCGAGGCUUCUCUUGCAUCUACACACCUCAAAAAUCCGAGAUCUGGGGUUCUCUAAUACUAGAUUCCCCCACUUAAGAAAAAUCCACUAGCCAAAUGCCUAAUAGUCCUCUUUUAAUCGUUGGUGGCAUAUCCUGGGUAUUCUCUUAACUGAAUGUACCACUUGAUAUCCAAGAACCAAGGUUUUCCAUAGAGAUCUUCUUUAACCGCACUACAGUAAGCAUGCCGAUCACGGCUCUGUAUAUACACUGGAUCGAUGUAGGCUUUGUCAGGAUGUUGAAGCAUUGAAGACAGAGUGGCUAAAGCAUCAGCAAUCUCAUUGCGAAUCCUUGAAAUAUGCCUAAAUUUUACUAACACAAACCGUUGACAUAGCUCCUACAAGCAUUGUCGAUACGGGAUGAGCUUCAAAUCUUGUGUCUCCCAAUCAUCUUGAAUUUGAUGGACGAGCAAAUCCGAAUCCCCUAACACCAAUAAUUCUUGGACUCCCAUAUCAACAGCUAACCUCAAACCAAGAAUGUAGGCUUCAUACUCUGCCAUAUUGUUAGUACAGUAGAAUUGAAGUUGUGCUGUCACCGGGAAAUGUUGUCCCGAUUCAGAGAUAAGAACCGCACCUAUUCCGAAUCCUUUCAUANNNNNNNNNNNNNNNNNNNNNNNNNNNNNNNNNNNNNNNNNNNNNNNNNNNNNNNNNNNNNNNNNNNNNNNNNNNNNNNNNNNNNNNNNNNNNNNNNNNNNNNNNNNNNNNNNNNNNNNNNNNNNNNNNNNNNNNNNNNNNNNNNNNNNNNNNNNNNNNNNNNNNNNNNNNNNNNNNNNNNNNNNNNNNNNNNNNNNNNNNNNNNNNNNNNNNNNNNNNNNNNNNNNNNNNNNNNNNNNNNNNNNNNNNNNNNNNNNNNNNNNNNNNNNNNNNNNNNNNNNNNNNNNNNNNNNNNNNNNNNNNNNNNNNNNNNNNNNNNNNNNNNNNNNNNNNNNNNNNNNNNNNNNNNNNNNNNNNNNNNNNNNNNNNNNNNNNNNNNNNNNNNNNNNNNNNNNNNNNNNNNNNNNNNNNNNNNNNNNNNNNNNNNNNNNNNNNNNNNNNNNNNNNNNNNNNNNNNNNNNNNNNNNNNNNNNNNNNNNNNNNNNNNNNNNNNNNNNNNNNNNNNNNNNNNNNNNNNNNNNNNNNNNNNNNNNNNNNNNNNNNNNNNNNNNNNNNNNNNNNNNNNNNNNNNNNNNNNNNNNNNNNNNNNNNNNNNNNNNNNNNNNNNNNNNNNNNNNNNNNNNNNNNNNNNNNNNNNNNNNNNNNNNNNNNNNNNNNNNNNNNNNNNNNNNNNNNNUUGAGUUUGAGAUUAUACCUACGAAGCCUUUCAAAGAACUUUCUUAAAUCUUUAACAUGGUCGGCCUGACUUUUUGACUUAAUAAUCACAUCAUCCAUGUAGACCUCAAUCUCCUUAUGUAUCAUAUUAUGAAACAUAGUAGUCAUGGCUCUCAUGUAUGUUGCUCCAGUAUUUUUCAAACCGAACGGCAUCACUCGAUAACAAUAAGUUCCCCAUGGUGUGAUAAAAGAUGUCUUCUCCACUUCUUCAUCAUCCAUAAUAAUCUGGUGAUAUCCAGCAUAGCAAUCGACAAAAGAGGAAACCUCGUGUUUAGCACAGUUGUUUAACAAAAUGUGGAUGUUGGGCAGUGGAAAAUCAUCUUUCGAACUGGCUCUGUUCAAAUCACGGUAAUCAACACACACUCGAAUUUUGCCAUCUUUCUUUGGUACGGGAACAACAUUAGCUAACCACAUGGGGUAACGAGCCACUCGAAUUACUUUGGCUUUAAGUUGUUUCAUGAUUUCCUCUUUGAUUUUAACACUUACAUCAGUUUUAAACUUUCUCAACUUCUAUUUGACAGGAGGGAAAGCGGGAUUAGUUGGCAAUUUGUGAGCCACUAUAAUUCAGUGCUUAAACCAGGCAUAUCAUCAUAAGACUAUGCAAAAACAUCCUUGUAAUCAAUUAAUGCUUGAAUCAUUCCAUCUUUUAGUUGUGGCAAAGCAUGUACACUGAUUUUAGUUUCCCUAACAUCUUCUUGAUCCCCUAGAUUUAUUAGCUCAGUAUCAUUCAAAUUAGGAUUCGGUUUGUCUUCAAAUUGUUCCAGCUCUUUGCUUAUUUUUACUAGUGUUUUUUCUUCAUCAUAUUCCCCAUCCUGAUUCAUUACAUCUUGAUUAGUUUGGAUUUUAAGAUCAGGCUGAAAAUUCUGCAUGCAUGUCAUGUCAUUAGAAUCAGCAUAAAGAAAAUUGUGUAAGAAAGAAAAACAAGAUAUAUUAGACACGAAACAAAAGGGACAUUGGCAGAAAGAAAAAUAAAAUAAACUACCAAAACUCCCUCCUGACGGGGAGAGGAGUGACUUCCUAAUUAUUGAGCCGAACAGCUGGACCUAUGAAUUGCACGUCUUCCAUACUGGUACCUUCUCCUACUUGGACCAUAUCAACUUUAAUAAAAAGGUUCUGGAAGUCAUCAACCAAUUCAAACUCAAAUUCCACAUGCUUCGUGAAACCAAUCUUAACAAAUGAUUCACUGAGUAGUGGCACUGGGCGAGGGAGUGACCAUGUUUCCUUUUUCCUUCCCUUGGCUUUUUACAGAUCUUCAGUUGUAGGCUCAAAUCCCAGACCAAACAUGCCCACGUUCUCACUCAAAUAUAUGGGAUGAACUAUACCGUGCAUAGAUGCUCCCAAACCCUUUUCUGGCUCAAAUCUAUAUUUCCAAAGUUCACUCACCAUCAUGAUAGAAGCAGAAGACAAUUGCAUUCCCGGUAUAGCCUGCCAUUCAAGGAUACGAUUCACUGGCACUAUAUCAAAAACUUGAUAGACGAAUGUAUCCUCUACGUUAUUUGCUUCAAUAAGAGACAAGGGAGAAUCUUCGUAGGUUGACAAAUCUCCUUCACCAUGAGUAACUACUUCUUGCCUGUCAUGCUCAAACUUAAUUAUUUGGUGCAGUGUAGAUGCAACUGCCUUGGCCUUGUGAACCCACGGCCUUCCCAACAACAGAUUGUGAGAGGAGUCUACAUUCAAUACUUGAAACUCUAUGGCGAACUCAACAGGCCCUAUGGUCAACAUUAGUUCUAUUUCUCCAAUGGAAUUUGAUUUUGCACCAUCGAAAGCCCUAACACAUACAUUAUUGGUCCUGAUCCUGUCAGCACCAAUAUUCAACUUUUUCAAAGUAGAAAUAGGGAAAAUAUUUGCACCUGAACCUCUAUCAAUCAUAACAUGAGUGACGUCAAAAUCUUCACACUUCAUUGUAAUGUAAAGGCCCCGAUUAUGCCCUGUAUCUUCGACCGGCAAUUCAUCAUCAGAAAAGCUGAUCCGAUUGACCUCAAAGAUUUUUCCAACCAUUUUCUCAAGUUGGUUGAUUGUAAUCUCCCUUGGAACAUAUGCCUCAUUUAAAACUUUUAGUAAAACAUCACAAUGCUCCUUGGAGUGCAACAGCAAAGAUAAAAGGGAAAUUUGAGCAGGGGUUUUCUUCAGCUGGUCUAAUAUUGAAUACUCUGGCAACUUCAUCUUUUUCAAAAAUUCUUCGGCUUCUUCUUCAGUGAUAGGAUUUUUGAUAGACGAUGGUCCACUUACCGUUGGCUAGGACUUUCUUAAGCUUUUAGGCACGAUGUAUCUUCCUGACCUAGUCAAACCCCUUACCUCAUCUACAUCUUCCACAACUUCUUUCCCGUGAUAGGUCAUCACAGUCCGCCCAUAAUUCCAGGGAACUCUUUUUGUAUCAACUAUUGGAGGUUGGGUCACUGGUUUAAGGACAAUAGACGCUGCCCGUGCCCCUUUCACCGUCAAGAUGGGCUGACUCAGAGCUCCCACCACUGUCAACUUAGGUAUAUCCCGACAUAAAUCAACAUACCUUCUGGCGCCCUGUACUGUAAUCAGGGGUUUCUUUGUGCUUUCUUGGGCUUUAUCUUCUCUCAUUCCUUCCUGGCUCAAUGACAUUACUUUCAAAGACUCCUCUACAUUCACCGAUUUCUUCUCAGUGGUCUGUAUCUUGACAAUAGGCUUAUAACCCCUCGAAGACUCUAUUCCAUCAUAUAUCAAUUCUAACAUAUUGGUUUUAGCAUGGGUUGGUAACGGAUUCUGGUUAAUGUUUGGACCCUCCGGAGCCUGGAACAGCAUCUGAUUUGUGUCAAUUAAAUCUUGGACAGCUCUCUUUAAAUGCCAACAUUUCUCGAUAUCAUGGCCUGGCAUAUCAGAACAGUACACACACCUUAAAGAAUAAUCAAGAUUCCUCGGCGGUGGAUUUGAAAGCCUUCCUUGAAUUGGGCUCAAAACCUUCAACUUUCUCAACCUAUCAAACAAGCUAGCAUAUGACUCCCCAAGAGGUGUGAAUUGAUUUUUGACCGCCUUUUCCUUCUUAUACUCGGGCCUAGACUGAAAAUUGGUUUUGGAGGGGUUUUGGUAAUUUGGUGGAGCGAAUGGGCAAUUUUAUGGAGCUUGCGCGCGCCACUGCAGGUAAGAAGGGAUUUGGGCAUAUGGAUGUGCACUAUAUACUGGGUAUGGGGGUGGAGGAAUGGAAUAUAUAGGGUUUUGUGGAGGGUAUUAAUGGUGGGGAGGAAUAUAUGGAGCUUGGGUGUAGACUUGGGCUUGGGAUUAGGGAUAGGGGCGAGGUGGUCUUUUGGGAUAGGAAUGGAUUCCAUCUACGACAGUCGCCACUACCAACUUACUUUCUUUCAUUGGAGGCUUUACCCUGGCGGCCUGUUCAUGCCACUUUAUCGCGUAUUCCCUAAAACCUUCAAGUGUCUUUUUCUUCAUAUUGACCAAGGAUUUUUCAUCCGAAAUUAGUUCAAUGUUAUACUGAAAAUGUUGAACAAAUUCAGAAGCCAAAUCAUCCCAGUUGUUCCAUUUAUCGAUGUCUUGAUCGAUAAACCAUUCUGAGGCCAGAUCAGACAGACUCUCACCAAAGAAGGCCAUGAGCAGUUCUUCCUUUCCUCCUGCAGCCCUCAACUGGUUGCAAUAACGUCUCAAGAGUGCAACGGGAUCACCGUGUCCUGCAUACUUCUCGAACUUAGGCAUCUUAAAACCGGGGGGAAGAUUGAUGUCUGGGAACAUGCAAAGAUCUUUAUAGGAAACUCUCCUAUAAUCUUCGAUCCCUUGCAAAUUUCUCAUAGCCUGCUCUAAACUCUUCAGUUUUCGGGCUAUGAUAUCCUGUUCCUCUGCUGCGACAGGUUUCUCUGUAUCAAAUGGAAAUGCAGGUGGCUGAGUGUACCCAUACGGUUCAUUCAUUUGCAAAGUAGGCUUCGAGGCAUAAUACUGACUAUCUGAAACCUUCAGCACUGGCUCACUAGCAGACCUGGGAAGCCUCAUUGUAGGACGCGCAACAUAUAUGGGAGUUUUAUGUGGUGGCGGAUCCACGAAUACCGGUGUGAUUGGUGGCACUGGCUGAGCAGCUGGUCUUGAUUGGGGAGCUGCCAAGGGCACACCAGAACUGCCAGGAUAAUAAUGUCCCGAAAAGCGUGCUCAGGUGACUCAGUAGGAGCAGAGAAUUGUGCCUGAGAGAGCGGUGGACAGUUAGAGAUAUUCCCAAGACCUUCAGGGAGCGGAGGAGGAGGCAUUCCGCUGGCCCAUGCCCGGUGUAAAUCUAUCAAUUGUUGCCUGAGCCUUACUACCUCAUCAUUGUGUUCAGAACUUUCUUCCCUGUGAUCCUGAUCCAGGUCAAUGAGCGAAUUUUCAAUCUCCCUGCUAGCCAUGGUGAACUUUACUUUGGAUCUAGUGAAGUAUGGGUGACCAGCCAGAGUGCUGCAAACCUACCACUAUUAUCUGAAAGAACAUGCUCAUCAAAAACGACAUCUGUUAGGAUUAGGGAACACAACAAGCAUGGGAAUCACAUUGGUAAAAUUGUCCUAAAUUCAUGUUCAUUUCUACCAGCUUUUGAGGGUAGCGAGGUCAUUUUAACAUCAUCCUGAUUUUUGCCUACACUUAUUUUUAUCUACACCUAUUAUUAUUAUUAUUGUUAUUUUUCCUUUCCCUCUUUUUUCUUUCUUUCUUUUCUCUCAUUAUCUACCUUUAUUUCAUCAUUCUUCUGGCUUUUGUUUUUCUUUAAAAGAGUAAAAAUAAUGAAAAACAACAAAACAAAAUGAUUAGAUCAAACCCAAAAAUAAAUUGCCUACGUAUCAUGUUAUACAAGAAUCAGAUCUUGCGUAGUUCGGGCAGCAUGUGCAUAAACAUUACCCUUUUUUUUCCUUUUUUUUUGUGCGAAAACUAAAAUAAACAAACCAAGGAAAGAAGUAAUAUCAAAACAUUUUGAAGAAAGAAAACAACAAAAAUGUACAAAAGUUUGGGACCACUUUAAAACUAAACAUCAAAUACGAAACAAAAUUAUAGACCCCUAAGACGACAUAGGUGAAAUUACUAAUAAUGACUCUAAAACAACUUGACUUUGACUUAAAGCAGACACCACCCUACAAUGACAGACACAUAAAAUACUCAAACAGAAUAAAGAUAAGAAGUGCUCUUUCAGACUGGUGCUCUACGUGACGACCCUGGCUGAUAUGGACCUACCUCUGAAGUUCUCUUUCACCCAUUCAAACUUUGUAGCAUAUCCUGUAAAGUCACCUUGAUACCGGGGAAGAAGCUUCGGGCCCGUAUUCCUGGUUCAUGAGGAGUGCACUUGGAAAGAUUUUUCUGACACCUUUCUACCGUCUUGAAUAACUCUGCUAACUGAACUUUCAGUGUUUCUACUUUGAACCCUACACUUUUAUCCUGAUGGUCGUCUACUAUGCAUUCUUCCUGUAUUCUUCCUCUAAGCUGCGCUGGUAAGGCUUGAAUGAUACCCCGAGGGAUAUAUUAAAGCCAGACCUCAUAUCCCUGAGUGUGGCCCGGAUUAUCCAAACUUUCUUUGAGCGUGUCCACACCUAGCUUUGUUGCAUGCUUCCAAAACUGCUCGUACUUGCUCUCACCUAAGGCUUGGUCCUUGAAGUACUCAACAUUCUUCAGAAGAUCCACUGCUGGUGGCACGUCCUGCAUCCUACCCAACUGGCGCAUUACCCUAGAAGGAUUGUAUGGUCUAGUGCAAUUGAGCCCUAACAUAACUAAAGGGAACUGUGUCUGACAACCCAACAAUACUACCUUUGGUCGAAGCCACAGAUAAGUCCACAAAAUGUUAUCCCUGGUUCUUGACUCAAGAAAUUCAAUCCAAGCGUCGACUCCCACGGGUAACGAGAAUUUAUCCAACCGCAGCCUGGAGUCCAUGGCCUUCACUCGAUUGGGAAUACAAUGAUCUAACACGUCCGAUCCAACUAAAGAAGGAGCAUGCAAAUGCUCCAUCAUCCAUAACUGCAAUAUCAGGUUACUGCCCUCAAAAAACCUCCUUCCCCCCUUCACUUCGGUUAAAGCCUUAUAUAUUUCUGUUAAGAUCAUGGGUAUCAGAGUGAACCUUUCCUCUUGAUUAAUGUCAUUGUCGUUUUGAUCCUUAUGAAAUAGGGUCAUCACCACAGAUUGCAAAUGGGUAUUAAUACGUCUUUCUUCUAGUGGAAACACUAAAAUACCUAACAAAGCGAGGGUGAAGACUUNNNNNNNNNNNNNNNNNNNNNNNNNNNNNNNNNNNNNNNNNNNNNNNNNNNNNNNNNNNNNNNNNNNNNNNNNNNNNNNNNNNNNNNNNNNNNNNNNNNNNNNNNNNNNNNNNNNNNNNNNNNNNNNNNNNNNNNNNNNNNNNNNNNNNNNNNNNNNNNNNNNNNNNNNNNNNNNNNNNNNNNNNNNNNNNNNNNNNNNNNNNNNNNNNNNNNNNNNNNNNNNNNNNNNNNNNNNNNNNNNNNNNNNNNNNNNNNNNNNNNNNNNNNNNNNNNNNNNNNNAUUCUCCAAACCUAAAUACCAAACCACUCGGAUCCCAAAAGGUCAACAAAGCCUCUAUUAGAUCUGGACGAGAGGUAACAUGCAGAAGUUCCGUAAGAUCACCUAAUAUUUUAACCAGUUUUUGCUGAUCAACAUAGUUAAACAUUUCCCACCAUUUGAUUAACUUUUUGGGCACCUCAACAACCAUCAAAACUCUAAACUUGGUGGAUAAAUCCAUCCUGUAAUAACACACAAGACGUUAUCUCAAAAAAUUCGACAGGUGUCGACGAUUCCAAACCCCUGGGAUUUUUGACGCAAACAUAUGUCGAUGGGACAGACCACAUUCAUGACUCCAAUUUACCGAACAGAAGUACUGAGCGAAAUCAGUCUACUUGGCAACAACUCUAGAUGACGGGGCGAGAGAUCUAGGCUAAUAAGAAGACAAAACCCAACACAAAGAUUUACCAGACCCACCGAGGGUUGCCUACGUAUCCCAACCCGAGGGAAGGGAAUCAGGUAUGUGUAGUUCAAUCAGAUUGGAUAAUUAACGAUUUAUUAAUAAAUUGGCCCUAACUUAAGAGACACUAUCAAAGACAAACGACAAAAAAACUUUUGGAUUUUUCAGCUAGACACUGACAACACCAAUUAUGAAGAAAAAUCUUUUUGACAUUUUUGUUUUUGACAAAUAAGUAGAAAAGGCAAACAAAACUCUUUUUUUUUAUUUUACUUUUUUUUGAAUUUAUGGUACUUUGAGAAGACAAAUGUAAAACGUAAAAAAAAAUUUUUUGAGUUUUUGGAUCGUGAAGAACAAAAGCCAUAAAGAAAUCUAAAAUAAACUACGACAUUCCUCUUUUUUUUUAUUCUUUUUGACUCACUUUUUCUAUUAUUAUUUUCUUUUUUUAUUUUUUUUCUUUUUUGUUUUUACCUACGCACCUUACUCCUAACAAUUUUUUUUAUUUUUUUUUCAAAAAUCAGUCCGUCAAAUGACCACGUUACCCUUAAAAAUGCAAUAGUUAACAUGUAAGGAUGCUUUAGAGGGGAGUCUCCUACAAAGGGCCAUGUGGGUCCCGCUAGGUCUCCGUAUGAUGCACAUAAGCAUGACCUAAAGGCUGACCUACGUUGUGGUUUACUAACAAGGCCGUUCAGGGGAGCGUAUGGUCGAUAGUGGCUGAUUUGCUUUCCACCUACUCCAUAACACCGACGGCUCCCCCCCUAAAAUAAGGGUGACUCAACUAGAGGUUGUGUACAACACGUGUACUACGGACUUGUUGUAGAAAGAAGGCCAGGGGAUGGACUCAUGAUGACAGAUAUAAAGCGGUAACAUAUAGGAUAAAUACUAUAAACAAAGAGCACAAAAACACACAAAAGUGAAAAUAACACAAACAAUAACCACAAACAAUGAUUAUAUACUCGUAAUGCCAAACAAAGCCGGUACGACUCCAAAAAUAGCUCGAAUUCUGAAAACUUGUUAUUGAGUCCUCAGCAGAGUCGCCAGAAGCUAUCACACCCCUUUUUUACGUACUCCAAAAAUGUAUAUUUUAAGUCCGAAAGGAUUUUAUUAUUUAAGUGACAAGAAAUGAAAAUUUAUUUCGGAAAAGGAUUAUUUGCAUUUUUUAUUCAGAGUCGCCACUUGGCAUAAUCCGAUGUGCCCAGUCACUUUUGAAAAAUCCUUUUCGAAAACCAUUUAACUCUUAAACUGGUUUGCGAACAGAGAUUCCGGCUAAGGAAUUCUGUUGACCGAGGGGAAGGUGUUAGGCACCCCUCGAUCCCGUGGUUCAACCACGGUCGCUUGGCAGAGCGUAUCGGAUAAAUUGACGUUACAAAUGCAUAAACCACACAAAAGCACGCAAAGUAAUCAAACAAUAACAAAGACAAAACAAAAAUGUAAAGUCCAGUCCAAUUAUUAUAACUCGAAAUAAAAAUACUGAAAUAACCUACGCUAGUCCUAAACUAUGCUUUACCCGAUGCCUCGAGCCUUGAUCACGAGAAUCCUUUGCGUACAAAAUUCUUCGGGGCAUUCCCUGGUGAGUAAUACAAAUUACCUUGGGGCAUUCCCCGAUUAAAUAAUACACUUUCAAAAAUACGAUAAACAAGACAUUCAACAAAUAUUCCAAUCAUUCCAACACUACACCAAUCCUAAACUUGCCUACCCGAGCUUACUGUUUGCCUACCCGCUUGAUGACAUAUCGUAUUCAACAUCAACAAUGUAUCAAAAAUAUCAUAAUAUUCACUUUUAUCAAUUUUCAAUUGCCGUCCCCAAAUUCAUUCCUAACCAAUGAUUAAACAUGCUUUGAUUUAUCAAUUCACUUUUCAAAGUCUGAAACCAACAUCAACCAGCACAUAACACAUAUUCGAACAUACCAAACACGCAAAAAAUAAAUCAUCCGCACCCACAACAUCACAAAAAGGUCAAAAUAAAUUAAAGAUUUGGUUAGAAGAAAUGGACCUCGAUGAAAUUAAUCCUUGAUGAUAAUAAAGAAAUCCGAAGACCAAAAUACUCGACCGAAGAACCUCAAUCACGAAUUUCCAAAUCAGUGUCCCGACAUCGCCAUCCGAACAGAAUUCAAACCAAGAAGAAAAACCCGAAGCUCCAAAAUCUUGCGCUUUCCGACAAAGAUGUCCCUAUUUUCGGGCAGCAACAGAACAAACGAGCUUAUCACGUUGGACUUUCACUACUAAAACUCGACUCUGCUCCACUAGAAUUCAAACAAAUUCAUCGGAUUUUCUGAUUGAAUUGGAUUCGAUUGAAACCGGACGGGUUCGGGUCGGAGGGGUUUGUCGUGGUCGGGUCUAUUGAAGCUGGAAUCGAGUUUUUGUUGUUUCUAUGGCUGAUGGCGUGGUAGAUCUAGUCGCUGGUUGGUGAGGAAGAUCUGGAAGGCGGAGAACGAAGCGGUGCCGGCGCUAGUUCGCCAGAGAGGAAGAGAAAAACGGCGACUGAGGCUUGCGGUCAGUGUGGCGGUAGUCACGUCCGUCGAGGCUCAUCGGGGUGAGAGAAUGAUAGCCGACGAUGAGCUGGCCGAAAUCAGCCAUGGAUACCGACGGGUCAUUGGUCGGUCACUGGCGAAUUUGCUGAAAGAGAGAGAGUGAGAGUCUAGAAAGAGAAAGAGAGAAUUUGGUCCCUUUUUUUUCUUUUUUGUUCACUGUUAAUUCCGAAAAAUCUCCUCCUUAAAGAAGAAGAUGAAGUUUUGUGUGUUUGCUGUGAGUGUUAUUGUGUGCAAAUGGUGUGUGUUCUUGGUGUGAGGUCAGUGUAAAAAUGGAGGAUCUGUGUACAUAUGGAGUUCUGUAAAAUGGAAAAUUGGAUAUGUGUAAUGUUGUUUGUAUAUAGCUGUGUGUGUAUUAUUCUGUUUUUUGAGAAAAAUGACAAUUGGAGUGCCUUCCGUUCUCUUUUUUUGUGAGAGUAUGUGUGUAUAUAUUGUGAGGGUGGGUAGUGGGGGUCACGUGGGUAGGGGUAGGGGGUAGGGUGUGGGGUGGUGAGGUGGUUUAUUUUAAUUGGGUAGGUUGUUAGUAUAAGAUAGAAUUAGUUAAGAUAGAUUUUGUUAGGGAUUUGGUUAUUUAUUAUUUUUUUUUUGUAUUUUGUGAGAUGUAAUCACGUGGGUGAGGGUACAUGAUAUGAUAAGGUAAAAAAUGAAUAAAAUCGAACUUUGGAGGGGAAAAAAUUAUGUGUUUACACUUUCCUCUAGGAAAAGUGAUGUUGUAGUGCUGACUCUACUAAGUUGCAGCCAAGAAAGAUCAUUAAAAUGAAGAAAGGUUUAUACAAUAUCAAUUCUUCAUGGAACUUAAGUAGAUUCACAACCCAAACUAGUUAUUUACAUCAAGGCUCCCAUAACUCAAGUAAAUAAAAUUAGUUACUCAUGAUAUGAAAAUCAACAACAUAUAUUGAAUUCAUAGUCAAAAGUAAGUAAAAAAUCAUACCCAAAACAAAGCUUCAAAUGGAAGAUGUUUACAAAAAUGUUAAGAAGCCUAGUUGAGAGAUUUAUGUAUAUUUGUAUUUCUUGUAUGUUUUUAUUAUGUCGAGGCAUAGGUAGAUAUAUAGAGCUCAAUAUUCCCGUGUAUCCACCAAAUUUUGACCAAUACUUUCCAACCACCAAGUUUGAAUACGCAGCCCCUCCAAAGUUGACUACUGUAUUGAUUGAAAUACGUAGUCCAAGACCCUUCUAUAUGAUCCACACACCUAUGGGAUACAAAAUUGGGACUCUUAUUAAUCCAUUGGUAUUUUGAACAAGUCAAAUGUACUUUACAAGCUCCCACAAAAGCCCAAUACAUUUCGGGACUCCAGCUAGAGUCAAUUUCUGCACUUUGGUUUCGUUGAGCCAUUCCGGGCCUUAUUGAGUUGUUUACACUUGAUUUGAAGCUUAUAUAUCCUUAAUAUAUCAUUAUUAUCCAUUCAAAAAGAAUAAUUAUUAAACACCACAAAUUAGAGCUCAAAACAACACAACAUUCAAGAUGAUGAACUCAAAACACAAGCUAAGCAUAGGCUAAUUGCAUAUUGAGUUUAAGCUUAUUGUUUUGGCUCUUUUCUUGAUCCAAUUAAUCUAUGAACAUUAUAAAUAAUUUAUUUCACAUAUAAACACAUAAUAACAACCUUAUUAACUCAUUAAAACAUAUUAGAACCCAACACAACAGACUAGACAAACGCCUAGCUCAAGCUAGUCACACUAGUUUUCUCGGUUGAACUCUAAAUGUUCAAAGUGAAUCAAAACUUAUGUAAAAACACCAUUAAGCAUUAUAAAACCAUAUUUGGAAACAUGAAUGCUCAUUUAUGUCAUUAUAUGCACAUAUAUCAUAAUAAUCAUCCUCAAAAUAAGACUUAAAAGGGCUACAAUAGUAAUGCUAGAAUACAUAAAUACACCCAACAUCAACACCCAACACUUAAAACCUUGUUCAUCCUCGAACUACUCUUCACUGUAAGUAUCAUGAGCUGGGGAACCUACACUUCUACUACAUGUAAUACAUUCAGAUAGUACUACAAUAACUACAUAAAAUGCAAGUUUCUACACUAAUCAUGUCACAAAUAUAAUGGAAAGCUCAUGAAUCCUACUUUCAAAACAUCCUAGCCUCAAGAAUUUACUCACCUUGUUGGCAAACUCAUGCUCAAUUUUCAGUCAAAGACAUCUUAAAAAUCACUCAUAUUCAUCAAACAUGUGCCCCUCACAACAAGAGAGUUACUCAUAAAUACUCACAAUAAUGCAAUUUAUAACAAUGGGUACAAGAAUAAAAUUAUGCUCACUCUCACAAAGAAUUCACAAGUUACACAUAAUGAACCAUAUGCUUGCCCUUAGUAUAAUGCUCUACUAAUAUUCGAAUGUAAAACUUAUUCCGGGUUGUAAUGUAGGCUAUGGGAUGGAUAGAAACUAUUUUAGCCAAUAAUAGUGACUAUCCCCUCUAAGUGCUUCAAUACACUACAUUAUACAUUUAAAACAAAUAUUCAACAACCAAAUUACACCAGAAAUCUUUUCUUUACCCCAUUUCUUUUUGUUUUUGCCCCAACUUUAUUCAAGACAUUAACAACAAUUAUGGUAGGAGUAUUUCCCUUUUACACCACAAGUCAAUUCUCAAAUCUUCUUCAUACACCGGUUAUUGUUACGCACCCCUAUAGUAGCCACCCUCAACUAAAGCUAUUCGCCUUGGUUGAGGUGCACAUUGUCCUAAAUGGACCAGGGACAAAACAGGUUCAUUGUAGCAAAAACUGGGCAACCAAAAAAGAAUGAAAUUUCUUUCAUACUUUCUAUAGUUCCUAACCAUCACAAUUUAGGCACACAAUGAACUUUUCCUUAGAGCUUCACUUUCACUUUCCUCCUUCAGUUUCACAAACCUUCCUACUUAGUCCUUUAUAUUAUAGCGCUUAGAAGAUUUGGAUCAAAUUAAGGUCAAUCAAGGAAGGGGAUUAGGCUUCACAUGAGGUUUGUAAAGAGAAGGCUAAAGUCUCAAUGGGUUUAACUAAGAUAAUGCACAAUGGUAGGUAAAAAGAAGGUAUAAAACAAGGGUAUUAAAGAAAUGCCUAUAUUUCUCUUCACACACACCGGACAAGUUUUAGACAUCACAUGCAACAAGGAAUAUACAAAAUACCUUACAAGCACAUGGCACAUGUUCAACUCAAUAGAAUCAUCAUAGACUCUAAACCAAACAUUAGCACAAAUUCAAAAUUAAGCCAACACUUACAAGAGUCACAAACAUGAGCCUAAGAGUGUCAAAAAUAGCAAUUCACACAAUUCAACAUACUUUUACAAACAAACCCCCUUGCAUCAUGUAAUCAAAAAUAGCACCAAUAAGAGUACCUCACUUAUUCCAAACCUAAAACAAAAAUUGAGCCAAAAUUUAGGAAUUUCCCACCCACACUUAAAAAUAUACUUUGUCCCCAAAGUGAAUUUUUAAAUAAAGCGAUAUGAUACGAGAAUAAUCACAGAAAUAAACUUAUGUGGGUGUGCAUUGAAAGAAACCAAGUGUAUGUGCAAGAGAAGUGUAAUUAAAGGCCCAAAUACACACCAAAACAGCCCACUUCAUACACUAGAGGGGCAGCCCAUUCUUGAAGGGCCUUUUUGAUCAUUUUAACUUUUAUUUCUUUUUUAAUAUAUAAGGAACAUGUAGGGUUUUAUUUACUUAGUUUAUGAAUGAAAUUAUAAGUCUUACUAGACAAAUAAACACAAGUCCUCUUUCCUUGAGGCACCCAAAACCAAAAUUUGGGCUUAGACAAGUGUAGAAUCACUUGUGUUUGCAUUUGCUUGGAAACAUUGAUGCUUGGGAGGUGGAUUCCCAUCUUGUGUCUUUGUAAGAGAUAGGUUUAUUGUUGUGUCUAGUGUUAAGGGUCCAAGAGUUAUCAUUAUUGGGUUCUUAACAUUAUACCUUCAUGUGGUCUAUUUAUAUAUCCUUUUUCUUUUGUAAUCUUGUGUCCGUUUUGUAUCUUAUAUUGUGAAGACGUUUUUGUUGUUGUUAUUCUUCUUCUCAUUGUUGUUUCAUCUUGUGUUCUUAACUUAGUUUUUUAUUGGCUGUAAAAUGUGUCAAACACCUAGUUAUAUUGUCCUUCUUGUAUUUCAUUUUUGAAUCCGAGAGUGAUCUUCAAAAGGGUCCUCGAUUCUUUGAAUUAGUGGACUAUUUUUGGUGUGUUUGGACUGUUUUGAGCCAAUUCCGUGUGUUCCUUGGUUUUCUUGUAUCAUUUGGUAUCAGAUCCCUCUUUGGUGUUGUUCUUACAAUACCAAUGUUGGCCUUUCUUGCUAAGAAAUUAAGAAAAAAAACAAAUUUGGUGUUCUUGUUGUUCUUGGCCUUGAAAGUGUUGUUCUUGUUGUUCAUCUUGGCCGAGGUUGCUUGUAGCGUCUAGAUAUAGUAGUCCUUUGGUGUGUAUUGUUGUUUCUUGUGUUAGUUUUGUGAUUCUCUAACACUAAAAAGUGUCUAGAUCUAUAUUUGAGCUUGAACUUGUUAAAGUUGUGUUGUGAACCAGGACCUAGGGCGAGAAUUUGUGACUUGUGGCCGGUUGGGUCUUGAAUUCAUGAAUAUUGUUGUUAUUAUUGAAGGAUUGUUAUGGUGUUCAUAUUAUUCUUCAUCUCAUCUUACAACUUAAGACAACUAAAAGUGUAAUAUAGAUUCAAAAAGGUGAACCUACAAGUUGUAAAGUUGUUUGUGAGAAGACUUGAGCCUUCACUUGACUUGACAUCUACUUUUCAACCACUUUUCCUUGUUUCAAGGGAACAUGUUUUGUGAGAAUUGUACAAAGUCAAUUCUUGAAUUUUGAAUAUUAGGCUUAAAGGAGAUUCAAGACAUAUAAUUUCCCUCCAAAACCAAUUGUUUCCAUUAGAUAGUAACUAAAGUUUGUAAACUUCAACAAGUAACUAAUUGUGGGGCCGUGACCAAUGGUGUGCUUCCACAUCACCCAAGUUACUGUUCACAAGAAAAUUUUAAGCUCAAAUUGUGAUCUUUUAGUUUCAUUUUGUUGUCUCAUUAGUUUCGUUUGUUGAUUCCAAUACUAACUUACAAACUAGUGACAAUUUACUAAAUUGUGAGUUGGUUUUGAAACCAUUUUUUUCGUGUUUAUGUUUCUUUGUGUGUUUUUAUUCUUUUGAUUCAUUGUACACACUCGGUUCACCUCUCAACGUCUCAUAGAUUACAAGCAAACUUACAAUAAUUGUGAGAUCAAAAGUGAGAAAAUCUAAGGAACAAAGGAUUAAAGAGAGAGUAUGAGGACUAUUCUUUGAACAACUAACUUGUUUAUUGUUUUGUAGGUAACUUCUUGGCUACAAUGGACAACAAUGCUCUUGGUUCUAUCUUGGAAAGACUUGAAACUAUCAAUCGAGGAUGUCCUCAAUCCAAGGAGAGAUGUCUACUAUGAAUGAGAGAUUAGAUCGAAUGGAGAGUCGAAGGAACUCUCGUGCUUCUACUCCUCGACUCCAUGUUUCCUCAAGUGGUCAUGACCAAAACCCUUCCAUCACCAUUGACCCCGAGACUUUGCAUACAAAAGUCAACCCUUCAAGUUUACCACAAAAUGCCAUGAGCCAAGUUACUAAUUACCUUCAAAAUCGAGAACAAGGUAGAUCACUUCUCCCACAAGUUGAUCAAGUCCCACAAGAAUGACUUAGAGGCCCAUUCCCUCCCAUCCAAGAUCCACAACCGAAGCUCCACAUUACCAAAAUAGCCUCCUCAACUGAAACUCCACUUCCACAAAACUGAUAUGUCCAUAUAGAGGAGUAUGGAAGAAAGGGACAUGAAGUAUAUAAAGUCUACGAUGAUGCUUAUAUGAUGGAAGGAGACUUGAGUUAGAUAAGAUUGAAGCCAAGUCUCAAGAUGGAGAGGAAUCCGAGGUUCAAAAUAAAGAUGUUGGUCGAGACUUGUUCAUAUUGAGCUCUUGGGUUCUUCAUGUUUUUCGAACUAUUUUGAGUGCUUGUUUUUGAAGUGGCCAAUUGAACGAAGUGAAGCCGUGAAUUUGUGGGCAAAUUCUUCUUAAGAUGGAGAGGAUGAUACGAGAAUAAUCACGAAAAUAAACUUAUGUGGGUGUGAAUUGAAAGCAACCAAGUGUAUCUGCAAGAGAAGUGUAAUUAAAGACCCAAAUACACACCAAAAUAGCCCACUCCAUACACUAGAGGGGCAGCCCAUUCUUGAAGGGCCUUUUUGGUUAUUUUAACUUCUAUUUGUUUUUUAAUAUAUAAGGAACAUAUAGGGUUUUAUUUAAUUAGUUAAUAAAUGAAAUUGUAAGUCUUACAAGAUAAAGAAACACAAGUCCUCUUUCCUUGAGGCACCCAAAACCAAAAUUUGGGCUUAGACAAGUGUAGAAUCACUUGUGUUUGCAUUUGCUUAGGAACAUUGAUUCUGAGAGGUGGAUUCCGAUCUUGUGUCUUUGUAAGAGAUAUUUUUAUUAUUGUGUGUAAUUUUAAGGGUCCAAGAGUUACCAUUAUUGGGUUCUUAACAUUAUACCUUCAUGUGGUCUAUCUAUCUAUCCUUUUUCUUUUGUAAUCUUGUAUCCGUUUUGUAUCUUGUAUUGUGAAGUCAUUUUUGUUGUUCUUCUUCUUCUUCUCAUUCUUGUUUCAUCUUGUGUUGUUAACUUAGUUUGUUAUUGGCUGCAAAAGGUGUCAAACACCUAGUUAUAUUAUCCUUCUUGUAUUUUAUUUUUGAAUCCGAGAGUGGUCUUCAAAAGGGUCCUCAAUUCUUUGAAUUAGUGGACUAUUUUUGGAGUGUGUUUGGACUGUUUUGAGCCAAUUCCGCGUGUUUCUUGAUUUUCUUGUAUCAUGAUAGAAAUACUCCCUGAGGCCUCUAGGCCUAGUUAAAUGCAUCUUCACAUAGAGGAGAUCCUUGGAACCCCACACUUAUUUUAUGCCAUGAUCCUUAGUGCAAGAUUAUGGUACUCAGACUUCCCAUUAACCUGUGACUCAACCAAAAACAAAACUUUUUGAAAUAAAAACUAAAGACUGAAAAUUAAAAAGAAAAAAUACCUUAGUUUGGGUUGCCUCCCAAGAAACGCCUAAUUAAGUAUCGCGGCAUGACUUAAUCAUGUUUUUUCCUCCACCUUGAGGAUAUAAAUUUCACCCCCAACUUAGCAUCCAACUUUUUGCCUCGCUCAUAAGGAGGUGGUAUAAAGAUUAAGAAGCCGAGUAAUGGAUGAUGCAUGGUAAACAACUCGGUCUUAAAGUGAGGUGUGUUUUUAUGUUGCUUAUCAAGUAUAAAAUAAAGAAUAUAGGAUUCUUGUUCCUCAUCUUCAUACUCUUCCACUGUUUUAGAUGAUUCCACAGACAAGAUAUCAUCUAAAUAUAAUGUGGAAAAAUGUUUUGAGGGCAGCCCAACUAAUUCUACUUCAAAAUUUACACUAUCUACUACACACUCACUUUUAUUCACCUUUUCAAUGUCAGUCUCAAGAUCAAGAUGGCAAUCGAGUGGUUGCGAUUUUUGAGUUUUCUCCUCAAAUUGGCUAAUGUCCUCCACAUAUUCUUCUUUUUAUAGCCACUGUAAACAUGGUGGGAGUGUUAACUCCUUUAGCUCUGCCCACAACUGUUCUUGAUUUUCUAAAAUUUGUUUCAUCAAUUUGUUCGCUUGAAUCAUGACAGCACACAUAUCUUCAGCAUGAUCACUUUGACCACAAGCCAAACACCAAGUUACAGUAAGUAGGAGAGUAUCCGCAUCAUAUUGUGAAGGUUCCGUCCAUGCACUUCCAGGUAAAUCUAGACAAUAAGACUCAAAAUGUGGUCCCCUAUAAUAAUAAUAAGAAUCAUCACAAGAAUCAUCAUUACUCAAAAAACAUCUAUCCAGGAUGACAUCUCAAGAAAGGUGUGAGAAAAAUAAAAUAAAAGAAAAAAAAUAAACUAAACAAAUAUUUACAAGUUUGAAUUCAAGCAACUAAACUAAAAUUUCAAACCAACUCAAUACGCCAAAUUGUUCUCCGGCAACGGCGCCAUUUUUGAUAAUGCUCAAAUUACACUCUUGAAUGGGUGUAAGUGAUCGUUGUCAAUAUAAUAACCCAACUUUGGAGUCGGGGUCAAAUCCAUGAGGAACAAUGUGAGUGGUGAUUAAAAUACUUUGAUACUAUAGUUACAAGUUGAAUUUAAACAAAUGAUACGAAAAGAUAAAAUGGGAGGUUUUUAAUGAUUGAAUAAAAGUUACUAAUCACUUCAAUUUAACAAUGUUAUGGAAAACUAGAGUUAUGGUUACCAAGAUGCUUGAACAAAUAAGGUUGUGAAUUAUUUUAGAGUUCCAAUUGACAACUUCAAUUGCAAGAGUAGUUGAAUCCUAUUAUUUAUCCAAUUCGUCUCUUGACCUCAGCGGGUAGUUCAUUCGUUAAUUCUCUCGAACUUAAUGAAUGUGUUUUCUAUUCAACUAUGUUCUCAUGUAGGCAAAUCCAGUUAAGGCAUUUGUCAUUAAACUAAAGAUUAAAGUCUUUCGAUUCCAUGUAAACUCUUUCUUUUCCCACAUACAUUUUCCUCUCGAACAAGUGAAGUUCUUGGGCUCACCUUUCAAGUUGCAACUAAGAGAGAUUGUUACAUUGCUCAACAAGCACUUUCCUCUCGGACAAGUGAUUGUUUCAUUGAAGUAACCUAACAAGCACUUUUCUCUCAAACAAGUGAUGUUGUAGUGCUGACUCUACUAAGUUGCAGUGAAGAAAGAUCAUUAAAAUGAAGAAAGGUUUAUAUAAUAUCAAUUACUCAUGGAACUCAAGUAGAUUCACAACCCACACUAGUUAUUUACAUCAAGGCUCCCAUAACUCAAGCAAAUAAAAUUAGUUACUCAUGAUAUAAAAAUCAACAAAAUAUAUUGAAUUCAUAAUCAAAAGUAAGUAAAAAACCAUACCCAAAACAAAGCUUCAAAUGGAAGAUGUUUACAAAAAUGUUAAGAAGCCUAGAAGAGAGAUUUAUGUAUAUUUAUAUUUCUCGUGUAUUUUUCUUGCAUCCAGGCAUAGUUAGUUAUAUAGAUCUCAAUAUUCCCAUGUAUCCACCAAAUUUUGACCAAUACUUUCCAACCAGCAAGUUUGAAUACGCAGCCCCUCCAAAGUUGACUACUGUAUUGAUUGAAAUACGUAGUCCAUGACCCAUCUAGAUGAUCCACGCGCCUAUGUUCUGCAAAAUUGGGCCUCGUCUGAAUCGAUUGGUCUUUUGAAAAAGUCCAAUGGACUUUAAACUCUCCCACAACAGCCCAAUGCAUUUUUGGACUCCAACUGGAGUCAAUUUCUGCACUUUGGUUUCAUUGAGCCAUUCCGGGCCUUAUUGAGUUUUUUACACUUUAUUUGAAGCUUGUAUAUCCUUAAUAUAUCAUUAUUAUCCAUUAAAAAAGAAUACUAAAUCAUUAAACACCACAAAUUAGAGCUCAAAACAACACAACAUUCAAGAUGAUGAACUCAAAACACGAGCUAAGCAUAGGCUAAAUGCAUAUUGAGUUUAAGCUUAUUUUUUUGGCUCUUUUCUUGAUUCAAUUGAUCUAUGAACAUUAUAAAUAAGUUGUUUCACAUAUAAAUACAUAAUAAAAACCUUAGUAACUCGUUAAAAUACAUUAUAACCCAACACAAUAGACUAGACAAACGUCUAUCUCAAGCCAAUCACACUAGUUUUCUCGGUUGAACUAUAAAUAUUCAAAGUGAAUAAAAACUUAUCUAAAAACACCAUUAAGCAUUAUAAACCCAUAUUUGGACACAUGAAUGCUCAUUUAUGUCAUUAUAAGCACAUAUAUCAUAAGAAUCAUCCACAAAACAAGGAUAAAAAGGGCUACAAUAGUAAUGCUAGAAUGCAUAAAUACACCCAACAUCAGUCCUUAGUUGGAAAAUUUAAUACUUUCCAAUAUGAUGAUCCCUACCUUGUUGGGAUUCGAGAUCUAGCGCAGAAUGGCGGUGUUAAAUCUUUCACUAUUGAUAGUGAAGAUGUGUUACAUCGUCAUGGAAGAUUGUGUGUUCCUAUUGUGGGUGAUGUAAGGCAUCUAACUCUUGAUGAGGCUCAUAUCUCGAGAUACUUUAUCCAUCCUAGUGCUAUAAAAAUGUAUCAAGACUUGUGUGGAUUGUACUGGUGGAAAGGUAUGAAGGUUGAUAUUUUGAAAUAUUUGACUAGUUGUUUAAAUUGUCAGCAGGUCAAAUAUGAACAUCAAAAACCUGGUAGAACGAUGCAAAAAUUGAUUAUUCUAGAGUGGAAGUGGUAAAGGAUUACUAUGAAUUUUGUUUUUGGGUUUCCAAAUACUUUUAGGAAGCACGACUCAGUUUGGGUGAUAGUGGAUAGACUUAAAAAUCUACCCAUUUCAUACCAGUUUGGGUUACUUAUAGUGCAAAGCAGUUAGCAGAAAUUUACCUUUGGGAGAUAGUUCGUCUUCAUGGUGUGCCUAUCUCAAUCAUAUCUGAUCGAGGCUCACAGUUUACUACUGAGUACUGGUUAUCUUUUCAGAAAUCAUUGGGUUUGCAAGUUGAUUUGAGUACAGUUUUUCAUCUGUAGACCAACGGAUAGUCUGAACAAGUUAUUCAGAUCUUGGAGGACAUUCUUAGAGCUUGCCCUAUUGACUUUGGUGGCCAUUGGGAUGACCAGUUGCCUUUAGCAGAGUUUACUUAUAAUAAUAGCUACCAGUUGAGCAUCCAAAUGACACCAUAUGAGGCUCUAUAUGGUCGCAAGAGUCAUUCACCAGUUGGAUGGUUUGAGCUCGGUGAAACACAGUUAUUAGGUCCAGAUUUAGUUCAGCAAGCAUUGGACGAGGUUGUAGUAAUACGGGACCGACUUAAGACGUCACAAAGUAGGCAGAAGUCCUAUGCAAAUAAGAGGGUCCUUGAUUUGGAGUUUGAAAGGGGGGAGAAAGUUUUUUUGAAAGUUUCUCCCAUGAAAGGAGUUAUGAGAUUUGGCCGGAAAGGUAAGCUAAGUCCUAGAUACAUUGGUCCUUAUGAUAUUUUAGGCCGAAUUGGAUUAGUGGCAUGUAGGAUUACUUUACCUCUGAGAUUUUCUGCAGUUCAUCUUGUGUUUCACGUGUUGAUGCUUAGAAGAUGUGUUCGUGAUGAUAGUCAUAAUAUCCAUCCGGAGGAUGUAGAGCUUGAUGAGAAUCUGACUUAUGAGGAAAGCCCGAUAGCUAUUCUUGAUAGGCAAGUGCGACAGUUAAAAUCGAAAAAAAAUAGCUUCAAUCAAGGUAUUAUGGCGUAAUCAUCCAACCGAGGAGGCUACUUGAGAGUCUGGGGAGGAGAUGCGAGUUAGAUAUCCUCACUUAUUCGAUACUUCAGGUAUGAUUCGAUACCCAUUCGAGGACGAACGUUAUUUUAAGUGGGGGAGAAUGUAAUAACUCAGAUUUUUUAAUGAGGGGUAAAUGAGUAAUUUGGCCUAUUAUUAUUAUUAAUUAAGAUUAAUUAAGAGGAUUUAAUAAGAGUGGGCCCCAUCCACUCCCUUAUAUCAGUUUCACGCCUACAAGAAAGAAACGGAUGAGGAGUAGUAUAUUAGGGCAAUUGGCCCCUUAACUAUUGUGAGAAAAGAAAAGUUACGUAUUGGAUUAUUUUUGGUGGCUUACAGAAUAUUGUUGUUACUAUUUGGAGUGAUUUUAGCCUUCAGGUAAUGGUCUCACAAAUUCUUUAUCAUGCUAUAUCCACUAUAUCCACGUAUUAUGUCGAAUCUGUGUAAUAAGAGGUGAUAAUUUCUUUCUACUAAUCAGUUGAUCAUUCAAUAUUGGAGAUGCCAUGGAUAAUUAUCUACUACUGAAGUGAGGGAAUUAUUUUGUUAAUGUUGAAUAGGUACAGAAAAAAAGGGGAAAUAAAGAAGAAGCAUGAAACAAUAUAUAAUGUGUGCGUAGUUACUGCGUCAACUUGUUAUUGACUUACAGUGAUUAAUUAAUCACUAUGUUGAUUAAGAGUGAUUUUCUUUGGUCAUUAUUUUGGAAUUGUUUAGCAUGUAUGAGCCUCAAAAAGCUAUGGCAUUAAUUAGUUGUUCACCUGCUGGACUUGCCACUUUUGUUCUUUGUUUUUUUGUUUUGUUAAUGCUGGAAACGAUUAGUUCCCUUUUUGGCUUUAUGAUGGGUCGUCAUCAAGUAGCAGGGACUGAAUAAGGUUGAGCAAUGACCUGUUUUGGCAGCCUCCUUUGUUAGAUUAUUUUUAAAUUCAUGGGUUAAGAUGUGAGAUGUUAGGAGUUAGCUAUAAACUUAAAGGUUAGGGAUGUUGAGACUUGACCCCGAAUUGUAUAAUUGAUAUUGUUAUUUAAUAUUUUGUUUUAGAUUGAUCCUUUUGGUCGUUGUUGGUUGAUGUUCUACACAUUGCAAAGUUGAAAAACUUGUCUUUAGCGAGGUAAGUGAGACUUUAAGCUUUGAUUCUUGCUUUUCAAAUUUGCUUUAUAAAAAAUUAUAUUUUUCUGCCUAAUUCAUGUGUUGGGACAAGUGUGAACCUGGUAGAAUUUAUGAUCUUUGGCUAGAUAUGGAUAUUUAUUUGUGAAGUGUGUUGAGAAUUAUUUAGAGGUGAAAUGUGUGGUGAGGUUGGGACGUUGAAUAUAUUUUCUUCGCUGUCGUUAUAGUCUCUAAGGGCAUAUAUAGCUGCCGUAAUAUGUUAGGGGCAUUACUUAUGUUGCCGUAAUAUGCUAGGGGCUUGUACAUGCUGCCGCAGUAGACUUUGGGGCAUUAUAUAUGCUGCCGUGGACUUGUCGGGGUGCUAGGCCGAUCACCUUCACUGCCGUUUAUGACAAGUCGUGAGAGUGGAUUGAGUUGAGAUGUAGAGUGGCACUUUUGAACUUCAUCUUGGAUCUUAUUAACAUUACCUUAUGAGAGAUAUUAUGUAUAUAUUGUUUGUGUAUUUUUUUUGUACCUUCUAUUUUCUAAAACUUGUUCCAGGGGUAUUAAAGUGAUUGGUCGAGGAUCUUACUGGGUUAUAUUCAUAUAGCUCACUCUUUACUUGCAUACUUGCAGAUACGGUUGCAGAGAGAGAGACUUGCGGCUGACGGUCAUUACGAGUGGAUUCUGUUGCUAAGGUGAGCCUUCGCAUUAUUCGUGGAGGCUUUCAUCCAGCUUUAGCUAUUGUUAGCUUAUAUUUCUUUUGUUGGGCUUGCAUGCCCGAAAGCUGAACUCAUGUAACUUUGUUUAGAUGCUCCAUGGUCUAGUGUGGGGUUUGGGUUAGAGAUUUGUUACCUAAACUAUUGUUGUUCCUGUAAAUCACUAUGCGAUAUCUUGUUGGAUAAUUACUUUGCAUUUAAUGAUUAUUUCAUGCAUUUGAGAUUGCACACAUUCUUAUCUCAGUGUUGUAUACAUUGUGAACGUAUGGAAAAUUGAUUCUCCCGACAAGUGUUGUUAGCGGGAGCCAGUCACGCCCAAGAGGUAUUUUGGGACGUGACACAAACCGGUCAUCCUUAAUGACAUCCCAUAGCUUUGAAUCUUCAACCACGAUGAAGUCAUGCAUUCUUGUCUUCCACCACCUAUAGUAUUCCCUAUUGAAUCUUAAGGUCUAGUGGUUGACUGUCCUUCUUCUAGAUUUGGAGGAGCAGUCAUUUUCAAGAUCCUUCCAAGGUGUUAGCCUUCUUAUCGAAGAUCCGCUCUGAUACCAAAUGAAGAGUUGCAGGGGUCACUCCUCAACUCCAGAACUUGUUCCCAGAUGAACUCACAUAACAAAACUAGCAGAGAUAUAAGUUAUGAAGUGCAGGAAUAAAGUAAAUAUGUGACACAAAAAUUUUACGUGAAAAAUCCUUGCUCAAGGGAGAAAAACCACGACCUGCCUCUAGGAUUUCUAAAUUCCACUAUAUCCAAGCAACUUCUUGAAUACAGACACCAGAACUUCAGGAUUAAACUCUUAAUCCUUACUCUCUUAGUAAUAACUCUAUUACAAGAAAACAGUACAACAGCUCUACUCCACUCACACUCCAGCUAACUCUAACUGGAUACACCAAGCUAACUCUAGCUUGAAAAUUACCUAACUCUAGAUGAUUACAAUGAGAAGAAGUUUACACCACAACACCUUUUUCUUACCCACAACACCUACUAACAAUCAUAAGCAAAUGUAGGCAAACGUUUAAGAGCACAUUUACAAAGACUCAAAUACAACAAGGAAGUAAAAUAUAACUUGUUGAGCUAUCAGUUUCCUGUUACAAACUGAAGUCUUUUAUUUUAGCUUCAGAGUGAUAUUUAGUUGUAAGAAUAUGGAAGCAUUGGUUUUCUUAUUGAGGAAGAUGAGCAAUGUAUAGUAUGACAUAAAAAAACCUAAGAGAGAUCCCAUUGGCUGAUACAAAAAGGUAGCAACAGCUUUUCACCAAGUUUUGUACUUUGUGACAGCUGUGAUAGUGACAGGUGAACUCAACCUGUUCCCUAAGCGGUAACAACUUUGUCAUUACAUAAUCUCUGGAAACAAGUCCCAACACACAGUUUGUCAAUCAUCAAAACUAAGGACUUAACAGUUCUAGGUUUGGGGUGGCUCAUCUGAUUAGUUCAACUAUACAUCACAGUUGGAAACCCUCGCAAUUGUUCGGGAAUAGAACUUUGUGGGGAUUUACGUUGAAUAUUUAUUCAAUUUUGUCUGCCAUUUUGCAUCCAUUACAAUCAUAUAUGUAUGUUUUUCAUGAAAAUGACUUAUUGGAUUACCUUGGUGACUAGUGUAUCAAGGUUCUGGUAAGGGAGGUUAAUUAAGUAGAUGGUGGUUUAGAAUUUCUUAGAAAAUAAAUAGAACAUCAAGUUUGCAUUCAUUAUCACAAACAUAAAAUUGCACGACUUACCCUUCAAAUAGGCACUAUGGUCUUUAAUUUUUUCCCUUGAUUUUUUUUUUUUUUUUGGGUGUACCCUCACAAUUAAACUUGCGUCAAGUGGGACAUAAAUUCUUUUAGAAACUGAACCUAUACUGAGCACAACUUAUGGAAUACUAUGAUAUGAAAAUACAAAUUUAUGCCCAGCAAAAAAAGUGUUUUUGUUACCAGGGGGAAAAGCUAAAACUAACUUAUCACAAACUCUCCACAACAAUUGAUGGAGCCCAAACGUUAUAAAAAGCUAAACAAAUACACCAACUAAAGACAAGGGAAAGAAGUUAAGAAGCGAACAACUUUGAUAACAUUAAUAAAAGUGCUAUUAAUGUUCAAAUUCGAAGCCUGACUUUAGCGAUAUCUUGCAGUAAUAUAGUAUCGAUCAUUUGAAUGAUGCAUGUAGAUCAAUGUAUAGUGCCAAAUGACGUAAAGUAUCAUCUUAAAGUUUGCGCAUAAGCAGAGGAGCACCAUACUGAGGAUGAAUAGUCACUACAGCAAAUGGAGCAUGUGUAUAAGAUGGUGAUAGUUCAAAGGAGAAUUUCUGUAGAAUCAUUGCCAAUGCCAUUUUUGCUUCCAUCAUCGCAAAGUUUUGUCCGAUGCAAACACGGGGUCCCCAGCUAAAUGGGAUAAAUGAGACUUGUCCUUUGGUUGCCUUUGACACUCCUUCACUGAAUCUUUCUGGUUUGAAUUCCUUUGCGUCUUCACCCCAUACUUCCUUAUCAUAAUGUACUAGGAUGGCGGGUAUAAUAAGUAUUACUCCAGCUGGUAGAUUUAGAUCUCCCAAUUUGACUUCAUCACUAGUCCUUCUACCAAUUACUGGCAAUGGGGGGAAUAGCCUUAACGUCUCGUACAAGAUCAUUGUUACCUAAAGAAGAAAAGUAUUGUGUAAGCUGGUAGUAGAAUGAGGACACAAAGCAUACUCAUUAAAUGAUUGGAAUAAUUUAACUUGUGAAAAGUACUUACAAUUUUCAAGCGAUUUAAUCCUUCCAAAUCUGGUUUAUCAUUUCCAAAGAUAUGUAACACCUCUUCUCUGGCACGUACUUGCCACUCUGGAUGUAAGCACAGCAAAAUCAUUGUCCAAACGAGUAACACUAAAGUUGUCUCUUGUCCAGCAAAAUAGAAUAGUUUGCACUCGUCUACCACUUCUGAUAUAGUCAUUCCAAAAUCGUUUCUACCAUGAAGCUCAAUUUCUUUCAAAUUGGAUUAAAGUAAUAUGCCUAAUAAGUCAUCCUUACUAGUCUCCCCUCCUUCCAUUGCUCUCAAUCUUUUGUCGAUGAUAUGCCUAAUUGUUGUUUGGACUUGCUCUUCGAUUUCCAGCAUUCUUCUGUUCCUUUUAGUAGGCAAGAACCUAUAUAAAUAAAUUUAGGAGCAAACAAGAAAAGUCUUUUCAGUAGAAAGGCAGAACACAGUUUCUUUUGUAUAGGAGUAAUUUGUUAAGGGUGGGAAGUUUUCAUAUUUAACGGCAGAACGUUUUGAACAUAGAAAUGUGAUGUACAUAAGUUAUUGCACCUUGAUCCUGGUAUAUAAAUUGAUUGUCCUUUUUCAAUUACAUAUUCAGCUUGUUCUUUCUGAAGAUCAAAUACUGUUCUUCCUUCUUCAUAGCUACUCCCAAAUGCAGUUCGAGAUAUGACUUCACUGGUCAUUUUUUGAAGGUCUGGCCAUACAUCGUGCUCGAAUGAUGUUUCGUUUGGAACAAUCUCCUCCCAUUUGCUUAGCAUUUCACUACAACUCACGUAAAAUGCUGGUAGCAUAUGCUGUAAACAAAUGAAAAACCAGCAAAUGUUUGUUGUAAAUGGAUAUCUCCUUAAUGAUAAGGCAUCUCAAUAUGCAAUCUUACAUUCUUGUUACUCCCUCUUGAUUCAAUUUGUUGUCUUACUUCCCUUCUAAUUUUGUUUAAAGAAGAAUAUCAUUUUCUAUAUUUAGUAACUCUUUAAUUCCGAUAUGGCACAUGACAUGUUUAAUACUGGUGUGUACAUAGACCUUACCCAUAGCUUGUAGAGAGGUUGUUUAAGAAAGACCAUCAACUCAAGUAAAGCAAUUCAAAGAAGGUUUGAAGUAACAAGAAGAAAAUAUAAUGUAGGAAUAAUAAAGUAGAACCUUCAACUUCUCGACGUGGAAGGCAGGAUUGAUUAUGUUUCUGUGUUUGGCCCAUUUGUCUCCUUCAAUGUUUGCAAGACCUUGGGCCAAUAACUUGGUCAAUGGAUUGGGAUGAGUCUGCUUUAGAUACACAUAACUUUUUGUGAAAAUCUCCUUUACAUGAUCAGGAUUUGUGAUCAGCACAACUGGAUAUCGGCCUAGCCACACAAAAGAACUUUUACCUGCAAGUAAUCAUUUUUGGGUUAGAAAAAACUAAAAUCUGAGUCUUUGCUAUGCCUUAUUGUAAGUGAAAGUGGUGAUAGACUCUAUUAGGCAUUUUCUAGCAAGGAAUUUCAACAACAGAAUCACUAAUAGAGGUGUUUAGUGGACGGGUAUGGUUGAAUCUGGACGGGGCAAAAAUGGGAUAAGAUAAUAAAUGGGCAGGUUAUGGAAUGCAUUCCCUAUUAGAAAUAAUAUACCUUAGCCUAUUGUUUAUUACAUAUUGGGCCUGAUCUUUAAUGUUUGUAUCCGGCCCAUUUCCUUUAUCAAGUGUUAAGUAUAUGUAUGUGUGUAUUGAAGUAGUUGGACUGAUUUUUGACUCAUUUUUUCAGAUAUUUUGUUCAUGUAAUGAGAACUCAUCUUAUUCUCUCUUCUCUCUAGAACCUUCUCAUAAAUCUGGGUUUACAUUCAUGGUAUUUGAGAGCUUUCAGCUUCAUUCCAUGUUUUCAUGGUAUCAAAGCCUCGAGAUUCUGAGAGAUCUGCUUAUCAUAUUUUGAGCGGUGGUACCCUAGGUCAUUUUUUGCCAAUUAUUUCUGCGUGAUUUUGGUAUUUGCUGCGUGUAUUUUGUGGAUUUUUGUUUGUGGAGCUUCGAACAUGGCUGGUUUUCCCUUCGAUUGAAUUUUUUGUGGAUUGCAUUUAUUUCGGCAAUGUUGAACAAGGCUCACUUCUUCGAGUUUUGAAGAAGACCGGUAACCUCUCUCCUUGCAGAAUUAGGGUUUUUUUGUGUCUUAGUGGUCAAUUGAUUACGAGCAAUGGCUUCGACUUGCCACAAUUCUCUGUCUACUAGUGUCAGUACUAUUCCCCACACUCAUCCGUUGUAUCUUCACCCUUCCGACUAUCCCCGUAUGGUGCUUGUCACCACGCCGUUUAAUGGAACUGGUUAUGGUAGCUGGAGAAGGGGAAUGUUGAUUUCUCUCUCUGCUAAGAGGAAAUUAGGUUUUAUUGAUGGAAAGGUAGUCAAGCCCCUACCUACUGAUCCAUUUAUGAUGCCUGGGUUAUGUGUAACGAUAUGGUUAUUGCGUGGAUAUUGAAUAGCUUAGAUAAAGAGAUAGCUGAAACUGUGAUUCAUACAGAGACUGCUGGUGAUAUUUGGAAGGAAAUAGAAAAGAGAUAUGGUCAGGCUAGUGGCACGAAAGUGUUUCAAAUAAGAAAAGAGAUUUCUUCUAUAACUCAAGGAUCUUCUAGUAUAGCCUCAUAUUUUAAUAGAAUUAAAAGACUGUGGAAUGAAUUGAACAUUUCUAUUGCUUACCCUCCUUGCACUUGUGCAUGUAAGGAUCAAUGCGUGAAACUAGAACAAGAUCAAAGGGUUCACCAGUUUUUAGCUGGUUUAAAUGAGUCUUAUGCUGGAAUCAGGAGAAACAUAUUGAUGAUACUCCAUGCUCAUACGUGAUGAGCAACAGUCUGAACUUUAGGUCUCUAUUCCUGCAUUUGCUUCUGAGUCCACUUCCUUUGUUGCUAGUGUGCAAAGAUUUCCUCCUGGGGUUGCAGAUAUCCUCCUAAAUACCCUGCUGGUGGAGGGGGACAAAGAUACCUCAACAGGGUAAAUUUUGACUCCACCACCUGAUCUAAUUCUAAUAAUAAUGUCUCUUCUUCCAUAUUUUGCAAAUAUUGCAAGAAACCAGAACACCUCAUUGGAAAUUAUCGCAAGCUUCAUGGUUAUAAUGAAAAUCUGAAAAUAAUAAGAGCAAAUAUGGGGCUGGUAUGGCAAAUUGUGCACAGAAUGCAAUGUCUGCAGUGUCAUCCACUACAUCUUCUUCUGGGGCUAUUAAUUUCGAAGCUUCUCUCCAUGGUUCAGUAAAGAACAACAUGACCACAUCCUCUCCAUUCUUCAGCAAAAUAACAUACAAGAUUCUGGAUUGUGUGCUUCUACAAACUUUUCAGUGUGACUAGUCUGUCUGCCUAUAAUAUUUGUUGUUUUUUUGCAUGUCAUCUCUAUCAGAUGUAUGGCAAUCCCUGGAUUUUAGAUUUUUGGAGCUACAAAUCAUAUGACACCUCAUAGAAACCUCCUUAUAGAUGUAAAACCUCUUACCACUCCAUAUCUUAUAUCUUUACCAGAUGGAUAUAAAGUAAAAGUGACCUGUACAAGUUCUUUACCUUUAUACACUAAUAUGAUAUUACAUAAUGUUCUUUUGGUUCCUAGUUUUCAAUAUAACCUCAUUUCCCUGCACCAAUUACUUUUUUAAUUUGAUUGUGUUGCUCAUUUCAGUGUUACAUCAUGUGUUUUGCAGGACCAUUCUCUGAAGAGGCCACUGGAAGUUGGUAAGCUCUCCAAUGGACUAUACAUACUUUAGCUGAAUAGUUCCACUUAACAAGACAUUACUGAUGGUGCUCCUGAUGUUUCCUCCGCAGUUUCUUCUUCUGUUCCUUUUACUGCUGAUCCUGUUUCCACUCCCAAUGUAAAGUUUUUAGAACAUCCUUUACUGCAUGAUGAUAUUUUUAGUAAUGAAUGUACUGUAAAUAUUUUCUCUUUAAAUAAAACAGAGUUCAGUUUUGAUAAAUCUGUUCCACUUAUUGCUUCUGUUUCCAUUGAUAAUGUUCUUUUACCUACUUCUUUCCCAAAUACUGAUAUAACUACCUCAAACAUCUUUUGGCAUCAAUGUCAUAACCCGAACCGAGGCCCUGGCCGUGACGAGCAUCCCGAACUAUGAAGGCCCGGACACCCUUCUAACUUGAAAUCAUAUACACCAUUCAUACAUAAAUAAGGAAAGACGAAAAUUAUAGCAAGACGGAAUCAUGGUCGUAAAUCUGAUAUAAAUUUAGUAUUGAAGAAUGAAAUCCAAAACUAACUAGCAACAUUUGCAAACCGUCUACGAAAUCUCUACUACAUACUCUCUAAUACAGUCGGAAUGCUGGGACAAGGCCCCCAGUAGACCAAAACCGUAACCACUAAUAAUUGUCUAAAAAUAAAUAGGCCUUCCGGAAUAUAGAAGGCUCACCAACUGGAAACUGCAACUCUGUCUGAUGAAUUCUACUGCUUAUCUAGACCCCUAGACUGAGCCUCAGAACCUGAGAGGUAGGGGGGUCAAUACAAUGUACUGGUAUGCAAAGUAAUCCAAAAUAAAACUUUUAUAUAAGUAAAAUAGUGGAGAGCGAUAUGUUAAAACAUCCUGUAUAAAGAUUUCUCAAAACAUAUGGGCACUUUCUGAAAAUCACAAAUCAUUCUUGUCAAUGCAAUGUAUGAUCUUUGUAUUACUUUUGAGCUAGGUGGCACUCCCCUACAACUCUGAUAUUCUACGGGCUAUAUGGAAUCUGCCAUUGACUCAAUGGGGAAGCCCCCAACCCAAGUAUGCCGCAAGGGUUGGAGUCUCUAAUUCUGAUACGCCACACAACACUAGGCCAGCGUAAUAUAAUAUACCCGAAUCGGCAAAUCACUAUUUUGGGCAAUGAGUUAUCUGAAAUCGUGUCCUCUUCAGGGAACCACCUAACAUUUAUUUAUGCCCUAUUUUAGCCUUUUCUGAACAUGCAUCAUUCUAAAAUUCUAAAACAUGAAAGUCUGAUUUUUGUAUCAGUUUGUGUCUGUUAUGGAAUUAUCGGAGUUGGUAUCGUCAUACCUAGACUUGCAAGUUGAAAUUGUAAUCCAUAAUGCUUUAAGCAUAAUUCUUUCAUUAAAACUCAAUUCAAACCACCCAGCUUUGCAAAUAGUAUAAGAGAUUUCAUGUUCCGAAGCAUAAGUCAAAACUAUGCAAGAAUCAUUCAAACAUAUGGUGGUCAUGUGCUUUUGGCAAAAAUCAUGCACUCUUUCAUUAUAUGCAUAUUUUUAACAUUUAUCAACACAUCUACCCUCUCUUUUGAAAUCCAAAUCUUAAUCCAAAUAAUAACACAAUUCAAGACAUUCUAAACCAUGCUUUUCAAGGAUGCAUUCAAAACAAUCUAUAGCAUAUGAUAAGUAAAGGAAAAUCAAACAAGAGAGGGAUUUUUUACAUAAGUCAUGCUCUCAAUUAAAUCAUCAAACUUAAAACACAAGAAUACAUAUAUAUACAAUUUCAAAUCGAUGUAAGGGAAGGUCAAAAGACCAAAACAAUACCAUCAAGAUUUCCAAAACAUGAAUGUAUUCAUAAAUAUGAAAACCUUUUCUUAAAAUCAUGAUUUCUAUGCCCAUGAAAUUUUAGAAAAACCCCGCAUACCUUGAUUAUGAAGAAUAAGGGAUGCUCCUUGAAGCCUACGGUUUGGGUAUUUCAAAACUCUGAUAAAUUUCGAAAACUUACGGUUGAAUCUUGAGUUUCUUGGAGGAGAAGUAUAUGAACUAGUGUUUUGUUCUGAAGGAAAUCUUGAGAAUGUCGAAUAUUAUGCUUGUAGAGGUCUUAAUCUCCUGUUUGGACGUUUUAAGAGACUUGGAAAAAGUCCAAACUACCCUUGUUAACUUCUGAACGAAACUGGAAAAAUAUAAACUGGGAACCCAAUCUUAUGGGCCACCGCAACGCGCCACUAUCGCGGUGGCUCACUGGAAAUUGAUGAAUCGGAAUUUGGCCCACUCCGUGAUGUGCCACCAUAGCGGAGUCUCACUAGAAAUUGACCAUCAUCAUUUACACCCUCUACGUGAUGCGCCAAAGACAGGAAUGACGGUGUUUUACAACUAGGACUUAAAUUAACCAUAACUCCUUCACCAAGUGUCCGUUUUGGACGAUCUUAUGUCAGUAGAAAACUUAUUCGAUCACCUACAUGAUGAAAAGUUGAAAUCUAAGGAAUUCCACAGAGAAAUAAGUAUAAAUCAUUCUAGAAGCCAAUGCUUGAUACUUUAGGGACAAAAAUUUAGCUAGGAAAAACUUCGGGGCAUUACAAUAUCCCCCUUUGGAACAUUCGUCCCCGAAUGUUGACGCGGGACAUAGAUAAGCAUAAUUUCAAGGAUACUAAGGCAUAGAAAGAAUAAGGCAAGGAUUGUACCUUCCAUUGGAUCAAAAAGGUUUGGGUAUCUAGCUCUCAUGUCAACUUUUGAUUCCCAAGUUGCUUCUUCAAUUUUUUGGUUUCUCCACAACACUUUAACUGAGGCUGUCUCUUUGUUCCUAAAUCUUCGAACUUGGCGAUCCAAAAUUUCUACAGGUUUUUCUUCAUAGGAUAAGGAAUCUGUCACUUUGAUUUCUUUGACAGGCAACACUAAAGAAUGGUCUCUGAUGCACUUCUUCAACAUAGAUAUAUGAAAUACCGGAUGGACAGAACCCAAACUAGCAGGCAAAUCUAACUCAUAGGCAACUGCACCUACCCCUCUCAAAAUCUGAUAUGGUCCUAUAUAAUGAGGACUCAACUUACCUUUCUUCCCAAACCGCAUGACUCCCUUCAUAGGAGAAACUUUUAGAAACACCCAAUCUCCAACCUCAAACUUUAGAUCUCUUCUCCUAACAUCGGCGUAGGAUUUUUGAUGACUCUGAGCUGUCUUAAGUCGUUCUCUAAUGACUUUCACAUGCUCCAUUGCCUGAUGAACAAGAUCAAGCCCAAAUAUCUGCAUCUCACCUACUUCAUACCAUCCUAUCAGAGACCUACAUCUUUUCUCAUACAAUGCCUCAAAUGGUGCCAUCUUAAUACUCGAAUGGAAACUGUUAUUAUAUGCGAAAUCUAUCAAUGGAAAGUGCUCUACCCAACUACCUUUAAAAUCAAUCAUGCAGACCCUCAACAUAUCCUCAAGGGUUUGGAUGAUGCACUCAACUUGCCCGUCUGUCUGAGGGUGGAAAGUCGUGCUCAAAUUCACUUGGGUACCUAAACCCUUUUGAAACGAUCUCCAAAACUGAGAAGAAAACUGUGUACAUCGGUCAGAUAUGAUGGAUACAGGUGCCCCAUGCAAAUGAACUAUUUCUGCAAUGAAUAGCUUGGCAUAAUCCUCUCUCGAAUAAUUAGUCCUGGCAGGUAGAAAGUUAGCUGACUUGGUCAACCUAUCUACAAUUACCCAAAUGGAAUCAUACUGGUUUCGGGACCUCGGAAGUCCCGUAAUAAAGUCCAUAUUAAUCAUCUCCCACUUCCACAAAGGCAAAGCUAUCUCUUGAGAAGAAACACCUGGCCUCAUAUGUUCCACUUUAACUUGUUGACAAUUCAAAUACUUGGCAACAUAGUUAGCCACAUCACGCUUCAUAUUAGUCCACAAAUAAAUGGUUUUCAAAUCACGAUAUAUCUUAGUAGAGCCAGGGUGAACAACAUACCUCAAUGUGUGAGCUUCGUCAAGGAUUCUCUUCCUCAGACCAUCUACAUAUGGCACACACAACCUGCCCUGGUGUCUCAAAAUACCAUUACCACCAACUUUAAAUGAUAUUACCAUUUGUUGACCCACAUCUUUCUUGAUCUGCAUCAAGAUGGGAUCUUCAACCUGCUUCUCUUUAACUUCUGCACAAAGGGAAGAUUUAGCUGUCUCAUGAACAACUACUCCUCCAUCCUCAGAAUCCAAAAGUCGCACUCUUAGAAUUGCAAGUCGGUGGAUAUCCUUCACCAUAUCCCUUUAUUGUUUCCCUACAUGAGAAAGACUGUCCAUAGAUAACCUGCUAAGGGCGUCGGCUACCACAUUCGCCUUGCUCUGAUAAUAGUACAGGCUCAUGUCAUAGUCCUUUAAAAGUUCCAACCAUUGCAUCUGCCUGAGAUUCAAUUCUUUUUGCAAGAAAACAUACUGUAAAAUCUUGUGGUUAGUAAAUAUAACAAUAUGUACCCCAUACAAAUAGUGUCGCCAGAUCUUAAGUGCAAAAACCACAGCUGUUAACUCCAAGUCAUGAGUAGGGUAGUUCCGCUCAUGCACCUUCAACUGCCUAGAUACAUAAGCCAUUACCUUAUCGUGUUGCAUAAGAACACACCCAAGUCUAACUCGAGAUGCAUCACAAUAUACAACAAAACCUUCUGUACCCUCCGAAAGAGUUAAAAUAGGAGCAGUAGUCAACUUAUCUUUCAACUUCUCAAAACUAUUCUCAUAAGAGUCAGACCAUAAAAACUUCAUCUUUUUUUAAGUCAACUUAGUAAGUGGUGCAGCUAUGGAUGAAAAACUCUUUAUAAACCUUCUGUAAUAACCCGCCAAACCCAAGAAGCUCUGAAUAUCGGUUGGAGUCGUGGGUCUGGACCAUUUCCUCACUGCCUCAACCUUUUGGGGAUCAACCUUAAUCCCCUCACUAGACACAAUGUACCCCAAGAAAGAAAUAGUAUUUAACUAGAAUUCACACUUAGAGAACUUUGCAUACAACCUGUGAUCUUUGAGAGUCUGGAGGAUAAUUCGGAGGUGAUUGGCAUGGUCCUCCUCACUUUUGGAAUAAAUCAAGAUAUCAUCAAUAAAAACUAUGACAAACAAGUCUAGAAACUAGCAGAAGACCCUAUUCAUUAGGUCCAUGAAGGCUGCAGAGGCGUUAGUCAACCCAAAGGACAUGACUAGCAAUUCAUAAUGACCAUAUCUAGUUUGGAAAGCUGUCUUGUGAAUGUCUGACUCCCUAAAUUUCAAUUGAUGAUAUCCUGAUCAAAGGUCUAUUUUAGAAAAGUACUUGGCACCCUGAAGUUGGUCAAACAAAUCAUCAAUCCUAGGAAGUGGAUACUUAUUUUUGAUAGUGACCUUGUUUAACUGGUGAUAAUCUAUGCACAUACGCAGGGAACCAUCUUUCUUUCGCACGAAAAGUAUAGGUGCACCCCAGGGGAAAACACUAGGAUGGAUAAAACCUUUAUCUAGGAGGUCUGCUAGCUGCUCUUUCAACUCUUUCAACUCUGCUGGAUCCAUUCUAUAUGGCGAAAUAGAGAUGGGAUGGGUGUCUAGCAACACAUCUAUGCCAAAAUCUAUCUCCCUAUCAGGUGGUAUUCCUGGGAGUUCAUCUGGAAAGACUUUUGGGAAUUCAUUUACUACAGGGACAGACUGAAGAGGAAGACUUUCGGUGUUAGAAUCUUUAACCUAAAUAAAAUGGUACAAGAAACCUUUGGAAAUGAGUUUACGGGCCCUGAGAUAAGAUAUGAAGUGCCCUCUAGGAGCUAAAGAAUACCCUUCCCAUUUUAUUAUUGGCUCAUUCAGAAAAUAAAAAGUAACCUUUAGGGUUCUACAAUCUAGUGUGGCAUAACACGAAUGGAGCUAGUCCAUCCCUAGGAUAGCAUUAAAAUCAACCAUAUCAAGCUCUAUGAGAUCGGCCACAGUAUCCCGGCUAAGAAUAGACACAACACAAUUUUUAUUUAUCUUCUUAGCCAUAACAAAAUCACCCUCCAGAGUGGAAACAGCGAAAGGGUCAGUAAUGACUUCGGGCUCAAACCUAAAACCAACAGCCACAUAUGGGUCACAUAAGACAAGGUAGACCCAGGAUUAAGUAACACCUAAACAUCAUGGGAAAAGAUUCGUAACAUACCGGUGACAACAUCAGGUGAGACCUCUGCCUCCUAGCGGUUAGUCAAAGCGGACAACCGGUUGCGACCGCUUUCGGUAGAUAAAGUAGCGCCCUUUUGAGGCGGUGGUGGUGCGGAAGAAUUUUCCUGAGAUUUUGCACCACCAACAUUCCUUCUAGCAGAUAGACAAUCCCUCUGUAAGUGACUCGGCUAACCACAUGAAUAACAUACAAAUGCGCCCCACUGACACCUUCUUGGACGAUUCCUACCACAAGUCUCACACCGGGGAAAAGUAUGAUACGGCGGAGCCACACUACCCUGUGACUGAGUAUCCUGAGCUCUAGAUCCCUGAUUAGUCUGGAAACUCUGAGAUCUUCUAUCAACUGGAGGUCUGGACGCUGGGGCGCUGCCUGCAGAUUGUGCAUUACCCCAACUCUUCUUCUUCUGCCAUUUAUUACCCAACUUACCACUUUGCGGCUGACUGUGAUGUUGAUUUGCUGUUCUGGCUCUUUGUGCCUGCCUGUCUUUCUCUCUAGACUCAGCAAUUUUCUUUUCUUUUCUUCUACUUGUUGCAUAUGGACUGACAGCCUAGCAAAGUCUAUAUCCCUAUUUAGCAUCGCCCCUUGACAUUUAAGCACUAGAUCAUCUAAAAGGCCGGAUGUAAACUUCCUCAUUCAGGCUCUCAUAUUGCUAGUCAUCUCUGGUGCUUAACGGGCUAAUUGGUUAAACUUCAAAGUGUACUCCUGGACAUUCAUAUUUUCCUGCUUCAGAUUCAUAAACUCCUCAGCUUUGGCCUCCCUCAACUCUAGAGAAAAGAAUCGAUUAAGGAAGGCUUCCACAAAUUCACCCCAAACUGUGGGCUCAGCACUCUCUUCCUUCGCAUCCUUCCACUCGUUAUACCACUGAUUUGCCAUAUCCUUGAGCUGAUAAGUUGCCAACUCCAGCCCUUCUAUUUCCUCCACAUGCAUCACCUUAAAGAUCUUCUCCAUCUCAUCCACAAACUCCUGUGGAUCUUCUUCUGCCUUGGUGCCAGUAAACUUGGGUGGGUUCAUUCUCAUGAACUGACCCACCCUAGUAGCCUCAGAUGUAACAGAAUUAAAAAUAUCUCUCUGAGAAGUCGGGGGACGGUUAACAUUGGUCUGUGGAGUCUGAGGUGGACUGGUCGGUACUGGAGGUACUCUCGGAGUAUGAACAGGUUCUGGGGUGAGAGCUCUAUUACGGGUCCACAUCCUGUGAGUGGGACAGACCUCAUCUGUCUGUGCAUUCUGAUCGAUAGUGCGACGAGGAGGCAUGAUCGAUUUUUUUCUGGAUAGCAAGAGAGCAUUGAUUAGAGGCAGAUUAGACUCCAAAGCACAUACUAGAUCAUAAAGAGGGGAAACAUUCCUAAACGCCUAGUAGCCCCCUGCUUAUAAGUGUGGUGCACUACACACCCAUAAAUAAGACUCUACCCAACGUGAUUUCGCAGACACCCUGGGAUCAUGAACCAUGCUCUGAUACCAAGUUUGUCACGACCCAAAUCGAGGUCCUGGCCGUGAUGAGCAUCCCGAACCAUGAAGGCCCGGACACCCUUCUAACUUGAAAUCAUAUACACCAUUCAUACAUAAAUAAGAAAACACAAAAAUUAUAGCAAGACAGAAUCAUGGUCAUAAAUCUGAUAUGAAUUUAGCAUUGAAGAACGAAAUACAAAACUAACUAGCAACAUCUAAAAAUCGUCUAUGAAAUCUCUACUACAUACUCUCUAACAUAGUCUAAAUGCUGGGACAAGGCCCCAAUAGACCAAAACCGUAACCACUAAUAAUUGUCUGAAAAUAAACAGGCCUUCCAAAAUAUAGGAGGCUCACCAACUGGACACUGCAACUUUGUCUGAUGAAUUCUACUGCUUAUCUGAACCCCUAAACUGAGCCUCAUAACCUAAGAGGUAGGGAGAGGGGGUUCAAUACAAUGUAUUGGUAUGCAAAGUGAUCCAAAAUAAAACUUUUAUAUAAGUAAAAUAGUAGAGAGCGAUAUGUUAAAACAUCCUGCAUAAACAGUUCUCAAAACACAUGGGCCCUUUCUGAAAAUCAUAAAUCAUUCUUAUCAAUGCAAUGUCUGAUCUUUGUAUUACUUCUGAGCUAGGUGGCACUCCCCUACAACUCUGAUAUUCCACGGGCUAUAUGGAAUCCUCUAUUGAAUCGGCGGGAAAGCCCCCAACCCAAGUAUACUGCAAGGGUUAGAGUCUCUGAUUCUGAUACACCACACGGCACUAGGCCAGCGUAAUAUAAUAUACCCGAAUCGGCAAAUCACAAUUUUGGAAAAUGAGUUAUCUGAACUCGAUCCCUCUUCAGAGAACCACCUAACCUCUCUUUAUGCCCUAUUUUAGCAUUUUUUGAACAUACAUUAUUCUGAAAUUCUAAAACAUGAAAGUCUAAUUUUUGUAUCAGUCUGUAUCUGUUAUGGCAUUGUCUGAGUUGAUAUCGUCAUACCAAGACUUGCAAGUCAAAAUUCUAAGCCAUAAUGCUUUAAGCAUAAUUCUUUCAUUAAAACUCAAUUUAGACCACCCAGCUUUGCAAAUAGUAUAAGAGAUUUCAUGUUCCGAAGCAUAAGUCAAAACUAUGCAAGAAUCCUUCAAACAUAUGGUGGUCAUGUGCUUUUGCAAAAUAUCAUGCACUCUUUCAUUAUAUGUAUAUUUUUAACAUUUAUCAACACAUCUACCCUCUCUUUUGAAAUCCAAAUCUUAAUCCAAAUCAUAACACAAUUCAAGACAUUCUAAACCAUGUUUUUCAAGGAUGUAUUCAAAACAAUCUAUAGCAUAUGAUAAGUAAAGGAAAAUCAAAUAAGAGAGGGAUUUUUACAUAAGUAAUGCUCUCAAUUAAAUUAUCAACCUUAAAACACAAGAUUUCUAAAACAUGAAUGUAUUCAUAAAUCUGAAAACCCCUUUCUUAAAACCAUGAUUUCUAUACCCAUGAGAUUUUAGGAAAACCCCGCGUACCUCGAUUAUGAAGAAUAAGGGCUUCUCCUUGAAGCCUAUGGUUUGGGGAUUCCAAAACUCUAAUAAAUUUCGAAAACCUACGGUUGAAUCUUGAGUUUCUUAGAGGAGAAGUAUAUGAACUAGGGUUUUUGUAUUUGAAGAAAAUCUUGAGAAUGACGAAUAUUAUGCUUUUAGAGGUCUUAAUCUCCUAUUUGGACCUUUUAAGAGACCUGGAAAAAGUCCAAACUACCCUUGUUAACUUCUGAACAAAACUGGAAAAAUUUAAACUGGGAAUCUGAUCUUAUGGGCCACCGCAACGCGCCACUAUCGCAGUGGCUCACUGAAAAUUGACGAAUGGGAAUUUGGCCCACUCCGUGAUGUGCCACCAUUGCGAAGUCUCACUGAAAAUUGACCAUCUUCAUUUACACCCGCUCCGCGAUGCGCCAAAGAUAGGAAUUAUGGUGUUUUACAACUAGGACUUAAAUUAACCAUAACUCCUUCACCGAGUGUCUGUUUUGGACGAAUCUUAUGUCGGCGGAAAACUUAUUUGAUCACCUAAGUAAUGAAAAGUUGAAAUCUAAGGAAUUCCACAUGAAAAUAAGUAUAAAUCAUUCUAGAAGUCAAUGCUUGAUACUUUAGGGACAAAAAAUUAGCUAGGAAAAACUUCGGGGUGUUACAAUCAAAGAUUGGGACAUAUACCUUUUUCCAAAAUAAAAUCCAUAAGAUACUUAAAGUCUUUGCUACCACCCAAACAAACUUUCACCUGCGGUAUUUGUCUUAUGGCAAGGCAACAAAGGCUGCCUUUGGGGUCCUUACCACACUCAAACAUAUAAUGGAUAUAGGUAUUUUUUAACCAUUAUUGAUGACUAUACCAGAUGUACUUGGACUCAUUUUUUAUCUACCAAGUCCAAUGCCUUUACCUUAAUCAAAUCUUUCUUUUUUUAUGUGCUGAAUCAGUUUCAUAUUUCCAUUCAAAAUAUUAGAUCUGAUAAUGCUUUUGAGUUGGGGUCUAGUUUUGAGGAAAUUAAAUUCUUUUUUGAUCAUGGUAUAUUUCAUCAAACCUCUUGUUCUCAGACACCACAACAAAAUGGUGUUGUAGAAAGAAAACACAGACAUUUACUUGAAACUUCUAGGGCCCUAAUUUUUCAAUCCAAACAUCCUCUUAAAUAUUGGGGUGAAUGUAUUUUGGCUGCCACUUAUCUAAUAAAUAGAUUUCCUUCCCCUUUAUUGCACAAUAAAACUCCUUUUGAACUUUUACACGGAUCUGUUCCCUUUUAUGGUCAUCUUAGAUGCUUUGGCUGCUUGUGUUAUGCUGCAGUUCCCAUUUCUCAAAGGGACAAAUUAUCCUCUAGAUCAAUUCCUUCAGUGUUUCUUAGAUAUCCUACUGGAAAAAAAGCUACAAACUUCUUUCCUUAUCAUCUCAUAAAUUUUUUUUCCAAAGAUGUUAUUUUCAAUGAAUACAUUUUUCCUUAUGCAUCUCUUCCUUCCUCUACUCUAUUUCCUUCCACUUCUGUUCUUGUAGUUGCAAAUUAUUCUACGCCUAUGUCUUCAUCUUCUCCUUCUCCAACUAUACUUUGUUGAUCUACUAGGUCCAUCACCACACCUUCCUACCUCAAUGAUUAUGUAUGCUCCUUUAUUUCUACCUCCAAUAUGGCAUCCACUCCUGUUGAGAUUGCUAUGAAUGAACCUCAAUCUUAUAGACAGGUUGCUGUCCAUCCUGAGUGACAGGCUGUAAUGUUAAAAGAGUUUCAAGCUUUGGAGUCUAAUAGGACUUGAGAUAUUGUGCCCCUGUCACCCGGUAAGAGGGCCAUUUCUUCUAAAUAGGUAUAUGAGAUUAAACAGCAAGAUGAUGGCUCCAUUGAAUGCUAUAAAGCUCGUUUGUUCAUAGGGGGUACCCAACAAAAAGGUGUCGAUUAUUUUGAAACCUUUUCUCCGGUUGUUAAAAUGACCACGAUAAAAAUGUUUGUUGGUUGUUGCUGUUAAGAAACAUUGGAAAAUUUUCCAACUUGAUGUGAAUAAUGUUUUCUUACAUGGGGAUCUAGAUGAAAAGGUUUAUAUGAAAAUCCCACAAGGCUUAGAAGUGCCUGACUCUGUCUCUGGCCAUUUGGUGUGUAAGUUACGUAAAUCUUUGUAUGGACUCAAACAAGCCUCUAGACAAUGGUAUGCGAAAUUUUCUUCAGCUUUGUUGUCCCGUGGUUAUGUUUUCAGUGUCAAUAAUUACUCUAUUUUUAAGAAAGUUUCUGGUGCUUUCAUUGCUAUUAUGGUUGUUUAUGUUGAUGACAUUUUGUUAGUUGGGGAUGAUGUUGUUAAGCUUAAUUCCCUUAAAUUGUUUCUUGAUGAAAGUUUUAAGAGGACUUGGGUGAGGCCCAUUAUUUUCUGGGAUUGGAGAUACUUCGCAAACCUACUGGACUGUUGGUUACUCAAUGGAAAUUUGUUUCUGAUUUACUUUCAGAAUUUCAUUGUUCUACUGUUACACCUGUUGUUAUCCCCUUGGAGUUGUAUGGUAAACUUUCUGCUGAUUCUGGUGUCCCUUGUUCUGACCCAAGUUAAUAUAGAAAGUUUGUGGGCAAGUUGAAUUUUCUACAACACACUCGUCCUGACAUAUCUUUUGAGGUUCAACACCUUAGUCAAUUUAUGCAUUGUCCUCGCUUACUGUAUUUUGAGGCUGGUUUACAUGUUCUUCAAUAUAUGGCUGGUGCUCCUGGAUUGGGUAUUUUUUUUAAUGAUUCUCCAGACUUCUCUCUCAUUGGUUACUGUGAUUCGGACUGGGUUGGUUGUUCCCAAACCAGACGCUCCAUCUUUGGUUUUUAUGUGUUUUUGGGUGGCUCUUCGAUUUCCUGGAAGUCCAAGAAACAACCUACUAUUGCUCUUUCUUCAGCUGAAGCUGAAUAUCGAGCUCUUCGAAAAAUUGUAGCUAAAAUUUCCUGGCUUGUUCGCUUACUUGGUGAUUUUAGUUUGGGUAAUAUUUGUCCUAUAGAUGUGUUUUGCGAUAAUCAGGCUGCUUUUCGUGUAGCCAAGAAUCCCGUGUUUCAUGAACGUACGAAGCACAUAGAGGUAGACUGCCAUUUUGUUCGGGUGGCUCUUACUGCUGGGCUGAUUUCUUUGCAAUAUGUUCCCACUGCUCUACAACUGGCUGAUAUUCUUAUGAAGCCCUUGACUGGUGUUCAACACAACAACUUGCUUUCCAAGCUGGGACUGGUUUCCAUCUCGCCGGGGGAUAUUAGAAAUAAUAUAGUUGGGCUUCAGCCUCCUUAGCCUAUUGUUUAUUACAUAGUGGGCCUGAUCUUUAAUGUUUGUAUCCGGUCCAUUUCCUUUAUCAAGUGUUAAGUAUAUGUAUGUGUGUAUUGAAGUAGUUGGACUGUUUUUUGACUCAUUUUCAUGUAAUUAAAACUCAUCUUCUUCUCUCCUCUCUAGAACCUUCUCAUAAAUCUGGGUUUACAUUCAUGGUAUUUGAGAGCUUUCAGCUUCAUUCCAUGUUUUCACCCCCCACCCCCCAACCAAAAAAAAAAGUUAUUUGAGCUAAACUGGAUUAGGUUGAAUGGACUAAAAUGUGGGUCAUAACAACAUACAGUCAAUUCUUAUUAAGUUUUAAUUGCUCUAUUUAGUCUUUUAUAAAGUUUAAAUGCUUAAUAAAUUCUUUUUUUUCCUUCACUAUUAAUAUUUAUAAUAUAUCAAAUAAUUAUUUUUUAAAAUAUUUUGACAAUAUUUUUCAUAAACCAAUUUUGGUUACAUCUGUUCAAUUCUUAAUAGGCUGAAAUAGGUUGAACUAAAGAAUGAGUGUAUCAAUAACCCAUCCAAACUUAAAUGGUUUGACGGAUUGGAUUGGAUUGGAUUUUGCCGCCUCUAGUUACUUAUGAAAGCAAAUAAGGAAUGGGCUCUUCACAACUUAAAUCAAAAGUUCAUUCAGGCAUUUUACCAAUGCCGAACAGUAUACACAUCUAGUCACAACAAUCUCAUCUCUAUAUAUACUAAUUAAUACAUAUUCCGUAAAAAGUCUUAAUCAGUAAUAUGAUGUAUAACUGCUACAUUUUUAAAAAGAAUGUGUUCAUGAUUUUUAUCACUACUCUUUUCACUUACUAUUCAACAAUGUUUAUCAUCAUACCUAGAUCAGUACCACCAUUACUAUCAAUCAUCUCUAUCUAUCUCUCUCUCUAUAUAUAUAUGUCAUUAGCUUCUUAAAUUACCCUCAAACUUUCAAUUUGUUUUUGUUUUUGCAUUGGCACGGAGUUUAAGAAAUUUAAAAAAAGACUUUUAAAUUUGCACAGAGGGUGUGGCCUAGUGGUAAAUGAAGUGGUUGGGAGUCAAGAGACCAGGUUCAAAUAUCAAUGGAGAAAAAAUACUUGGUGAUUUUUUUUCAUUUGUCAUAGCAUUGGUGGACAAAGCUAAUUAAUGUUGGUGUAUAUGCAUUUUAUUAUUAAAUUAAUAUAUUAAGUGAAUAUGUUAAUAGUUAUAAAUUGUGUAUUAUGAGUAUUAUUACUUACAUAUGUUAGUGGAAGAAUGUGGUCAUAAGUUUUCUUGAAACUCCUAUAACCACUAAGCUUUAUUGCCCAUUAUUCAUCCCUUUAUGUCUUAUAACUCUUGUAACAUAUGUAACCUCAAAGAUAUUCAUCUACCUGCAUUACUACCCCUCAUUUAUCCUAUUCAAUACAUUUACUACCCCUCAUUCAUCCUAUUCAAUACAUGGAAGAAUUCAUCACCUAUAAAUAGUUGUGUUUCUUCCUUUGAUGUGUAGAAGAAAAAAAUGUGAAGUGAAAGAGAGACUUGAGACAAAGAAAAUAUUUUAAGUCUUUAACUAUAUUCACUAUACAAAGAGAGUAAAUAUAUGUUGAAGGAAAGUGUUCUUAUGGUGGAGUUUUGGACUCUUCAACUAAUCCGGGGUUGUUUGAGUUAUACAUCGUUGAUGGGCUGUUGUAUCCUGGAGGGGACAAGUCACGAGAUAUACUGUUGGAUCGGUGUAGAUUAUGCCGCAGUGGACUUGAAUCUCCUUAAAGAAAGUGAGAUAUUCGCGCCUCAGCCAAGAAGAAGAUUAUUUUAUUUUCUUUACUUUUGUUCAUUUUAUUUUCAACUGUAAUGAUUAUUGUAAUUGUGGUAUAUUACACCAAUAAUUUUAAGGAGAUUCAUGUUUUGUUACAGCUUAAAAAAAUGCGGAUAUCAAAAUGGAGAUCUCAACAUCUCAACAUCAAUAGUCUCUUCAAGAGAUGAAAGGGAAGAGAUGAAGAGUAAAACAUUUUAUACUUCCUCAACUCAAGCGACUGAAAGGUAAAAUUUUUCUACUUGUUGUGGAAGAAAGGUAAAAAAAUCUUCUACCUAAUUUUUUAAUAAAAAAAUGAUACUACUUCUCAUGAUCAUAAAGUGGUUUUCAAAAUCUUGAAAUAGUGGGGGCUAAUGAAAUGAGAAAAAAUCACCACAAAAUUGUGACAUUUGCACUUUUGAGAAUGAGUUAAAAAAAAGUGCUAUAAGUGCAUAAUUAUUGUUGGAGUAAAUUACAUGUCAUUAUUAAUUUGCAUAUGACUUGAUGUCUUUAUAUUUGGCUCUAACAUGUUAUCAAAGAAAGAAUAAAAAAUAUGGAGUAGCCAUUUGACAUUAAAUAUUUGGGUGAGAUAAAUUUCAUUCUUGGAAUGAAAAAAUACCUAAAUUAUCUGAUGAACUUUUCUUUGACAUGUCACAUUAUGGUGCAAAAAAAAAAUUGUGAAAUACAUUUUGUUGAUCAUAUGAGCCAUGUAACUUCUUUUGAUUCAAAUAUGUGAAAGUAGUGUGAUAAAUAAAAAAGUAGUUUACUAGCCCAAUAAAAUAUGAGAUAUGUAGCUAGUUGCACUUGGCAUGAAAUUAUGUAAAAGUACUUAAACAAGCAAAUCAAGUAUAUUUACUUGGUUAAAAAAAGGGUUGUGGCUUGUUGUACUUAAAAGUGUUUUUGAUGCAAAAUGAGAAAAAAAUAACUUGGUGCUAUUCACUAAUGAGAAAUAAAUUAUGAUUUGCUAACUCAUUAUGGAGGUUGAACUAACUAUUUUUGCUUCAACUAGUGAAAAAGUGAAUUGAUCAAUCACUUUAUGUUGAGAAAUUAAUUUCUCUAAUUUUGAGUUAUAUGAUAGAACUAAAAAUUUAUUGAUAGAGAGUAAAUCAUUUUUAUAACGGUAAAUUCAGAUUAUAAGGAAAAAAGUACAAUUUUGUGAGAUCAUAUUGAUCAAUGGUAUACCAAUAUUAAUUAUGUUAACUUUGUGAUAAUCUUGUAGAUUCAAAACUAAGGCCUUAGCAAGAAAAUGGUCUGAAUCACAUUGAGGGGAGGAAAGAAGCCUAUAAAAAAAUCAUGAGUCGUAUAUGAGGAAACUCAACCUGGGACUAGAGAUCCUAUAACCAGGUUCUAUGGGAAGAACGAAUCAUAUGAUGACUUGAUGUGGGAUACACUGUUAUUUAAUCCUUCCUAUGAUGUGAGUGCAUUAACUUGUAAUGUGAGUGAGGUUGAGUUUAAAAUAACUCCUAAUGAAAAUCAGUAGCCUGUAUGAGUAGGGUGCUAAAUUACAGGAUCACUCUUGACGGAUUUCACCUAUGUGAGCGUGGAAGUAGGUCAUUCCUAUGAGAAUGAGGCUUAUUUUUAAAAAUGCUCAUGAAAAAUCGGGAUAGCACAUGGCCAUAAUGUGCUGGCUAUUAAAACUUAUGUCAAUACCUUGACUAUUGUGUGUAGGCAGUGAUAUUUUAUUUCCCCUAAGCAGUCAUAGUUCAAGUCUGAGACCACUACUGACUUUGGAGUAAAGGUUACUGUUUUACUAAGUGGAGGUUCACUGCAGAGCACACCUUUCUUAUGCAUAAUAGUCUACCUUCAACUAAUUUGGUGAAAUGCUCUCUUAAUUUAAUUUUAAAAUGAGUGAAGGAAUGUUGGUGUAUAUGCAUUUUAUUAUUAAAUUAAUAUAUUAAGUACAUAUGUUAGUGGGUAUAAAUUGUGUAUUAUGAGUAUUAUUACUUACAUAUUAUAACACCCCGCAUUUCGGGUUAGAAUAAAAACCAUGACUCUGAUGCGUUGAUAAUUCCAGAGCCUUAAAUCCUAUGCCAAUUUGGCAUGUUUAUGUAGUAUGUGAAUCCAUUUGAGCAUGAAUUUAGACCAUAGAGGUCCUUCAACUCAAGGACUAUUUCGAUCGAUUAAGUUUUAGUGGAUGUUGUAACUUGUGUCAGCUUCCAUCGAUCAUAACUCUCUAUAUAUGUCGAAUUAGAGAGCCUACUAUGUGUCAAAUGAUAGGUCUUCGAGUUAACUUUUCAAUGAUACCAAUUUUGCUAAAAUCCGACACCCGAGCAAGAAGUUAUGGCCUUUCAAAGUAGUAUGCAUCUCCUAACCAAUCGCACAUGGCCACUGGAAAGCAUAUGCGAUAGCAUAUGCGGCGCAUAUGUAAAUAUAGGCGAUAUCAUAUGUGGCGCCUAUGUAAAUAUAGGCGAUAUCAUAUGCGGNNNNNNNNNNNNNNNNNNNNNNNNNNNNNNNNNNNNNNNNNNNNNNNNNNNNNNNNNNNNNNNNNNNNNNNNNNNNNNNNNNNNNNNNNNNNNNNNNNNNNNNNNNNNNNNNNNNNNNNNNNNNNNNNNNNNNNNNNNNNNNNNNNNNNNNNNNNNNNNNNNNNNNNNNNNNNNNNNNNNNNNNNNNNNNNNNNNNNNNNNNNNNNNNNNNNNNNNNNNNNNNNNNNNNNNNNNNNNNNNNNNNNNNNNNNNNNNNNNNNNNNNNNNNNNNNNNNNNNNNNNNNNNNNNNNNNNNNNNNNNNNNNNNNNNNNNNNNNNNNNNNNNNNNNNNNNNNNNNNNNNNNNNNNNNNNNNNNNNNNNNNNNNNNNNNNNNNNNNNNNNNNNNNNNNNNNNNNNNNNNNNNNNNNNNNNNNNNNNNNNNNNNNNNNNNNNNNNNNNNNNNNNNNNNNNNNNNNNNNNNNNNNNNNNNNNNNNNNNNNNNNNNNNNNNNNNNNNNNNNNNNNNNNNNNNNNNNNNNNNNNNNNNNNNNNNNNNNNNNNNNCACUAAAGAGGGAAUCUAGCAUGAAUGUUUAAUGUUCAUAAUGCAUGUAAUGAAAGAGUGCAUGGAUUUGCUAAAGGCACUAGACCACCAUAUGUUGAUGAAGUUUUUGCAUGAUUUUGACUUGAGUUUCGAAACACGAAAUCUUCUAUAUCAAUUGCAUGUUUUUGGUGUUCUAAAUUAUGUUUUAAAUGAAAGAUUUAGCUUAAUGUAUUAUGGCUCAGAAAUCAUGACUUGCAAGUCUUGGUAUGACGAUACCAAUUCAGACCAAUGCCAUAUCAGACUCAGACUAAUAGACAUUUCAGACUAUCAUGAUUUUAGACAUUCAGAAUGUUGCAUGUACAGGAAAAUUUAAAAAUGAUCAUACAGAGAUGUUAGGUGGUUCCCUGAAGAGGGAUUGAGUUCAAGCAACUCAUUGCCUAAAAUCGUGAUUUAUCGAUCCGAGUAUAUUAUUAUACGCUGACUUAAGUGUCGUGUGGCGUAUCAGAUUCAGGAACUCCAACCUUUGCGGCAUACUCGGGUUGGAGGCUUCCCCACCGAGUCAAUGGCGGAUUCCAUAUCGGUCGUGGAAUAGCAGACUUGUAGGGGAUACCACCUAACUCAGAAGUAAUACACAGAUCAGAGUUUGAAAUUUAAAGACAGGUUACAUAUUUUCAGAAGGUGCCCAUGUCUUUUUCAGAAACUGUUUUAUGCAUAAUGUUUGAUGAAAAUUUACUCUCACGUAAUAUAUAUAUAUAUAUAUGUUCAAUUACUCUAUUUUGGAUUGCUUCGCAUGCCAAUACAAUUGUGCUGACUCCCCCUUCCUCCCAGGUACUGAGGCGCAGUCUAGUAGAGUCUAUAGACAGGGUUGUCUCAGAGUUCAGUUGGUGAGCCUUCUUUGCUUCGAAAAGCUAUUUCAGUAUGGUUUUUGGUCUGUUGGGGGCCUUGUCCCAGUUAUUCAGAUAGUAUGUUAAUAGAGAUUUCGCAGACUGCUGCAGAUGUUUAUUAAAUAUUGUUGGGCAUGUUUUCAGGCCUUUAACUAUUUUAAAUUGUUGACCAUGUUUUCGUAUUAUUGUGUCUAUUCCGUAUUACUUUGAUCAUAUGAAUUAUGUGCAUGAUUACUAGAUAGACAGAGGGUGUUCCAGGCCUUCAGGUUUGAGAAUGCUCGUCACGGACAGGGUCCCGGUUUGGGUCGUAACACAUAUGUUAGUGGAAGAAUGUGGUCAUAAGUUUUCUUGAAACUCCUAUAACCACUAAGUUUUUAUUUGCCCAUAAUUCAUCCCUUUAUGUCUUAUAACUCUUGUAACAUCUGUAACCUCAAAGCUAUUCAUCUACCCAAAUUACUACCCCUCAUUCCUCUUAUUCAAUACAUGGAAGAAUUCAUCUCCUAAAAAUAGUCGUGUUUCUUCCUUUGAUGUGUAGAAGGAAAAAAUGUGAAGUGAAAGAGAGAGUUGAGACAAAGAAAAUAUUCUAAGUCUUUAACUAUAUUCACUAUACAAAGAAAGUAAAAAUAUGUUGAAGGAAGGUGCUCUUAUGGUGAGGCUUUGGACUCUUCAUCUAAUCCAAAGUUGUUUGAGUUGUACAUCGUUGAUGAACCGUUGUAUUCUGGAGGGGACAAGUCACGAGAUAUACUGCUGGAUCGGUGUAGAUUAUGCCGCAGUGGGCUUGAAUCUCCUUAAAGAAAGCGAGAUAUCCGCGUCACAGCCAAGAAGAAGAUUAGCUUAUUUUCUUUACUUUUGUUCAUUUUAUUUUCAACUGUAAUGAUUAUUAUAAUUUGUGGUAUAUUAUACCAACAGUUAAUAUGUGUUGUUUGUGGGAGGCGACAUUACCUCGUGGAAUUAGUCAGGUGCGCAAAAUUAUUACAUACACCACAAUCAUCAAAAACAAGACAAAUAAAUUGAAACGGAGCAAAUAUUUUAAAAAAAAAUCAAAAAGAAGAACAGAAAACAUACCAUUUUUGUUGAUGGCAUUAACGAAGAAGGGAAUGAGUUUUUGAGCUAUGUCAUCAGAGAAAUUGAUGGGCUUUGACUGUGCUUCAAUGACACUUUUUUUGAGCUCCUUCAAAUCUCCAUAGAGUAACUUGUAUGGAUUUCCCUUAAGACCAUUCUCUAUUAAGUAUUUCUCCAAUUUCUUUGGCCUAAACCAUGCCCAAUUCAAUAUUUUCCAUGUAUAUACCAAUAAAAAUGCAACAUAUAAUAUUGCUAUUAUGUUGCUUAACAUCUCCAUUUUCACAAGUGACAACUCUAUGAAAGUGUCAGCUGCUUCCUCUUAAUCAACUAGUACAUAUAUAAUAAUGACCACAAGCCAGCGCAAACUUUCUUGAUUAUUCAAAUGAGGUUGUAGCUUUGGCCAAACUUACCCGACCCACCUUCAGUAAGGACCUUUAGUCUUUUCAUUAGCUAGUCUAUCGGGAAAAGCUACUUUCAUUCCUUUCCUUUCGGUCGAGUGAGCUUCUUAAUUUGAAAAGAUGGGUCAUUUAUGCUUUUGUCCCUUUUUUGUGCUGGACUUUCACAUUUUACUCCUCAAGAUAGAAUAAUUUUCUUGCAUAGCAUAUGUUUUAUAUUUUUGCAUUAUAGUAUUUUACAAAUUAUGUCUAGCAUACUUAAAGAACUUAAGUUUGUUAGACAUAUAUUGAUUGUUGACUGGCAAAGACUAUACACUAGUCUAUUAGAGGGCAAAUAAUGCAAUUAAGUGGAAAAAUCUUGAUAUAAAGAGUUUUCUUCUUUAAUGUACCAUAUACAAUACAAAUUCAAUUUAACUAAAACUCCAAUACAACUAUCAACCCUCAGAUGUGAAAUAAAAAAGGCUUAACUCGGCGUUAGAUCUUCAAACUUGUCUCGAAAAUAAUCAGCUGCUGUAUCAUUGUAGAUUAUGCUGCAGUGGGCUUGAAUCUCCUUAAAGAAAACGAUAUAUCCGUGUCACAGCCAAGAAGAAGAUUAUUUUAUUUUCUUUCCUUUUGUUCAUUUUAUUUUCAAUUGUAAUGAUUAUAUAAUUUGUGGUAUAUUAUACCAACAGUUAAUAUCUAUUGUUUGUGGGAUGCGACAUUACCUCGUGGAAUUAGUCAGGUGCGCAAAAUUAUUACAUACACCACAAUCAUCAAAAACAAGACAAAUAAAUUGAAACGGAGCAAAUAUUUUUAAAAAAAAAUCUAAAAGAAGAACAGAAAACAUACCAUUUUUGUUGAUGGCAUUAAGGAAGAAGGGAAUGAGUUUUUGAGCUAUGUCAUCAGAGAAAUUGAUGGGCUUUGACUGUGCUUCAAUGACACUUUUAUUGAGCUCCUUCAAAUCUCCAUAGAGUAACUUGUAUGGAUUUCCCUUAAGACCAUUCUCUAUUAAGUAUUUCUCCAAUUUCUUUGGCCUAAACCAUGCCCAAUUGAAUAUUUUCCAUGUAUAUACCAAUAAAAAUGCAACACAUGAUAUUGCUAUUAUGUUGCUUAACAUCUCCAUUUUCACAAGUGACAACUCUAUGAAAGUGUCAGUUGCUUCCUCUUAAUCAACUAGUACAUAUAUAAUAAUGACCCCAAGCCAGAGCAAACUUUCUUUAUUAUUCAAAUGAGGUUGUAGCUUUGGCCAAACUUACCCGACCCACCUUCAGUAGGGGUCUUUAGUCUUUUGAUUAGCUAGUCUAUCGGGAAAAACUACUUUCAUCCCUCUCCUUUCGGUCGAGUGAGCUUCUUAAUUUGAAAAGAUGGGUCAUUUAUGCUUUUGUGCUGGACUUUCACAUUUUACUCCUCAAGAUGAAUAAUUUUCUUGCGUAGCAUAUGUUUUAUAUUUUUGUAUUAUAGUAUUUUACAAAUUAUGUCUAGCAUACUUAAAGAACUUAAGUCUGUUAGACAUAUAUUCCUUGUUGACAAGCAAAGACUAAACACCUGUCUAUUAAAGGGCAAAUAAUGCAAUUAAGUGGAAAAAUCUUGAUAUAAAGAGUUUUCUUCUUUAAUGGACCAUAUACAAUACAAAUUCAAUUUAACUAAAACUCCAAUACAAGUAUCAAUCCUCAGAUGUGAAAUAAAAAUGGCAUAACUCAGCGUCAGACUCUCAAACUUGUCUCGAAAAUAAUCUACUGCUGGAUCGCUGUAGAUUAUGCCGCAGUGGGCUUGAAUCUCCUUAAAGAAAGCGAUAUAUCCGUGUCUCAGCCAAGAAGAAGAUUAUUUUAUUUUCUUUACUUUUGUUCACUUUAUUUUCAACUGUAAUGAAUAUUGUAAUUUGUGGUAUAUUAUACCAACAGUUAAUAUGUGUUGUUUGUGGGAGGCGACAUUACCUCGUGGAAUUAGUUAGGUGCGCAAAAUUGUUACAUACACCACAAUCAUCGAAAAUAAGACAAAUAAAUUGAAACGGAGCAAAUAUUUUUAAAAAAAAAUCUAAAAGAAGAACAGAAAACAUACCAUUUUUGUUGAUGGCAUUAAGGAAGAAGGGGAUGAGUUUUUGAGCUAUGUCAUCAGAGAAAUUGAUGGGCUUUGACUGUGCUUCAAUUACACUUUUUUUGAGCUCCUUCAAAUCUCCAUAGAGUAACUUGUAUGGAUUUCCCUUAAAACCAUUCUCUAUUAAGUAUUUCUCCAAUUUCUUUGGCCUAAACCAUGCCCAAUUCAAUAUUUUCCAUGUAUAUACCAAUAAAAAUGGAACACAUAAUAUUGCUAUUAUGUUGCUUAACAUCUCCAUUUUCACAAGUGACAACUCUAUGAAAGUGUCAGUUGCUUCCUCUUAAUCAACUAGUACAUAUAUAAUAAUGACCCCAAGCCAGAGCAAACUUUCUUUAUUAUUCAAAUGAGGUUGUAGCUUUGGCCAAACUUACCCGACCCACCUUCAGUAGGGGCCUUUAGUCUUUUGAUUAGCUAGUCUAUCGGGAAAAACUACUUUCAUCCCUCUCCUUUCGGUCGAGUGAGCUUCUUAAUUUGAAAAGAUGGGUCAUUUAUGCUUUUGUCCCUUUUUUGUGUUGGACUUUCACAUUUUACUCCUCAAGAUGAAUAAUUUUUUUGCGUAGCAUAUAUUUUAUAUUUUUACAUCAUAGUAUUUUGCAAAUUAUGUCUAGCAUACUUAAAGAACUUAAGUCUGUUAGACAUAUAUUCAUUGUUGACGGGCAAAAACUAAACACCAGUCUAUUAGAGGCCAAAUAAUGCAAUUAAGUGGAAAAAUCUUGAUAUAAAGAGUUUCCUUUUUUAAUGGACCAUAUACAAUACAAAUUCAAUUUAAGUAAAACUCCAAUACAAGUAUCAACCCUCAGAUGUGAAAUAAAAAAGGCUUAACUCAGCGUCAGACCCUCAAACUUGUCUAGAAAAAUCACUUAGACUCUUCAACUAAGGUUUGUACCUAUCAGGACCUUCAAGGGCUAAAAUUGGUACCUAUCAGGCACAAAAUGUUGAUUUGGCAAGGAGAGUGUGUUCACUCUUCUUGGGCGCGUGAAUAGUGUCUCAAAUGAUGUUUUUUUUAAAAAAAAAAAAAGUUACAUUUCAAUUUAUUUAAUACAAUAACAAAUUUUAAUUAAAAAGAAAAAGGAAAAAACAGCCCUCCUUCGCCCCUCCCCCCCACUGGAAGCCAUGAAUUUUAGCAUAUUAAUACAUUUCUCUUGUUUUUGCGGAGUAAAUUUGAUUCCGACGAAACUCUAUUUUUUUCGGCUAACUUGAUAUUAUUAAAGAAUUUAAAUUCUAAGGAACUCACAACACAAGAAGAACAAAAAUAACAAUAAAUAUGAAUUAGAUUGGUAAAGAAAUAAGAUUUCUAAAAGAAUGUUGAUUUUUUUUCUACAGAAAUGGAGAAGAAGAUGAUAAGAGGGGGCGGAAGGCGGGUUGGGGGUGGGAAGAGGGGAAGGUAGUAGAAAACGUUUUUUGAUUAUCUUCACUCUCUCAAAUAAGAUAUAAAAAUAAAAAUUAGAAGAUGAAGAAGAAGAUGACAAGAAAAUGGAGAAAAGAUGAAAGAGCAAGUGGGGUGGGGGUGGGAUGGGGGUUGAAAGGGACCGGUGGGGUGGGAUGUUGAAGGGGACCCCAUUUUAUUUUUAUUUUUUAAAAAUAUUUAUAAUUAAUUUUUAAUAAUUAUUGGACCCACAAUGCCAUGUGUCAGCUUUCAAUUAGUUUUUUUGCCACAUCAUUGCAUGUGUAUUACACACACUUAAACUUUUAACUGAUUGGACAAAAAGUGCCCGAUUAGAUCAAAAUUUGGGUGGGUUAGGGGCCUGAUAGGUACAGGCCUUAGUUGAGUGGUUUAAAUGAAUUUUUGAGACAAGUUUGAGGGUUUGGCGAUGACUUAAAGCCAAUAAAAAAAAGGUUUUAACCCAUUUCGAUAUAUCUAUUUGGUGAAGUAUUUUUUUUCAUAAUUUUGUCCUUUCUGCCCUGGUCCCUCUGGCCCACUACGAGGAAAUGAGAUCACUUAUGCUCAAGAAAAUGACGCUCAGAUAUAAAGGUUCCAUUGAGAGAGGUUAACUAAAUAGAGUGAGACUUGGAAUGUUUAGAAAAUAGUAAGUCCAAAAAUUUUGCAAAUAAACUAUCAAAGUGUGGUUCCUGUUAUGUAGUGAUUAAGACUUAAAUGAAGAGACAAAUAUACACGGACCAAAGAAAACGAGUUGUUUUAUUCUAUUCCUACAUCUGUCAAACCAAAAUGAAAAUAGAGAACGUCAACCAAACUGCAAUUCAAAGUUUAAAUUCAGCCAUCACGCAACAGUUUUCUUAGAAUCAUCAAAGGAGCACCAUACUGAGGAUGAAUAGUCAAUAUUGCAAAUGGAGCAUGUGUAUAAGAUGGACUGAGUUCGAAGGAGAAUUUUCUUAGUGUCAUUGCUAUUGCCAUUUUUGCUUCCAUCAUUGCAAAGUUUUGUCCAAUGCAAAUUCGAGGUCCCCCGGCAAAUGGGAUAUAUGAGAAUUGUUCUUUGGUUGCCUUCGACACUCCUUCACUGAAACUUUCUGGUUUGAAUUCUUUUGCGUCUUUACCCCAUAUUUCCUUAUCAUAAUGUACUAGGACUAGGGGUGGUAAAUAGGCUGUUUGGGUCGAAUUUGAGUGUAUCAAAAUGGGUUAAAACAAUAAAUGGGUCAUUUACCCAAUCAGUCCAACCUAACCCAUUAUUGAAUAAUUUAUCUUUUUUUUUUUGGGGGGGUUUCUCAAGGUCCCCACAGCCGGCAGCCGUGAGACUAAUCCUUCGUUCCACAGUCAGUGCACUAAGCAGUAGGUAACUGGACACAGAGUUUCACAAUCAGCGCACUAAUCAGUAGGGAACUGAUCACAGAGUUUUCUCCAUUCACCAGAGGUGGUGGCAGCCGUGAGACUAAUCCUCCAUUCCACAGUCAGUGCACUAAGCAGUAAGGAACUGGCCACAGAGUUUUCUCCAUUCACCAAAGAUGGGAUCAAAUCCCCAACCUCUUGCUUAAGGGGUGAGGUGUUGAACCACCACACUAACCCUUGUGGUUAUUGAAGAAACUUAGAUUGGAAUGAUAUCAUUCUAAAAGAAACUUAGAUUGGAAUGAUAUUUUUAAUUUUCUUUUUAUAUUUAUAUUUAUAUUUAUAUUGUUAUUAUUAUUAUUUUCAAAUAAAAAUAAAAUAUAAAAUAUAAAAAAAUAUAAUAAAAAUAUUUAUAUAAAUAUUUAACCCAAAAUAAUGAUAAUGAAUAUGAUAAGAGAGGUGGAAAAAAGCAAAAAAAUUCUAAAAUANNNNNNNNNNNNNNNNNNNNNNNNNNNNNNNNNNNNNNNNNNNNNNNNNNNNNNNNNNNNNNNNNNNNNNNNNNNNNNNNNNNNNNNNNNNNNNNNNNNNNNNNNNNNNNNNNNNNACUUUGAUUUUUUUAAAAAUUUCCUUGAAAAAUAUAAAGUUUUUAUUGGGGGAGAGGGUUAGGGGGUGGGUAGGGGUCGGGGUAGUGUGAUGGUGUAAGAAAAAAUUAUUUUUAAAAAAAUAUAAAUUAAAAAAAAUAUUUUAGUAUAUCUCCUUUUUAAUAUAAUAAAGUUCAACAUUUUGAAAAAUGACUAUAGUUAAUGAAGUAAUAAAAAUAUAAUAGAAACUAAGUGUUAAUUAUCUUUUAAUUCUUUAAAUUAAUAGAGGUAGAAAUGACAUCUAUUUUUUUUUUAACAUAGUAGACAAGAAAAUAUAAAUAAAAGAAGUAUAUUUGAGUAGCAAAGAAAAUAUACCAAAAAUUUCAUCAUAGCAUUAUCUACUAUAGGAUAUGGCAUUGUCUAGUUUGGGUUGGAGGAGUCUGCUAAUGCUACUAUUGAGAAGCUUAAACGCACCAUGGUUGGAGACAAGCUGUUGUAAGCAUUUCCAUACAUCCCUUGCAAUUUUUGACUAUAGUGGAAUUUUUUCUUGAAAUUAUGGCCUUUUAGGCGUCGAACUUGCAAAUUUGACACUUUACUAAGCUACUAGGUUUUGUAGCUAUAGCCAAUUCAUAACAUCACCAAAUAUUACAUUCCAAACUGGCAGCCAAGUAAUACAAAGAGUAUGAUAUAGACAGUUUAUACCAAUACAAGCGUUAAUGGUGGGGUAGGGGAGGGGGGCUGGGUUGGUCGGGGUAGGGGGAGGUGGGUGGGAAAAAAUUGAUUUCUUUUUUAAAUAAUAUAUAUUUUAGAAAAUAUUUAAUUUUUUGCGGUUGGGUAGGUGUAGGGGAUGGUGUAAGAAAAAAAAUCAUUUUUCUUUAUUCAAAAAAUUAUUUAUUACUACAAUUAUUCCAAGGCGAAAGAAGAAUAUAAUUGAAGCAAUUACAAAAAUAAAAAAAUAAUAAACACUAGAAUUUAACAUCUUUAUGCAUCAAAGUUGGGCAUCAUCAUGAGCCCAUUUAGAUUGAUGAUUUAUGAUAGGAAAUUGCAUGUCAUAGACCCAAAUAUGGGCUGCUUUAGAUAUUUGACCUCAAUAAGAAAUAUCUUUAAAAAAUAACUUUCAUUACUUUUUAAGCAUAGUACAAGUACCAUUUUGUCCUUCUACACCUCAAAUAUAUUUUUUAAACUUUCCAUACUUAUUUCUCUCACAAAUUUUAUUUUUUAUUAUUUUUACUUUUUAUUUUUUUUAAUUUUAUUAUUCUAUUUUUUAUUAUUUUCACUUUUUAUUUUUUAUUUUAAUUUUAUUUUUAUUUUUUAAUUCAUUUUUUUUUAACCUUUAUUUUUUCUCUUUUUUCUUUUUUUUUCCGAAGCAUUAUCUAUUUCUUUUUUUCCUUUUUUUAAUUCAUUUGUCUUUAACCUUUAUUUUUCUUUUAUUUUUUAUUUUUAUCAGUUAUCUUUUUUUCCCCUCAUUUUUCUCAAACUUUAUUUUUAUUUUUUCCUCUCAUUUUUUAUUUUCUCAAUUUUUUUAAUUCUUUGCUUUUUUCUUAAUCUUUUUUUUAUUUCUCUAUUUUUUUGAUCGUUUUUUUUUUCUCUUUUUCUCAACUUUCAUUAUAUUUUGCUAAUAGAUAAAAAAAUUGGAUAAUCCGCAAAGGUACCUUCUUUUUUUAACAUCAAAGCAAAUUUAAGGGCAUGAAUUGUUGUUAUGAAGUUCUUGAAAAUUCUUGAGAUAAGUCGUGUCUCUAAGGUGAAAGUUGUAGAAUAUCUCAUAAAUAAAGACAUAAUGUGGUAGUGUCAACUCUUGCUCAUUGACCGUGGGGCAUAAUUUAUUAUUUGAAAGUCCUUGAGCUAAGUCUUGCCUCUAAGGCAAGAGUUGUAGAACAUUCCAUAAAUGAAGACAUAACGUGGUAGUGUCAACCCUUGCCCAUGGAACAUAAUUUGUAGUUUGAAAGUAUUUGAGCUAAGUUUUGCCUCUAAGGCAAGAGUUGUAGAACAUCUCAUAAAUGAAGACAUAACGUGGUAGUGUCAACUUUUGCUCGUGGGUCAUAAUUUGUAGUUUGAAAGUCCUUGAACUAAUUAAGUCUUGCCUCUAAGGCAAUAGAUGUAGAACAUCUCAUAUAUGAAAACAUAACAUGGUAGAGUCAACUCUUGCCCGUGGGGCAUAAUUUGUAGUUUGAAAGUCCUUGAACUAAUUAAGUCUUGCCUCUAAGGCAAUAGUUGUAGAACAUCUCAUAAUGAAAAUAUAACGUGGUAGAGUUAACUAUUGCCCGUGGGGCAUAAUUUGUAGUUUGAAAGUCCUUGAGUCAAGUCUUGCCUCUAACGCAAAAGUUGCAGAACAUCUCAUAAAUGAAAACAUAAUGUGGUAGAGUUAACUCUUUUUCGUGAGGCAUAAUUUGUUGUUUGAAAGUUCUUGAGCUAAGUCUUGCACUAACGCAAUAGUUGUAGAACAUCUCAUAAAUAAAAACAUAAGUGGUAGUGUCAACUCUUGCCUGUGGGGCAUAAUUUGUUAUUUGAAAGUCCUUAAGCUAAGUCUUGCCUCUAAGGCGAUAGUUGUAGAAAAUCUCAUAAAUGAAAACAUAUCGUGGUUGAGUCAACUCUUGCCCGUGGGGCAUAAUUAGUUGUUUGAAAGUUCUUGAGCUAAGUCUUGCCCCUAAGACAAUAGUUGUAGAACAUCUCAUAAAUAAAAACAUAACGUGGUAGAGUCAACCCUUGCCCGUGGGGCAUAAUUUAUUGUUUGAAAGUCCUUGAGCUAAGUCUUGCAUCUAAGGCAAUAGUUGUAGAAUAUCUCAUAAAUGAAAACAUAAGGUGGUAAAGUCAACUCUUGCCCGUGGGGCAUAAUUUGUUGUUUGAAAGUCCCUGAGCUAAGUCUUGCCUCUAAGGUAAGAGUUAUAAAACAUCUCAUAAAUCAAAAUACAAUGUGGUAGUGUCAACUCUUACCCAUGAAACAUAACUUGUUGUUUGAAAGUCAUAAGUCUUGUCUCUAUAAUGUAGUAGUUUCAACUCUUGCCCAUGAAACGUAGCUUAUUGUUCGAAAGUCGUAAGUCUUACCUUUAUAAUGUGAUAGUGUCAACUCUUGCUCAUGAGGUGUAACUUGAAUUAACUUGUAGUUUGAAAGUCAUAAGUCUUGUCUCUAUAAUGUAGUAGUUUCAACUCUUGCCCAUGAAACGUAGCUUAUUGUUCGAAAGUCGUAAGUCUUACCUUUAUAAUGUGAUAGUGUCAACUCUUGCUCAUGAGGUGUAACUUGAAUGAAAGAAAUCGAAGAAAAGAACAAAAAUAAUAAAAAUUGCGGAAAAAGAAGAAAAUGAAAAAAAUAUUUAAGAAAUAAAAAUCAAAGAAAAUGUACAAGUUGAGAGAGAAUAGAAAAAAAAUAAAGGUUGAUAAAAAAAAGAUUAAAUAAAAAUAAAGGUCGAGAAAAUUUUAAAAAGAAAAAAUUAAAGUAAUAAAAGAAAAUUCUUUUAUAAAAAUAGACCUUGAAAGGUGUAAAGAAAAAAAAGUAGGGGUUGAGAAAAACUAAAAAGAACAAAAAAGAAGAGGAAAGAAAAGAAAAAAAAAAUAUAAAAGAAAAAAGAAAAAAAAGAAGUUGAGAGGAAAAAAGUAAGUGUUGAGAAAACUAAAAAUAAAAAGGGAAAAGAAAAAAUAAAAAUCAAAGUAAAAUUAAAAAGAGAAAAAAAAAAGUUAAAAAAUAUAAAUAUGGAGUUGUUAUCCAUUAUGAAGAUCAUUUAUGUAAUUUACUCCAUUGAUCAGGUGUAAUUUUAUCCAAAAAAAAAAACAAUAUUAGUUAAUAGGUAAAGGUUAUUUUUAGAAAACUUUUUUAUUUGAGGCUAAAAUUUAAAAAUUAUAUCAAUUUGGGUCUAUUUUUGAGAUUUGCCCAAUUUAUGAUGAUUCACUUGAGCUAGUCCAAAUCAUUCCAUCUUCAAAAUCACUCUAGUCCAAUCCAUUAAAACAUGAACGAAUUGAACGGGAUUGAGGGAAAGAUAUUACGAUGAUAAAAAAAAAUGACUGGCAAAAGAUAAAUUGGCUAGUUCUCAUUAUUUAAUUAAGAAAUCCAAUUGUUGGUCAUUAAAGAAUACAAAAGAAAGAAUUUCCAAUUUACAAGAUAUGAUCUAUCGAUUAACCUCUGGAUUUGAAAUCACUGCUUAUAUACCCGGUAUUGGCCAUAAUUCACAAGAACAUUCUGUAGAAGGUAAGAGGGGGAAGGGUUAAGGAUUUACCCGGUGUGAGAUAUCACAUUGUUCGAGGAACCCUAGAUGCUGUCGGAGUAAAGGAUCGUCAACAAGGGCGUUCUAGUGCGUUGUAGAUUCUUAUCCAGGACUUGUAUCAUUUGAUGAUGCCAUAGAUCUUUUUCCCUUACUCUUUAAUAUCAUCGUAAUUUUUUUGCUAUCACUCUAGAUCGUAUAUAACAUAGUUGUAUAUUUAGAUUCCCCUAUUCUAUUCCCUAAGUUAAGUAAUUCCACCCACCAUAUACAUUUUUUCAUUGCUGUGGGCUAAGCUAAAAAAGACUAUUUCAAUGAUGGCCCUCCAUGGAUUCACCUAUAUAAGCCGCGGCUAAAGUUGCAAAAAUAAGAGCUUGAAUACCACUUGUAAAUAAUCCAAGGAGCAUAACAGGUAUAGGAACUACUAAGGGUACUAAAGAAACAAGAACAACAACUACUAAUUCAUCAGCUAAGAUAUUCCCGAAAAGUCGAAAACUAAGUGAUAAGGGUACCACUCCAGCUGGUUGAUUUAGCUCUCCUAGUCUCACUUCAUCUUUCGUCCUUCUAUUAGAUGUGGGUAAGGGGGAAAUAGCCUUAAUGUCACGUACAAGAUGGUUACCUGUGAAUUAAAAAACUAUUGCAUAAGUUGGCAGUAACAUUAGGUGUUUGGAAAAGCUUUGACCAAGUAUUUCUUAGUCAUCCUGAAAUCUUUUCUAUUAUGAAGUUCAGUUUCUUUCAAAUUGGAUUCGAGUAAUAUGCCUAAUAAGUCAACUUUACUAGUCUCCCCUCCUUCCAUUGUUCUCAACCUUUUGUCAAUGAUGCACCUUAUUAUCGUUUGAUUUUCCUUUUCAAUUUCCAUCAUUCUUUUGUUCUUUUUAAUAGGCAACAACCUAUAUAAACAAAUUUAAUCAAACAAGGAAGGUCGUUUUAGUAGAAAGGCAGAGCACAUAUUUUUCAUAUUGAAUUUUUGAAUGCAGAAAUGUGAUGUGCAUAAAUUAUUGCACCUUAAUCCUGGUAUAUAAAUUGAACUCCUUUUUUGACUACAUACUCAGCUUGUUCUUUCUGAAGUUCAAAAACUAUUCUUCUUUCUUCAUAGCUACUCCCAAAUGCAGUGCGAAAAAUGACUUCACUACUCUUCUUUUGAAGGUCUCGUCAUACAUCGAGUUCGACUGAUGUUUCCUUUGGAACAAUCUCCUCCUAUUUGCUUAUCAUUUCACUACAACUUACAUAAAAUAUUGGUAGCAUAUGCUAUAAACAAACGAAAAAAAAACGGCAAGUGCUUGUUAAGGCAUCCAAUAAGCAAUCCUUAAGUCAAAGACAUGUACAAUUUACCAUGUUUUAUAAAGGCAUAGUACAUAAACGUACUCUUUAACUUGGCCUCAAUUGGCAUCUAAGUCAUCUUACUUUGAUUAAGCACAAAUAGAUACUUAAACUUAUAUAAAGUUGAAUAAACAAAUGCACACGUCCUAUGUGACAAUUAGCGUGAAAUACCAUGUAGGACACCACACAAGACGUCUGUAUCUACUGGUUCAACUUUAUACAAGUUUAAGUGUUUAUCUGUACAUACCCAAAGCUAAAGGACAGAGAUAUAAACUGAGGUCAAGUUAAAAGACACGUUUAUGUAUUGUGCCUUUGCUAAAUUUGUUAUUCGCUCUGAUUCAAUUUAUUGUUUUAUUUACCUUUUUAGUCUGUUUAAAAACGAACGUCACUUUCUAUAUUUAGUAAAUUCUUUAAUUCCAAUAUGUCCAACUACAAGAUAUAAAAAUCUAUCUUAUUUUCUUAAAUUUCGUGUCCCAUCAAACUAAGAUACAUAAAAUAUUACGGAGGGAGUCAUAAGUAGAGACUUCAACUUUUCAAGAUGGAAAGUAGAUUGAUGAUUUUUCUGUGCUUGGCCCAUUUGUCUCCCUCAAUGUUUGCAAGACCUUGAAGGAAUAACUUGAACAAUGGGUUAGAAUGAGUUUGCUUUAGAUAUACACAGAAGUCUUUGUGAAAAUCUCCUUCACAUGUAUAGGAUCUGUGAUCAACACUAUUGAUAUGGGCCUACCACCACAAAAGAAUUUUUACCUGCCAGUAAUAGUCACUUUGGGUUAGAAAAUUUUGAAGGGGCAUGUAAAGGCAUGAAGGGAGUAGUUUCUUAAAGUACUUGUUUUUGCGGGAAGGAGAAAUAGAGGAGAGGAUUACAUGGUGGAAAAUUAAACCUUGACUAAUAAGGUGAAAAUUCAUAUGAUAUAACUAAGUAAGUUAUUAGAGUUUUACUCUCCCAAUUUCAAUUUAUUUGUCAUGCUUUUGUUUUUAGUCCAUUUAAAAGAAACUUCUCUUUUCUUUUUAGCUAACUUUUUAAUUCUAAACUUUUCACAUGACAUGUUCGAAAGUAAAAGAUUAUAUUAAAGGAUAUUUUGAUACAUUUAAGUUUUGAUAUAUCUUUAAUUUAAGAUCACACAGUUUAAAUUUUUAUUUUACUUUAACUCAAAAUUAAACAAAUCAAAUUGAUGGUAAUAUUAAGUAUAUAUAUAUAUANNNNNNNNNNNNUGAGAAACACUCCAUUUUUGUUGAUGGCAUUCAGGAAAAGGGGAAUGAACCUGUGAGCUAUAUGAAACUUAGGGGUCAUUUGUUAGAGUGUAUUGGCAAAAAUAAUGUAUGUAUUAAUUAAUGUAUAUUAUGAAUACCUUGUUUGAUACCAUUUUUAAUCAAUGUAUAACUAAUGCAAGCAUUAGUUAUACACUCUAUUGUGUAUUAAGGUGUGAAUUACUAAUACCACCCAUUUUCUAUGUAUUAGUAAUGCAAAGUCUUUGAUACAUGCAUUAACUUAUUAAAUGACCUUAAUNNNNNNNNNNNNNNNNNNNNNNNNNNNNNNNNNNNNNNNNNNNNNNNNNNNNNNNNNNNNNNNNNNNNNNNNNNNNNNNNNNNNNNNNNNNNNNNNNNNNNNNUCUACAACAAUGAAUAAUUGAUUUAAAUAAUUGUAACAUAUUUUUUCUUUGCUUCGAGGGUCUUUAAAAAGAUUAAAAAAAUUGAGACUAUUUCUUAAUUUUAUGUCUUAUAUUUUAUUUUUGUUUCGACUAUGUUAAUCCUUUGGCAUAAUAUUUCAUGUGCAAAGACGAAGGUCUUUCAAUUAAUCCGAAACCUCUAUAUACUAGUUCAACAAUACUAAUUAUAUUUGAGAUGGCAAAAAGAUUUUGUUGCAAAAAAGUGUACAAAAUCAAAGAAGGGUAUUUAUAAACAAACAUUUCUUUUAUAGAAAUUAUGUAAGAUGUAUUAUUUCUUAUACAUCAAACCAAACAAUGUAUAAGAAAUAAUACAUGCAUAACUAAUACAAGCAUUACUAAUACAUUAUAUUUUGCAUUGAUCUUAUACAUUCUACCAAACGACCCCUUAAUGGGCUUUGACUGGGCUUCAUUGACACUUUUUGUAAGUUCAUUCAAAUCUCCAUUGAGUAACUUAUACUAAAAAUUACAUAUAUACCCAAGGUAGCUUUACCUUAUUACAUAAAAUCCCAUAUUGAAAAAGAAAUUAUAAAAAUUCCAAAGUAAUUACUUAAAUCUCUUAAAUUUACUCUUUCUCUUUCAUCCCCCUCAUACAUAUCAAAAUAUUAUUUUUUGCUCCUAUUUUAGUGCACUAAUUUUUGCUCCAUAUUUGUGCUCCUUCAUUUACGCCUAAAAUCAAGCUAACAUGAUCUGAAGAAUUUAAAAUUAUUGAGUUAUCAAUCAUUAACUGAACGAAGUUCACCUUUUCCUUCUUAUUUUCUGGAAAAAGAAAAACUCAGUUCAACAAAAAUCAUAGAAUGAUUAGAAAAUAAUUGUCAAGAAUCUAUUGGCAAAAAUAUAUUUACUUUGAAAUCAACACCACGUUUUUGCUGCUUCUUUGUUUGAGCUUUAGUUUUCACCAUUGUUAAUGGCGUAUGAAGGUUAAUAGGGUUUUGGGUUUAACGACGAGAUGUAAAAAAAACGUUAAUGAUAUUAUACUUUCCAAACUUUGCUUUAUUUGCUAUUUUUUUUAAAUUGAUUAACCCGUAAAGUAUAAAUUUUUUUGCAAUGAAGUCUGCUCACUUAUUGUUAUUCCCGUUGUUGGUUUCGUUCUUGGUUCUUUUGAUUAUGAAGAACCCAAUUUUGCAGAGAACCGUUCGAAGCACCGAAACGCUCCAGUAACAAUGAAGAAAUUGAGGAAAGUUGUCGGUUCAAGUUCAAACAAGAAAGCUUCAAAAUCGUCAAGUAAGAAAAAGGUUGAUGAUUCUGAACGACCACGUCUGCCGAAGAUUUAGUUAUCAUUAAAAUAUGUAUUAGCAGUUAUUCUAUGUACAAGAUUUCAUUAUACGUUUGUUAAGAUUAUAUAGUGAAUUGUAUAAGGUGUUCAUAUACAUGUAAAACAGUAUUAGAUUAUAUUUAUUACUUGUAUAAGGUUUACACACAUAUAUGAAACUGUUGUAUGAGAUUGCCUUUUAUUUGUUUUGGCAGUAUGAUUCUAUGUAUAAGAUUUCAUUAUACAUGUAUUAAUACUAUAUUAUUAAUUGUGUAAGGUUUACACGUACAUGAAAACUGUUGUAUUGUGCUGCAUUUUUUUUGGUUUUGUCUUUCUGCUUCUAUGUAUAAGAUUUCAUUAUACAUUGGUUCAGAUUAUGUACUGAUUUGUAUAAGAAGGUUAUACUUUCGAAACAAUUGCAUCACUUUUGUAGGAUUGAUAAAUAAUUUUUGACUCCCAAAUAUCGUAAUGACGCAACAAUAUGGGGAUGUUCAUAUUGAUUUUUUGAAGAAUUGAAGAAAGCAGAUGUUGACCUUUUUUUUCCAGAACGUAAUGCAACAAAGAAGAAAAUUAAUUGUGAUGUUUAAGAUAUAUUUUAAAUUUGAAUUUCAGUUACUAUAUUUAAUCAUACAUCACAUAAUGAUAAUUAAUUAAUGACGUUAAUUAAGGAAGAGAAAGAUAUUAUCUUUCUUCUUAUUUUCUGGAAAAAAAAACCUCAGUUCAACAAAAAUCAAAGAACGAUUAGAAAAUAAUUGUCAAGAAUCUAUUGGUAAAAAUAUAUUUACUUUGAAAUCAACACCAUGUUUUUGCUGCUUCUUUAAUUGAGCUUUAGUUUUCACCAUUGUUAAUGGCGUAUGAAGGUUAUCAGGGUUUUGGGUUUAACGGCGAGAUGUCAAAAAAAAAAUUAAUGAUAUUAUACUUUCCGAAACAAUAAUUGUAUCAUUUUUGUAGGAUUGAUAACUAAUUUUUGACUUCCAAAUAUCUGAAUGUCGCAACAAUAUGGGAAUGUUCAUAUUGAUUUUUAGAGAAUUGAAGAACGCAGUAGAAGAAUUUUUUAUUUUUUUGGCUGCUACAAAGAAGAAUAUUUUACCGUGCCAUUAAAGAAAAUAUUUGAAUUUAAAUUUCAGUUACUAUUUUUAAUCAUACACUACUUAAUGUUAGCUAAUUAAUGGCGUAAAUUAAGGAAUUGAAAGAUAAUAUCUGAUUUAUCUUACCUUAAAUAUAGGAUUAACAGUUUUAUCAUACAUUUGAACUAUGUAUGAGGGACUACCGAAUGUAUGAGUAAAUUUACCUAAUAUAAGAGAGAGAAAACAUUAAGGGAUUUUAUGUAACUAGUUUCACUAGAAUGGGAAUUUAUGUGGUUUUCACUAACUUAUAUGGAUUUCCCUUAAAGACCACUUUGUCUCAAGUAUUUCUCAAGUUUUUUGGGCCUAAACCAUGCCCAAUUCAGCACAUUCAAUGUGUAUAUCAGUAAAAUGGCAACACAUAUUGUUGCUAAUAUGUUGCUCAAGAUCUCCAUUUUUUCAGAAUGUCAACUCUUUCCUCAUAUGCUUCCUCUUAAUUGUUUCAUUACAUAUAUAAUAAGUAGAGGAAGUUAAGGAAAUCUUUCUUGCUAAUUUAAGUGGGGCGGGACGAUAGUCAAAUCUCUUUAUAAUAAAUGUUGUUUGUCCUAACAAAUAUUUUGCUGUCAUAAUGAAAUAUUGUUUGUUAUAAAGAAAAUAUAUAUAUAAAAAGAUUAGCUGUUAAAGUCAAAUAUUGUUACAAAGGUUGAUUAUUAUAGAAAAGUCUAAGUGUAUACGCUAAAUCUUUAUUGGCUGAAGUUUUAACCCUUUUAUCCCCAAGGCCCAAGGUCACGGCUCCCUCUAUGUCUAAGUAGAAAUUUAUGUUCGAGUUUGUGAAUGAAAAUAAUUCUUGUACGAAACAUUGGCCUUACAAAACGUAAACUCGGAUUAGUCUAAGAAUAAAUCAGGUGAGAAUAUUUUUUUACUUUUUAUUUUUAAGUUUUAACCAUCCAGAUAUGCUUGUUUAGUAGAGAAAUCUUGAUAGUUUAAUUGAUUAGAUAUCAAGGAUUUGAUUCUCACUUUGUAAUCGAAUCAUUAUUUCCUUUUCCCUCUUCCCUGUACAUAAUUAAAAAAUUAUUCAAACAAUUUUAAAAAUAUGCAUUUUUAUAUUUAUUUCAUUCUUUUCAAGUUUGGCCAUUUAAUAUUAAUUAAAUCAAUUCGCUAUUGUCAAACUCUUAUGCAAUAGUAUUAAAAAUUCAUCUUUUAUAUUAAUGAUUUGAAAAAAUAAAACUAAGAAAGGCCAUCUGCUUACUAUUGAGUUAAAAUAAGUUAUGGAAUAAAUAUUGUAUAAAUAUAAUGGCUCUUUUGCUUACUUUUUAAAAAAAAAAAAAAAAAAAAAAACUAAAUUAGACUAGUUCUGAAAUUUUGUCAUCUCUUAAUUCCAUCAAAAUGCUUGUUAGAACUCUUAAGGAAAUGACGAGUAUACCCAAGGUUCAUGGAUUAAAAAUUCAUGAGAUUUUAUAUUCAAAUUCCAACAAAAAUAAAAAUAUUAGGUUUCUUUUUCUAGUUUGUGCUAGUCUUUGAGGGCAAGUGUUACCUGGUAUCAAUGGAGGAGCCAGGAUUUUUAUUGAAGGGGUUCAGAAGUAAAUAUACGAACUAACUGGAGGAGGUUGAACGUCUAUUAUAUAUGCAUAAAAAAUAUUUUUAACCAUGUAAAAAUAGUAUAAAAACAAUAUAAUUUUUCGUCGAAGGGGUUCGAAUAAUGAACCCCUGGAGCAAAGGUAGCUCCACCACUACCUGGUACUUGGUGCUUGUAGGAGGUGACAGGUAUCUCAUAAAAUAAAUUGAGAUGCAUGCAAACUCGUCCGGACAUCACAAUUCUAAAAGAAAAAAAGCGUAUAAUCAACUAACGUUAAAACACUUUGGGGGUUAUUUUAUAAAAUAAACUUCAUAACCUAUUUUUAAAAUAAAACUAAUUCCAGAGGUGUUGACCACAUAUUUUUCUAAGAAUUUUUAGAAGAUAAAAAGAAUGUCAAGUUAAAUACUCCUUUGUUUCAAAUUGAUUGUCCAAUUUUGAUUCGGCACGAAUUUAAAAAGGUACAGAAGAUUUUAAAUCCUGUGGUAUUAAACUAAAGAUAUGUUAAAUGUAUCAAAAUAUCCUUUAAUCUUCUGACUUUAAACAUUGUCAUGUGAAAAGUUGAAAUUUAACAGUUGCCAAAAAGGAAAAGAGACAUUCUUUUCGAUAUUGACUAAAAAGAAAAGUAUGACAAGCAAUCUCGGUAGCUACAUCAUCCAUGGAAUUUAAAGAGCCGAAAGGAGCAUGAGUCAUAUUCUACGGAGUGCCGCUCCUGCCAAGGUCAUAUGUCUUCUUUCAACCUACUCAAAUCUAACUCAUUUGGACCCUUUAAGGCUCUAACCAUGGAGCAUACAGAUCCCAAAAAAGCAUAGUUUCUCCUCCAAGAACGCCAUUGAGACAGAGUUGGUAUCUUUUCCAUAGAGGAUAAGACGGGUAAAUUUCACCCAUGGUCACUUAAUUUUCCAUCUAUUACCCAAAAAUCAUUUUUCUUUCAUUCAUUUCAUUCAUGAUCACUUAACUUUGUAUCUAUUACGCAAAAAUCACUUUUCAUUCAUUCAUUUCAUCCGUGGUCAUUUAACUUUACUCCAACCAUCACAAAAGUCACUAUGACCGGAUUUUACAAUAAUUUCAUCAGAAAAAUGUUGUGCCAACCUUAAUUAGUUCUUAAUUUUAAUUUAAGUGAAUAUAUAAUAUAUUACUCAUAUCUUGACCUUUUUUAUAUAUGCACAAUCUAAUUUUCUUUAUGGAUUAUUUAAUGAAAGAAUACCAAUUUCUUAAUAGAUUAGAUUACCUAAUGAAGACUAUUUUCAUAAAAAAAAAAUUGGUUGAUAUUUUUAUGAAAUAAAAUUAUACUUAUGUAUUCUUAAAAUCCUCUAAAGUUGAGACAUGUGCUGGUAAAUUAUUUUUUUCACUAAUAUAUUAUGGCAUGUAGUUGAUAAAAUUAUUUUUUCCCCUCUAAAAUUGUGACAUGUCGUUGAUAAUUUUUUUUUUUAUACAUUCUUUUUCUUGCCACUUGAGUCUUUGUAUUCGGUAUAUCAUAAUAAUAUGAUAAACUACUCUAUUUAUUGAGUUUGUCUUUGUAUUUUUAAUUGUUUGACUAAUCAAUUAAUUCUCUUAAAAGUUUUUAUUAUAAUAUUCAAUUUCUGAUAAAUUACAAAUUGGUUAAUUAAUUUAAUUGAUAAAUAUAAGAAUUAGAUAUCCUAUAAUUUCUUUAUCUAUUAAAGUACUUAUAUUUUAUAACUUUUCAACAAAAAUGUACGAUAAUAUAACAUUAUUUGUACAAAUUUUGACAAUACUUAUUCAAUGACAUAAUUAAAAAGAUUUUAUUCUACCUUUAGCAUGUUGAUUUAUCUUCAAAGAAUUAAAAUAAUUUUUUUUCAAAAAAUAAUAUCAUACAUGUAUUUCUAUUUUAUGUGUUUUGAAGAAUUUAUCUUGCUUAUCACUCUUUUUCGAUGCACCUUUUUGGCAGAUGAAUGUAAUAUUAUGAAAUGUUUUAUAAAAAUAUCAACCAAACAAAUAAUCUUCGUUAGGCAAUCUAAUCUAUUAAGAAAUUGAUAUUCUUUCAUUAAAUAAUCCAUAAAGAAAAUUAGGUUAUGCACAUAUAAAAAAGGUCAAGAUAUGAGUAAUAUAUUAUAUGUUCACUUAAAUUAAAGUAAAGAACUAAUUAAGGUUGCCACAUCAUUUUUUCGAUGGAAUUAUUGUAAAAUCCGGUCAUAGUGACUUUUGUGAUGGUCGGAGUAAAGUUAAAUGACCAUGGAUGAAAUGAAUGAAAGAAAAGUGAUUUUUGCGUAAUAGAUACAAAGUUAAGUGAUCAUGGAUGAAAUGAAUGAAGGAAAAGUGACUUUUACGUAAUAGAUACAAAGUUAAGUGACCAUGGAUGAAAUUUACCCAGGAUAAGACAUAAAUGAGAGAAGUAUAUACAAGCCAAAGAAAACAAGAAAGUACAUAGCACUUGAGAAAAAUAGCAGUAGUUGUUUUGGUUGAUUCCCUGUAUAUGGACAAACCAAAAUGAACAUAGAGAUGCAUUAAUAGUAUGGUGCAAAACUUAUCUUUUUCUCGACCAAGCAUCCUAUAUGAAGUUCAAUUGAGAAAACCUAUGAAUACAAGUAUUCUUCUGGAUAUUCCGUUUUAAAGUUUGCGCAUAAGCAGAGGAGCACCAUACUGAGGAUGAAUAGUCACUACAGCAAAUGGAGCAUGUGUAUAAGAUGGAGAGAGUUCGAAGGAGAACUUUUGUAGUAUCAUUGCCAUUGCCAUUUUUGCUUCCAUCAUUGCAAAGUUUUGUCCAAUGCAAAUUCGAGGUCCCCCGCCAAAUGGAAUAUAUGAGAAUUGUCCUUUGGUUGCCUUUGACACUCCUUCACUAAAUCUUUCUGGUUUGAAUUCCUUUGCGUCUUCACCCCAUAUUUCCUUAUCAUAAUGUACUAAGAUUGCGGGUAUAAUGAGUAUCA